rnacentral:lncRNA from 1 species
AGCUUCGAGUUCAAGCACCACCAGUUUUGCCGUUCUUUGGAGUCACCUUAGAACAACUCCGUGAUCUCGAUGGCAGGAACUUUUAGACCGCACUCGGGAGGUUGCAAGUUUCCGAUCGAGUUACUGUCGUGUGUUCACCUUUUCUGGCUUCUGUGUUUGGCAGUAAGAUGUCGAUUAAUUAGUUCUAAAACUUGGAAGAUGCAUAGUCUAAAUGUUUUCUUUUUGUAAGAGUAGAAUGAUAGGUAAUUUUCCUCCUUUCGUGUAGGCAAGCAUCUAUUUAUAGUUAAUAUAAAUCAUUUGUUUCUUAGCAAAAUCAUCUGAACUUGUUUAAAAUACCAUCUCAUAUAUCACAUUACGAAGUCUUGUAUGUGCAAUUGUUCUGGGAUACUUCACAGUUUUAAGAUCAUUAUGUUCGGGGAAACGAGUAUGAUAGAAAGCAAUCAGACUCACAUAACACGAGGAUAAUGUUUUCGACAUAAUAGCUCAUCAAAAAUGAAUUUGCAGGGCGGUUCUUGCCUUUUGAGCAGCCAAAACCGAGAAUGGAAGUUUGGGACGUCCGAACUGACAUCGAUGCUUGCAGGGGGAGUUCUUCAUGGGGGUUAAAUCAAUUACGAAAUGGAAUUUGUGUGCCCUAAUUAGCUAAAGCUAGUAUUUCUCAAUUAACAACUUCUUACUUUAACUCGGCAAAAAUCAAUGAAUCGAUCUCAGGUAUCUCACGGGUAGAUUGUUUAGCUUCUAUCCUUAGGUGCAACCUCUUCUUAUGAGUACCUUGGAAGGAUUAUCGCUUGAUUUUUUUUACUAUCUAAAGUAGGCAUCAGAUUCGCAUGAACAUGGUGUGUCCAUUGACUUUGAGAGGGAAUGGGCGACCCCAGAUUUCCCCAUUUUUCCCCCGUGAAAGAUACAAGAAGAAAUCUAUGAACACUCCAGUUGGAUUGGCGGCUUUCUAAGGUAAUUAGAAAUGGCACGCUGGUUCUCUUUCCCGGGAAAAAAUUAAAAUUUUAUAAAUGUCAGCUUAUUAUCUUUGGUCUUUCUGUUGCUAUAAACGUUUGAUGCGUGAGUAAGCCCAGCGGUCCAAAAUCUCCGAAUAGGAAGAGGUCUAGAAGCUCGGCGCGAGUUAUCUGGCUUGGGGAUCCAUUCAUAUACAACCUUCUUGUUGCCAGGCUCCUUCUAUGAUAUUGUUGAGAGAAGACAUGAUUCGUAUCCAUGGGGAAAGUAUAAAAAAGGUCUAAAUCUAUUACAUUGGUACCGAUUCAAUUAUAAACUUUUCAAUCGGUCAAUUAAAUCAUAAAUAUUCUGGCAUUCCUAUCAAUUCAAUCCAUCUUACUAAUUUAAACUGGAAAUUACUCACAUAAAUACUAGCAGCACUAUAUGGCAUAGCCGAUGCUGACGUGGAUACCUUUUUAUAAUUUUUUUGAAUUUUUUUCUUUUUUUCUUCGUUUUUCUUUCUCUUUUCUUUUUGUCAGUAGCUGGCAAGGGCUGGCCUUGCCUGGGUGAGGAUCACUCUUGCUAGCCAUAGAAAGGGUGUUGGAGAAAACUUCCUUAUGUGUUUUGAAGUUAACAAAACGUUUCCAUCAGUCUAGUCUGAAAACUUGAAGACUCUUCCGUCAAAGUCUGAAGACCGUCAGAUUCAAGCUUUAAAGUUUGUCCUCAUUGACAGUUUCUAGACCGUCGAAGAAGAUUUAUCCAGAAUCAAGGAUUUAUUUAAGGAAUUGAUUCGAGCGGCUAAAGAAGCUUCUCACGGCUGGAGAUAGCAUUUUGAGAUCUUUUAUUCGUAUUUAAUUUUGAUACGAAUAAAUUAGAUUUGUUGAUUGGCAAGGUAUACUUGGAAGGUUUUACUUAUGGAAACCUAGAUCUUGAUUGUAUGGGCGAGCAAAAUUGGUGGGCUAUCAUCACAUUCCUUAAGUAACUUGAAGAUCUACUUAAUUGAUUCCGUCCAACAGUUAGAUAGAGGAACUCCUUUGGAAAAUACCAACGGGUAUGAAGGCAUGGAGGAGUAUAAAAGGAAGAAGCUCUGGUUAUUCGAGUGUGUGCGUGAUAGAGAAAUUCCAAAGUCUGAAACUCCUUGUUCUUUGUUGAUUCAACUGUUGAGCGAAAUUUGUACUCAAAAGAGAGAUUAGAUACUAGUGAGACCUUGAGGAAGUGUAGCAAAGUCUCUACACUGUGGAAUCAAGGACAUGAUAUUGUAACAACUCUUUUGAUUUAUAGUGAAAUCUAGCCGAUGGGCUGUCAGUGCGGGAGAGUGGACGUAAGCUUGGAAUAAGCCGAACCACUAUAAACUCUAUGUUCAUUUUCUCUCAUCCUUGAACCUCUUAUUUAUGCUUACGAGUUGUUUAUUUAUUUAAUAGUUGAAUUCUAUUUUAUUGUCCAUCAAAAAUAUUCUUUUUAAGUCCUAAGAAAAGUUUCACAUACACCUAUUCACCCCCCUCUAGGUGUAUUUACUAGCCCCUUUCAAUUGGUAUAAGAGCUUGUGUGCUUAUUUAUUGAAGUGUUUUACUUCUUAAGCUAAAAAUCUAUGGCUAGUAUUUUGGCUCCAGAACUGGUUGAAGGUCAAAGCAACACUAGACCUCCUUACUUUGAUGGAAAAGAAUACAACGUAUGGAAGAACAAGAUGAAAGCUUUCCUUAGAUCGAAAGAUCCCCUUGAAUGGGAUGUGGUGGAAAAAUGAGUUAUUCCAACAAUAACUUCAACUUCAGGAAGAGGGAAGGAAGUGACAGAUGCUAGAGAGAUGACACAAGAAGAGACAAUCAAAAGACAAGCUCUUGACGCAAAAGUUAUUUAUUCUUUAUACUAUGCUUUAUCUCCUACUAGGUAUAACAUAAUUUCAUCCUGUGAAACAGCAAAAAAAGUCUGAGACAGGUUGCAUGUUACUUAUGAAGGAACCAAUCGAGUCAAAGAAACAAAGAUCAACAUUCUUCUUGGGCAAUAUGAAGCUUUCAAAAUGAAGCCAGGAGAAACCAUCACUAAUAUGUUUAGCCAUUUUAUAGAGAUCGUAAAUGGUCUUGCAUAUCAUGGCCAACCAAUCUCAGGGCAAAUGAAAGUCAACAAGUUGUUGCGAGGACUUUAUCUGUCGAUGAAUUAGUGGGCACACUUCAGUCUUAUGAAGUGGAGCAAAUUGAUGAAGAGGAAGAUUCUAAAGGUAAAAAGUCAAUUGCUUUAAAGUCUAAUGAUGAUGAUGUUACAGAUACAGAAGACGAUCUGGACGAUGAAGAAUUAGCACUCAUGAUAAGGAAGUUCAGAAAGUUAAACAGAAAGGGAAGAAAGUACAACUAGAGGAAGCAAAAUACUCAAAGAUCUCGGAAUAAAGCAACUGAAGAUAAUGAGUUCAACAAAGACAUGAUUUGCUUCGAAUGCAAAAAGAAAGGACACAUCAGACCCAACUGUCCUAUUCUGAAGAAAAAGAAGGAAAUAUGAAGAAACUCAAGAAAACUCUCAAAGUAGAGACUUGGAGCGACACAGAAUGUGAAGAGAGUGAUGAAGAAUAUGCCAACAUUUGUCUUAUGGCAAACUCAGAAUCAGACUUAGAUUCUGACAAGGAAAUUGAGGUAAGUAACUUUAAAAUUCCUAUUAAAGUUUCAAAGUAUAUUGAUGAACUAUGUCUUAGCUUUAAAGUAUCUCUUAAAAAGAUUUUCGAACUUAAAAUGGAAAAUUCUAUACUAAGGCAACAGGAAAUUUCUUGGAAUGAAAAAUUUGAAAGUCUGAACAACAAUUUCAAAACUUCAAAAGAAAAUGAAGAUUUUCUUUCAAAAGAAAACAUUCUCUUGAAAGAAGACAUUUCAGCUAUUUCAAAAAAGUUUUCAAAUGGAUCUAAAAAGCUUGAUAAAAUUCUUUCAAUUCAAAGACCUUAUUUUUAUAAAUCAGGUUUGGGAAUGACACAUGAAACUGGUACUUUAAUUGAUUUCCCAAAGGUAAAAGAAGGAAUCAAACAAAGACUUGCUAAAACUUUUUACAGAAAUCAUUUUCCAAAAGUUUUUGUAAAAGCUAUUGGUCGAAGUGCUCUCAAAUGUUCAAAGUAUAAUAGCUCGGAACAUUUUGAGAAGGAUUGUCCUAAAGUUUGGAAACCUGUUAAGAGAAACUAGGCAAAGAAUACUUUUGGAACUAACUCCCCUGGACCCAAGAAAGUAUGGGUACCAAAGAAAACUUGAAAUUUUUGCAUAAUUGCAGGUCACUAUCAAGAAAAAGAUCAAAUGGUAUUUGGAUAGUGGUUGUUCAAGAUACAUGACAGGAGAUUCAAAUUGCUUCAUAAAGCUUACCCAAAUAGAUGGUGGAAAAGUUUCUUUUGGUGGAAAUGGCAAAGGAAGAAUUACUGGUCAUGGAACUAUCAAGAUUGAGAGUCUCACAAUCAAUAAUGUUUCUUUGGUGGAAGGCUUAAAUUAUAAUCUUCUCAGUAUAAGCCAAUUGUGUGACACUGGAUUCAAAAUCAACUUUCAAGAAGGCAUAUGUUCAGGAAUUAGUAAGGAUUUGUCUCAAUCCUUUACUGGUCGAAGACAUGGAAAUAUUUAUCUGCUUGAUAUCAAAUCAGAAAGCUCUCAGUGUCUAAUCUCCAUUCAAGAUGAAGAGAAUCUUUGGCAUAGAAAACUUGGCCAUAUUAGUAUGAAGUAGACAGCCAAGAUUUCUUCCAAAAAGCUUGUUCGUGGACUGCCCAACCUAAGAUUUCAAAAGACAGAAUUAUGCUGUGACACCCCGAACCCUUCGCAGGUCGUCACCAGCGCCGGUGUUACAUCUUUUACCAUCUCUAUCUCUUGGCUAAAUUAAGCCUUGCCAGAUUACAGGCAUUUUUUUUUUUUAAAAGCGGUCCCAUGCGCGACUCAUAGCGGAAGCAAAUUAAACAUCUCCAUCUCUUCCCUUACUAACCCAUGAUACAAAUACACACCAGCUAAACUUCAUGAUUUUAUAAAUAACAUUGACGCUUUGCUUACAUACAUACAUAUAGCGAGAUGGGGUUUCCUUCGGGUCGGUACAAAAACCAGAAAGGUUAGGACUCUGCCAUGUCCUACCUAAAAUCUCAAAAAGAAACCUCGACCCCUAACAUCACAUGAACACAAACCCUCCCAUCACCAGCGUCAACUAUCUACAUCAAAAAGUGAUCUAGCUCCUACUCCUUGCGCGCAGGUCUCACACCCAACCCGGUGCAUCAGGUGGUGGCGGCGGCAGCAUCCCUCGCAUAGCACCAUCUCGACGGACGUGAACAGAAAUGAAUUCUUGUAUGACAGGGCCCCCAGCCAGGCCGAUAUCAUACAUGACCAAGCAUCGUACUCGGAUAAACGUCAAUCCGGGCACAGAGGGACAAUCUAUCUCCGUACACUCCACCUCAACAUCAGACGGUAUACCGUAAAAUACCCCACGCGAAACAGCAGGUAGCGGCAUAGUGCUAAUAUGAAAUGUUAUCCCCAAAAGGGGUGAGUACAACCACUCAGCAGAUAGGGAAAUCCAAUAACAUUCCAAUGCAUCAUACAUAUCAUCACACGUUGCAAACAUCACUUACCUUGUAACCAUGCAUAUCAUGCAUCAUCAUUAGCCAUGCAUCACCAUGCAUAUCACAUCAUCAUUAGCCAUGCAUCACCAUGCAUAUCACAUCAUAUCAUCAUUAGCCAUGCAUCACCAUGCAUAUCACAUCAUAUCAUCAUUAACCAUGCAUCACCAUGCAUAUCACAUCAUAUCAUCAUUAGCCAUGCAUUACCAUGCAUAUCACAUCAUAUCAUCAUUAGCCAUGCAUUACCAUGCAUAUCACAUCAUAUCAUCAUUAGCCAUGCAUCACCAUGCAUAUCAUAUCAUCAUUAGCCAUGCAUCACCAUGCAUAUCAUAUCAUCAUUAGCCAUGCAUCACCAUGCAUAUCACAUCAUAUCAUCAUUAGCCAUGCAUCACCAUGCAUAUCACAUCAUAUCAUCAUUAGCCAUGCAUCACCAUGCAUAUCACAUCAUAUCAUCAUUAGCCAUGCAUCACCAUGCAUAUCAUAUCAUCAUUAGCCAAUUUCCACUUUUACUCACCAUGCAUAUCAUAUCAUCAUUAGCCAAUUUCCACUUUUACUUAUCAAUUAAUCCCCACAUUAUCUUUUCUCAAAUGAUCAAUUUCACCAUCAUCACCAUCCCUUCGGGCAGAAACCUCCGACAGGGUAUCAUUAUCAAUCCUUCGGGCAUAAACCUCCGACAGAAUUCCAUGAUCAAUUUGAUCAUCACCCUUCGGGCAGAAACCUCCGACAGGGUUCCCAGUAUCCCAGCCAUCUCAUGGCCAUUGGGCUUCCGGCCCCCCACAUUCCGGGCAUCUCGCAUCUCAACUAGCAUCACGAGGCAUUCCCUUCGGGCAGAAACCUCCGACAGGGCUUCCGACCUUUACCCUUCUAACCGGGGAUCUCGCACCCCAAUCCUGGCAUCGCGAGUCACCUCCGGGCAUGUAUCCAAGAUACAACCGGACUUCCGGCCCCCCACAUUCCGGGCAUCCUGAAACUCCUAGGGAAUCUCUGGAAUUACGCCACCAGGCCACCAGACAACAUCCUCCGCCACAACCUCUUACUCACAUACCACUUUCCACUUUUUAUCAUCCUUUUCAUCUUAUUAUUUCAUGGCAUACGAUUCACACACAUGCAUCAUGAUUCAUAAUCAUACAUGCAUCAAUGCCAUAUAACAAUACAUCAUAAUUCAUGAUCAUUCAUACAUCAAUGCCAUAUAGCAAUACAUCAUAAUUCCAUAGGACUCAUGGCCAAUAAAAUAAUCCGCCUUUUAUUUUAUUAUUAUAUUAUUAUUAUAUUAUUAUAUUAUUAUAUUAUUUAUUUUCAUAAAUAAAUAUUAUAUUUAAUAUUUAUGAUUUUCCAAAAAUCAUAAUCUUCAAUCAAUCAUUAAACAAACAAUUAGAAUCAAAUUUCACAUAAAAUCCGUGGCUAAUUUGCAUUUUACAUAAUUUCCCAAAUUUCCACAAUAUUCGGAAAAUGGCCAGAUUGCACAGUUUUCGAAUUAAUUCAAUUAAAAUACUCAUAUGACCUCCGAAAAUUCCCAAAUUUUACAGGGUGAUAGCCAACACAUUUUCGUGCAUUUUUCAUGUAGAACUCUAAGCCAAAUUAUUUAUAUAUUAAUUUAUACAACUCCAUGAAGCUUCUGGAACCUCUACCGUUUCGUCCAGAACGUACAUCACCGAAAAACUUAGGUUUGACCCAUCAAAUCUCUUUCGUUUCUUCUGAAAUUCGAGUAUGUUAUGUAUCAAUGUGUCCUUUACAAGUUUCAUGAAGAGAUCUAGGUUAAAUAACCAAAUUAUGAUCCUCUUUUAGGUCCUUGAAGUCUCGGGUGUCUCGGUUCACUUCAACAGAACCAUCCGUCUCAAAGAUCUAGCCGAUUAACUAGGCUACACUUGUUCAUUUCUUUUCAAAUUUGAGUAUGUUGUAUUUUAGGAUGUUACCAACAACUUCCAUGAAGACAACAAAGUGAGAUCUCCAACAGAAAUCAACAUGCAACCAAGAAAUCAUCAAGAGGUCAGUAGGAAAUUCGCAGAUCUAAAGCGUCCGUGAAAUAGAACUUUUGACCCCUCAUAUCACCAUCGUUUUCCAUGAAAUUCUAGUAUGUCAUACCUCAAGAUGUUAGAUUCAACUUUCAUGAAGAAACCGAAGCCAAAAUCACACUCCAAGUACACAUGCAAGCUCGAAUAAGAAACUGUCUACCACAAACCGAACGGAAACAGCCACAUUACAUGAACACAUGCAACCCUUACCUCGGUUCUUCGCCCAAACCACACCUAAAAUCUAACAUGCAACCAUCAAAAACAACAUGCAAGAGAAGUUAUGGACCCCCACUUGCCUUAAAGAAGAACACACAGCAACACACGGCGGCGUAGGACGGUCGGACGGCGGACGAACGGCGGCACCUCCCUCUCGGCUCCGCCUCCUUCCCUCUCGGUCUCUCUUCCGCUCAAGCUCUCUCUCUCGCACACCUCUCUCACUCUCUCACCUUUCUCGGCCAAAUGAGCUAGAGGAACCGGCCACUCUCUCUCCUAACCCCCUUUUAUAUCCUCUAAAGCCCAUCAUUUGCAAUGAUUAAUCCACCUCAACCAUGGCCAAUGCAUGCCAUUCCUUUAUGCCACUUGUCACACUAAUUUUUGAAUUGAUUUGGGCUUGGGCUUGGGCUUAGGCCCAACCGGCCACUCCUCCUUGGGCUGGUCGACAGCCACCUCUUGGGCCCAAUGGGCCGACUAGCUUGGCCCACCAAGCUCUAGGCUAAUGGGUCCAAGGCCCAUUCGAAAAUAACCCUAUUUUCUCUUCUUUUUUUUUUUUAAUUUCUUUCUAUAAAUAUUUCUAAAUUCAAAUUUCAUCUUGGCCAAAGUCUUGGGAUAUUUUAAUUAUUGAAAUUUAAAUCAUAUGGCCAAGCAUUAACUAAUUAAAUUUAAAUUUCCACAAUCACAAGCAAAAUUCAUCAAAUUAAAAGACAAAUUGGCUAAAGCAUAAGCCAUAAAAUUCUAACACCUAAUUAAAGACAUUUAACACACCUUAAGGCUCGGUUUUGAAUUUCCAGGAUGCCACAUAUGCAGACCAUGUGUUUUGGGAAAACAGGUAAGAAACUCCUUUAAACCUGUAAAUCAAGUUUCAACUGAUCAUGUUUUGCAGAUCCUGCAUAUGGAUCUCUUUGGACCAACCAGAACACAAAGCAUUGGUGGGAAGAAAUAUUGCUUGGUAAUCGUAGAUGACUAUUCUCGCUAUACUUGGGUGUUCUUUAUCAAGUAAGUCUGAAACUUUCUCUCAUUUCUCAAAAUUUGCUAAAAAAAUUCAAAAUGAGAAAGGAUAUACUAUAACAAACAUCCGGACAGAUCAUGGAGGUGAGUUCGAAAAUCAAGACUUUGCAAAUUUUUGUGAUGAAUGUUGUUUAAAGCAUGUUUUCCUUCACCAUAUACUCCAGAACAAAAUGGAAUCAUGGAAAAAAAGAAUAGAUCUUUGCAAGAAAUGACAAGAACUCUCUUAAUUGAAAAUAACAUUUCUUCUCGUUUUUGGGCCGAAGUAGUUUCUACAGCAUGUUAUAUCAUCAACAAAGUUUUCCUAAGGCCUAUUCCGAAGUAAACUCCUUAUGAGUUGUUCAAAGGAAAAAAGCUAGUUGUUUCCUAUUUUCAUGUGUUUGGCUGUAAAUGUUUUAUUUUGAAAAAUGCAAAUGAUCACAGUGGUAAGUUUGAAGAAAAAUCAAAUGAAGGAAUCUUCCUUGAUUAUUCAACAACCAGCAAAGCCUACAGAGUAUACAACAAGAAGACUCAAUCUGUGGAAGAGUCAAUAAAUGUCAGAUUUCAAGACUUUACACAAAAUCAAUUGAUUCAGAUUCAACCUGAAGAAUCUGAGCUUGCUCUAGACUCUACAAAGUCUAAUUCCUCUGAAGCAGCUCAAACUACAGUAGGUCAAGAACGAACAAAUUUUGAAGAAUUAAAUGAAGAAAAAGAUGAACAGAUUGUCAGACCAACCAGCAACUUGAAGCACAAGUUAAGUCACCCCAAAGAACUCAUCAUUAGUAGCAUCGAUGAAGGUAUACAAACAAGAUCCAAAAGGCAUGAAGAGUCUAGCACUAUGGCUCUUAUUUCUGAAAUAGAACCCAAAAGCAUAGAAGAAGCCUUAACAGACGAAAGCUGGAUUAAAGCAAUGUAAGAAGAACUCAGACAGUUCAGUGUCAACGAUGUUUGGGAAUUAACUCCUAAACCAAAAGGUAAAUCUAUUAUUGGUGCUGAAUGGGUUUUCAGGAACAAGAUGGACGAAAAAGGAAAAGUCAUAAGGAACAAAGCAAGACUCGUGACCAAAGGAUACACGCAAGAAGAAGGGAUGGACUAUGAUGAAACUUAUGCACCAGUGGCGAGGUUAGAAGUAAUUUGUUUAUUACUUGCUUUUGCUUGCUAUAAAAAUUUUAGGCUAUGUCAAAUGGACGUCAAAAGUGCAUUCCUGAAUGGAUUCAUUCAAGAGGAAGUUUAUGUGGAACAACCUCCUGGUUUUGAAGACCCAAGGAUAUCAAAUUAUGUAUUCAGAAUGAAAAAAGCUCUAUAUGGAUUAAAGCAAGCAUCUCGAGCUUGGUAUGAAAGGUUAAGUAAAUUUUUAAUCUAAAGUGGCUUUGUGAAAGGUAAAAUAGACACUACUCUAUUUAUUAAAAAAGAAGGUAAAAAUUUUCUACUUGUUCAAAUUUAUGUUGAUGAUAUUGUUUUCGGAUCUUCUAAUGAAAAUCUAUGCAAGAAAUUCUCUAAGUCUAUGCAGGAGGAAUUCGAGAUGAGCAUGAUGGGUGAACUAUCUUUCUUUCUUGGACUACAAGUGAAACAAUUGAAGGAAGGAAUUUUCAUUCAUCAAGAAAAAUAUGCUAAAGAACUUAUUAAGGAAUUUGGUUUGGAGAAUUGCAAAGAGACUAAUAUACCAAUGUCAAAUUCCUCAAAGCUAAAUAAAGAUGAAAGAGGAAAAAAAUUGAUCAAAAGCUAUACAGGAGUAUCAUUGGUUCACUUCUCUAUCUUACUACUUCUAGACCUGACAUUUUGUUUAGUGUUUAUAUUUGUGCAAGAUUUUAAUCAGAUCCCAAAGAAUCUUAUCUGAGUGCUGCAAAAUGCAUCAUUAAAUAUGUUGCAACAACAUCAUCAUUAGGUCUAUGGUAUCCUAAAAAGGGAGACUUUAUUUUUCUUGGAUACUCAGACGCAGAUCUUGCUAGAUGCAGAGUUGAUAGAAAAAGCACCUCAGGUACGUGUCAAUUACUUAGAAACAAGACAGUAUCCUGGUUCUCAAGAAAGCAAAGUAUGGUUGCUCUCUCAACAGCAGAAGUAGAGUAUGUGGCUCUUGGAAGCUGUUGUUCUCAAAUCCUAUGGAUAAAACAACAGUUAAGAGACUUUGGAAUUGAAGACUCAUGUACUGAGAUUAAAUGUGACAACAUAAGUGCAAUUAAUCUUACUAAGAAUCCAAUUUUUCAUUCAAGAGUAAAGCAUAUUGAGAUUCGACAUCACUUUAUAAGAGACCAUGUUUAAAAUGGAGAAAUUCUGAUUCAAUUCAUUGAUUCAAAGAAUCAACUGGCGAACAUCUUUACAAAACCUCUGGAGAAAAGCCAAUUUGAGUCUAUUCGGCACAAGCUUAAUAUUAUAAAGUCUGAAGAAGCUCAGACUCAGGGAUAAAAGCCAAAAGAUGUUCAGAAUCAGAUGAUCGAGGAUCAUGACUGUAAGUUAUUUUAGUUUUAGAAAUUUAUCUUUUGAGAAAGGUAUGUUUAUCUAUUAAUCUGUAAUUGAUUGACAUUAUCUUUCCAAAUUUUGUGUAGCAAUCAUUCCUUUUUGAAAAAGAAGUUAUCUUUUUUUAUGGCAGUUAUCUAUUUUCAAAAAGGCAGUUAUUUUCGAAAAGGCAUUUUUUUUUGUGACGAUUCACAUGCCCCCGAUUCGAUUGCUUUAUAUAUACUGUUCUUCUUCUCCUUUUUACUUGCAAACCCUAAAAGUGCAGAACUCCACCUUCUUACUUUUUCCCUCUAGUUUAAUCCUUAAAGUUUUCAUCUUUCUCGCGAAUCGAGUUUGGAAACUCUCAAAGACUGUGAGAAUGUCUUUCCAAAGAAAGUCUUCAAGGAUCGCAAGCAGGGGACCACAGCAUAUGGGUGAGGGUCCUACGCAUUUUGACCUUACCGAGCAAGAAGAUUCUCCAAGGCAACAGCAGAUCCCACAACAUUCUCAACCGCGUCAUUCUCCUCAGGCUAGACCUUAGAAUGUUCAGCAACGAACGGAGGAGGAAGUUAUUGAAGAUGCUGAACCCGUAAGAACUCAAAAGCCCGCCUUUAACUUCAAACUUUAUUCUGCCUUAAAAGAUGGAGGCUCUCCAAUGACUAUUAUUGAUGAAUUUCUAAAAGAAAAGGGGUACAAAAAUGAAACCCACUUUUUGCAAACAAUGGAACGUUUGGGAAUUGCUCCUGCUGGCUCUGCAGAGAGGGCCUUUACAAAUUUCCCAAGUGAUCUGCAUAUUGGAGGAGUUAGUUAGCCCGAUGGAAAUGAUGAUGAAAAGUUGUUUACUCAUUUUAAGCCUAGAAUGGGUAUUGCUAUGAAUGUUCGAGGAACAAAAUCAGAUCUGUUUCGUUCUGAGGAACACAAGCAAACUUACUCUAAGUUGUUAAAGCGAGGGGUGAUGAAUCCAAGGAGUGUGGAUUUUGAUUUUCUUGACUCUCUGAAUGUGAAGUUGCGGGAGAAAUUUACUUUACUUCAGCUUGAACGCUUUUGCUCUGACUCUACUGUAGCCCAUCCAGAACUUUCUGCUUAUUUCUAUUCAAAUCUAAGUUUCUUGGAUGUGAAUAGAUUCUCUUUCAGUGUUAGAGAUCAGGAUUUUGUGGUGAACAUGGACACUCUGGCUGAUGUGAUUGGAGUAGAGAGAGGAUUAUUUCAAUCAAUUAGUGUGUCUAUUGGUUGUGCAACAGUGGAGCUUGUUCGAGAUGGAAUGGUAGAAGGUCAGAUUUCCUAUUCGAGGAUGAAUGCUUUUAAUAUCCCGCUUCACAAAAUUGUGAUCAACUGUCUUAGACCCAAAUCUACGUCAAAGACUGACGUCUCCAAUUUAGAAGCAAAGCUGAUGUAUGCUAUCAAUGCUGGUAAAAAAUUCUCUCUACCGCAUACUAUCAUGUUUCACAUGUAUAGGUCAAUGAUGAAGAACAAGGGUAAACUUCCCUAUUCAGCACUUGUUGCAAAGCUAUUCAGACACUUUAACAUUCAUCCUCCAAGAAUUCUGUGUGUUCAGACGUGUGAUCAAAUGGUGGUAGGGCUGAAGAUGGUUUCUAAGAUGCAUCUGAAAGAGUUAAACAAGGCUUUGGAGAAAUUCAAGGAAAAGACUCCUCACCAAACUCAUCAAUACUCUAUUGCUGCAAAGAUAAAAGGAAAGGAGCUAGUGACAGCUCCAACUAAAAGAAGAAGAGCGAUCGUCUUGCAGGAUGAAGAAGAAGAAGAUGAUGAUGUUACCAUCUUUGCUCUUGCUUUAAGAAAAUUGCAGCGUUUUGUUCCAAAAACAGAGUUUAGAGAAAACCCAGAAGAGGCAGAGAAGAGGAGUGAAGAGAGGGAAUCAAUAAGGAAGGAGACAAAGGAAAAAGAAGAUGAAGACAAGGAGCAACAAGGAGAACAAGGCCAUCCUAUCACUGAAGAAGAAAUAGAACAUGAAGAGUACUUCUUUCCACCUGAAAGCUCUGAAACAGGGGGAGCCGCUGAGAAAAGAGGUACUUCUUCACUUGCUUUUAUUAGUGAUGAUGUCAGUCAUUCUCCUGCCAAUCCAGAAGAUGUAUAUGCCUCUCACUUUCCUGAAGAAGGUCAUUAGGUAUCUUCUCUGAAUCUGGAUGUUCAUGCUAAUGUGCCAUUAUCUCCACAAUCUGACCAUGAUGAAGCAAGCACUCAAACUGACAACUCAGCAGACUUUAGAAGACUGUUUGAUAUUCUCAUGGAGAUGAGAGGUCAAAUUUAUGCCUUGGGAUGCGAAUUUCAAAAUAUGCAGAAUGCUUAUCAAGCCUCUUCAGAAUCGUUGAUCAAUCAAGUUCAUGCCUUUAAUCUUCAAAUUCAAGCAACUACCAAGGGUGAAGAUUUAGCACAUCUGAAGGAGGAUCUAAGAAAGCUGGAGGAGCAGUCAAGUCGAUGAGAGAUUUCCAGCUUGUUCGCAUUCCAAAACAAGCUUAAAUCCAUUCUUGUUUUCGUCUCUACCUUUUUAAUUCUGACAAAAAAGGGGAGAGAUGCAAAUUUGCAGAUUUGUUUUGUUUGAUUUGAACUCAAACUUAUUUUUUGUUUCUGACUUUAAACUUUUAUCUGGCGUGUGGUUUGACUAUGUGAUUGCAUUACAGUAUCUUAAGCAUUGUUGAUACUCAUGGCAAAGAUAAUUGUUUUUACAGGACUAACCUAUUUCCUGUGGAUGCAGAUUCGAUACUAUCUUAACUCAUUUAUCUUUUAUGAGAUAUCAUAUUCUUGUUUGCUUUAGUAUUGUCUUGCAGGACAAAAUUUUCAAAUCUACAGGAAAGUUUUGUCACCAUCAAAAAGGGGGAGAUUGUUGGAGAAAACUUCAAUAUGUGUUUUGAAGUUGACAAACCGUUUCCAUCAGUCUAGUUUGAAGACUUGAAGACUCUUCCGUCAAAAUCUGAAGACCAUCAGAUUCAAGCAUUAAAGUCUGCCCUCAUUGACAGUUUCUAGACCGUCGAAGAAGAUUUAUCCAGAAUCAAGGAUUUAUUUAAGGAAUUGAUUCGAGCGGCUAAAGAAGCUUCUCACGGCUGGAGAUAGCAUUUUGAGAUCUUCUAUUCGUAUUUAAUUUUGAUAUGAAUAAAUUAGAUUUGUUGAUUGGCAAGGUAUACUUGGAAGAUUUUACUUAUGGAAACCUAGAUCUUAAUUGUAUGGACGAGCAUGAUUGGUGGGCUAUCAUCACAUUCCUUAAGUAACUUGAAGAUCUCCUUAAUUGAUUCCGUCCAACGGUUAGAUGGAGGAACUCCUUUGCAAAGUGCCAACAGGUAUGAAGGCAUGGAGGAGUAUAAAAGGAAGAAGCUAUGGUUAUUCGAGUGUAUGCGUGAUAGAGAAAUUUCAAAGUUUGAAGUUCAUUGUUCUUUGUUGAUUCAAUUGUUGAGCGAAAUUUGUACUCAAAAGAGAGAUUAGAUACUAGUGAGACCUUGAGGAAGUGUAGCAAAGUCUCUACACUGUGGAAUCAAGGAGAUGAUAUUGUAACAACUCUUUUGAUUCAUAGUGAAAUCCAGCUGGUGGGCUGUCAGUGCAGGAGAGUGGACGUAGGUUUGGAAUAAGCCGAAUCACUAUAAACUUUGUGUUCAUUUUCUCUCAUCCCUGAGCCUCUUAUUUAUGCUUACGAGCUGUUUAUUUAUUUAAUAGUUGAAUUCUGUUUUACUGUCCAUCAAAAAUAUUCUUUUUAAGUCCUACGAAAAGUUUCACAUACAGCUAUUCACCCCCUCUAGGUGUAUUUACUAGCCACUUUCAAAGGGUCAAUCUCACUGAGCCAUGCCUUGGCCUCGGCAAGGCCUAGCUUUUUAUCAUAUUUAUUUCUUUUUGUUUUCCACAAAAUUCAAAUCAUUAAAAAGGAGGACUUAACUCAUUUUCUAUUUUACUUCUCUUGCUUGUUUUGGAUCAUAACCCGUGGAAAUGUAAGAGUGAUCAAAUAAUACGUCAUCAGAUGAUUGUAUAAGGCAGGUGGUAGCUUAUAAAAAAAAAAAAAAAGAAGAAUGAAAGGAAGGAGAAACUCAAAUAAAAGAUAAAAGUAAAGAGAUUCAGUCAGGAAUCCAAUUUUGGAUUCGGUAUGGAUAAAAGAUCCCUGGCUUAGGCGAGGGUUGGCCUUGCCGAUGCUCAAUCCUCUUUUCAUCUUUUUCUCCAGAAACUUCUUUCCACAAAAUCUAUUUCUUUUUACUAGUCGAACUUAGAAGUAUAAUCCACGAAGGAGUAUCUGGAGGCUUUAGCCUUUAGGUGUCAUAGAAACGGCAAGGUUGAUGACAAGUGGAACUUCGAGGUCAAGAGUUUUGAGUAGAAGAGGAUUAGGGUUUAAGGUUGAAUACGAAGAAGGAAGUGAGAUAAAAAUCAAAUCUUGGCAGAAUUUAUACUUUCCAAAAACGGACCACUAUACAUAAAGACAUGAUUCAUGAUAAUAGCAAUUUAUGAAUUGUUCCGAUUGAGGUAACGUAUCAGGAAGCUAGGCAGCAGACUGCACACAGAGUACAAAGCUUCGGAGGUGCGCAUUGCCGCACACAGAGUACAAAGCUUCAGAGGUACAAUGCGCAUUAGUAGUGUCCGCGAAACAAAGACCCACGUGUUUUAGAUAUUUUAAAAGAAACCAAAAUUACUUUUAAUUCUUUUAAAAGGAGGCAUACAUUUGCACCAAAUAUAACCAGGUCAUGAAUAAUUUAUACGCAUGCGACUCGAAUGCAAGUUAUUAUUUAAUGCAUGAGGCAUCAUCGACGUCCAUAAAAAAUGUAACUGAUAUCAACAUACAUUUAUGACCAUAAAUCAACUAUUGAUAUAAGACGGCGUACAGUUGAUGAUGAUGAACGUCAGAGUAGAAUUGGUUGGCAAAGAUACCAAUUAAAGAAAAUCACCGAUUGAGACUGCAAAUAGGGAAGGGAUAUAUGUGAAGUGCCAAAAAACAAUUAUGACAUUCCAAAUUGAAAUCAUUCGUGGAAGAGACAGAGUUAAAGUUUUAGCAGAUCAUGAAAAAAAGAUUAAAUUAAAGCAAGGGUGAAAGAUCAAGGGCAAUUUUUAAGGAGAAACCGCCUUAACACAAUAUUGUGGUUUCAUCGGAGCGUAGGAUCCAGAUCCUCAGAGAUAUGGAGGCAUGACUAAAAUCGCAAGGAAACUGCUUUUGAGUGGUUAUGUCACAAGCACUAUAUUAUAAUAGUGCUCAACUACUAGAGACCACUCCCCUCUCCAUGCUCGGUGCACAAACAAACAAUACGUUAUCUUCCAAUUAUAUUUAUAUUUCUACACAAGAAUUUUAGGUUUCAAACUCGUGUCGUCGAUUAAAUUUGGAUGUGUUUCUUAGUUGUUGUUACCAGAUUUGCAUUGUCAAUUAUAUUUCUACGUAUAUCUUUGCUGCAAAUCCUAGGUGCCUUGUUGACGAUUAAAUUCCAACGUUACAUCUUCACAUUUUCAAGCUUUGUUGUCAAUUAAAUUCCAGCAAAGUUUUGGUAUGUUUGGCUAUGUUUGAAGUAAACUUACUAAUUCUUUUGUCAACCUAUGAUAUCUCUUGUUCGAAACUGCCACAAAACUCGUCUCGUCUAAUAAAAUCGAAGAACGACUUUCGAUGAAAGAUAUUUUGUCAUUGAAUCCAAUCCAAGUAAAACGGUUAGAAACUCAACUAGAAAUUGAUUAGCUAUUAAUAUCAGCUCAAGCGCAACUCAUUGGAAAAUCGAGGUAUUUGAUUUGACUCGACAACAAUUAAUAUGUGAAGAAACUUGAGCUCGAGUUUGAAUUCAAACUUUAAAAAAAACUCGAAUAAUGUGGGUAUAUGUAGCACCCCUCGACGGCCCCCGAUCCGCUAGGGUCACCACAGUUCGCUUUUCCUUUUUCUUUCCCAAAUAACGUGUCACUCUGAUACCAUUUUCUUUUUUUUUUCAGUUGCAGCGGGUCCAUACAACCAUGGGGGUUUACAUCUUUUACUAACGGUCCCUUGCGCAAUUUACAUAACGGAAGCAUAUCUAACAAUCCCCUUCCCUACAUUCAAAAAUCGAUGCACACCUACUAAACAUCUUAUAUAAGUAAAACCCGAACACGUUUAUUUACAUAGAGCAGAUGGAGAUCAUUCAUCGGUACAUCAAAAUGCCAUAGUUUUCUAUACUAGGCUAUACUUCAAAAGAUGACCGACAUCUUCUCCAACGGUCGAAUACUUAAAGUCCAUCGAUCAGUGUUGGCGUACUAAAGUUCCCUCCUUUGCUAUCCUCCUUCUCACGGUCACAUCCAACCGUUCAAACCAUCUACUAAUCUGAAAUGUUGGUCCCCACAAGAGGUGAGUACAACCACUCAGCAGGUAAAGGAAUCCAAUAAUCAACUUAAUGCAUCAUACAAAUCAUACAUGCAUUGCAGGCGUUACUUACCUUGAAGCCAUGCGCAUACUAUCAUGCAUCAUCAUCACAAAUUUCAACACAUACAUGUGUAUCAUCACUAUAUCAUACAUGUCAUCAUCAUCAUGACAUCAUCACAUUACACAUGUCAUCAUCAUGGCAUCAUCAUCAUCAUCAUCAUUGUCAUGCAUAUCAUCAUGCAUAUCAUACCAUGGGUNNNNNNNNNNNNNNNNNNNNNNNNNNNNNNNNNNNNNNNNNNNNNNNNNNNNNNNNNNNNNNNNNNNNNNNNNNNNNNNNNNNNNNNNNNNNNNNNNNNNNNNNNNNNNNNNNNNNNNNNNNNNNNNNNNNNNNNNNNNNNNNNNNNNNNNNNNNNNNNNNNNNNNNNNNNNNNNNNNNNNNNNNNNNNNNNNNNNNNNNNNNNNNNNNNNNNNNNNNNNNNNNNNNNNNNNNNNNNNNNNNNNNNNNNNNNNNNNNNNNNNNNNNNNNNNNNNNNNNNNNNNNNNNNNNNNNNNNNNNNNNNNNNNNNNNNNNNNNNNNNNNNNNNNNNNNNNNNNNNNNNNNNNNNNNNNNNNNNNNNNNNNNNNNNNNNNNNNNNNNNNNNNNNNNNNNNNNNNNNNNNNNNNNNNNNNNNNNNNNNNNNNNNNNNNNNNNNNNNNNNNNNNNNNNNNNNNNNNNNNNNNNNNNNNNNNNNNNNNNNNNNNNNNNNNNNNNNNNNNNNNNNNNNNNNNNNNNNNNNNNNNNNNNNNNNNNNNNNNNNNNNNNNNNNNNNNNNNNNNNNNNNNNNNNNNNNNNNNNNNNNNNNNNNNNNNNNNNNNNNNNNNNNNNNNNNNNNNNNNNNNNNNNNNNNNNNNNNNNNNNNNNNNNNNNNNNNNNNNNNNNNNNNNNNNNNNNNNNNNNNNNNNNNNNNNNNNNNNNNNNNNNNNNNNNNNNNNNNNNNNNNNNNNNNNNNNNNNNNNNNNNNNNNNNNNNNNNNNNNNNNNNNNNNNNNNNNNNNNNNNNNNNNNNNNNNNNNNNNNNNNNNNNNNNNNNNNNNNNNNNNNNNNNNNNNNNNNNNNNNNNNNNNNNNNNNNNNNNNNNNNNNNNNNNNNNNNNNNNNNNNNNNNNNNNNNNNNNNNNNNNNNNNNNNNNNNNNNNNNNNNNNNNNNNNNNNNNNNNNNNNNNNNNNNNNNNNNNNNNNNNNNNNNNNNNNNNNNNNNNNNNNNNNNNNNNNNNNNNNNNNNNNNNNNNNNNNNNNNNNNNNNNNNNNNNNNNNNNNNNNNNNNNNNNNNNNNNNNNNNNNNNNNNNNNNNNNNNNNNNNNNNNNNNNNNNNNNNNNNNNNNNNNNNNNNNNNNNNNNNNNNNNNNNNNNNNNNNNNNNNNNNNNNNNNNNNNNNNNNNNNNNNNNNNNNNNNNNNNNNNNNNNNNNNNNNNNNNNNNNNNNNNNNNNNNNNNNNNNNNNNNNNNNNNNNNNNNNNNNNNNNNNNNNNNNNNNNNNNNNNNNNNNNNNNNNNNNNNNNNNNNNNNNNNNNNNNNNNNNNNNNNNNNNNNNNNNNNNNNNNNNNNNNNNNNNNNNNNNNNNNNNNNNNNNNNNNNNNNNNNNNNNNNNNNNNNNNNNNNNNNNNNNNNNNNNNNNNNNNNNNNNNNNNNNNNNNNNNNNNNNNNNNNNNNAUAUCUUUUAUCUCAAUUUAACAUGGCAGUUUGGCAUGGCAUCAAACAUAUCACACUUGCAUCUCAAUUCACAUGUCAUGCACACGUCAUAGCUUAAUCACAUAAGCAUUUCAAUUCACAUGUCAUGCACAUGUCAUAGCUUAAUCACAUAUGCAAUUCAAUUCAAUACAUGUACAAGGACCAUGUCAUAGGCAUAUCGAGACUUAAUCACAUAUACAUCUCAAUCAAAUACAUGUGCAAAGACCUCAUCACACAUAUGCUGCCCAAAUACAAUUGAAUCCAGGAACAAAAGAAAAAUCCAUUUUAUUUUAUUAUGAUUUUAUUAUUUUAUUAUUUUAUUAUUUUAUUAUUUAAUAUCAAUAAUUUCCCAAAAAUCCAAUAAGUAUUUAACAAACCCAUAGGAUGAUAUUUUCUUGCAAAAUUCGUGGCCAAUUUAAAUUUUUACCAAAUUCCACAAUUUCCCCAAAACGUCCUAUAAUUCUCGGAUUUAAACCAAAUGCACAGUUUCCGAAUAAAUUUAAUUAACAUAUCUAUUCGGCCUCCAAAAAUUACGAAAUUUUACAGGGUGAUAGCCAACACAUUUUCGUGCAUUUUUCAUGAAGAAUUCUAAGUAAAAUUAUUUAUAUAUUAAUUUAUACAACUCCACGAAGCUUCUGGAACCUCUACCGUUUCGUCCAGAGUACAUAUCACCGAAAAACUUAGGUUUGACCCAUCUAAUCCCUUUCGUUUCCUCUAAAAUUCGAGUAUGUUAUGUAUCAAUGUGUCCUUUACAAGUUUCAUGAAGAGAUCUAGGUUAAAUAACCAAAGUAUGAUCCUCUUUUAAGUCCUUGAAGUCUCGGGUGUCUCGGUAUACUUCAACAGAAUCAAGCAUCUCCAAGAUCUAGCCGAUUAACUAGGCUACACUCCUUCAUUUCUCUUAAAAUUUGAGUAUGUUGUAGUUUAAGAUGUUACCUACAAUUUUCAAGAAGACAACGAAGUCAGAUUUGCAUCACAAACCAACAUGCAACCAAGAAUCCAACAAGAGGUCAGUGAAAACAUCACAGAUCUGGGGUCUCAGUAAUAUGAAGCUUUAGCCCCUUAAAUCUCCAUCAUUUUCCACGAAAUUUCAGUAUGUUAUAUUUCAAGAUGUUAUCUACAACUUCCAUGAAGACAUCAAAGCCAAAAUCGAACUCCAAACAUGCAUGCAAGCUCACACAACAUUCUGACUCGAGCGGAUUCAUGCGAAAACAUUCCAGAUCUGACAUCUCCGUAAGAUGAGAGUUUUGCCCCUCAAAUAUCCAUCAUUUUCCACAAAAUUUCAGUAUGUUAUAUUUCAAGAUGUUAGCUACAACUUUCAUGAAGACAUCGAAGCCAAAAUCGGACUCUAAACACACAUGCAAGCUCAAACAAGAUUCUGACUCCAAACAGUUCAUGCGAAAACAAUGGUGCAAGAGUAGAAAGUGGAUUCCCAACUUGCCUCUAGACCUCACGAACGGCAGCACACCGGCGACGGACGAGCUCCUCCUCUCUCGGCCACUCUCCCUCUCUCUCGCACAAUUCUCUCUCUCUCUCCCUCACUUGGCCGAAUACGCUCUCUCUCUCUCCCUCUCUCUCUCUCUAACUUAUUGGAUAUAUAUAUUUGCAUGCCAUCUUAUUUUGCAUGGAGGACAAGUGAUAAAAAUGAGAUGAACAAGUGGAGAUGUUGAAGACAAGUGGUGGAGGACAUCCUAAGUGGGCGUGGGGCGACCACUCACGGGACUCCUCUUGAUGCUGGUCGAGAGCGCCCUUGUGUGAGUCGAAAUUGAGCAGACUUGGUGGGCCACUNNNNNNNNNNNNNNNNNNNNNNNNNNNNNNNNNNNNNNNNNNNNNNNNNNNNNNNNNNNNNNNNNNNNNNNNNNNNNNNNNNNNNNNNNNNNNNNNNNNNNNNNNNNNNNNNNNNNNNNNNNNNNNNNNNNNNNNNNNNNNNNNNNNNNNNNNNNNNNNNNCACAAUAAUAACAACAACAAUAACAAUAACAAUAAUAAUAAGAAUAACAAUAAUAAUAACAAUAACAAUAAUAAUAACAAUAAUAAUAAUAAUAAUAACAAUAAUAAUAACAAUAACAAUAAUAAUGACAAUAACAAUAACAACAACAAUAACAAUAACAACAAUAACAACAAUAACAAUAAUAAGAACAAUAACAACAACAACAACAACAACAAUAACAACAACAACAACAACAACAACAACAACAACAACAAUAAUAACAAUAAUAAUAACAAUAAUAAUAAUAAUAAUAAUAACAAUAAUAAGAAUAAUAAUAAUAAUAAUAAUAAGAAUAACAAUAAAAAUAAUAAUAACAAUAAUAAUAAUAACAGUAAUAAUAAUAACAGUAAUAAUAACAAUAACAAUAAUAAUAACAAUAAUAAUAACAAUAAAAAUAAUAAUAAUAACAAUAACAAUAAUAAUAACAAUAACAAUAACAAUAACAAUAACAACAAUAACAAUAAUAAUAACAAAUAAUAAUAAUAACAAUAAUAAUAAUAACAAUAAUAACAAUAACAAUAAUAAUAACAAUAAGAAUAAUAAUAAUAAUAACAAUAAGAAUAAUAAUGAUAACAAUAACAAUAACAAUAACAAUAACAACAAUAACAACAAUAACAAUAAUAAUAACAAUAACAACAAUAACAACAACGAUGAUGAUGAUGAUGAUGAUGGAGGACAUCCAUUUCACGAGUAUAGGAAGUUCCAACUUCCAGUUGACUUUGUUACUUAUGUCGGUCAGUUUCACCGGGAACAAGCUCAUCGAAGAACUCCUUGUACUGAUCGAAACCAUGACUGAACCUAAUAAUUCAGUUUUAAUGCUGAUCUGCAUCCUCCGGGACCCUCCGGAUGGCUGAAUUCGGCAACCUGUUCAAUCUUGGUAAGAUGCCUCAUCGAACACUAGCUGGCCUCCGUGAAAAGUAUGGCCCGGUGAUUUGGCUUAGGGUAGGCUCGAUAGACACCAUGGUGAUUCUCUCAAGCAGAGUUGCAGCCGAGUUCUUCAAGAACCAUGACCUUAAUUUUGCAGAGCGAACCAUCAACGAUCUCAUGCGAUCUCAGGAGUACGACAAGGGAUCCAUUGCCCUAGCCCCAUCGGCACAUAUUGGCGGGUGUCGAGGCGGAUGCUGACGGUGGACAUGCUAGUGGCCAGGCGGCUCAAUGAAACAGCCCCAAUCCGGAGAAAGUUUGUCGACGACAUGUUGACAUGGAUUGGGGAGGCAGCAUCCGCAGAUAAGGUCCGACCCGGAGAAGGUGUUCACUUGGCACGCUUCGUGUUCCUCAUGACAUUCAAUUUGCCAGGGAAUCUCAUGCUGUCCCGAGACUUGCUUGAUCCGGACUCAAAGGUUGGGUCGGAGUUCUUCGAGGCAAUGACUGGAUUGAUGGAGUGGUCAGGCCAUGUGACAAUUGCGGACCUAUUCCCAUGGCAGCGGUGGUUGGGCCCGCAAGGGCUGAGGAGGAAGAUGGAUAAGGAUAUGGGGAAGGCCAUGACGAUCGCAUCGGAUUUCGUGAGGGAGAGGAUCGAGUAGAAGAAAAUCGAGGGAGACGAUGAUCGGAGGGAUUUUCUUGAUGUGUCGCUUGAGUUCGAAGGAAACGGUAAGGACGAGCCCGCCAAGCUUUCUGAGAAGCAAAUCAAAACAUUCAUAGUGGUACGACCACAAACUUUGAAUAGCUAGUUCUGUAAGGAUUCCUGUGUCCAAUCAUAUGAGUAGGGGAUAGAUCGUAGGUGAAUAUCACUUAAUUAUUCAAUCAUCUCCUUAAUGUAUGACACAUCAUCUUGCUCGAUUCUAUGAGUCAUUUUUCAUUUAUAACUUCACUUUGAAACAAGAUCGGCAUCCUUCCAUCAAUAUAACCUUUUGGCUUUAUGGUUAGGGUUCUUAGCAUUGUGAAAUAUGUGUCGAGAAUUCAAUAGAACCAUUGUGAGAAACAUGCAAGUUUCUGAGUAUGUCAACAAGGACAGCAUUAGACUUGUAAAAAUAUGUAUAUGAUUGUUUGGUAAAGUAUUGUGGUAAAUUAGUAGCCUACUUGGUAUAACUUCCCAUAGUUGCUACGUAUUUGAAAAAUGGUAUGGCUAUGGCUCCAUUGCCUUACCCUAGAAAAACUUAUGGAUAUGGCUCCAUUUCGUGAAAUUUUGCCAUGCUUGCUCUCACUUACUGGCCUCUUGACAUCACAGGAAAUGUUCUCGGCCGGUGCGGAAACAUCAAGCAGCACUGUUGAAUGGGCACUAACAGAACUCCUACGGGAACCGAAUUCCAUGGUCAAGGUCCCAGCAGAGCUGUUAUGACAUCCCAGAUUUUCAGUCCUAUCUUCUACUGAAUAAAUCGAGCAUUUCAUUGACGCGUCUAUAGGGCUGUUCUCAGAGCUAAUCACUCUUGAGAUAACUAGACUAUCUGGGGAAGCCAUUAAGAAUUUUGAGGCCAAUAAACUUGAGAAUUCGACCAAGAAUCGGCUGCUCGACCGUGUUCAUCUUUAGAGGUCAUUACGACACAGAUAUAAAUGGAUUUGAGAUCAGAGAUAGGUCAGUUCGACUGAGAUGCGUGGCUAAUCAUGGGUGAUACCACUAAAUUAGAAAAUUCUCGUCGACCAGCACUAGACUGAUUUUUCUAUCGUCUUGGCGCCCUUUGUCAAUAUUUGAAUCAUCGAGAUUUUCAUGACAACCGAGAGUCGCCAAUGUAUUGAGUGAGUUCAUUGUAACUUGAAGAAAAUCGAUCACGGGUCAUUUGCAUUAAAAAUUUCUGAAAGUUACCCGAUAGCAAAGGUCAUGCUAAAAACGAUUCGAAUGGAAAUUAACUGUGAAUUCGAGUCCGAUUCCACAAAUUGAAAGUUUUGUGGUGUUACGAGCUAUUUUAGGAAUGUCGACUCAUCCUCCGAAGAAUUUUCAGAGAUCCCGAGAUAUUUGCGGAAAAUCGUUCAAAUGUCGCGGAAAGAUUAACCGAAGUUCAUACGGGCCAAAUUAAAGAAAAUUUGAACUCCCAAGCUGAGCCUUUGAGUGUCGGGGAUUUAUAGAAAAUUGUACGGAAUUUUUCUUCAACAAGAUCAAACCUAGAUUUGGAGAAUUGGUGAGGAAAUUGAAGUUUAAUUUGAAGAAAUUGGAGCUUGGCAAGGGGCUGGAAAUUUUGCAUCAAUUUGGAUUAAUUGAUGGCAUUAUCUAUUCAAGAAAGUAAUAUGGGGGAAAGAUAGAAUUUUGGACUUUAAUAGAAUUUUGGACUUUAAGCCUUGUUCCCAAUCUUUUUGUUCAAACAAACCAGCUGGCCUCUCGUCGCCGUCCUUCCUCCACCGCCCCUGUCUGCGUUUGUUUUCUUUCUUCAUUGGCGUCAACCCCUGCAUUUUCUCUCUCCCUCUGCACGCGUAAAUUUUCCCCCAAAUCCGCUGCCUUCUCUGCCAAAUUUGUUGCUCCACGUUCCUCCAUCAUAGUCCGACGUCCACGCGUCUUCACCAUCAACCAUCGAACGGCCCAUCUGCACGAAGCAACUCCACCAAAGUUGAAGCUCGCCCCUGCUCCUUCCACCGAACCAUCUCUCUCUUCGUCCAACGAUCCACCGAGCUGCCUGCUGUCAUUCCUCCGUCUUCGUGUCUUCUCUCCUUGGCUGCACGCCCCAAGUCAACCGAAACUGUCGCACGACCAGCUCAUCUUCAGCUUCUUCCAUCCACGAAGCAACAGCCCAGCAAUCGAAGCAGCUGCUACUUCCUUGUCCGCAUCUCCACCGUUUGUGCAGCUCGCCUCACGCGUGGGUCAACAACCCACCGAAGCCGCCCCCACGUCUGUGCAUCGUCAGCCCACGAAGCCGAAUUCCUCAGCAGCUCUGUCUCUCGCCUGCCCAGUUUGCUGCCCCCGUUUCUAGCAAUAGUGAAGCCAACGAUCAGUAGCAGCAAGCCCAGUUCGUUUUCAGCGGCCCAAGUCUGCAAGCUUCGGUCCAACUUUGAAGCCCAUCUUCACAGCAGCUGUUCAGCCCAUCUUCACAGCAGCUGUUCGGCCCAUCUUUUGAGCUCAGCAACUCAAGCCCAACCCAAUGAAGCCUGCAGCAUUUCGGCCCAGCAAUUCCAGUCCACAAGCCAACAAUUUCAGCCCGUUAAUCUUAGCAACUCUCAAGCCCAAGAAGUAGGCUCAAGCCCAGCAUUUGUUGUGGGCUUGCGAGGCUUUUGGGCCCGGCCCGAGUGUCCGUUGACGCCGCCGAAAGUUCGGGUUCCGUCCGCCAUCGCAGUGAUCGGGUCUCCAUUUUUAAUCAAGUGAGUUUUGCUCACUAAUGCUUUCUUAGUUUGCUAAUUAUGCUUAGGGGUUGGUUAAAUUUAAUUAAGUGCAAUUAGAUAGUUAGAUUAGUUUAGAUUAAUUAAAUUAGUGACUUAUUGACGCAUGUUAUGUGGUUAGAUUUAGUCAUUAGUGAAUAGAAAGGUUCUAUUAUUUAUUGAUCGAGUCUCAGUAAUUUUCCAGGUUCUUCUCGACCUCCAAUUAGGCAUUAUGGGCCUAAAUUGGAUUUUUAAUAUUUAUUUAUUUUUCGAAAUUAAUUAUUUAAUUCAUUAUUUUUCCAUAAAUUCAACCGAGAUGGUCGGUAACCAUAAUUUCAUGCUAAUUGCAGUGGCGCAGUCCGUUUAUUUAUUUGAACUCUACGUUGUGCUGAAUUGAAUUGAUUGUGCAAUUUGAGGAAUUAUUCCUAAAUUGAUUAAAAAAAGAGUGGAAUUGAAUGAUUGAUUAGUAGAUGGCCAAGUAUGGUUAUUUAGCAUUAAUAAUGCAUUGAUGAGUUGUAAAGUGGAGAGAAUCGUGAGAGUGGAUUGGGAAUACUCUUGGCUGAGAUCGAUCAGGUAUGAGAUAUAGAUAUACGUGGUUCGGUGAUAAGGAAAUCACUGGUGAAAACGACGCCUUAAAGAACGCAUGAGUGUUGUCUAUUACCUAUAUCAGUAUAAACAUACGUGGUUCGGCGAUAAGAAAAUCACUAGUGAAAACGACGCCUUAAAGAACGCACAACUACUGUCUACUGCAUGCAUCAUUAUGGAUAUACGUGGUUUGGUGAUCAAUGAUAUUACUGGUGAAAACAUAAUACCUUAAAGAACGCACGAGUGUUGUCCAUCACAUACGUCCCCUCGGCGAAAACGACGCCCUAGAAUAAACAUACGUGGUUCAGUGAUUGAAGAUAUCAUUGGUGAAAACGACGCCUUAAAAAACGUACAAGUGCUGUUUAUUGCAUAUGUCACCUUGGCAGAAAUGACGCCUGAGAGCAGGAAUGUAGUUUUGUGACUAAGUAUACUAUUUGGAAAUUAUAGUAUAAGUGGAAAUGACCUAGAGAUGAUCUGACUGACAUAUAAUCGACUAAGUCGAUUGAUCAAUGCUUUGAUCUGAUGUCGUGAUUUGAUUGAAUAAUUGAUGUGAUAUAUGAGGCAUCUGUGUAUAACUUUGAAUUGCAGGUUGGGACUGAGGUCAAGGUAAGUCCUCUGACUCGUGUUGUGCUUAGGCAACCAUAUGCGUAUUGGUUUACUAAUUGAGUCUUAAGGGGUAGAAUUCGCUAAGACAUAGUCUCAUUGGUUAUUGAAUAACCAUUUCAGGUCCAUAGAGGAACCGGAUGAGGAUUACUUGUUAGAUGACCCUAACGACGAACCAGCAGAAGAUGAAGAGCAUGAAGAAAACAAGUUUAGUGAAGGAGAGUCUGAGGAGGAUCGCAAUGAUGAUCCCGAGUAUGACCCAGAUGAGGAUUGAGAUCUCAUCCCUUUUGUGAACCUUGUUUUGGUGUAGAUAAGCGUGAGACUAGAAAGUUGUAAAUAGUAUUGUAAAAUAUACUAUGAGUUGUGCUGAGAAUAAAAGUGUGGUUGUGAAUUUCAACAUGAAAAAUAUGGCAUGCUUUUCUAUUCCAUUAUUUUAUUGUCUGGGGAUUUAUAAUUGUUUCCGCAUGUGCAUUAUAAAUGAAAGGAUCAGCAAUACAUAAUCCCGGGAUAUCGCAUUUUAAAAUCGACCAAACAGAAGGAUGGGUGCAUCCCCGAAGAUCAGGGCGUGACAGCUAUCCCAGGUUGUCGAGUCCAACCGAAAGGUCCAAGAAACCGAUAUAGACCAGCUCCCCUGCCUGCAAGCAGUUGUGAAGAAGACCCUCAAGCUCCACCCGCCACUCCUAUUCCUCGUCCCACGGAGGGCCAUGGCCAACACCGUUUUCAUGGACUCUGACAUACCCAAAAACACGCAGGUCUUUGUGAACACUUGGGCGAUCGGUAGAGACCCAGAUGUCUGGGAAGACCCUAUGGCUUUUAAGCCUGAGAGGUUCAUUGGAUCGAAGUUGGAUUAGAAGGGUCAACACUACGAGUUCAUUCCGUUUGGAGCAGGUCGAAGGAUGUGUGCCGGCAUGCCCUUGGCACAUCGCAUGCUUCAUCUGGCUUUGAGUUCGCUGCUUCAUGAGUUCAAUUGGGAGUUCGAUGGGCGCAUUGAUGCAAAGACGAUUGACAUGAGAGACAGGGAGGGAUGACCAUGAGAAAGUAUGUCCCCUUGCUGGUGGUGCCCAGAAGAAGAGCAAUGUGAGACUGGGUUCAGCGUGGAAUUUGUGCUUGUUUGACAUAUUGGUCUGAGCCUUUCUUUGCUACUCAAAUGCGUAUCCUCCAUGGUUUUUACUUUCUAGUUAUUUCCUAGGCUAGAAAAUGAGUAAAUGACAAGAUGUAAAAUGGUGUAUCUAGAUCCAGCAAGAUUGGUCAUUUAAGGUUGCUCUUUUGUUUUGACAUUUUCAUCGGGUAAGAUGUAAAUCUUUCAUGAAUAGAAUCAAAUUUCAACACGAUAAUACAUAGUUGCAAAAAUAAGCUCCGUUUCAUGAGUUCAGGGAACUUUCACAACCUAUUAUAAUCCCGAGUUCAGACAACUAGAAGCUAAAGACAGCAGAAAUCAACACAGAAGAAAUGGAGUCCUGGUCAAUUAUUUGCGUAAAAAUUGUCAUCUAGCGGGCACCUCUUUAAGUGCCAAAUUUCAUGUUGUCUACCGUCAACUCAGAACAGAAACAGGUUUUAUAUAUUGAAAAGUCAACAAUUGACCUGAGCGUACGGACUAAUGUCUUGCAAGUCUAAGUGCCACCCCUGGUCUCCGGAAAAAACCUCUCGGCUCUCACUUUCAAUCUGCCGAUCCUACAGAUAUGGUUUAGACCCACCAGAAGUUCAACAAUCGCUUCCUUGGUUUUUGGUUGAUCUGCAAAGUACAGCGUCUGUAUUAGAAGCACGUUUGCCCCAGAAUCAUGAUUUUGCUUCUCGAAGCUCCGCUCUGAUUGCCAUUUUAUUGUGUUGUGAGCAAGCGGAGCUAGCCAUUCGAGCAUUUGCAUUGUUGUGAUAGGGCGAGCGAUCGAACAAUAAUAUAGACAGAAAAAGAAAAUAAAUUGGACACCAGAUUUACAUGGUUCAGUCGUAAAGACCUACAUCCACGGGGAGAACAGCAGUGAAUUUCACUAUAAAUCAAGCGAUACAAUAAGAUUACACACUCAAGUCAUUAAAACACUCUAUCGGUGUUUCCUAAGCCCAAAUUACACAUAAUACAUCAAUCUUUUUUUGAUGUAAAUCACGAAUAAACUUUGUCGCACAAAAAACAUGAAGACCCAAAGCUAAGCACCCAUCACCUAUGAAUGUCUCUUACAAACAAAGAAAACCACGGUACUCAAAAUAAGAAUGGCGCUUCCAUCAACAACGAUGCUUCGGUUCUCUCAUGGACGUGCGGCAGCAACACACCGAAAAAGAAGAAAACCCUGCGUAAAACACUUCUAUUUUUAUACGUGUGCCCAAGUCAAAGUUUGACCUGAGCCCACCAAGAAUUGAGACGCGUGCAGAGGAGUUCGGCCAAAAGAAGAAACCCAUAUGUAAUAUUGCGUAUGUGUGUGUGCCCAGAGUCAACAUUUUGACUCUGGGCCCACCACUUCUUCAACGUAAACAACUUUCGCAGAAGGAUGAAAAUUCUUCUUUUAUCUUUUGUUUACGUCGGAUAGAAAAAAUCCAAAAAAGAAAAUUAUUUCUUCUUUCUUCAUCCGAAUUGAAAUCUAUUUGAAAAAACUCUAUCGACAAAUUCGGUUUAAUAAAUCGUUAUCCGAAAUCAAACUCGAGAUAUUAAUUUAAUAUGCACCACCGUUGUCCUCCAUUUCUCCACGAUCGCACUAUUGUGUACCAUCAAUGCCAAACUCUUGGCAUGCAACCUUAGCACGGCCCUCAGAGCAGUUCUAAUGGAAGCGGGCAACAUAUGAUAGAGGUCCUCUCUCAUGUCGAGGGUGAUCGAGUGAGGCGAAGAUGCUAGCUUCUCAAUUAGAAUAAUCACAUUAGCACAGUGCACAGCUAAGGCCGCAUGGCCAAGAGUAUGAGGAGGGGCGAUUAAGCACCCGCACUUUGCAUAGAAAGAUGCGAGCUUAAAGUAAAUUCUGUUGCUCACGAGCAACCUCUUCAUAUCUUUGUAAUCCAUUAUUCUGACAUCUUUUCUCAACACACUCGUCGCUCUCGUCGAUUCAACCCUCUCUGUUCUGCAGUAACUGUCGAUUAGGGGAGAAUCGGUUUCCACAUUAAUGCACCCCUUGAAAGGCCCAAUGUAAUGUGACUGCUUCAUCGGUCCAUGCUUUUCCCUCAGCGAGGACUGCUGAUGACGAAUUUGGUGCUCCUUUUUGUUUGCUCUAUCCUUGUCAGGUCGCAGCGACAAAUAGAACGGAUCAAGGCUGUAAGCAGAUGGAUGAACCGAAGAUUGUAUUAGAGCAGAGAGGGAGUGGCCCUUGGAAAAACAAGUGGGAUGAAUUUCCUCUAAUUCAAACUUAUCUUGGUCACCCCCAAAAGCAUGUAUCAUUUUCUCAAGAAUCGUGAAAAGCGAUCUGGCGAGGAGCCGAACGGUAUAGUCAUAAGUUCUGUUACAAGGAGACAACUCACGGAGAUUACGCACCACCUGAAUCUGCCACAUCGCCUUCUGCUGAAACUCAAACAAUUUGACGUGGUGCGACAUGGGAUUGGCCUUCAUCCUCCUAACUGUCUGUUGAAGCUCCGCCAGCGCCUCCUGCUCUUGGGUCAACUGCAGCGUGACGGCAAUAAUCUUUCCAUUUUCUUCACUCUUCUGUCCAUUUUUCUUCCAUUUGUACUCCCAACCAAACCAUUUGAUAUAGUUGUUUAUUGGGUCAUCGAAGAAGCUUCUAAUUCGGUGGUACACAGGAUCGGCACACCUCCUCACAAGCCUGACCACCGCCCUGGCCACGUACACGAAAUUGUCGAUGAUCUCGUCCAGCACGAGACUCAUGAUGUAGCUAUCAUUUUCACUCGCAAGCUUCCUGAUGCCCACGGAUCUCGCCAUCUCUUCUCUCAACCGCAGAAUCUCGACAUCGCUCAAGCAAUGCCAUAACUUAACCACUUUGGAUACUAGGCUCACGACCUCAAAAGACAAAAUCCCAAUCGUGGCUUUCUCAUGCUCUUGCGCCUUGCACCGCGAGCCCCGCCAGAAAUUGCCCAACCAUGAUUCAGUCACCCUUUCACCUCCCAUUGAAAUGCUCCCAGUGGGAUCAAGCAGAGAUAAGUACCUGGUAUGUGUUAGAGAAAACUUCUUUAUUGUUUUGAAGUUGACAAAACAUUUCCAAAGUCUUAUCGGAAGAUCUUAAUACUUUAUUGUCAAAGUCUGAAGACCGACGAACCAUCAGAUUUUAGUCUCAAAGUCUAUCAUCACUAACAGUUCCAGACUGAAGUAUGAAGACUUAUCCAAAUACAGGAUUAUUAUCCAGAUGCAAGAUUAUCUUCAAAGUUCCAAUUCAUAUGAUUACUAGAAGACUUUAUAGUUGGAUUUCACAUUUACUUGAUUGAUUAUUCUUAUCGGAUUUUAUUCCAAUACGGAAACCUUUGAAAGGCGAGCUAAAUUUGGAAGAUUCUACUUAUGGAAACUUAAAAUCCUGAUUGUAUGGGCGAACAGGAUUGAUGGGCUAUCAUCACAUUCCUUAAAUGACUCGAGAUCUCCUUGAUUGAUUCUGUCCAAUUAGUAGAUUGGAAAAACUCCUUUGGAAAGUGCCACCGGUUGUAGAGGCAUGGAGGAGUAUAUAAGGAAGACUCUCAAAGUCAUUCUAGUGUGUGCUUAAGAGAGAAUUCCAAAGUCUGGAGCUUUCUAGUCUUUUGCUUUUUCAUUUCAUCAAGUUGAACAUUGUACAAGAGAGAGAAAUCCUUUGUGAGACUAUGUGAGAGUUCGAUAGAGACUCGUCACUGUGAUAGUCGCAAUCACGAACUAUAACCUCUAUUUUGAUCCUUAGUGGAAUCCAACCAAUAGGCUGUUAGCGAGAAGAGUGGAUGUAAGCUUGACCUAAGCUGAACCACUAUAAACUCUGUGUUUCUUUUCUUUUAUCCUUGAACUUGCUACUUCCACCUACUGUUUGUUUAUUUGCUCAAAGUUGAAAGGGCUAGUAGAAGCACCUAGAGGGUGGUGAAUAGGUGUAAAAACAGAUUCUGUAAAAUACUAUGAAAACCUUUACUUUAAAUCUAAGUCUAAAUAAUAACAGACUUUUGAAGCUGAGUCUGAAAAUCACCAGACUUUGAACAGGAUCAGACUUUAGUAGUUAAAUAGAGCUACAAACAAAAUAAAGAGAUUCAUGGAAGAGAAUAAGAAUACAAGGUUUAUAGUGGUUCAAUUUAGAUCAAGCCUACGUCCACUCUCCUGCACUAACAGCCCACCGGCUGGAUUUCACUAAGAACCAAAAGAGAUAUUACAAUCUCACAUUCUUGAUUCCACAGUGUAGAGACUCUACUACACUUCCUCAAGGUCUCACAAGUAUUUAUCUCUCUUUUGAAUAUAGUAUAAGCUCAGCAAAUGAAAUAACAAAGAACUAGGAGCUUCAGACUUUAGAAUUUUUCAAUCACGCACACACUUGAAUAACUAGAGCAUCUUCCUUAUAUACUCCUCCAUGCCUUCAUAACCAUUGGCACCUUCCAAAGGAGUUCUUCCAAUCAACCGUUGGACAUAAUCAAUUAGGGGGAUCUCGAGUUAUUUAAGGAAUAUGAUGAUAGCCAAUCAAUCCUGCUCGCCCAUACAAUCAGGAUCUAGGUUUCCAUAUGUAGAACUUUCCAACUACACAUCGUCAAUCAAUGGAUCUAAAUUACUCAAAUUGACUUCAAUACAAAUAAUAGAUUUUGUGAUGCUAUCUCCAGCCGUGAGAUCUUCUUCAACCAUACGAAUCAAAUCCUUAAGGAUAAACCCACAUCUGGAUAUGUCUUCUUCAACGGAUAAACUUUUCUUUGUCGGUCUGGAAACUGUCAAUAAGGGAGACUUAAAUCUUGAGUCUGGAGGUCUUCAGACUUUGAUGAUAAAGUCUGCAAGUCUUCAAACUAGACUGAUGGAAACGUUUUGUCAACUUCGAAACAAAUAGGGAAGUUUUCUCCAACAAUCUCCCCAUUUUUUAUGGUGACAAAACUUUCCUGCAUAUUUGGAUAUAUUUGACAUGCAAGACAAUACUUAAAGCAAACAAGGAUAUCUUAUAAAAGAUAGAUAGGUUUGGAUAAAGAUAGUAGAAUUGUUUCUGCAAUUCUGCACCCACAGAAAACAAGUUAGUCCUGGAAAACCAACUAUCUUUACCAAAAACAUAGCUUAAGAUACUGCAAGCAUUAAAACAAACCAAAUCAGUCUAAACCAAUCCAUCCAAACAAAACAAAAGAUAAGUCAAAAAGUGUCAAACCAAACAAAAAUCAUAAUCCUGCACCGACUUCUCCUCCUUUUUGUCAACAACAAAAAGUGGAGCAUAAAAAGAAAAUUGGAUAAAAUUAAGAUUGUUUUGGAAUGCGAACGAGCUGAAAAUCUCCCAUAGACUUGACAGUCUCCUCUAGCUUUUUUAGAUCCUCCGUUAGUUGUGCUAAAUCCUCACCCUUUGUGUUAGCUUGAACUUGAAGAUUAAGGGCUUGAACUUGAUCGUGCAAAGAAACUGAGGUGGCUUGAUGAGCAUUCUGCAUAUUCUAAAAUUCACAUCCCAAGGCAUAGAUCUGACCUUUGAUGUCUAGAAGAAGUUCAACCAUUCUUCUGAAGUCUGCGAAGUUGUCAGUUUGAGUACUUGCUUCAGCAUGAUCAGUUUGUGGAGUGUUACUGGAUGAUGGAAAGUGGGAGGCAUACACAUCCUCUGGAUCGGCAGGAGAACAACUAACAUCAUCACUGGUAAAAGCAAGUGAAGGUGUACCUCUUUUAUCAGCAACUCCCCCUGUUUCAAUGCCUUCAGGUGGAGAGAAGUACUCCUCUCGAUCGUCUUCAAUGUCACGAUGAGCUCGUACUUCUUUCUUUGCUAGGGAACCACCAUGACUUUCUCCUUCUAUUUGUUCUCCUCUUUGCUCAUCUUCUUUUGUUCUUCUUUCUUCUUCUUCUUCUUUCCUCAUCAUUUCCCUCUCUUCACUCCUCUGCUCUAUCUCUUCUCUAUCUCGGUUCUCCCGAUCCUUUGUCUCUGGAACAGGAUGUUGUAAGUUCUUUAAGGCAAGAGUAGAAAUGGUAAUGUCAUCCUCAUCUUCUUCAUCCUGCAAGAUGAGUGCUCUUCUCUUCUUGGAUGGAGCUGUCAUGGGCUCCUUGCCUUUCCUUUUUGUAGCCACAGGGUCUUGUCGAGUCUUGACAGGGGUCUUUACCUUAAAUCUCUCUAAAGCCUUGUUUAGCUCUUUCAGACGCAUCUUUGAAACCAUCUUCAGUCCUAUCACCAUUGGAUCAAUGGUUCAAACACAUAAAGUUUUGGGAGGCUGAAUAUUAAGAUGUUUGAACAAACGUGUAACAAGCGUAGAAUAAGGGAGUUGUCCCUUGUCCUUUACCAUUGACCUAUACAUGUGGAACAUGAUAGUAUGAGGAAGAGAGAACUUGUAAUCAACGUUGAUGGCGUACAUCAGCUUUGCUUUAGAAUUGGAGACAUCAGUCUUUGAUGUGGAUUUGGGUCUGAGACAGCUAAUCACAGUCUUAUGGAGCAAGAUAUUAGAGGCACUCAUCCUCGAAUAGGAGAUCCGGCCUUCUGCAAUUCUAUCUUGAACAAGCUCUAUAAUGGCAUGACCAAUAAACACGCUGAUUGUUUGGAAAAUUCCUCUCUCCACUCCAAUCACAUCAGCCAGAGUGUCCAUAUCUACGACAUAAUCCUAGUCUUUAACACUGAAGGAAAAUCUAUUCACAUAUAAAAAGCUUAGAUUAGAAUAGAAAUACGUAGUAAGUUCAGGAUAAGCUACUAUUGUCUCAGAACGAAAGUGGUCAAGUUGGAGUAAAGUAAACUUCUCCCAUAGCUUUAUGUUCAAUGAAUCGAGAAAGUCAAAAUCCACACUGCUUAGGUUCAUUACCCCUCGCUUCAGCAGUUUAGAAUACACUUGCUUGUGUUCUUCAAAGCGAAACAAAUCUACUCUACUUCCUCGACUGUUCACAGCAACACCCAUUCUAGGCGUAAAAUGAGUGAACAUCUUUUCAUCGUCAUCUUUUCCCUUUGAUUAACUCCUCCAAAACGUGGAUCACUUGGAAAAUUCGCAAAAGCCCUUUCUGCCAAACCAGCAGGAGUGAUUCCCAAACAUUCCAUCGUUCUUAAAAAAGCGGUUUCAUUUCGGUAUCAUUUUUCUCUCAAAAAUUCAUCAAUAAAUGUCAUUGCAGAACCACCUUCCUUCAAGGCAGUAUAGAGCUUGAAAGUAAAAGCAGGCUUAAGAGUUCUUACGGGUUCGACAUCCUCAAUAAUUUCUUCCUCUGCUUGAUGUUGCUGAUGUUGGAGAAAUCUUCUUGAAAUGUUUUGAAGCUAACAAAACGUUUCCAUUAGUCUAGUCUGAAGGUUCGCAGACCCUGCUUUUUAAAGUCUGAAGACCUCCGGACAGCCAGACUCAAGACUCAAAGUCUAUCCUCAUUGAUAGUUUCUAAUUCAUUGAAGAAAGGCUAUCCAGAACUGGAUGUUUUACUAAGGAUAUGACCUUAUCGACUGGAGAAGAUCUCUUAGCUGGAUAUGACGUAAUGGAAUCCUUUGAUUGAUCGAGAUUAAGGAUCCGAUGAUUGGCGCAAUAUUUGUGGAAGGUUCUACUUAUGGAAACCGAGAUCCUGAUUGCAUGGGCGAACGGGAUUGAUGGGCUAUCGACAUAUUCCUUUAAUAGCUCGAAUGAUCUUUCUAAUUGAUUCUGUCUAACGGGAAGAUUGGAAGAAUUCCUUUUGUGAAUGCCAACGGGUAUGAUGGCAUAAAGGAGUAUAUAAGGAAGACGUUCUAGUUGUUCGAGAGGUGAACGAUAGAAGAAUUCCAAAGUCUGAAGCUCCUUGUUUUUAGUCAAUACAUUUGAGCGAAAACUUGUACGCAAAAGAGUGUUUAUAUUCGUGAGAAACCUUGAGGAAGUGUGGUAGAAUAUCUACACUGUGGAAUCAAGGAAGAACUGUGCUGUAACAUCUUUUUUGUUCAUAGUGGAAUCCAGCCAAUAGGCUGUCAGUGUGGAAGAGUGAACGUAGGCUUGGGAUAAGCUGAACCACUAUAAACCUUGUGUUUAAUCUUCUCUUCCUUACUCUUUACUUUACUUUGAUUGUAAUUCAUUUUGUUAAUCAAAAGAGUACUGCCUUUCUAUCGUCUACCUAGUAUCGCUAUGGUAUCUCGAGAAAUUGUUUUUACACCUAUUCACCCCACUCUAGGUGAUUAUACUAGCUACAUCAAUUGGCAUCAGAGCCUGUGUACUCACUUUGUUUGAAGUGUUUUACUUCAGAGUUAAAGAUCCAUGGCUAGUAUGUUGGCUCAAGGGCUGGUAGAAGGGCAAAGUAAUACCAGACCACCUUACUUUGAUGGAAAUGAUUACAACAUAUGAAAAAACAGGAUGAAGGCGUUCUUAAGGUCAAAGGAUCCUCUGGAAUGGGACGUUGUAAAAAAAAGAAUCAUUCCUAAAGCUGCACUUGUCUCAGAAAGAGGAAAAGAUACUGUGGAGUCUAGUCAAAUGACUCAGGAAGAGAUAAUCAAGAGACAAGCUCUUGAUGCAAAAGCAAUUUAUUCAUUAUAUUGUGCUUUAUCUCCUACUGGAUAUAACAAAAUAUCUUCUUGUGUUACAGCUAAAGAAGUCUAGGAUAGAUUACAUAUUACCUAUGAAGGAACCGAUCGAGUAAAAGAGACUAGAAUCAACAUUCUCCUCGGUCAAUACAAAGCCUUCAAAAUGAAAUCGGGAGAAUUUAUAACUGACAUGUUUAGUCGUUUUACAGAAAUCGUGAAUGGUCUUGAAAAUCAAGGUCAACCAAUUUCUGAUCCCAUGAAGGUAAACAAGCUACUGCGUGAAUUCUCCAAGGAUUGGAAUCACAUAAAGACCUCAAUCAGAGAGACCCAAAGAAUUAUGCCACUAUCUGUUGAUGAGUUGGUUGGGACUCUUUAGUCUUAUGAAGUAGAACGAAUCAAUGAAGACGAAGACCCUAAAGGUAAGAAAUCCAUUGCAUUAAAAUCCAAUGAUGAUUCUAACGUUACAGAUUCUGAAGACGAUAUGGAUGAUGAGGAGCUUGCUCUCAUGAUAAGAAGAUUCAGAAAACUGAACAGAAAAGGAAGAAGAUUCAAUCCAAAGAAACAAAGUUUUCAAAAGCAACAGACUAGGUCUGUUGAGGAUGAUAAAUCAAACAAAGAUGUAGUCUGCUUUGAAUGUAAGAAAAAUGGGCACAUCAAACCCAACUGUCCUCUUCUGAGAAAGAAGAAAAGAAAAGCUGAAAAGUAUCGAAAAUCUCUUAAAGCAGAAAUAUGGAGUGAUACUGAGUGUGAAGGAAGUGAUGAUGAUUAUGCCAAUAUUUGUCUAAUGGCAUAAUCAGAUUCAGAUUCAAACUGUGAGACAGAAUCAGAUUCAGACAGUGAAUUUGAGGUAAGUAACUUCAAAAUCCCUAUUAAAAUUUCUAAAUACAUUGAUGGGCUGUGUUUUAGUCUUAAAACUUCUCUUAAAAGGAUUUCCGAACUCAAAAGAGAAAAUUCUGCUCUAAAAUAACAGAAAAAUACUUUGAAAUAAAAAGUGAAAUGUUUAGAUAUGAAUGUUUCUUCUCUUAGAAAAAGUGAAGAUAAUCUUUCAAAAGAAAAUGUACUAUUGAAAAAUGAUAUCUCAAAUAUUUCUAAAAAAUUUUCUAUGGGAUCUGAAAUACUAGAAAAAAUUCUUUCUGUUCAAAGACCUUAUUUCAACAAAUCUAGUUUGGGAAUGACUGUUGAAACCAUUCCUUUAAUUGAUUUUCCAAAGGUAAAAGAAAGAAAUAAGCAAAGACCAAUAAGAGAUACUUACAAAAAUCAUUUUAAAAAGAUCUUUAUAAAACCAGUAGGUCGCAAUGCUCUCAGAUGUUCAAAGUGCAAUAGUGCAGAUCAUUUUGAAAAAGAAUGUCCUAUGGUUUGGAAACCUGUUAAGAAAGUCUAGGCAAAAACCGCAUUUCAUACUAACUCAAACGGACCCAAGAAAAUAUGGGUACCAAAGAAAGUUUAAGUCUCUUUUUAAAUGCAGGUCACUAUCAAGAAAAAGGUAAAAUGGUAUCUAGAUAGUGGAUGCUCAAGACAUAUGACAGGAGAUUCAAAGUGCUUUAUAAAGCUCGUUCAAGUGAAUGGCGGAAAAGUCUCAUUUGGAGGAAAUAGCAAAGAAAGAAUAGUGGGAUUUGGAACUAUAAAGAUUGGAAACCUCACAAUAAGCAAUGUUUCUUUAGUUGAAGGACUCAACUACAAUUUGCUCAGUGUCAGUUAGCUAUGCGAUACCGGUUUCAAAAUAUACUUUCAAGAGGGAAUAUGUACAGGAACCAGUAAAGACUCUACUCAUUCAUUCAUGGGUCGAAGACAUGGAAAUAUCUACCUCUUGGAUGUGAAAUCAGAUGAAUUGCAAUGUCUAAUCUCAAUCCAAGACGAAGCAAGCUUAUGGCACAGAAAGCUUGGGCAUAUUAAUAUGAAACAGAUAGCCAAAAGGUUGAUCUUUGUACACCGUGCAUAUUGGGAAAACAAGUAAGAAAUUCCUUUAAACCAAUAAAUCAAGUAUCCACUAACCGUGUACUGCAGCUUCUGCAUUUGGAUCUUUUUGGACCAACCAGAACACAGAACAUUGGAGGUAAGAAAUAUUGCCUGGUAAUUGUGGAUGACUACUCACGAUUUACUUGGGUAUAUUUCCUGGCAAGUAAGUUUGAAACCUUCUCUUAUUUUGAAAAAUUUGCUAAAAAUGUUCAAAAUGAAAAAGGGUAUGUUAUUUCAAGUAUAAGAACAGACCAUGGAGGUGAAUUUGAAAAUCAAGAUUUUACAAACUUUUGUGAUAAAUCUCGUUUUCAGCAUGUAUUAUCUUCUCCAUAUACUCUAGAGCAAAAUGGAGUUGUGGAAAGAAAGAAUAGAUCGCUUCAAGAAAUGGCUAGAACUCUUUUAAUUGAAAGCAACAUCUCUUCACGAUUUUGGGCUGAAGCAGUUUCUAUAGCUUGUUAUAUUAUCAAUAGAGUUUCUCUACGGCCUAUUCUAGAAAAAACCCCCUAUGAAUUAUUCAAAGAAAAGAAGCCUAUUGUUUCAUAUUUUCAUGUGUUCGGAUGCAAAUAUUUUAUAUUGAAAAAUGCAAAUGAUCGAAUUGGCAAGUUUGAAGAAAAAUCAGAUGAAGGCAUCUUCCUUGGAUAUUCAACCUCAAGCAAAGCCUACAUAGUUUAUAACAAGAAGAGCCAAUCUGUGGAGGAAUCAAUGAAUGUCAAAUUCCAAGAUUCUAUGCAAAAUGAAUCUAUUCAGACUCAUCUUGAAAAGCCUGAACCUGCUCUAGACUCUACAAAGUCUAAAUCUUAGGAAACGGCUCAGACUUUGAAGGACCAGCAACAAGUGACGGUUGAAGAUUCAAGUGAAGGAAGUGACCAUCAAUCUGACAAAUUAACCAGCAACUGGAAACAUAAGUCAAGUCAUCCCAAAGAUCUUAUUAUUGGCGACAUCAAUGAAGGAAUUCGCACAAGAUCCAAAAGGCGCGAAGAGUCUAGUGCUGUGGCUCUUAUUUCUGAAAUAGAACCCAAAAGCAUAGAAGAAGCUUUAAUCGAUGAAAGCUGGAUUGAAGCUAUGCAAGAAGAACUUAGGCAAUUCAGCAUUAAUGAUGUUUGGGAGUUAACUCCUAAACCAAAAGGUAAAUCUAUUAUUGGUGUAAAAUGGGUUUUCAGGAAUAAGAUGAACGAGAACGGGAAAGUCAUAAGAAACAAAGCAAGACUCGUGGCCAAAGGAUAUACGCAAGAAGAAGGGAUAGACUAUGACGAGACUUAUGCACCAAUAGCAAGGUUAGAAGCAAUUCGUUUAUUACUUGCAUUUGCUUGUCAUAAAAAUUUUAGGUUAUUCCAAAUGGACGUCAAAAGUGCUUUCCUAAAUGGAUUCAUCCAUGAGGAAGUCUAUGUGGAUCAACCACCUGGGUUUGAAGACCCAAGGAAACCAGACUCAGUAUUCAGACUCAAAAAGGCCUUAUAUGGUUUAAAACAAGCACCGCGAGCUUGGUACGACAGGCUGAGUAAGUUUUUAAUUCAAAACGGUUUUGUGAAAGGUAAAGUAGACACUACUCUGUUUAUUAAAAGAGAAAGCAAAAGUUUUGUACUAGUUCAAAUAUAUGUCGAUAAUAUUAUAUUCGGAUCUCCUAAUGAAAGUCAGUGCAAGAAAUUCUCUAAGACUAUGCAGGAUGAAUUUGAAAUGAGCAUGAUGGGUGAGUUAACCUUCUUUCUCGGGCUUCAAGUGAAACAACUGAAGGAAUGAACUUUUAUUCAUCAAGAAAAAUACGCUAAUGAUCUCGUCAAAAAUUUUGGACUAAACAAUUGCAAAAAGGCUAAAAUACCAAUGUCAAGUUCCCUGAAGAUAGACAAAGAUGAAGGAGGAAAAAAAGUCGACCAGAAGUUAUACAGGAGUAUCAUUGGAUCACUUCUUUAUCUUACUGCUUCUAGACCUGACAUUUUGUUUAGUGUUUGCAUUUGUGCCAGAUUUCAAGCAGAUCCUAAAGAAUCUCAUUUAAGUGCUGCAAAGUGUAUUAUCAAAUACAUUGCUUCAACUUCAAGCAUCGGCCUAUGGUAUCCUAAAAAUGGAGACUUUACUCUUCUUGGAUACUCAGACGCAGAUCUAGUUGGAUGCAGAGUUGAUAGAAAGAGCACCUCGGGUACCUGUCGACUACUUGGAGGCAGGACAGUAUCUUGGUUUUCAAGGAAGCAAACUACAGUAGCUCUUUCUACAGUAGAAGCAGAGUAUGUAGCUCUCGGAAGUUGUUGUUCACAAAUUCUGUGGAUAAAACAACAGCUAAGAGACUUUGGAAUUAAAGAUUCAUGCACGGAGAUUAACUGCGACAACACCAAUGCAAUCAAUCUUACUAAAAAUCCAAUUCUUCACUCAAGAGCAAAGCAUAUAGAGAUUCGACAUCACUUCAUAAGAGAUCAUGUUCAAAAUGGAGAAGUUUCGAUUUAGUUUGUUGACUCAAAGAACCAACUAGCGGAUAUAUUCACAAAGCCUUUGGAGAAAAAUCAAUUUGAAAUUAUCCGUUCCAGACUCAACAUUUUGAGGUUUGAAUAAGUUAAAGUCUAGAGACUCUCAGACUCGGACAAACAAGACUUUGACUGUAAGUUAUUCUCUCUCUCUCUCUCUCUCUCUCUCGAAUCUCAUCUUGAAAAGGUACGAUUAUCAACCGUCUCUGAUUAUUGCUAUCUUUAAUUGACGUGAUUAUAGCAACGUUUCCUUUUCGAAAAAGAAGUUAUUUUUUAAAUGACUAUUUUCUCGAAAAAGGUAGUUAUUUUGAAAAGGCAUCUUUUUAUUUUCCUUUAUGAUGUUCUGUAUACCUCUUUUUUUAACCGAUUAUGCACUGUUGAUUCUUCUUCGCGUUUCUCUCUAAAAACCCUAAGAAAGCAUCGAUCUUCCAUUCCUGUUUUCUUCCCUUGUUUAAUCUUUGAAAAAGUUGUCAUCUUUCUUGGGAAAGUCAAGCAAGGAAUCUUUCAAAAACUGAGAAAGAUGUCGUCUUCAAGAAAGUCUUCGAGAAUCGCAAGCAGGGGACCACGGCAAAUGAGUGAGGGGCCUAAGCACUUCGAUCUCACCGAGGAAGAGGAGUCUCCAAAUCAGCAACAGAGCCCACAACAUUCUCAGCAGUGUCAUUCUCCACCAUCUAGUCCACAGGGUGUUGGUCAUCAACAAGAGGAAGAAAUCGUUGAAGACGCAGAUCCUGUAAGAAUUCAAAGGCCCUCUUUUAUUUAUAAGCUUUACCGUGCUUUAAAGAAGACUUGUACUCCAUUGAACUACGUCGAUGAGUUUCUUAAGGACAAAGGAUAUGGGAAUGAAUACAUCUUUUUUGUGGAAAAUGGAAAGUUUGGGAAUUACUCCCAAAGGGGAGGCAGAAGAAACCCUUGCAAAUAUCCCAAGUGAUCCGCGUGUUAGGGGACUUAAUUCGGUAGAUGGAAAUGAUGAUGACAAAUUGUACAGCCAAUUUCAACCAAGAAUGGGUGUUGCAGCGAAAAUUCGAGAAAAAAGGAGAGAGCUAUUUAGAUCAAAGGAACAGAAGGAAUUAUACUCAAAAUUCCUAAAGCGUGGGGUGAUAAACCCUAGGAGUGUGAAUUUUGAUUUUCUGGAUGCUAUGAAUGUGAACUUGAGGGAAAAGUUCUGUUAUCUUCAACUUGACAAGUUCUGCUCUGACACCACAGAGGCCUAUGCUCAAUUAACUGCAUAUUUCUAUUCAAAUCUUAGUUUUUUGGAUGCGAAUAGAAUAUCCUUUAGUGUUCGAGAUCAGGACUUUGUGGUUGAUGUGGAUAUGCUAGCGGAUGUGAUUGGGGUUGAGAGAGGAAGAUAUCAACCGAUCAAUGUUUCUGUUGCUCGUGCAACAUUGGAGCUUGUUAAGGAUAGAAGAAUAGAGGAAAAGAUUUCCUACUUGAGGAUGAGUGCAUUUAACAUUCUGCUUCACAAGAUUGUGAUCAAUUGCCUCAGACCGAAAUCAACUUCCAAGACUGAUGUUUCAAGUUCAAAGGCAAAGCUGAUGUAUGCCAUCAUUAAUGAGAAAAAGUUUUCUCUUCCUCACACUAUUAUGUUUCACAUGUAUAGAGCAACGGCGAAGGACAGAGGUCAACUUCCUUAUCUAGGUCUUGUGACGAAGUUAUUUAAACAUCUGAAUAUUCAGCCUCCACAAAUCCUCUAUGUUAAAUCGUGUGAUCAUAUGGUGGUAGGACUGAAAAUGGUGACUAAAAUGCGUCUGAAGGAACUAAGCAAGGCGUUGGAGAAAUUCAAGGAGAAGACUCUUGUUAAAACUCAUCAAAUCUCUUCUGCAGCAAAAAGAAAAGGGAAGGAGCCCAUGGUUGCUCCAUCCAAGAAAAGAAGAGCUCUUAUUGUUGAAGAUGAAGAUGAUGAUGAUGACAUCACCAUUUCUGGUAUAGCAUUGAAGAAGCUAAGUUGUCCUGUUCCAGAAGCAAUGGAAUGACAGGAGAAAGAAGCAGAGGAGAGAGAAGGACAAGAGAAAGAAGAAGAAGAAAGAGAAGCUGGAUAAAAAGAAGCAGAGGAGGAAAGGUUUGAAAAAGAAGAAGAGAGAGAAAAUCAAGAGGAAAGAUAGCAUGAAAAACACUCUUCUCCACCUGAAGGCAUGGAAAGAGGGGGAGAUCAUGAGAAAAGAGGAAUGUCCUCUUAUCCUGCUCAUAGUGAGGGAGUUCGUCGCUCUCCAGCAGACCCAUAAGACAUUCAUGCCUCUCAUUUUCUUGAGGAAGAACAUGAUGCUUCAUCGCUAAAUCUGCGUGAUUAUUAUAUGCCAUCGUCUGCAUUUACUCCAUCAGAUCGUGCCGAAGCAAGUACGCAGACCGAUAACUCAGUAGAUUUUCGCAGAAUUAUGGAUAUUCUCUUGGAGAUGCGCGGUCAAAUUUAUGCUCUAGGAUGUGAGGUUCAAAACUUGUAGAAUGCAGGUCAAGCUUCUUUAGGUUCCUUGAAAGAUCAGAUCCAAGCCCUCUCUGUUUAGAUUCAGGCUAAUGCCAAGGGUGAGGAGGUUGCACAACUGAAGGAAGACUUGAAAAGGCUGGAAGGGAUCGUUCAAUCCAUGGGAGAUUUCUAGCUUGUUCGCGUUCCCAAGCAAUAUUGACUUUAUUCCAUUUUCAUCUCAACCUUUUUAAUGCUGACAAAAAGGGGGAUUUGAAUCAAACUUUGAAUUUUUAAUCGUUUGGAUUGGAUUGUUUUGAUGUUUGACUUUGUUUGACUUUAUUUUUGUGUCUGGAUGAGAACUGAAUUUGAAUUUGGACUUGACUGCUAUUGAUAUCUUAUGGAUGGCUUUAUCAUAUACAAGACUAACCUAUUUUCUGUGGUUGCAGAUUCUAGUGUUAUUCAUUUAGCCAUUUAUCUUUAUAAAAUAUGCAUAUGUGUUUGAGAAAUGUUUUGCAGGUCAAAGUUAUCCAAAUCUGUAGGAAAGUUUUGUCGCCAUCAAAAGGGGGAGAUUGUUGGAGAAAUCUUCUUGAAAUGUUUUAAAGCUGACAAAACAUUUCCAUCAGUCUAGUUUGAAGGUUUGCAGACUCUGCUGUUUAAAGUUUGAAGACCUCCGGACAGCCAGACUCAAGACUCAAAGUCUAUCCUCAUUGACAGUUUCUAAUCUGCUGAAGAAAGGCUAUCCAGAACUGGAUGUUUUACCAAGGAUAUGACCUUAUCGGCUGGAGAAGAUCUCUUGGCUGGAUAUGACGUAAUGGAAUCCUUUGAUUGAUCGAGAUUGAGGAUCUGAUGAUUGGCAAAAUAUUCGUGGAAGGUUCUACUUAUGGAAACCGAGAUCCUGAUUGUAUGGGCGAAUAGGAUUGAUGGGCUAUCGACAUGUUUCUUUAAUAGCUCGAAUGAUCUUCCUAAUUGAUUCUAUCCAACGGGAAGAUUGGAAGAAUUCCUUUUGUGAAUGCCAACGGGUAUGAUGGCAUAAAAGAGUAUAUAAGGAAGACGUUCUAGUUGUUCGAGAAGUGAACGAUAGAAGAAUUCCAAAGUCUGAAGCUCAUUGUUUUUAGUCAAUACAUUUGAGCGAAAACUUGUACGCAAAAGAGUGUUUAUAUUCUUGAGAAACCUUAAGGAAGUGUGGUAGAAUAUCUACACUAUGGAAUCAAGGAAGAACUGUGCUGUAACAUCUCUUUUAUUCAUAGUGGAAUCCAGCCGAUAGGCUGUCAGUGCGGAAGAGUGGACGUAGGCUUGGGAUAAGCCGAACCACUAUAAACCUUGUAUUUAAUCUUCUCUUCCUUACUCUUUACUUUACUUUGAUCGUAAUUCAUUUUGUUAAUCAAAAGAGUACUGCCUUUCUAUCGUCUGCCUAGUAUCGUUGUGGUAUCUUGAGAAAUUGUUUUUACAUAUUCACCCCCCUCUAGGUGAUUAUACUAGCUACAUCAGCUGAGGCUCUUGUUGUCUAGCCUAAGAAGAAUGGCGCGGUUGAGAAUGUUGUUAUUGACUUUGCUGCUACAUUGUAGAGUCUUCUUCCUCAGUUAAAUCGAAGUGCGUAAGACCCUCACGCAUAUGCUGUGGUCCCCUGCUUGCAAUCCUUGAGGAUUUUCUUUGGCAAGACAUUAUCACAAACUUUGAGAGAUUUUUCGAACUCGAUUCGCAAGAAAGAUGAAAACUUUAAGGAUUAAACUAGAGGGAAAAAGUAAGAAAGUGAAGUUUUGAGCUCUAGGGUUCGUGAGUAAAAACGAAAAAGAGUACUAUAUAUAAAGUAGUCGAAAUGAGGUAUACGAACCGUCACAAAAGGAAAAUCAAAAAAUGAAUAACUGCCUUUUUGAAAAUAGAUAAAUGUCUUUUCAAAAUUGAUAACUUCCUUUUUGAAAAAGAAUAGUUGCUUACAACUCGGAAAGAUAACAUCAAUCAAUUUGCGAUUAAUAUGCAAUCAUACCUUUUCGAGGUUAAAUUGCUAGAAUCGAAAUAACUUACAAACGUAACCUUUGGUCUUCUGAGUCUGAGCAUCUUCAAACUUUAUCCCUGAGUCUGAGCUUCUUCAAAUUCUAAUAUGUUAAGUCUGGAGCGAAUAGGAUCAAAUAAGCUUUUGUCUAGGGUUUUGUGAAUAUGUCCGCUAGCUGAUUAUUUGAGUCAAUAAAUUGGAUCAAGACUUCUCCACUUUGAACAUGAUCUCUAAUAAAAUGGUGUCGAAUCUCUACGUGCUUUGCUCUUGAAUAAAAAAAUUGGACUCUUUGUGAGAUUAAUUGCGCUGGUGUUGCCACAUUUGAUUUCCGUACUUGAGUCUUCGAUUCCAAAGUCUCUUAGUUGUUGUUUUAUCCAUAAGAUUUGAGAACAACAACUUCCAAGAGCCACAUACUCUGUUUCUACUGUUGAAAGAGCUACAGUACUUUGCUUUCUAGAAAACCAAGAUACUGUUCUGUUACCAAGCAGUUGACAAGUGCUAGAAGUGCUUUUCCUAUCAACUCUGCAACAUGCUAGAUCUGCGUCUGAAUAUCCAAUGAGAGUAAAGUCUCAUUCUUUGAGAUACCAAAGACCUAACUUAGAGGUUGUUGCAACGUAUUUGAUGAUGCGUUUCGCAGCAUUUAGAUGAGAUUCUUUGGGAUCUGAUUGAAAUCUAGCACAAAUACAAACACUGAACAAAAUGUUAGGUUUAGAAGCAGUAAGAUAAAGAAGUGACCCAAUGAUACUCCUAUACAGCUUCCAGUCAACUUUCUUUCCUCCUUUGUUUUUGUCCAGCUUCAAAGAACUUGACAUUAGUAUAUCAGUCUUUUUGCAAUUCUCCAAACCAAACUUUUUUACAAGUUCUUUAGCAUAUUUUUCUUGGUGAAUGAAAAUUCAUUUCUUCAAUUGUUUUACUUGUAGUCCGAGAAAAAAUGACAGUUCACCCAUCAUGCUCAUCUCGAAUUCAUCCUGCAUAGACUUAGAAAACUUCUUGCACAAGUUUUCGUUAGAUGAACCAAAUAUAAUAUCAUCAACAUAAAUUUUAACAAGUAAAAAGUUUUUAUCUUCCUUUUUAAUAAACAAGGUAGUAUCUACUUUUCCUUUAACAAAGCCAUUUUGAAUUAAAAACUUACUAAACCUGUCGUACCAAGCUUGAGGUGCUUGCUUUAAUCCAUGUAGAGCGUUUUUCAGUCUGAAUACAGAGUUUGGUUUCCUUGGGUCUUCAAAAUCGGGAGGUUGUUCCACAUAGACUUCCUCUUGGAUGAAUCUAUUUAGAAAUGCACUUUUGACGUCCAUUUGGAAUAACCUUUUGGUUUAGGAGUUAAUUCACAAACAUCAUUAAUGCUGAACUACCUGAGUUCUUCUUGCAUUGCUUCAAUCUAACUUUCAUCAGUUAAAGCUUCUUCGAUACUUUUAGGUUCGAUUUCAUAAAUAAGUGUCACAGCACUAGACUCUUCUUGCUUUUUGGAUCUGAUACGAAUUCCUUCAUCAAUGUUGCCAAUGAUGAGCUCUUUGGGAUGCCUAGACUUAUACUUCCAAUUGCUAGUCAGUCUAAUAGAGUGUUGAUCUUCUUCUUCAGUUGAAUCUUCAACAUCCAUUCGUUGUUUUUUUUCUGGAGUCUGAGCUACUUCAGGGGAAGUAGAUUGUAAAGUCUGGAGUAGAUUCAAAUUCUUCAAUCUGAGUCUGAAUUGUUUGAUUUUGCAGAUGGUCUCGAAAUUUGACAUUCAUCGAUUCUUCCACAAAUUGAGUCUUCUUGUUGAAUAUUCUGUAGGCUUUGUUAGAGGUUGAAUAUCCAAGGAAAAUAUCUUCGUCUGAUUUUUCUUCAAACUUACCAAUUCAAUCAUUCGCAUUUUUCAAUAUCAAACAUUUGCAACCAAACACAUGAAAAUAAGAAACAAUUGGCUUCUUUCCUUUGAAUAACUCAUAGGAAGUUUUCUCUAGAAUAUGCCUUAAAAAUACUAUGUUAAUAAUAUAACAUGCUGUAGAAACUGCUUCAGCCCAAAAACAAGAAAAAAUAUUACUUUCAAUUAAAAGAGUUGUUGCCAUCUCUUGUAAAGAUCUAUUCUUCCUUUCCACAACUCCAUUUUGUUCAGGAGUUUAAGGAGAGGAGAACACAUGCUGAAAACCAAAUUCAUCACAGAAUUUGGCAAAGUCUUGAUUUUCAAACUCACUUUUAUGGUCUGUCCGUAUGCUUGAAAUAGUAUAUCAUUUCUCAUUCUGCACCUUCUUAGCAAAUGUUAAAAAGUGAAAGAAGGUUUCAGACUUACUUGCCAAAAAGUAGACCCAAGUAAAUCGUGAAGAUUAUCCACUAUUAUUAGGUAAAAUCUUUUUCCAUCAAUACUCUGAGUUCUAGUUGGUCCAAAAAGAUCCAUAUGUAGAAGCCGCAAUACACGAUUAGUGGAAACUUGAUUUAUUGAUUUAAAAGAACUUCUAACUUGUUUUUCCAACACACAUGGUGUGCAUAGGUCGGUUUUUUGGUAUUUUAGGUUGGGUAGUCCACGAACAAGCUUUUUGGAAGUGAUUUUGGCAAUUUGUUUCGCGUUGAUAUGGCCAAGCUUCCGAUGCCAGAGCUUUGCUUCAUCUUGUAUUGAUAUCAAGCAUUGAGGUCUUUCUGGCUUUACAUCCAAAAGAUAAAUGUUUUCGUGUCUACGCCUGGUAAAAGAUUGAGAGUAAUCUUUACUAGUUCUUGAACAUGUUCCUUCCUGGAAAUUGAUUUUGAAUCCAGUGUCGCAUAGUUAGCUUAUGCUUAUAAGAUUGUAAUUCAAUCCUUCCACCAAGGAGACAUUAUGAAUUGUAAGACCUCUAAUUUUUACUGUUCCACAUCCAACAAUUUUUCCUUUUCUUUUUUCACCAAAAGAGACUUUUCCUCCAUUUAUUUGAACAAACUUUAAGAAACAACUUGAAUCUCCUGUCAUGUGUCUUAAACAGCCACCAUCCAAAUACCAUUUAAUUUUCUUCUUGAUAGUGACUUGCAAUUAAAAAAGAUUCUCAAGCUUUCUUUGGUACCCACAUUUUCUUGGGUUUAGAGGAGUUAGUGCAAUAUGCAGUCUUUGCCCAAUCUUUCUUAACAGGUUUCCAAACCUUACGACAUUCUUCCUCAAAGUGUUCUGAGCUGUAACACUUAGAACAUUUAAAAGCACUUCGGCCAACAGGUUUUAUAAUGACUUUUUGAAAAUGAUUUCUAUAUAAGUUCUUUGUAGGUCUCUGUUUGAUUCUUUCCUUUACUUUCGGAAAAUCAAUUAGAGAAAUGGUUUCAGAAGUCAUUCCUAAACCUGAUUUGUUAAAGUAAGGUCUCUAUAUUGAAAGAAUUUUUUCUAGCUUCUCAGAUCCUAUUAAAAACCUUUUUGAAACAUUUGAAAUGUCAUUUUUCAAACAUGUAUUUUCUUUUGAAAGAGAAUCUGCAUUUCUUUCAAAAUGACAAAACUUUUGUCUAAAUUUUCAAACUUUUCUUUCCAGGAGUUUUCCUGUUGCUUCAGUGUAGAACUUUCCUUUUUUAGCUCGGAAAUCCUCUUAAGAGAAGUUUUGAGGCUAAGACAAAGUUCAUCAGUGUAUUUCGACACUUUGGUAGGAAUUUUUAAAUUGCUUACCUCAAUUUCACUGUAUGAAUCUGAGUCUGUAUCCAUCUCAGAGUCUGAGUCUAAUUCUGAAUUUGCCAUCAGACAAAUGUUAGCAUACUCUUCAUCACUCUCUUCACAUUCUAUGUCGCUCCAAGUCUCUGCUUUGAGAGCUUUCUUGAAUUUCUCUGUAUUUCCCUUCUUUUUCUUCAAAAGAGGACAGUUGGGUCUGAUGUGUCCUUUCUUCUUACAUUCGAAGCAAGUCACAUCUUUAUUGAACUCAUUCUCCUCAGUUAAUUUAUUCUGAAAUCUUUGAGUACCUUGCUUCCUCCAAUUGUAUUUUCUUCCUUUUCUAUUUAAUUUUCUGAACUUCCUUAUCAUGAGUGCUAGUUCUUCAUCAUUCAAGUCUUCUUCUGAAUCUGUAACAUCAGAAUCAUCAUUAGACUUUAAAGUAAUUGACUUCUUACUUUUAGGACCUUCUUCCUCAUUGAUUUGCUCCAUUUCAUAAGAUUAAAGUGUGCCUACUAAGUCGUCUACUAAUAGAGGUGCGAUCCUUUGUGUUUCUCUAAUGGAAGUCUUGAUGUGAUUCUAGUCUUUGGAGAGUCCUCGUAACAACUUAUUGACUUUCAUUUGCCUUGAGAUUGGUUGUCCAUGAUAUGCAAAACCAUUUACAAUCUCUGUAAAUCGGCUAAACAUAUCAGUGAUGGUUUCUCUUGGCUUCAUUUUGAAAGCUUUAUAUUUCCUAAGAAGAAUGUUGAUCUUUGUUUCUUUAACUCGAUCGGUUCCUUCAUAGGUAACAUGCAACCUGUCCCAGACUUCUUUCGCUAUUUCACAAGAUGAAAUUCUGUUAUACUCAGUAGGAGAUAAGACACAAUACAAAGAGUAAAUAGCCUUUGCAUCAAGAGCUUGUCUCUUGGUUAUAUAUGCUUGUGUCAUCUCGCUAGCAUUUGCCACUUCCUAUCCUCUUUCUGAAGUUGAUACAUUUGUAGGAAUAACUCCCUUUUCUACCACAUCCCAUUCAAGGGGAUCUUUCAAUCUUAGGAAAGCUUUCAUCUUGUUCUUCCACAUAUUGUAUUCAUUUCCAUCAAAGUAAGGAGGUCUGGUGUUGUUUUGACCUUCAACCAGUCCUAGAGCCAAAAUAUUAGCCAUAAGUAAAAAAAACAGGCUCUGAUACCAAUUGAAAGGGCUAGUAGAAGCACCUAGAGGGGGGUGAAUAUGUGUAAAAACAGAUUCUACAAAAUACUAUAAAAACCUUCACUUUUAACCUAAGUCUGAAUAACAACAGACUUUUGAAAUUGAGUCUAAAAAUCACCAGACUUUGAACGAGAUCAGACUUUAGCAGUUAAAUAAAGCUACAAACAAACUAAAGAGAUUCAAGGAAGAGAAUAAGAACACAAGGUUUAUAGUGAUUCGGCUUAGACCAAGCCUACGUCCACUCUCCCGCACUAACAACCCACCGGCUGGAUUUCACUAAGAACCAAAAGAGAUAUUACAGUCUCACGUCCUUGAUUCCAUAGUGUAGAGACUCUAUUACACUUCCUCAAUGUCUCACAAGUAUUUAUCUCUCUUUUGAAUAUAGUAUCAGCUUAGCAAAUGAAAUAACAAAAAACUAGGAGCUUCAGACUUUAGAAUUUUUCUAUCACGCACACACUUGAAUAAAACUAAAGUGUUUUCCUUAUGUACUCCUCCAUGCCUUCAUAACCGUUGGCACCCCUUCCAAAGGAGUUCUUCCAAUCAACCGUUGAACAUAAUCAAUUAGGGAGAUCUCGAGUUAUUUAAGGAAUAUGAUGAUAGCCCACCAAUCCUGCUCGCCCAUACAAUCAGGAUUUAGGUUUCCAUAAGUAGAACCUUCCAAGUACACUUUGUCAAUCAACGGAUCUAAAUUACCCGAAUUGAUUUCAAUACGAAUAAUAGAUUUCGAGACGCCAUCUCUAGCCAUGAGAUCUUCUUCAACCAUACGAAUCAAAUCCUUAAGGAUAAACCCACAUCUAGAUAAGUCUUCUUCAACGAAUAAAAUUUUUCUUUGUUGGUCUGGAAGCUGUCAAAGAGGGCAAACUUAAAUCUUGAGUCUGGGGGUCUUCAGACUUUGAUGAUAGAGUCUGCAAAUCUUCAAACUAGACUAAUGGAAACGUUUUGUCAACUUUGAAACAAAUAAGGAAGUUUUCUCCAACAAAAGUUGAUAUAUGCUUACUGUCUAACAUCUUUGAAAAGCAAAUUACCUUCAUUAAUUCCUACAAAAAUUGUAUUUACACCUAUUCACCCCACUCUAGGUGUAUUCUCUAACCCUUUCAAUUGGUAUCAGAGCAUGUGUGCUCAUUUUAUUGAAAUGUUUUUACUUCUGAGUUAAAAAUCUAUGGCUAGUAUUUUGGCUCCAGGAUUGGUUGAAGGUCAAAGCAACACCAGACCUCCUUACUUUGAUGGGAAAGAAUACAACAUAUAGAAGAACACGAUGAAAGCAUUCCUAAGAUCGAAAGAUCCCCUGGAAUGGGAUGUGGUAGAAAAAAGGGUUACUCCUAAAGUUACAUCAACUUCAGAAAGAGGAAAGGAGACUAAGGAUGUUGACGAAAUGACACAAGUGGAAAUAUUUAAGAGACAAGCUCUUGAUGCUAAAGUCAUUUAUUCCUUAUAUUGUGCUUUAUCUCCUACUGAAUAUAAUAGAAUUUCAUCUUGUGAAACAGUAAAAAAAGUUUAGGACAGGUUGCACGUUACCUAUAAAGGAACAAAUCAAGUUAAAGAAACAAAGAUCAAUAUUUUACUCGAACAGUAUGAAGCCUUCAAGAUGAAGUCUGGAGAAUCCAUUACUGAUAUGUUUAGUCAUUUCACAGAAAUUGUGAAUGGACUAGCAUAUCAUGGACAGCCAAUCUCAAGGCAGAUGAAAGUCAACAAGUUGCUGCAAGGACUCUCCAAAAACUUGAAUCACAUAAAGACUUCAAUAGGAGAAACUCAAAGGAUCAUACCUCUCUCAGUGGAUGAACUAGUGGGCACACUUCAAUCCUAUGAAGUGGAACAAAUCAAUGAGGAAGAAGAUCCUAAAGUAAAGAAGUCAAUUGCUUUAAAGUCCAAUAAUGAUUCUGAUAAUACAGAUUCAAAAGAUGACCUGGACGAUGAAGAACUAGCACUCAUGAUUAGGAAGUUUAGAAAGUUAAACAGAAAAUGAAGAAAGUACAAUUGGAGGAAGCAUGGUACUCAAAGAUUUCAGAACAAUUCAACUAAAGACAAUGAGACCAACAAAGAUGUGAUUUGCUUCGAAUGUAAGAAGAAAUGACACAUCUGACCCAACUGUCCUCUAUUGAAAAAAAAAAAGAAUGGAAGUACAGAGAGAUUCAAAAAGGCUCUCAAAGUAGAGACUUGGAGUGACACUGAAUGUGAAGAGAGUGAUGAAGAAUAUGCCAAUAUUUGUCUAAUGGCAAAUUCAAAAUCAGACUCAGACUCUGAAAUGGAUUUAGACUCAGACUCAGACAAAUAAAUCGAGGUUAGUAAUUUUAAAAUUCCUGUUAAAGUAUCAAAAUAUAUUGAUGAACUCUAUCUUAGUCUCAAGGUAUCUAAGAAGGAAAAUUCCACACUAAAGCAACAAGAAAUUUGUUGGAAAGAAAAAUUUGAAAAUCUAAAUAAAAGCUUUGUUGUUUUGAAAGAAAAUACAGAUUCUCUUUCUAAUGAAAACAUUUUUUUGAAGGAAGAUAUUUCAAAUAUCUCAAAGAAGUUUUCAAAUGGAUCUGAAAAGUUAGAUAAAAUUCUUUCAAUUCAAAGACUUUAUUUCAACAAAUCAGAUGUGGGAAUGAUACCAGAAACCAUUCCUUUAAUUGACUUUCCAAAAGUAAAAGAUAGAAUCAAACAAAAACCUACAAAAACCUUUUACAAAAAUCAUUUUAAAAUUUUUUUUGUAAAAUCUGUUGGCAGAAGUGCUCUCAAAUGUUCAAAGUGUAACAGCUCAGAACAUUUCGAGAAGGAUUGUCCUAAAGUUUGGAGACUUGUUAAGAGAGAUUGGGCAAAGACAGUUUUUGCAACUAACUCCCUUGGACCCAAGAAAAUGUGGGUACCAAAGAAAACUUGAAAUCUUCUUAUAACUGCAGGCCACUAUCAAGAAAAAGAUCAAAUGGCAUUUGGAUAGUGGCUGUUCGAGACACAUGACAGGAGAUUCAAACUGCUUUAUAAAUCUUACUCAAACAAACGGUGGAAAAGUUUUUUUUGGUGGAAAUAGCAAAGGAAGAAUCAUUGGAUGUGGAAUUGUGAAGAUUGGAAGUCUCAUAAUCUACAACGUCUCCUUGGUGGAAGGCUUGAACUAUAAUCUACUCAGCAUAAGUCAAUUAUGCAACAUUGGAUUCAAAAUCAACUUCCAAGAAGGCAUUUGCUCAAGAUCUAGUAAACAUAUGUCUCAAUCUUUUACUGGACGAAGACAUGGAAACAUCUAUCUACUGGAUAUAAAACCAGAAAGCUCUCAAUGUCUAAUUUCUAUUCAAGAUGAAGAAAAUCUUUGGCAUCGAAAGCUUGGUCAUGUCAAUAUGAAGUAGAUAGCCAAAGUUUCCCUCCAAGAUACUUGUUUGUGGACUACCUAACUUGAGCUAUCAAAAGUCUGAAUUAUGCACACCAUGUGUUUUGGGAAAAUAGAAAAGUCAGAUGAAGGAAUCUUUCUCGGAUACUCAACAACAAGCAAAGCCUACAGAGUAUUCAACAAAAGACUCAAUCUAUUGAAGAGUCUAUGAAUGUCAAGUUUCAAGACUCUACACAAAAUCAAGUGGUAGAGACUUAACCUGAAGAAACUGAACCUGCUCGAGAUGUUACAAAGUCUAUUUCCCCCACAGAAGUUCAGACUCCUGAAAUUCAACAACAUGAAGAACCAAAAGAUUCAACUAAAGCAAAGGAUGAGCAGACUCACAAAUCAACUAGCAUCUGGAAGCACAAGUCUAGUCAUCCCAAAGAACUUAUCAUUGGUAACAUUGAUGAAGGAAUUCAUAACAGAUCCAAAAGGUGAGAAGAGUCUAGUGCCUUGGCACUAAUUUCUAAAGUUGAACCCAAAAGUGUAGAAGAUGUCUUGGCUGAUGAAAGCUAGAUUGAAGCUAUGUAAGAAGAACUCAGACAGUUCAGCAUCAACGAUGUUUGAGAGCUAAUUCCUAAACCAAAAGGUAAAUCUAUUAUUAGAGCUAAAUGGGUUUUCAGGAACAAAGCAGGUGAGAAAGGAAAAGUAAUCAGGAACAAAGCAAGACUCGUGGCCAAAGGAUACACACAAGAAGAAGAGAUAGAUUAUGAUGAGACCUAUGCACCAGUAGCAAGGUUAGAAGCAAUUAGAUUAUUACUUGCUUUUGCUUGCUAUAAAAAUUUUAAGUUAUUCCAAAUGGACGUCAAAAGUGCAUUCCUAAAUGGAUUUAUCCAAGGGGAAGUUUAUGUGGAACAACCACAUGGUUUUGAAGAUCCAAGAAAGCCAAACUCUGUCUACAAACUGAAAAAGGCUCUGUAUGGACUGAAGCAAGCACCUCGAGCCUAGUAUGAAAGGUUAAAUAAUUUCUUAACUCAAAAUGGAUUUAUUAAAGGAAAAGUAGAUACUACUUUGUUUGUUAAAAGAGAAGGUAAAGACUUUAUACUUGUUCAAAUUUAUAUUGAUGAAAUUAUCUUUGGAUCACAAAAUGAAAGUCUAUGCAAGAAGUUUUCUAGAUGUAUGCAGGAUGAAUUCGAAAUGAGUAUAAUGGGUGAACUAAAUUUCUUUCUGGGAUUACAAGUAAAAUAGUCAAAAGGAGGAAUCUUCAUUCACCAAGAGAAGUAUGCGAAAGAUCUCAUUAAGAAGUUUGGAUUGGAAAACUGCAAAAAAAUAGAAACACUUAGUCAAGCUCUUCAAAGCUAAAUAAAGAUGAAAAAGGAAAGACCAUGGAUCAAAAACUAUACAGGAGCAUUAUUGGAUCACUUCUUUACCUUACUACAUCUAGACCUAACAUUUUGUUUAAUGUUUGUAUCUGUGCUAGAUUCCAAUCAAAUCCCAAAAAAUCUCAUCUCAGUGUAGCAAAGUGAAUCAUCAAAUACAUUGCAACUACUCCAAAGCUAGGACUGUGGUAUCCCCAAGAAGGAGACUUUACUCUUCUUGGAUAUUCAGAUGCAGAUCUUGUAGGAUGCAAAGUGGGUAGAAAAAGCACUUUUGGUACAUGUCAACUGCUUGGCAACAAGCUGGUAUUUUUGUUUUCAAGAACACAGAGUACCGUAGCUCUUUCAAUAGCUGAAGCGGAGUAUUUGGCACUUGGAAGUUGCUAUUCUCAAAUCUUAUGGAUGAGGCAACGGCUAAAAGACUUUGGAAGUGAAGAAUCAUGCACUGAAAUCAAAUGCGAUAAUACAAGCGCUAUCAAUCUUACAAAGAACCCAAUUCUUCAUUCAAGAGCAAAGCAUAUAGAAAUACAUCAUUUUAUUAGAGAUCAUGUUCAGAAUGGAGAAAUUUUGGUUCAAUUCACUGACUCGAAGAAUCAACUGGCGAACAUAUUUACAAAGCCACUGGAUAAAAGCUUAUUUGAGUCUAUUUGUGCAGCACUAAACAUUCUACCUUUGCCAGGUAAAGUCUAAAGGUGCUUAGACUCAGAAUUUUCAGGUGUUACGAUUGUAAGUAAAUUUCUUCUAAAUGAAUGUGAAGUUAUAUAAAUUCAAAAGGUACAUUAUUCUUUCAAUUGGUGUGUCGACUGUAAGUAAAGUUCAAUUAUCUUUUGAAUAUUUCAUUCCUAGAAAUUAUCUUUUUUGUUCAUUUUCAAAAAUGCAGUUAUUAUUUUGAAAAAAGAUAGUUAUCAUUGAAAAAGGCAACUUUUCAUUUUCAAAAAGGGGCAGUUUUUACUUUCUCCUUGUGACGCUUCGUAUACCUGCUAUAUAUAUACUGUUGAAACUCUUCUUCUUCAUUUACGCACUCUUUUUGAAACCCUAGAUUACAGUGAUCUUUUUUCAUCUACUUGAGUUUCAUCCAACAAAAUUUAACCUUUUUUGAAAGAGCGAGUUCAAGAAAUUCUCCUAGACCUUGACAAUGUCUUCCCAAAGAAAGUCUUCGAAAAUCGCAAGUCAGGGGCCACAGCGUAUGCGUGAAGGACCUACGCAUUUCGACUUGACCGAGGAAGAAGAUUCUACUCAACAGCAAUAGCCAAAACAACAUUCUCAACUGCGUCAACAAGCAACACAAGAUCCUCCUCCACAACAAGAACAGGAAGAGGUCAUUGAAAAAGUUGAACCUGUAAGGACUCAAAAACCCCAAUUUAUCUAGAGACUGUAUUCAAACUUGAAGAGGGGCGGUUCUGCUAUGAACUUGAUUGAUGAGUUCUUAAAAGCGCACGGCUACAAAAAUGAGACCUUUUUCUUAAACACUAUGGAAAGACUAGGCAUUACGCCUCAGGGGUUGGCUCAAUGGUCGUUUGAAACUUUUCCUAGUGAUCCGAGAUUUGGUCAGCCAGGGGAGAAGGACGACGAUGAAAAUUUGUUUUUUAAUUUUCAGCCCAAGAUGGGCGUUGCUGCGAAGGUUGGUGGUGAAGGGACAAACUUAUUUCGUUCCAAGGACCACAAGAAGUGUUACUUGAGUUUGCUGAAAGAGGGGUUAUGAACCCCAGAAGCGUAGAUUUUGAUUUUCUUGACUCUGUGAAGGUUAAUUUGAGGGAAAAUUUUGGUUUGCUUCAACUCGAACGAUUUUGCUCCGAAACAACUGCUGCACAUCCCGAACUCAUAGCCUAUUUUUAUUCAAAUCUGUCAUUUAUAGAUGCGAAUAAAUUUAGUUUUUCUAUAAGGGACAAAGAGUUUGUCGUUGAUGUGGACACCCUGGCCGACUUAAUUGGUGUGGAAAGAGGGAGUUUCCAACCAAUUGGUGUGUCUCAUGCCCAUGCUACCUUGUCCAUUGUAAAUGACAGAAUGGUCAAAGGCAAGAUUUCUUAUUCAAGAAUGAAUGCCUAUAAUAUUCUUCUUCACAAGGUGGUGAUCAAUUGCAUCAGGCCAAAGUCUACCUCAAAGACAGACGUCUCUCAUUCCGAAGCAAAGCUCAUGUAUGCGAUUAUCUCUAGCCAUAAGUUCUCUCUUCUUCACACAAUUCUUAUGGACAUGUAUAGAACUGUGGUGAAAGACAAGGGACAACUUCCCUACUCGGUGCUUAUCUCACAACUCUUCAAGCAUUUUAAGAUCAAACUUCCUGCUCCUCUUUGUGCUACAACCAUUGCUCCAAUGGUUAUUGGUCUUAAAAUGGUUUCUAAGAUGAGGCUAAAGGAUCUGAGCAAGGAGCUGGAGCACUUUAAGGAGAAGUCCCCUGUGAAGGCGAAGCAAGACUCUGCUGCAAAGAAACGGAAAGGCAAGGAGCCCAUGCCAGAACCAGUGAAGAAAAGAAGAUCUCUCAUCUUGGAAGACGAAGAAGAAGAUGAUGAUGAUCUCACUAUCUCAGCUCUUGCCCUACGAAACUUACAGAGUUAUGUGAGCCAUAUAGAGAAUAGAGAUCGAGAAGGAACAGAGAGAGGAGAUGAAGGAAGAAAAGAAAGAAGAGAAGAAGAACCAGAAGGAAGAAGAAGCGAAGAAGAAAGGAGUUGCCAUGACUCUUUUGCACCAACAUUGGCUACAUCUUUGUCCGAUACUUCGAAGAAGACAAAGAGUGGAAAGACUGGAGAACAACAUCGCUACAAUGCUGAAGCAGAGCUUGAAGAAGAACAUAACUCUCCACCUGAAGGUACGAAGACAGGGGGAGAUGGUGAAAAUCGAGGUACUUCUUCGCCCCAUCUUUGCUAGUGAUGUUAGUAGAUCUCUACCAGAUCCAGAAGAGAUCUAUGCCUCUCAUUUCCCUGAAGCAGAUUUCGAGGCAUAUACUCCUACUCGUGGUGAUAGAACUACUAAUGUUCCCCCUCAUGUUCAAACUUCUACAUUUGAUUCGGCUAGACCCAGCUCUUCUACAGUUCACUCAACAAAUUUUCAGAGAGUGAUGGAGCUUCUUUUAGAAUUAAAGGGCCAGCAAUAUGCUUUCGAGUUUGAUAUGAAGCACAUGAUGACUGUUUUCAAGACAUCUAUAGACUCUCUUCAAGAACAAAUCUAGGACUUAAAGCUUCAACGACAAGAAAAGGCGAAGGAUGCAGAUAUUCAACAGAUUAAGGAGUCCUUGAAGACGCUUGAAGACCCUGUCAAGUCCAUGGGGGAUUUCCAGCUCGUUCGUAUCCCAAGUAACCCUGAUUCAAACCAUCUUUCUUAAUCGUUUUUGUCUCCACUUUUUGCCAAUGACAAAAAGGGGGAGAGUUUAAGUGCAGAUUUGCAUUUUGAUUUGAUUAUGGUUUUACUGACUUUGGACUUUACUUUCUGUGGACUUGUUGAUUAUGAUUUCGUUUGACAUUUGACUUUCGAUAUUGUUAAUCCUUUUUGUUUGCAAGUGCAGUAAUUGAGUUUGCGAUAUUACUUAUAAUUGGUUUGGACUAACAUGUGUUUUGUGGUUGUAGAACCAAGGUUUCUCAAAGUCCUAAUCACAUUUAUAAGAUGUUAUAUAUUGCAUAAAAUGUUGUAGUGCAGGCCAAGAAGUUUUUCAAAUCUGCAGGAAAGUUUUGUCACCGUCAAAAAGGGGGAGAUUGUUAGAGAAAACUCCUUUAUUGUUUUGAAGUUGACAAAACAAUUCCAAAGUCUUAUCGGAAGAUCUCAAGACUUUAUUGUCAAAGUCUGAAGACCGACAGACCAUCAGAUUUUAGUCUCAAAGUCUAUUCUCACUAACAGUUCUAGACUGAAGUAUGAAGACUUAUCCAAAUGCAGGAUUAUUAUCCAGAUGCAAGAUUAUCUUCAAAGUUCUGAUUCGUAUGAUUAUUGGAAGACUUUAUAGUUGGAUUUCACAUAUACUUGAUUGAUUAUUCUUAUCGGAAUUUAUUCCAAUACGGAAACCUUUGAAAGGCGAGCUAAAUUUGGAAAAUUCUACUUAUGGAAACUCAAGAUCCUGAUUGUAUGGGCGAACAGGAUUAAUGGGUUAUCAUCAUAUUCCUUAAAUGACUCGAGAUCUCCUUGAUUGAUUCUAUCCAACGGAUAGUUUGGAAGAACUCCUUUGGAAAGUGCCAAUGGUCGUAGAGGCAUGGAAAAGUAUAUAAGGAAGACUCUCAAAGUCGUUCUAGUGUGUGCUUGAGAGAGAAUUCCAAAGUUUGAAGCUUUCUAGUUUCUUGUUUUUUCAUUUCAUCAAGUUAAACAUUGUAUAAGAGAGAGAAAUCCUUUGUGAGACCGUGUGAGAGUUCGAUAGAGACUCGUCACUGUGAUAGUCGAGAUCACGGGCUGUAACCUCUCUUUUGAUCCUUAGUGGAAUCCAGUCGAUAGGUUGUUAGCGAGGAGAAUUGACGUAGGCUAGACCUAAGCCGAACCACUAUAAAUUUUGUGUUUAUUUUCUCCUAUCCCUGAACUUGCUACUUCCAUCUACUAUUUGUUUAUUUGCUCAAAGUUGAUAUACGCUUAUGUCUAACAUCUUCAAAAAGCAAAUUACCUUCAUUAAUUCCUAUGAAAAUAAUAUUUACACCUAUUCAGGCCCCUCUAGGUGUAUUCUCUAGCCCUUUCAGUAUGCACCUAGUAAUUUCGACAAGCUUCUUGGCUCCUGUACCCGUAUGAAAACCCAAGCAAAUCAGGUGAGAGAAGAAAAAUGCUAAAAUGCAACUCAAUCAAAGCCACAAUCAAUUUAGACAUUGAACCAAAUGUCUACGCAAAGAGACAUUAAGUUAAACCAACCACAUUCACGAUGCCAACUUUCCCAGGGAAACUUCUUUUUUCUUUUUCUUCAAAUAGCAACAGCAAAAGAGUCGCACAAUUAAGAAUCACAAACGAAACUCUACUGAACCGAUCCUUUCCUCUAAACCGAAUGUGGCAAUACGCUUGUUUUUCCAAGACAUUUCUCUGCUUACAUAUAUUCACGUCCAAGACAACAACGUUAAUCCAGGAACCAAGCCAGCACCAUAGGUAAACAACAUGCAGGAGAGCGCGCAAAGAAGACGACUCACUGCCGACUUGUAAGGCUACGAGAUCGUCAUCCAAAUGGAGCAACAUGAAGCAACAGAAGGUGAGCGAGAGAGAGAGAGAGAGAGAGAGAGAGAGGGUGUUGCGCAAUGCGCACUGUGAGGUGAUGCCGGCAGUGAAAUAAGAGGAUGGCAUGCCAAAUAAGAAAAGAGAGGAGGGAAUCUGGACGGAGGAGGAAUGAGGACGAAAGUCAUUCAGACCGAGGAAGGAUCCGAGGGAUCAUUUGGGGUUUAUGCUAUGCGAUUCCUCAUUUGGAUCUCCCGGUGUUGACAAUACACGAGAGAACAAAGCCAAGUACAAUCAUAAUGAAAUGUUCCUGUCGUGCUUCUGUCGUUUCCGCGGCGCUUACGAUGCCGUCGCCCGAUGGGAGGGGUGUUGUGGGACUUCACCAAGUCAAUAGUCUUCGCAAAACCUUGACAAAAAUGGCCGUCCCCUCCCCACUCCAUCCCCUCUUCCUACCCUGAUCAGCGUCCCUCUCUUCCUCAUCUUCUUCCACGCGAAAACCAACUAAGGGAAGAGAGAGAAAAAGGGCCUCGAAGCUUCGUUCACACCCGAACCCCACACUCGUCUCGCCCCUCGCCUCACGCUCUCUCUCUCUUUCUUUCUCUGUGUCUCUGUCUCGCUUAUAUCUAGGUCUUUUCAGCUCCCUUUGCAGACGUGCAUCCGCUACUGUCUCCGCCUCCCUCGCAGCUUGGAACCCUCUUGGCCGUUCCUCCCGUUUCCACCGGCGGGGGGCCCCCCGGUUCUUGAUGCUUUCUUGGCGUUUCGCCUGUGCAAGAACCGAUCGCGAUCGACAAGCUCUCGGGUACGUGUCCCUGUCCGUCCUUCGCUGCCUCUGUUUCUUUGCUUUGCUUUGCUUUGCUCUGUUUUAGCUGGACGGGAGCUCGCGGCGGCCGUGACUUUGGGUCGCGGCGGCCGUUUGGGCCGUCCGCGCGAGGGGUUGAGGUUCCUGUUCCUGUUCCUGUGUCUGUGUGCUGAUUGGUUUGCGGUUCCGAUGGUUCAGACAUGUGUCCUGUAGGUGCUUUGUAUCGAGGAACGAUGAAUUUGGGUCGGAUGUUGUGCUUCUUUUGAUUCGUUUUCUAAGUUCUUUUUCUUCUGUCCUUUAGUGGGCUGUUUUCGUAGUCGGGAGGAGUGUCGCGCGAUUUGAGCGAUUUCAGCAUGUGGCGGUAGCGAAUUGAGGAGGGUGGUGGUGUCUGCCUGUGGAAUUCGAAAGGCUUCUUCGCGUGGGAUGGAGUUGCGGAAUCGGGUUUCGAGACUUGUGGCCGCCGGAUUUCUCUGGGCCUUGCUUGGCUGUUGUGUGAUCGACUGCCUCGAGACCGAUAUUAACUGCCUGAAGACCAUAAAAGCGUCGGUUCAAGAUCCUCUGAAUUACUUGAACUAUACUUGGAAUUUCGACAACUUCACUGAAGGCUUCAUUUGUGGAUUCACCGGAGUGGAGUGCUGGCAUCCUGAUGAGAACCGGGUUCUUAAUCUAAAGCUUUCUGAUAUGGGACUCAAGGGCCAGUUUCCUCGUGGCAUCGAGCAAUGCAAAAGCUUGACAGAAUUGGAUCUCUCGAGCAAUGAGUUCUCUGGACCGAUCCCGGAAAAUAUAUCGAGUAUAAUUCAGUUUGCGACAUCUCUCGACCUGUCGUCCAAUAGUUUUUCCGGACAAAUCCCGGUCAACCUUUCAGAAUGUAAGUACUUAAUUUCCCUUAGGCUCGAAGACAACCAGCUGUCCGGUCAGAUUCCGGCUGAACUCAGACUACUCGGUCGACUCAAAUCCUUUGUCGUGGCCAACAACCUUCUGACGGGGCCAGUCCCCGUAUUUAAAGAGAACGCUGCAAUCACUGAAGAUGAUUAUGAAAAUAAUCCAGGACUUUGUGGUCCCCCUCUCUCUCCGUGCAUGAUAAAGAAGACCUCCAACGCUAGAAUAAUUGUUGGAGCAGCGGCCGGUAGCGUAACUCUCACAGCCAUAGGUAUUGCGGUCGGCAUGUUCUUUUAUAUGCGCAGAAUGUCUGUGAAGAAGAAGAAAGAUGAGGAUCCUUUAGGCAGUAAGUGGGCGAAAGCCUUAAAGAAAAGCAAAGGCGUCAAGGUAAGAUUACUGAAUGCACUGCUUUUGAAUUUGUUGCAAGAAUUUCUUCUGCCUGCAUCAUAAAUACCAUCUCUCUCCCUCCCUCCCUCCCUUCCCGUGUACACGUGCGCGUGCCCACUUUGACUGCGAACGAAUUUGUAUGCAUCUACAGAACUGUUUUUGAGCAGGACUGAGUACUGUUAAUGCUCUCUAGGUUUCCAUGUUUGAGAAGUCAGUUUCCAAGAUGAAACUAAGUGACCUGAUGAAGGCUACAAACAAUUUCAGCAAACACUGUAUAAUUGGAUCAGGAAGGACAGGGACGACGUAUAAGGCCGUGCUCGAGGAUAAUACUUUACGCAUGGUCAAGAGGUUCCAGGAUUCUCAACAGUCCAAAAAAGAAGUGAUGUCUGAGAUGGCUACACUAGGAAGGGUUAAGCACCGCAACUUGGUUUCACUUUUGGGUUUUUGCAUGGCCAAAAAGGAAAGGCUUCUGGUCUACAAGUACAUGGCCAAUGGUAUACUCCAUGAUCAUCUACAUUCUCUGGAUGAUCCCAGCAAAGCUUUGGAGUGGACUUUGAGGCUCAAAAUUGGGAUUGGAGCAGCACGAGGACUGGCAUGGCUUCACCAUAACUGCACUCCUCGUAUUAUCCACUGCAACAUAAGCUCCAAGUGCAUCCUUCUUGAUGCGGACUUUGAGCCUCAAAUAUCUGAUUUUGGUCUGGCUAGGCUCAUGAACCCAAUCGACACGCAUUUGAGUACUUUUGUGAAUGGGGAAUUCGGUGAUCUGGGAUAUGUGGCACCUGAGUACGCACGAACCCUCAUGGCCACCCCAAAUGGAGAUGUGUAUAGUUUUGGAGUGGUGCUUCUUGAACUGGUAACUGGUGAGAGGCCCACUCAAGUUUCUAAAGCCCCUGAAAGUUUUGAGGGUAAUCUGGUGGAGUGGAUCUCCGAGCUCUCAAACAGCUCGAAACUCCACGAUGCAAUAGACAGAUUUUUGGUUGGAAAGGGAAUUGACGAUGAAGUCUUUAAAGUCCUUAAGGUGGCAUGCAGUUGUGUGUUGCCAGCUCCGAAGGACAGGCCCACUAUGUUCGAAGUCCAUCAGUUCCUAAGGUAUGGUGAAUAAAAUACUCUGAUAUGAUUUGUUAGAAAUCAUAUAGGGUGAGUGGCUAUGAUAGGGUGGCUCGUGAGCCGGCCAAUGAGAUGGCAUGGAACCCCCUUUUUGCUUGUAAGGCCGGAAGAGAUUGGAGUUGGCAAGCAUCGCCCGGGGGAUUUGUUCUCCACACUAGGGUCCACCGAACUAGAUGCAUCGCAGCCGUUGAUUUUUACGGGGCCUCCAAGCGGACUCUCCAUGAUGGCCCGUAAAAUCGACCGUUGUGAGGCACUCGAUUCAUUGGACUCGAGUCCAAGGAAAUAUCUCUCGCGAUUGAUGUUGUCAAUUUUAUAAGUUUCUUGUUAUUGUAAAUUCGAUGUGCAAUGUUUCUAAUGUAUGACUUGAGAACCAUGGUGGUGAAGGAUUGAUCUCGAGACCAGAUUUUCGAUUCUACUUGAGAUUGUGUCUCUCUUGUUUUGCUCAAUUUUUUGCAAAGUAGGGGGACGACAAGUGUGCUUCGACGCAGUGUUUUUGCUGCUAAGUCAUAAUUAGGGUUGUUAUACUUUCCAGAGCAGAAGCUGUCGUAAAUAGUUAUGCCUAAGCGAACAGAACAUUAAUAGCAAAUAUGUCAUCAAAAAGAUAGAUAUCUUUAAAGAAUCGUGUUUCCAUGAGAUCACGGAACAGCGGGUCGUUAGUGAUUGUCCCUUUCCAUAAAAAGAGAGUAAAUGACUUUUUAGAAAUACCAUAUUUGACGUGAGCCAUAACAAACCAUACAAUGUGUGUUGAAUAGGCAAGAAAUGUAUGGUCAAUAAAAGACUGAUAUGAUUUUUGAGAAAGUCCACUUACAAAACUCAAUCUUAAAGGUAAAGAACAUGAAUCACAUGUACAUAAGAAUUGAGCUUUUAGAAGAAAGCCUCGACUGAAAUAAUAUGAAAGAAGAUACUUACACUGAGCUAGGACUUUGGCCUGAGCCUAGUGUGAAAAUAUUACAUUUGAGAGAUAGAGAUUUAAACCUGCUAUGAUAUAAUGUGGGAUUUUGUCUAGCCACCACCCACCAUUCUAAAAACUUAAGCUGUUUUAGAUGAAAAAAAUAAGUAAAUAUCGAAUCACGCUUUGUUUGAUAGUUUAAGCUUUUAGAACAGUUAAUGAUGAUUCUAUAAAAAUCUCACAUGGUAUCAAAACAUAAAAUCCCGAGUUCAAAAAUUUCUAUGCUUUAUUUGCUCAUCAAUUAAACACAUCCAUGCCUAAUACUAGGCAAAAAAGACUAAACUAAACGUGAAAGGAAAUGAUAAAAUAUUUGAAUACUAAACUAUACUUUCAUUUGAUAGUUUCAACUUUUAAAGUUGACACUUUACCAAAUCAAGGACAAAUCGCCACGUGGGGAGAUUACUAACAUGAAUAAUUGCUCUAGAGACAAAAUUUAUUUAAAGGAAAAAAGUAACUUUGAUCAAUCAUCGUAUUUAUGUCUAGCGGGUACAAACCAAAUGUGAAGGCAUCCUCUUUGAACCGUCGCGUGGAACAUCAUCCGCCCUAAAUCUCCAACUUUCCCCAUCCCUUUCGCGUGUGAACGCGGCGGGGGGGGGGGGGGGGGGGGGGGGGGGGGGGGAAGGGACGAGGAAAAUUUAGUCACGGACACGACGCUAACGUGAAACAUGGUUCAUGGAAUUCAAAGCGGACAGGAAGAUUCUCCCUCCUCCCUCCUCCUCACUUUAAUAUAAAGGAAAGAACAACGACGGUUCCCACUUUUAUCUUCUUUUCUCCUUUUUGUUUUUCUAGCUCUGUUUUAUUUCGAUUUAAAUAAUUAAUUAAAACGACGUGGAAAUAACAUGGUAAAAAAAAAAAUGACAGAUUUGACUGCAAGCAAAACAUAAUAUAUUGCCCGAUUUUCGGCAAAGUGGAAAGGAUGGAGGAGGGCUUCCGUUGACCGGGUCAACGACGACGAAGUGCGCGACGGGGACGCAUGAACCCGGAGACCCGCGAGGAAAGCUCGUGGGCGCAUUUACUAUCUGAACCCCACUUUUGAAUCUUUCUUUCUCCCUUUCUUUUUUUUCUUAAAAAAAAAAAUUCUGUUUUUAUAAAAGUGUGGAAAAUCUGGUGGUCGAAUUCUAAUCAUUGAAGGGUGUUGAUAAAAAAAAUACUCUCUAGGAUGCCGAUUAAUUAUAAUUAAAGAAACACUUUUCGAAAGGCUAGAAAUCGAAGAUAUGAAUUUUAAAGUGAAAAAUGCAUAAUAAUUGAUUAUUUGAACUUAUAUAGGCUUCCUCAACAGUCCAAUCUCAAAGACCUCUCUCGAGUACCCACCCGCUGCAGCUCAUUGCGAAAGACCUCUCUUCGCUCAGCUGGAGCCUGCAAAUGGAAGAUAGACAUGCAGACAAUCAAGGCAAUGCAAAGUCACCCAGCUUUUGACAGACAAAGAAGUCGGUAACAUCUACUCCGAUAUCUUAACAAUUGUGAUAACGAAUUUAUUGAACUAUCUAAGCCUAGGCAUCGAUCUCACAUGUCUACUUGUCUUAAUCUACUUCAUAACAACAAUACAUCAGCGCAUGACAAUAGUCCGACACCUCUGAUAAAAAUGCUCAAUCCUUUAGCAAGUUCUUAUGUUCAUGAAUGCUUAUAUAUUAAUAAGAGAAAAAACUAAAUUACGUACAGCCUCUCGAAAAUAUCUUUUAAAGUUAGUCAACUGGUUGCAUAAAAAACUUCAGGGCCUCCGUUCAGCAUAGUUGAAUAUGAGCACCACUUUUUUUCUCAUAGCAUGUUAAUCAACAAUGGUGCUCAAUCAGACCCACGGUUUAUGCCAUCUUGUUGAAUCCGUAGCAUUCCAUGUCAAUAUCAUUCAUACAUCAGGAGUUGCAAAUUACGGCACAGAAAAUUAGAACCAAAAAGACCUAACAUCAGAUUGAUCACCGGUAAUUUGAAGACCUAAACACACACACGUGGUGGAUGCAUGUGGGUGUGCCCAAAUAAGCCUUGCAUGUAGAUGCCGCCCAACCACACAGGCAGAUGAGACAAACAACAGAGUUCAUAACAACAAAAGGUCGUAUGCAGCGUUGUCAAUAAGACAAAGAAACUCUGCACCUACACAUCUACACCACCAGCAGCCACAACUUCAGAAGUACCUUUCAAAGACUUCAGUGGUACUUAAGAAACAAUGAUAUAGCAUCCCUCAUUCUUCUAUAAGUGAAAGGAUAAACACAAGAUUUCAGUCGAGUAAAUAAAAGUGGUAAACGGACAUGCUUCCUCCCACAAUGUGACAGCUGGAACUAAAAGAAUGGGGCUUUAAACUAAAUUCUUGCAGAGAUUGUCAGUUGACUGCCAAAUCUCUUGCUAGAAAAAUAUAGAAUGAAAAUGGGUGAUUUCUCCUACAAUGAAAGUGGGCCAUAGGUAGACUUGAUAUCAAAUGAAAGAACUGAUAUAUUCUUAUUUGUUGAGGACGCGCAGACAACAGAGUAUCUAAAGAACAAUAUAUGAAAAGCUUGUGAUGGUACAUUAGGCAGGAAUAGCCAUUGAGAUGAACUUAACAACACAAAGAGCCAUUUCGGCAAGUAUGCAUCCAUGCAAUGCCAUGGCCAUGAAUGCACAAUGCCUCAGUGCACCGCUUACUUUAACAUAGUUCUUCCAGGGAUACCUAAAUGCUCUGUAUGGACCAUGAGGUGGCUCCCAGAUAGCAAAACCCAACUUCUCGCGUAACAGAAUGGAAAAUGGGAAGAAUAAGAAAACAAGAUCAACUAAUAUUUCAAAUAAAGCAGAUGAGCAGAAAAUUACCUGAGCAUCUUCUUUGCUUGUGGAUUCUACAGCUGCUCUGUAACCAUUAUAGAGUGGAUCAUCGGAGGCCUGAUAAGUAAGAAUUUUCGAGGGAACCCUUUCAUAUUCAAUACAAUUGAGGUACCCAUUAACACAACCUAAUGAGAAGCAAAAUUAGAUAAAGUGAACAGGAGGGAUGAGAAGCAAAAUAGAAUAGACAAAAUAACUAAUCAAAGAAUGUUUAGUAAUCUUUAGAAAACAGAAUUAUAAACCUAGGGUGAACCUUCCAAAGAUGUUGCAAUCCCCAUGAAGUUCUUAACCACAAACUUAUUCAAGUCCUCGCCAACCCAGAUGGGAAAAAUGCAAACAUUUACUGCCAGGCCAACACCAGCACCUAGUGCAAUGAGGAAGAAGCGGGCAACAGCUGUGCGUAGUCACUGAGCCCAAUCGCUGACCAACUUCGCAGCGUGCAGUGGUAGGACAUGUGCCUCCGGCUCUGCUCCCACCCCACCACGGCCUAAUCUCUGCUCCCCUUCCUCUGCCUUAGGAAGAAACAGCCCUCCCUCCUCCUCUAGUCGGUCGACGAAGCACAAUUAUUACGGCCCUAAUGUGCUUCGUUGGCGAGGCGGGGAACGGCUGCUCGACAAACGACGGAGCAGCAACGAGCGCAGUAAGAGAAAAGAGUAAGCACCGGAGCAAGGGCACCUCCUUCGUCGGCUCAGGCGGGGAACGGCCACUUCACGAACGCCGGAACGAACGCCGGAGUAGCAACGAGCAUGAAGAGAGAAGCAAGCGAGCACAGUGCAAGGGCGGCAUAGUGUGGUUAAUCAGCGACGGCAGGGGUUAUGGCCACUUGUCGCACGGUGGAGCAGUAACAAGUGCAGAAGGAGAAUUUGGGAUUCAAAAUUUUGAACCCUUCAUUCCGAGAAAAUAUUGUGUACGUCUUAUGCUCCAGCGUGUCAAAUGAUAAGGCAACGAGAACGCGACACGUGUCGGUAUGGGUCCCGCUCCAUCAGGCCAUGCAUCUGAUGACCAUUCUUCAAAUUUUUGCAUCCUCUCUCCUCAUUAAUUGCUGGUCUUCCCCCUCCAUUCGUGUUGAAACCCCCUCCCUUCUCUCUCUUCAACUAGAGGACACUCUCUUUUCUGUGUCUUCUACAUCUUCCGAGAAUAAGAAGCCCGCGCUCUUUUUUCUUUCAAAAAACGCUCCCUCCUUGCAAGUCUAGGUACUGCACUUAGUCUCGGGAAAAAACCUCUCGGCUCGCACUUUCAUUUUACCGAUCCUACAUAUAUGGUUUAAGAUCCGCAAGAACUUCGACAAUUGCUUCCACGGUUUUUGGUUGGUCUGCGAUGUACAGCGUCUAUACCAGAAGCACAUUCGCCCUAAAAUCGCGAUUUUGCUUCUCAAGUUAUAAAGCUUGUUGUUACCCUUUUAACUUUAAUAAUUUUGUUAGAAAUUAUAAAGUUAGAUUUAUACUAUGCUUGACUAUUAUCAAUUGGCCAAGAUCUACUCCCUUGACAAUACUGCUUAUUAAACCUCUUGAGAGUCUUUUAGUAAAUGGAUUAGCUAAGUUAUCAUUUGUUCGAACGUAAAUUAUUGAAAUAAUUCCAUCAGUAAUUAAUUGUCAAACAUACGCAUGUCGCAAACUAAUAUGUCUAGAUUCUCCAUUGUACAUUUUAUUGUAUGCCUUAAACAUAGUUGCCCUCACUAUCACAAUAUAAAGAUAUGACUACCAUUAGUUGUAGCCACAAUUCUAUAUCCAAUAGCAAAUUUCGCAGCCAUUCACCCUCUUUAUUAGUCAUUGAUAGUGAUAUAAAUUCAUAUUUUACUGUGAAUGAGUUAUACAUGUUUGCUUCUUUGAUGCUCAAGAGACCGCACCAUUUGCAAGUUUGGAAAUUCUUCCAGAUGUUGACUUGUUAUUGUUGACACUUGAAUUUGUCAACUGUUCAAGUGUCCUUGGGCAAAAGCAUAGGAAUACAAAUAAUAGUAAUAAUAAAAAAAUAGUAAUUAAAAAAAGAAAUUAAGAAAAAACUUGACAAAAUCGGGUGAGGGGCUUAGCGCAUUUAUUUUUCAGCAAGUUGUGGGCAGCCCAAAUUCUACUUCCCUCAGCCCAUCCUUUACUUCCCUUUGAGCCCAUCUCUGUUAUUCCUUUUGUUGUCCUCAAUAGCCCACCUGAAGUCAAAAGAAGAAGGCCCGGCCCAUGUCCCAGGCUCCUUCUCUCUCGCAUGCUCACGUCUGUGAGCGAACAAGACGCGUGCGAGGACCGUGACGCAAUAGAGUGAACAGUCGCGAGCGAGCGUCUGUGACGAAGGAUGAGGCGCGGCAACAGUGACCGAAGCAUGAGCAACGAUCGGCUGGUUUUGGUUUGCAGGAAGGGACUGCCCGAGCUCGAACCAGAAGGAAGCAAAAAGAAAGGAGGGCAGGGCGCUAAUUCUGGAGGAGAGGGCACCGUUCGGCCGUUGGAGAGAGAGAGAGGUUGCUGCUAAGAGAAACCGGAGACAAACGAGCGGAUGAUGAUAUCUGGCCGAGGAGAGCUUUGUGGGUGAGAAGCUGGUGAGAGUAGAACAUUCUUCUUGCUUGCACCGCCUGGAACUUUCACAGAAGAGGGAAAGCUUGAAGGAAAAUACAGGGAGCGUUCACUGAAGGAAAGCAAAAGGGGGCUCAUUGGUUUUUUGGGGAAUCGCAGAAGGCUGGAUAAGAAAGUUCUGGGGUUCUUUGGAAGCUGUCCUCACACAGAGACGGGAGGGGCAUCUUUUCUUUCUUGGCCGAAACCAUAUCGCAAGAGGGGAGAGAGAGGAACGCUUUGAGGAAAAGAGAUUUCAGAGGGAGAAGGGAAGAGGCGAAAGGAAAGAAAGAGAGCGGGGGCCUUUCUUUUUUUCUGGAAGCGCCGCUCCUUCUCCUCAGACAGACUCGACCAAGUCACCUCGACCAUCUCCAUCCUUCGUCCCAUCUCUCACCACUCUCAGUGCGGCCGCCACGAAGAACGUUCUCUCGGGUUUAGUCCUCGACCUUGAAGGCUCCAAGCGGAUUUUCUUUCGAAGCCCGUGCUCGUCCCCACGAGAGACGUUUCCCCGACUCUCCUCGCACCAGCCGGCCAUUUUCUCGAGCUUUGCCGACGAACAAGCAGCAGCUGCGACGCCAAUUACUGUUCAGGUAAGCAUCUCGCUUCCCCAGGCAUCCUGGUUUAUCUUCAUGCGGAUCGGCAAUUAAGAACAGAAAUUUCAAUCAAUGAGAUCGUGGUCUAAUCUUGUGAAAGCGAGAUAUAUUUGUGAGAGAAAAUGUUAUUUGGAGUCUGAUAUGUCAUUUUUAGACUAAAAAUCGUAUCAAAAUCAGAUCGGAGGCUUGUUCUUGGUACGGCUCGUCACGUAUUUGAUAAAAUGCCUGAAUGAUAUACUGAGAUCCAUGCUAUCCGAUCGACGUUAGAAGUUUAUUUUGAUGCUUUAUUGUUCUUCUAUUGUUAAAGGAAGUCUGAUUUUUGUGCGAUUUCGUGGAAACUAAUCGUUCGUCGUCGAAUCGGCUGUGAAUCCUCCUCUCCGCCGGAAUUUUCCCCUCGCCAGCGUGCCCUGUGGUUCAAGGCCACCCCAGUCAGUUCGCCUCUCUGAUUUGUAGUUCACUGGUGAUUAUAUGCUUACUCGAAAGGCUAGGAUGGAAGAAACUAAUCUCGUGUGGAGAUUUUCCGUUGAUUGUUUCGAUCGCCAUAGUAAGCGUCCGGAGUUGGUGACCGUCGGUCGGAGCAGGUGACCACCAGUUGGUGUUGGUUCGGUGGUGAUGUGUAUGCUGGCGACGACGUGUAUAGAGGUUGAUUCUAUGACAUCCAGAUUUCGCCGGACCUUGAGUAACAAUUUGUGACGGGUUGACGAAUUUGUCGUCAAACUAUGUCGUUGACACCAAUUAUGACCCUGCUUCAUCACCACACUCACCAUAAAGAAACGUCACGUUUUGUCACGUUCUCGUGAUAGCUCCUCGUCUAAAUUUCUCGCUUAACACAGUCAGCUAUGAAGACACGUUAACCUCGAGCGGCCUCGCACAUCAACCGAGCUGAAGGCCCGUAGCAUGCAACAGCCAUGCGUAUGUGAAAGUUUACAACGAAAAUUGUCGAAGACCUCCCAACUGUUUACCCCGCAAAGGACUGCGGACCAACACAGCUUCAUGCACGAUUUUUCUCCUUGGAUGGUCAUGCGAAUGGCCUCACCAUCGGCCCAUGCAUCUACGUAAAAGUCACCUUCCACCAUGCGGCCACGCCCAUUACUCAACCAUGUGAAGACAUGAAGACAUUGAAUUUUUAAGCCAUGUGCGCGUACAAGUAAUAGUCAACCAAGAAGAAGAAGAGGACCACCGUGCAGCCCAUGCACACGUCCCUCCUCUUCAUGGGUCAACAAUUGGAAGGAGUCUUGACCGAGCAGCUACGUAGCCCCUUCUUCGGUGGGCAGCAAAUGGAAGAAUUGUGGCCAUCAACCCACAGCCACGUCGCCUCUUCAUCCCGCGGGUCAACUAAGGAGAGAAGUUGACCAUUGCCGCCUUCGUGCAUGAAUGGCCAGCGAAGUAGAAGCCCAUGAAGACACGUAUCGAUGGCCACCGAGACCUGGCUUAGUUGACCAUGAAGUCAACAAACCGAAAGAAGAAGCCACGUCUUGCAUGGGAGUCCGGUUGUCUCGGCGAGAGAGACGGAAUGAGAGAGCCAGCAUGCAAAGCCACGUUCCCUCCACCUGUCCUCGCUUCCUUCUGCCGCUUAAGCCUUCAUUUUGUUGACUGGUUUUUGUGAACGAAACCAGUGACGGAAACAGAAGAUCCGAGAAAGAGAGAGAACGGCAAGCGAGAGAGAGACACCGAGAGAGAGAAUAGUGAGCGAGAGCGUGAGCAGCGAGGGAAAGAAAGGGACUGUUCCCUUCGCCGUGCACACGUAGCCGCUGUCCGCCGCCGUGCCAAUUCAGCCGUCUCGACCGUGCCCGCAGCCGCUGCACCACCUGCCACCAACCUCCCGCGCCGCUGUAGGCCCGAGUUUCGGUCUCCGUCACGUCAUUAUCACCGUGAACCGGUUGUUGUGCUAAACCAGUGAGUUUAUGCACUAAACUCUUCUUAGUAGGCUAAUAACGUUUAAGGAGUGUUUAGAUUUAUUAAAGUGUACUUAGUUUAAUUAUUAAAUAUUUUUCGGAAAUUAGACCGAAGUAGCCGGUGAUCGGAAUUUUAUGCCGAUUGCUAUGGUGUGGUUAAAUUCUACAAGUGAGUGUUAAUUUGUGCAAAUUGAGUGCUGAUUAGAAUUUGUAGUAUUUAAUUCCAAAAUUUGUGGAUUUUGAUAUUUAUUCAAAAAAUCCCGAUGUCGGGUUUUAAAUACCGAAAAUGGUUUUAUAUACUAUAUAAAGCGGUGGGAUUUUGAAAGGAAUGUUAUGAAUUUUCCGGAUCUAAUCUGACCGUGUACUCACACACGACCAUUUUUCAUCGAAGGUUUUUAAUAAGAAGAAAAUAGGCCAGAAACACUAUUUUAAUUGAGGCAUUUGAGUGCAAUGCACGGUGUCAUGGGCUGAGAUUGAUUGGUCAUGUGUUGGUUAAGAGAAGCUGUCCUCGAACUGUGUCGGACAAACGUUACCUUAUAUGGGUUACCCACUCAUUGGGUUUUGGGUCGCAGUAGAUUUUGAACCUAUGCUCCUUCGGGAAAGCCGUCUUUGAGAAAUGUAGCCGUGCUCAAUGGGGUGAGACAAUGCCUAGCUACGCCAGUAGACCGCCGAACUUCAAGUAAGUCGUGCCCUAGAGUGGGCGUAAUUAUCAAUUGGAACGCGUGUUGAGUGAAAUAUCUGCGCUAGAUUAUGAGACAAAAUUGUGUGGCAUGGAAUGGGACGUGUCAUAAUGAUUUGGUACUAUAAUUAGGACCCAUGUGCUGAUUUGAAAAUUGAGUGUGGUGUUCCAGUUGUUGGAGCUUAAUUAUUGCUUAUAUCGGUAUGGCUAUCUGUGAUAUAAAUUGUACUGACCUACAGAGUGGAUCUGAGGUGAAGUAAAUCCUCUAUACAAAAUGCGUGAUUGUGUGGUUAGAACGCCUCUAGGCGUAUUACCCUCCUAAUCGGGGUUUAGAGCAUGGACUUGCUGAGAUAUUGUUUCAUUGGUUAUUGAAUAACCAUUUUUAGGUCCUUAGAAGGUAGUUGUGGAGGACCAAGGCCCCAAAGUCUGAGGGGGAGUAUGGAGGAUCGGUGGAUGUGUCCUAUUAGUAUGUCAUAGGACAGCCUCUUUUGAGAGUCGACUUUUUUGUAGGCUUUCGACUAGACUCGUUUUGUACCUAAAUCUCGUUGCUUAUAAAAGUGUGCUUUUGUGAAUUGAUGUCAUGCUUUUUUAUCCCUAGAUAAUUAUUGUUAGGGGAUUUCUUUUCGCUUCCGCAUGUGUUUAAAAAUAAAUAGGUCGGCGACUUGUCUUGGGAAGUCGCAAAAUAUUAUCGACCAGAGAGGGAUGGGCACGCACUCGAGGUUCGGGGCGUGAUAGAUUUGUCGCCAAUAAUUCUCAUUCCGUUAAGUUGUAGAAGGAAAAGAGAUUCGGGGAAGAAGAAGGCGCGAGAUUGAAGAAGAAGGUGCAAGGGAAAAAGACAAAACAAGGAAGAAGACAAAAGGGAAAGAAUGAAAGAAAUUAAGAAAAUCAUAGAAAAAUGUUUAAACUGUCGAGUUUUUUAAUCUAAUCGGGCCGGAUCCGGCUUUUUGGGUCGGGUCAAUGGCUUGGAUUGGGUAAACCUGGUCCGGACCGUUCCUCAAAUAUAAUAAAAAAAAUUAAAAAUUAAAAAUUUCGAAAAUAAAAAUAAAAAUUCAGAAAAUGAUAAAAAAAUUUAAAAUUUUUAUGAAAUAAUAAAAAUAUAAAAAAAUUCGAAAAUCAAUAAAAAUUUUAGAAAGUUCUAAGAAAUUGUAACCCAAAAAUUAGACAAGCUUUAGGGCUUUACAAUAGGGAUUCUUGUUUUGUGUUGUGUUGUUUUAUUUAUAGGGACUUGUGUGCUUUCUUUCAUGGUUAUAAUUAAUUGUGCAUUUCAAAAUUUUGGGUGUUACUUUUCUACUCUAGAAUUGGUUAAGACAAACUUAGACUUUUUUCUAGAUAGGCUACUAUGGCAUCAGCUAGGUACCAAAAGGGCAUUAAACUUAGGGUUAACAUAAUCAAGUCGAAUCUCUAGUUGCAUAAAUAAUAAGAUAUUAUCCUGAACUUACUACGUUUCUAGCCUACCCUAAAAGGGUUGGCGACUCCUUAGUUAUAAUCUACAUAGGUUUAAUUGAUUAAAAACAUCAAAGCUCAACGUCAUGCGAGAUAUGGGCUUACAAAAGCCCGAGUCAAUGAAAAGCUCUCGUCUCGAAGUUGACAAUACCUCUAAAUCUAAUAGCUCUGCUCUUGCGAGGAGAUAAGUUGCAACAAUUAUCAAUUGUGCUAGUUAUCCAACUAGCAUCUAAAUACCCUUUUAGUACUAUUAGUUAUCUUUCCUAAAAAGGACCAUAAUGCAUUGUUUUUUAAUAAGCAAAAAUUCUACUUAUAACCUUCCAAUGCACGGUGCUAGGAUUACUCGUAAAUCUUGACAAUUUACAAAUAAUAAAUGCUAUAUCUGGUUUAGUGCAAUUCAUAAUGUACAUCAGACUUUUAAUUGCACUAGCAUAUUCUGACUAUGCCAAUGGUUGCCUAAUAUAUUCCAUCAAUUUAAUCGAUACAUCAUAUAGUACAUUUGACUCUUUAAUUUCCAAAUACUAGUAUUUUUUAAAUGAUCUUCUUCACAUAGUAACAUUGACUUAGAGCAUAACCCCACUAUGUUUGAACACUUCGAUACAUAUAGUUGUAUCCACUUCUCUUAAAUCUUUCAUUUUAAACUAAGAAGAUGGAUACUUUUUAAUUUCAUUUAUGCCAAGCAUAUUUGUACCACCAAUCAGAAUAUCAACUACAUAUAAGCAAAUUAUAACUCCAUACUCUUUGGUAAUUUUUGAGUAAAUGUACUUAUUAGCAUUGUCAUGUUUAAAUCCAUAUGGUAAAACCACCGAAUCAAAAUCUUCAGGCCAUUGUUUCGGUGCUUUCUUUGUCUCUGCUGAUGUUGCUAUUCUCAACAAAAUGCCCCUUAUUUAUAACUUCUUUCAAAUAACUAGCCUCACGAUCCUAAGAACCAUCCUCAAUUUGAAUGCAUUUUAUCAUAUUAUCCACAAUCAGGUUCUCAAUCAUACGAAAGAGUUAAUUUCAAUAAUCAUUCCAAGUUUAAGGCAAUUUAGAAAUAAUUGUAGCAACUUGAAAAGGCUCAUAAACUUCAAUCAUAAAGUCUUUGAGUUUGGCAACAUAUAUUUAAAGUUCAUCCACUUGCUUAGCAACAGAUUUUCCAUUGAUCAUGGCAAAGUCAAAAUAUUUCAAAGCAGUAAUUCUAUCUACACCUUGUUUGUUAGCAUUGUAAUUUGGUCUCCAAGGCAUUCCAAAUGUCACUGGAAUUUGUGUUAGUUCGGAAAGUUUCAUAUAGACGAUCCGAUAGAGGAUUAAGAAUCCUUUCUCGACACCUCCUUUCAUCAUCCUUGCGCAUAGUUCAAAUAGAAGAAGAAUCAUAAUAUCCUUCCAAUGGAUGAAAAUAGUUCCAUCAUAAGGAUUGAUUUGCAAUUUGUCAAGAUUGCAAGCCCUUGAUGCAGCCGAUGUCUUCAUCUCCAUGAUAAUAAUACCUUAAGAUUGUCGGGGAAAUUUGUUUGGUGAAGAAAAUAGAGAUGUAAUAGUAGAUCCUUGAUACUUUGAUGUGUGAUGACAAUCACUGUUCUUAAGGUAUUAUUUGCAUUCCCUAUUGUUGCUGCCAAAUUUAGAACAAAUAUACUUCUAGGCUAUAUACCAAAGCCACAGGAAAACGAGUUUAGCAGUUACUCAAAUCUCUCUUGGAAUUUCUCCUUGAAUGUGUUAAGGUUGCGUGUAUGAAAAGAGAAAAAGAGAGAGUUCUAAAGAAGAGCAAUUAUGAAUAGUUGUGGUUAUUAUAAAUAAUAUGUGAAUUGGUCUCUAUUCACAGACAAUCAAUCAACACAUCUCUUGGAAAUAGAUACCUUAUCCAUAAUCAUCACCACACUUCAUGUUAAGAAUCAUUUCCUUUCAUAACUCACGUCUUUUUUUAUUAGGAGUCACGUCUUCUCUUAACAAAGAGAUUUAUUUAUUUAUUUAUUUAUGAUAACAAACUAUUUUAAUAUUUACGCCAUGAAAGAGGCAUAAAUUUAGACUUCUUAAUUACUACAACUUGCAUAGGUAAACAGAUGGCAUUUGGAUUUUUCAAAUGUAGUACCAUGUUUUUUAAAGGUUAGGAUGGCCCGUCAUAUCCAAUGAGUAAGACCUCGUAAAAGUGAAUCUAUAUUGUAGGUUCUAGUAUUUACAAAUCCGCAUGACGAUCCGUCAUUGCUAGGAACGUAUAUUACAUUUUCUUUUUUAAUUGGCAAUGCACACCAAUAUCUUUGAAGAUAUAUCAUCUCGAACAGCAACAUGUUGUGAAGUCGUAUAUUUCAUGAUUACAACAACUUGCAUAGGUUUACGACGGUUCCAUGUAACAAAUAGCAAACUGUUGUUAAGUUUGAUUUACGGCAAUUUACAACUUGAUUUUGAGGCACUACCAUGCCUGCCACUUAUAGCUCCGGUGAUGCCGGGUGCGCCCAAUUCCUCUCCUCUUGAGAGUCCUCAUUUGUUGCUGAAUAGAAGUUCUAUAAUAUGCUUUGGAGUCUUUUAUAUUUUGGGAAAAUAGAUCUUGGUCCAUUGACUUCAUUAAGUAGUUCCUGUAAUAUCAAAUUGAUUUUAGAAACACUAGUCCUUAGCCUCGUCAGAAUUCGAAGAUGAGGUCUACGGUUUUAUAUAAGACAUGAUUCUGGUCUUGCCCCGUCUUGCUUUUGUGCGUAUCGGCACUUGUAGAUGUGGAUGCUUCUUGCAGAAAAUAUGGUUUGCCGGGCAUGUGAAUGCUUCAUGCAUUACAAUUGUUUCUAGUCAAUGUUGGCACUGGAAAGUUCAAUGAUGGGUCACAGUCUUCACUUCAGCACGAAAUUGAUUAUGCAGUCGACUGAACUUGCUUCAUUGCUAUAUAUGGAGUUUCCAGAGACAUGUUUGGCAUGCAACCACUUGAGUUUGAGAUGAAGUAAAUAUGUGCUGUUUUACAUCGUUUAUACAUUUUAAGGGAUUACAGUUCGUUACAUCUCUAGUUUUACCCCUAAUGCUAAUGUUUCUAUUCAGAGCCAUGGAGCUUCAAAGUUGACUCACAAGAACUGGGAUGUUAUGCCAAAAUUGCUGCCAAACGUGUUUUACGUAAUUUCUAUUCCUCUUGCAAUUUUUAUCUUCACAUAAGGUGAGGAUGUCUUUUUAAUUUUUUUUUUUUUGGAAUAAGUAAUAAGCUGAGGAUACUUGAAUACAAAUAAUUGGGUAUUUGUUGUGCAUCUGACAUGUGAAAUAAAAUGGUAUGUAGUCUUAUUGCUCUGUCUUAUGGAGUGCAAUGGCGUAAAAAAUUAUUCAUUUGUCCAAUCCUACUUAGCCGGCUGAGUUGUUGUCGUUGCUGCCGCUGUUCCUGUGGCCGGCCUUUGUGAAGUCAAAUUUGGAAAAGAUUUAUAAUUGAAUUUAUCUUCUGGACAUUAUGUUCGCAUAAAUAUGUGUAGGACCUAAAGGGGCUGCUAAUAUAGACUGCACUUGAAACUCGUGCACGGGAAGACCAUCCCGAAAGGGCUAAUGUUAGAUUGCACUUGAUAUUGAUUGUGCUUCUCUUUCAUUCAUUUAUGAUUGUGGUAAUUCCAUCCUCCGGAGCUCUCGUGCAUGUUUUUCCAUCUCACUCUGUUGCUUCAAUAACUUCAGUUUAUUACUUUUCAGUCUUGCUUUUGCUAUAAAUGAGUGGCUGAGCCCAGAGGUCCAAAAACUCCGAACAGUACGAGGGUCAAUUAGCGUGGCGCAAGUUAUGCUUGGCUAGGGAUCAAUAUAUAUACAACUUUUUUGUUGCCGGGUUACCGUAUACUUAGAUUGUCGAGAUUGUCGAGAGAAGACAUGAUUCCUAUAUGCCGUAAUAGGAUAAAUUUUACAACGGAUGAUGCAGAAAUAAACCAUUGGCAAUCACACGGGUUUUACACGGGUUUUACACGGGUUUUCAGUACUAUCUGUUCAGAUGAAUGUUUGUUGGCUUUCUUUGACUGGCUUAAGGUGUUCGUUCUUCUCUUGCAUUUUUCAGCUUGAUACUUAAGAGAUGCUCCUUUUGUUCGUCUUUCCCAAUGAAAAACUUGGAAGUUGAAGGAGCUUUGAUUUCUAAUUUAUGAAGCAGCGACAGUUUCUACUGGAGUCGAGCUGUGGAGUAGUGGUUAUCAUUUGACGCGUUCUUCUGGUAUUUCUAGUAAGCAAUCACUUUGUUAUUUCUUGAAAUGAGAACAAUGUAAAAAGAGCAGAGCUGGACGAAGACACCCACGUCUUCUAUUGUUCUUGCAUAUGGGCAUAUUGCAACAUAUUUCAUUAGUUAAGUACGGAGUAAGGUUAAUGUAAUUAUGCUAUUGAGUCAUUUUCUUCCCUCUUUGUUCUUAUCAGGCUGAUCACGGUGGAGUCUACCUGGGGUGCCCAUCACCCAAUCUUCUUUAAGUAGAUCUAUUACAUUAUUCAUGUUCGGUUGAGCCACCCAUGUAUCGAUAAAAUGGAAUUUUCUCUAUUUGUAUAUGCAUCAUCUUUUAAGGGAGACAUACCCUUUUUAGUGUCUACCCUUUGUUUUGUUUUUUUUUUUUUUUUGGGGGGGGGGGGUGGGGUUUGUUAAUUUAUAUGAAGACUUUAAAUGUUUUUCUCAUCCAUAAUUUCUUUCAAAGAUUAAAGUUAUAAAACCGUCGAGAAAACUACACAUUACUUUUAAAUGGAUAAAUGACUUGUCAGCUAAAGAGGGAAAAACCAUUCAAAUUUCCUCUCAGAAAGAUCAUACUUAUUUGCAAAAGGGUCCAGUUAGCAUAAUUGAUACUCUAUAUCAAAGACGGGCGAGAAAUGUCUGGGUUAAAAGGGGGGAUCCUCUUUUUGUUGCGUGUGUAAGAGAUCAAACAUCCAAAUUAUCCCUCCCAAAAAAAUAAAAAAAAAUUAAAUCUUAUGUCGAGUUUUAGGGGGAAAAUUGCUAAUCCCCUGUUUUUUUUAAGAAAAAAAAGCCCCCCCCCCCCCCCCCCCCCCUUUUUACGUUCUCUUUCGAAAGGAUGGAAUUCAUACUGAAGGCUAUUUGAUUGAUGAAAUGAUGCUAACGAUGCUAGCGGUCAAGGGGAGAUGAAUAAUUCAACUGAAUAGCUGGUAAUAUCCUAUUGGCGGUAGGAGUCUGUCCUCUAAUAAUACAUUAUUGUAGCCAAUAUCUUUUCUUUAUUUGAAAAUCUAAUGCACAACAAUCUAUUCAUCAGUCUCACAAACAACAUUAACAAGUGUCUUUUCAUCUUUGAAAAUUUAAUGACCUUUACACAAAUAAUAUAUAUUUAUAAAAGAUUAUUGAAAAAUAAAAUAGAUGUAGAUUCGAUUCAAUCUUCACUGAAUUCAAUUAAAUUAACACCUAAAAGCUUAAAUAAUUAAACAUAUCCAAAUCUAGUAAUUUUUUUUUUGAUGACUAUUAUCACAGGUAACACAUGAUGAAGUACGUGUCAAUUAAAUAGAGUUUCCAAUAUGCUUGUUUAGAAUAUGCCUCUUUUUUUUCUUUUUUUUUUUUAAAUCUGAGAAUAUGCCUGUCAAUUGGAAACAACCUGGUGACUGGAUGAACUAGUCAGCCGGUUUAUUAGAAACGAUAUGGUCGUUCAUAAAGGGCCGUUACUCUCUUUGGAAAACAACGACAGUAAUGCAAGCAUUUUCCUAUACAGAACAUGUGGCUUGCUUAGCACGCAUUGGUUUUUGUUUUGAAACAAUAAGAGUUCUGUCUUUUAACGGUCAACGAUUAAACCAUACGCGGUGAGGACUGCCAUGUGGUGGGAAUUCGCUUGGAAAAAAUUGAGGGUUAUAGUGUCAUUCAGCUGAAUUUUCUUAGGAAAUUACAUGAGUUAAGUCUUAUCAAAGCUCCAUUUGUCAAUCAAAACUUGUGGACCAUAAAAGGGUUACACCACAUAUGACUUUCAAGUACUUUUCUUUGAAUUAUUGUAAGAGUAAGAAUCAGGCAAGAAUUAUCACAAAGCAAUGGUGUGCAUUUGUCCAUGUGCUCGCAGAUUAGGUAUGGCUAGACCCGUCAAAAUGGGUCAUGACUUUCAAGUUCUUUUCUCUGAAUUAUUGUAAGAGUAAGAAUUGGGCAAGAAAUAUCACAAAGUGAUGGACGGUGGGCAUUUGUCCAUGUGCUCGGAGAUUAGGUGUGGCUAGACCCAUGAAAAUGGAUCAUUGAUGAAAUUUUUAAUCCUAUGUGGCCAUCUUCUCACCAUGCUUGAUGAGAAGAAAACUAUUCACCAUCUUUUCCAUCUUUUGGGGUUUCCUUUCCGAGCAACUUUUUACUUUUCCUUUGCCGUAUGGAUUGAUGAAGAGAAAGUUAAUGACCGCAGUUCAACCUUAAUCAUCUAGAUCAAUUCAUACGGAAUAUAUUAAUUUAAAAAUUCAUCGCUCAAUACAUUAACAUAUCUAAAUUUCUUCAUUUAUUGAAAACCCUUAUGUGGUGGUAGAUGUUGAUCUUGUUUAGGGUGCUCCUAAUAUUUCUCGUUUUUCAUUUUUUGGCAGGUGAUGGGAUUUGUCCAUGCAAAAUAUACAAGAGUUUUGGAGAAAAGUACCCAAAAAUGUCCUAAAUUUAUUAUAUUAGUGCCAAUUUGAUCUCAAACUUUUUGAUUCGACCAAUUUAGUCCUUUACAUUUUCACGUUUUCAUCUUAUCAAUUUUGGUCAAAAAUCGCCAACUUGAACAUUUUUAAUAAUUUUUUUCUUUUUUAUUAUUAUUAUUUUCUUUUUUCUUUCUUUUUUAUUUUUUGUAGCAAGAUUCGCAGCCCUUGCCAAAUUUAGUCAAGGGCUGCCUUGCCCAGGCCACUGCAAGAUUUGGGUAAGGGCAACCUCAACUGGAGCCGGCGAGGCUACAAAGGCCCCUCGCUCAUGGCCCACUAGUCACUAGCCAAGGACUUAUGCCUAGACUUGGCAAGGGCCAUGCCCUCACCCCGUCCCCAGUGACUCUCAUUAGCUAAAAUGAAAAGAAAAGAAAAGAAAAAUAAAUAAUAAUAAAAUAUAAUUCAAUAUUCAAAAUAAAUUUGCAAAAAUCAUUUACGUCAGUAUUGGUUGUGCCACGUAAAACGGACAUAGUCUACGUUAAUGAUUUCUACCCAAAACUGGCAUGUAGAACUCAAUUGACAAAUUCUAAAAAGGUUUAGUAUUAAAUUAGUAUAAUUACAAAGUUUAUGACUAAAUUGAUAUCAAUAUAAUAGAUUGAUGAUUUUUUGGUAUUUUCGCCAAUAGAAAAAGAUGCUUGCUCAUCGCUCCAAUGAUAACCUCAAUUAGGAGUCAUGCUCCUCGUUUAAGGAAUACAUGAAAUGGGUAACAUGCAUAGUGUGAACUAAUUGAAGCUAUAGUUCAAACACUUGAAAUUUACUAAGGUAUCAACAAAGAAAUACAAUGGUUUGAGUACAAACACUCAAUGGAGGAUUUUUUUUUUCUCUCACUAAGUCAUUCUUCUUGUGUUUUUCUCUCUUGAAUACAAUUUUUAAGCGUUGUCAACGAAGAACAAGUGAUUGGAAAGGCUUCAAACUUUGAAAUUUCAAUUUUCACGCGCUAUCCAAAAUGGACCAAAUGACUUCCUUAAAUACUCUAUGUCUUUCUAACUAUUGGUAUUCUUCAGAGGAAUUUCUUCCAAUCACUCCAUUGGACAAAAUCGAUUAAGGAAAUCUUGUAGCCGUUUGAAGAUUGAGAUGAAAAUCUAAUAAUUCAGAUCGUCCAUACAAUCAGAAUCUAAGUUUCCAUAAAUAGAUACUUUCCAAAAGGGAACUUGUCUUCAAAAUUGAUUUCAUCAAUUCAUGAUUGAUUCCAUCAAUAUAUUUAUAAAAAGUAAGUGAGAUUCUUCGCUAGAAAGCCAAAUAUUAAGGAUGAAUCUCAUACGUACUAAAUCCUUAUCGAAAGAUCAAUAAUCUAAGUCUUUGUUCUGGACUUGAUUUCAGUUUGGAUCUCAUCAGAGUGGGAGAGACUUCUGAAGUAAAAUAGACUUUGAUAACAUUCUACGAUAUAGCACAGAAGUCUAGUAUCCUUUAUAAUAAGAACAAGAAUAAGAAAGUUUUGUCAACUUCAAAACCUAAUAGAAGUUUCCUCAAUAGACUUUAGGAUAUUCUCACCCAAUCUUUCUUAACAAGUCUCUAGACUUUAGGAUAUUCUUUCUCAAAAUAUUCUGAGUCUUCACAAUUUAAACAAUUGAGGGCAUUUUGAUCAACAGGUUUUGUAAAUAUCCUUUUAAAAAUGCUUUUUAUAUACAAGUUAAGGAGAGUCGCAAGUCUAGGAGGUCUUUGUCUAAGUCUUUCCUUCACUUUAGGAAAGUCUAUUAGAGAAUCACUUUCCUUAUUGGAAUCAAGUCCCGACUUGUUAUAGUAAGGUAUUUGUAUGAAAAUAAUAUGCUCUAAUAUUUUUGAACCCUGUGAAAAUUUUGUUGAAAUAUUUGAAAAUUCUUUCUUUAGAGAAUCAUUUUCUUUGACAAGUAAAUCUCAACUUUCUUUCGUUUGUAGAAAAUCUUUUUGCAAAAUUUCAAACAUUUCUUUUUGAGAAAGAUCCUGUUGUGUAAGCCAUGAAUUCUCCUUUUUAGUUCGGAGAUCCUUUUAAGAGAAGAUUUGAGGUUUAAGAAAAACUCAUUUUUAUACUUAGAAACUUUAAUAGGAAUUUAUAAAUGAUUUACCUCGAUUUCCUUGUCAAAUUCUUAAUUUGUGUCUAAGUCUGAUUUUGAUUCCAAGUCUGAUUCUGAUUCCGAAUUUGAGUCUAAGUCUGAAUGUGCCAUCAACCAUAUAUUUCCUUACUCGUCAUUUUCUUUCAUUGUUCUUUUCUGCCCAUUCUGCUUGUAUUGUCUUUUUCCACUGAAUUUCCUUCUUUUUCUACUCAACCUUUUGAAUUUCUUGAUCAUAAAAGCAAGUUCUUCGUCGUCCAUGUCAUUUUCCGAGUUUGUAUCAUUAGAAUUAGCAUUAGAUUUAAGUGCAAUUGACUUCUNNNNNNNNNNNNNNNNNNNNNNNNNNNNNNNNNNNNNNNNNNNNNNNNNNNNNNNNNNNNNNNNNNNNNNNNNNNNNNNNNNNNNNNNNNNNNNNNNNNNAUGCUUAGUCCAUCUACUAUAUGACUCAAUUAGUAUUGAUACAUAAUUAAUGGUGUUACCUUUAUAGGCUUGACUCGUGUGCUAAGUCAUAUGGGGGUCUGCUUAUAGACCGGGAUGUGACCCAAGACAGAGAGAAACAGAGAGAGAGAGAGAGAGAGAGAGAGAGAGAGAGAGAGAGAGAGAGAGAGAGAGAGAGAGAGAGAGAGACCGAGGAGGAGAGGGAGCGAGUGAGCAACCUAGAGAGAAAGUGCAAGCUUGAGAGAGUGGUUGGUCGUCGCCAGAGGUUUGUUCGUCAGUUGCUAAUUGCCGCGGUCCUCCUCUCGAACUAGGUAGGCUUUUGUCUCGACCGUGAGUACCUGUUUUUUCGGGAAGCGUUAGGUCGGAGCUCGUGCCGACUAGUUCGUGCGAGUUUCGAUCUGAGCCGGUCCUCCUUGAAAGCUGCUAGCUAUUCUAGUAUGUGUUGUAGGGGGGUUUAGAUUUGUCUCGUGCGGAAAAUUCCCCGUGUCAGUAAAUCACACCCAAUGCUUGUGCAAAUGUGUAAACGAUAUCUAAGUUCUGCAAGUUUGUUGAAGCCCGAAGAUACUUGUUGUGCCCAUAUCCGUUCGAAUGUGAUUGAUAUGUCCCUUAGCGAAUCUUGAGUGUUGCUCGUGCAUGUUGUGUUGAUCUUUACCCGAAUCCGAGCCUCGAGUGAGUCCGUAUGCCCCUUUUAGCUGCUGCACCUCAAUUGUUUGACAAAAUGCCCCAAAGAGAACCGAGAAGCAACCCAGGUUUAAACUCCAUUUGAUUCACACUUACUCAUAUAUAUAUUGGACCGUGCCCUUCUUAUAUGUUUCCAUUGCGAUUCCAUACGAUUUUCGUGGAAUAAUCAUGUGUGUUUGAGCCGUGGGAAUGUUUGCAUCCGAAAAUGGUUUGGCUGUCGGCGUUCGUGGCCGACGGUGGUCGUUGCUGGUCGGAGUGGACAACGGGUAGAUAGUGGUGUUUUGGCGGUGGAAAGGACGGCGGUUGCUCUCAUUGGUGUUGUCGUGCCGGUGAGGUCUCUGUUGAAGGAUGUCCUGGGUAAAGAGUCGGGCAUGAAAGCGUAAUGAAGAAGGUUAGAAGGGAGGAGGGAAAGAAUAAAAAAUAAGAACAAAGAGAAGAGGAGAACCAACAAAUAAAAAAAAAGCGAAAGAGGAAAACCCAAAAAAAAGGGAAGGAAAGACAAUAGAUGGGGAUGUUCGGUGAAAAGGCCAGAAGGGAAGAAAGAAAGAAUAAAAAAAAAAAAAUCAAUCAAAAGAAAGAAAAGAAAAGUAAAAUGAAAAAUAGAAAACUAUAAAAUGAAAGUGGGCUUCGGGAAUGACUGUUGAACAUGAGGUGCUAGAAAAGGACACAGUACGACGCAGUGAGAAAAGACAAAAGAAAGAAAUUUAAAAAUAUAUAUAUAUAUAUGAGAGAAAAAUUGAAAAAUUGAAAAUGAUAUAUAUAUAUUUUAAUCCAAAAGGGCGAAUCUGGUUUUGGGUCAGGUCAAUGGCCGGAUCGGAUCUACCUGCUCUGAACCCUUUAUCCGAAUAUAAUAAUAUUAAAUAUAAAAAUUAUAUUAAAAAUUUCAAGAAUUCAAAAAUUUAAAAAAAAAUAAAAAAUUUCGAAAAAUAAUAAAAAUUUUAAAAAACCUACUGAAAAUUCAAAAAAUUCAGAAAACAUUAAAAAUUCGACCUUUUUUUAAAAAAAAUUAAAAAAAAUUCAAAAAUUUAGAGAUUUAAAAAUUCAAAAUUAAAAAAAUCCUUUUUUUGGGGAAAAUUCGAAUGUUUUUUUUUUAAAGAACAGAAAAAUCUAAAAAAAAUAAUUUAAUCUUCUCAAAAAGGUUGAAAUUAAUCUUUAGAGUAUUUUCUCUAAAAAAUAGGAACCNNNNNNNNNNNNNNNNNNNNNNNNNNNNNNNNNNNNNNNNNNNNNNNNNNNNNNNNNNNNNNNNNNNNNNNNNNNNNNNNNNNNNNNNNNNNNNNNNNNNUUAUUUGAUGCAGAUGAAGUUGUGGGAUUGAUUUCUUUUUCCACAACAUCCCAUUGCAAGAGAUCUCUAGAUCUUAGGAAUACCUUCAUUUUGUUUUUCCAAACUUUGUAUUCCUUUCCAUCAAAAUUGGGUGGCCCAGUGUUGCUUUGCCCUUCAACCAGCCCUGGUGUCAAGAUACUAGCCAUAGAAGAUCUUUAGCUAAAAAGAAAAAACACUUUAAUAAAACAAGCACUUGGCUUUGAUAUCAAUUGAAAAUGCUACUACUAUCACCUAGAGGGGGUGAAUAGGUGUUUAAAAUAAACUUUGACAAAUAAAUGCAAAAUAAAACAAGUUGCGAGCAGAGUCUGAAAAAGGAUUAGAGUAUGAUUAAAUGAGCUACCAGACUUUUAAUAGAUGUUAAGAAUCUGUUAUGCGAUGACACAAAAAUCUGAAAUAACCUAUAAGUAUACAACAUACUUAAAUAAGAAGAGUUAAGAGAAGAGAAUGUUGCAGACGAAAUUUAUAGUGGUUUGGCUUAGAUCAAGUCUACGUCCACUUUUCUACGCUAAUAGCCUUCUGGCUGGAUUCCAUUAUAUGAUUAACAAGAGAUUACAACUUUGAGUGCAAACACUUAGUGAUACAUUACACGAUCUCACUAAGUCACUCUUUUGGUAUUUUUCUCACGAUCACAAACAUUUAAGCUCACAAAAGUGUAUGAUCGAAAUUCGCUCAAACUUUGGAAUUAUAGAUUUUACGCUCCGUCUCUUGCUUGCUCUUCGGUCCUUGGUCUCCUUAAAUACUCUUCCACUUCUAAACUAACCGUUGAUAGUAUNNNNNNNNNNNNNNNNNNNNNNNNNNNNNNNNNNNNNNNNNNNNNNNNNNNNNNNNNNNNNNNNNNNNNNNNNNNNNNNNNNNNNNNNNNNNNNNNNNNNGAUUAAGCCUUUCGGGCUUUACCUUAAGAUUUCAAUUGUCCUUGGGAACAAAUGCCUUUGAAUGCAUAAUAUUGAUAUGUUGAUUUUGGCUUCUCUUUAAUUUAGUUAGGAUUAGUAUUUAUCUUUUCUUUGGUGUUGAUUUUUUUUGCUCUUUUAUGCAAUUUAUUUAAUCGCUUUUCUUAGUUGUUAAUUGUUAUUUUAAUGAUUGUGCACCCGUAUGAUCACCUCACAUGUUAGUGGAUAGGUAUAAAAUCAAUCUAGACUGCCUAAAAAAAAUCAUUUCUUUUAAAAUGAACAAGAUUAGGUACCAAAAGUGCACUAAUUGAUUAAUUAGUGUAAUCAAAUCCCUGAUCCUAGAAUCUCUAGUUGCGUAGGAAGUGAGGCACGCUCCCAUGCCUCACUUGGUUUCUAGCCGACCCCAAUAGGCUAGUGGUGACUCAUUUUGUGCAAAAAAUUUAAGAAUAUCCCAACGUCACGAGGGGAAUGGGCUAGGGAGAGCCUGCGCCUAAUCAUGGGCCUUAGGCCCGUCCUUUAGGUAAUACCCCUAAACUUGUUUCCUCCCCCCGAGGGUAGGUCGUGACAAGGAUCACACAGAAUAGAUCGUGGCAUAGAUCCAAAGGAAUUCUAAAAUUAUCUCAAGAUAAGUACAUUUAAAAAAUGUUAGACAGAUUUAGUACUCCUUUAGAAAGUCACUUCAACCUCUCAAAGAAACAGUUACCGCAAACAGAUGAAGAGUAGGAGUAUAUGUCUAAGGUACCUUAUAUAUCAGCUAUUGGCAGUUUAAUGUAUGUUAUGGUAUGUACUUCACUAGACAUAGCUCAUGUAGUGGAAGUUGUGAGCAAAUAUAUCGCAAAUCCAUGAAUAAAGUAUUGGGAAGCUGUAAAGUGAUUAUUAAGAUACCUAAAAGACACUUCAUAUAUUAAGUUUUAUGAAAAACAAUGUAACUUUACAAGUCUUUGUUGAUACAGAUUUUGGUGGUGACUUGGAUAAUAGGAAGAGCACCUCGAGUUAUGUUUUUACCUUAAGUGGCACUGCAAUCAAUUGGAUGUCUAAACUUCAGACCUGUGUGUCUCUCUCAACUAUUGAGCUAGAGUAUGCUGCUAUAUCUGAAGCUGGUAAGGAGAUGAUUUGGUUGAAUUUUUUUUUUUUGAAGGAGAUAGACAAUGAGUGGGAUGAUAGUGUUAUUUUCAGUGACAAUCAAAGUGCUAUUUGUCUUGCAAAAAUUCCAAUAUUUCAUUCAAGGACAAAACACAUAGAGUUAAAAUAUCAUCAAAUUUGUCAGUUGAUAGCUAAUGGGAUUUUGUCAUUGAAGAAGAUUCUUGAUGCAAAAGAUCCAGUAGAUAUAUUAAUAAAGGUUGUCACCACUGAAAAAUUAAGACUAUGCCUUACUUUAGUUGGCCUCUAUGGUAAGUGAUGAAGGCGGUCGCCGCACUAGAAUAAUUUGGGCUACAAAGAUAAAGACUAUGAAAGAUUAUUGCUAUUUUUUUUUUUUAAGAUCAGCCUCUAAGUGGGAGAUUGAUGGAGUUGGGGAGUCUGAUAAAGGAAAAUAAUAUUCAAGUACAAAGUAGUUUAUUUUAGGCAAUUACCAAUCAUGUAAUGUUAAAGCAGUCAAUAAGGCUUUUAUUGCUACUAAUGGCAUAUAUGUAAUUUCCAUAUUAAUUAUGUAUGCCCUAGACUCCUAUUAUAUAUAUAUAGGGGUAAUAUCUUUUUUAGUUGUAACACUGAAGCUUGUAAUAUUGAUAUUGAUAGUAGAAGAUUGCCUAGUGCGGCUUCCUUAUUCGCAUUCCCAACAAUUAAGUCCCUCAACUUUUGUAUGUGUGCAAUAUAAGUCCCAAACUUUCAAUUGGUUAUGUCAAAUCCCUCUACAAUUUUAGUAAAAUGACAUGGGAAGGUGUGAAGCCUGAUUGACCUAAUGAAUAUUGCCAUAUUACCCAUUCAAGAGAUUCGAUAGUUGGGCUGGAGCUUGGAAUGGGGUUCCGCAAGAAAUUAGGCUAAGAUCCAAAGAUUUCCAAUUUGUUACCAAUAAUGUGGUGUCUUACGAGCUCAAGGGCAAACCUAGCAGACCUAGCGAACUUAAACAUCUUAGUAGCUAGGCAGUCGUUGUUUGAUGCUGUCUAGUCCUGCCUAUCUGAAAAUACAUCUAUAGGUGCUUGCUAGCCCCCUACCAGUUAUUGUAUGAGGUCUACUCAAUGCUAGAUGCAAAGGCGCAUAAUAGAUCGAUAUGAACAUCAUGAGCUGUCCCACACUAAAACCCGUUGGAAAUCGCCUAUCCAAUCUCUUUUUCUUUUUUGAUCCAGUGGGCCUUCUUGCAUGGACUUGGGCAUGCUAUGAUGAUGGGUAGUCUUGUUGUGCUUUGGCCCUCCUGUGGCCUUUCAUUGAAGAAAGCGGGCUUGACAGGCCUAGAGGAAAAUAGUAAUCAUGGCUACUAAUAAAAUAAGACUCAAAACCAAAAACUAGACAAAGUAGUAGGUAUAAAGUAAAUUGCUCAAUAUUUCCAAAUUAGUUAAACUUCGUCGGAGAUAUGACAACUCUUCUUCUUUUUUUCUUUUUUUUUUUUAUAGUAAAAUAGAGUAUAGAAAUUGUAGAUUCAUCCCUCCUUUUCAUUUGCUGUGAAUGCUGCCACUGCUUGAGUACUCUCGCUCUUGCUUAUCUUGCUGCAACAAAGCAAGCUUAGGAAUGAAUUGAAUGGAAAGUCUCUGUCCCCACCUACCAAUUGUAGAGGUAGGAUCUUUGGCAAGCAAUAAGCACUUAAAUAAUACAAUGCUGGCUCAUCUCCUUUUUGUGAAACUAUUCCUCAAGCAAGACAGCCGAUAAGUCAUCGAAGGGUUUGUGUGAAUAAUAGAAUGGUAAGCAUUACUCAUUUGAAAGUGUCCCACGAUGAUCUAAUAUCUUUACAAGAAAAUGACGCAAGAAUCCGCGGUGAAGAAAUAAGGAGAUCUUUCUAUACUGAAAUAGUAGUUGAUAAAAUCAUAGGCAAAAUCCUACCGGUAAGAAUGUAAAGAAGAACGAAAACAGAAUGGUUCUACCUACUCAAAACUAAGAGGAGAUGCAACUGCAGUCUGGACUCUUGUAGGCCAUGUCGUUGCGGAUGGCUUCCAUUUUUAAAAGAAAACCAACAAGCUUCCAAGGUUGGGGCCAUGAGUUGGCUUUCUUGAACUCCUAGUAAAGGCGAACAGCUAUUUCAGGAUUAUAUAAGCUAUAAGCAUUGAAGGUGAAGCUAACUUAAAGACAUGGGACAUCGAUUCAAUAAAACUUAAUGGAGAAAGGCAAGGAUGACGGUGACUUUGAAACUAAUCAAACCAUUUAAGGAAUUGUGAAUAUGGAGAGUAAGAAACCUUAUGAAAAGGUCUAAAUAAAUUGAAAUCAAGAUGAUGCGAUAGUUUUAAUGUUGGAAGUUUAUGAAAAUUUCGAGUAUGUAUACUUGAUGGGAGAAUUACCAAAAAAGUCCUAAACCUAUUGUAAUUGUGCUAAUUCAGUCCUAAACUUUUUUUUUAGUUAAUUUAGUCUUAAACCUUUUAUAAUUGUGCUAGUUUAGUCCAUGCAGCAAAAAUUGGCCGGUCGGCGUUGAUGUGGAUACCGGCCAUCCGGCGAAAGUUGACAUGGCAAAUUUUUUUUUUUUCACCUUCUCUUCCUUUGGCCGGCCAACACCGGCCAAAGGUGAGGGCUGGUGAGGCCCCACAAGAAUUGUCAAGGCUGGCCUUGCCGUCGCUAGGCGAAGCCCUGCCAAAUCUAGCGAGGGCCGACCUCGCCGGCACUGGCGAGAUCGACCCUCACUAGAUCUGGCAACGGUGGCCUCGCCGUCGCCUCGCCGUCGUUGGGCGAGGCUCGCCUUCACCAGUGGCUAGCGAGGACAAGCCUCAUCAUUGGCCAGCGAGACUAACCUCGUCGACCGGCCAAAGGAAGGAGAAGGUGAAAAAAAAAAAGAAAUUCAAAAAUUCAAAAAAUAUUUAAAAAUUUCAAAAAAAUUAUUAAAAAAUUACCAUGUCAGCUUUCGUUGGACAGCCAUAAUCCACGUCAGCGCUAACUGGCCAAUUUUAGUCGGAUGGACUAAAUUGACACAAUUGUAAAAUGUUUAGAACUAAAUUGGCAAAAAAAAAAGUUUAUGAUUGAAUUGACACCAUUACAAUAGGUUUAAGCUUCUCCCUAUACUUGAUAGAACCCUCAAAAUCUUAUUAAACCAACUUAUGGGCUGGACCGCUUACGAUCUGAAAGGCUAAUCUCACAUUAUGUUGAAACUAGGGGCUUGCCUUGAGCUAAAAUUCACGGCGACUUUACUUGAAUAGCUCAACAAGACCAAAACGCAAGUCGAUGACACGACAGCUUAAUUAGAGCACUAACAUCAUAAACGCCCUUGCGGUGUUAUAUCUUACUCAAUUAUUUAGUUCCAGUGGAUGAAAUCGAGACCAUAAUGACUACUAUAAUGAGACCCAUCAUUUACCGAGAUUAAGUGGCAUAAAUCAAGACACAGUGACGUUUCCAUCGUGCUCGAGCCCAAGUUAACUGGAUUUAUGCAAAGCUCAGUAUCCAGUUCGACCUUGAUUUAGUUGUUCAAUAAAUUCAAGUCCGACUAUUCGAUUCCGCAAUUAGCAAGUAAGUCUGUUGUGAGCUGGAGUCUAGCUCGAGUCUAACUCAAGUAAGAAUUGAGAGAUACUGCAUAAGGGAGUAUAAAAAAAUAAUGCUGUUUUUCUAUAUAUUGCAUUUAUAGUCUGAUCAUAUUUAUGCACUCAAACAUAAUUCAACAGCUCGAUUAGCAUGGCUCCAAAGCAAGAUACUCAAGUUAGGCGGGCCCAGUUAAGAACUUACUUGGACUUAGCAAAAUUCAAAGAAUCCAUCUCCUAUCUCACGAGUAGCAUGAUUAGUUUCCAUUUCUACGUGCAACUUUUUCGUUACGCAUACCUCCGAACAAUUAUGACUUGAUUAUUACUAUCUAAAAUUAGGCAUUUCGCAUGAACAAGAUGCGUACAUUGAGUUUGAUAGGGAAUGGGUGACCGUUGGCUUCCCUUUUUAUUCACCGUGAAUAAUACGAGAAGAAAGCUACACACACUCCAGUUGGAUCGGCGUCUUUCUAAGAUUACUAAAAAUGGCACGCGCGUUGCCGGGAAAAUAUGAAAAUUUUUGUAAAAUACUUUUUUUAGUGAAAAAAUGAUAAUCAAUGGUGAAAAAAAAUAAAAAAAUAAAAAACAUAACUCAUGUGGCCUCAUAUCGGGCGAUCUUCUUAUCAUGUAAGCCAAUACCCCACACAAAAAUUUCAAUUCUAUAUAGUACAAACUAACAAUUUAACUUUUCGAGAAGCUUUGUGUCCUUUCAUGUUACAAGCAAUCAGGAAUUUUGUUGAAGCCGAAAUAUCGAGCUAAACUUCACCAAAGCAUGACCACAAUGAUGAGACUCUCAGAAAUAAAAACGCCAAUUCCAAAUCAAACGAAUUCUCAUAAAUAUCAUCUGUCAAAAGCAGCAACUGAAUAAAAAUAAUCUGCAUGCUGCGACUUAUUUCAAAAAGGGUUCGAGUCUAUUUCCUUGCUUUUUAUUACUGUCAAUUGGAAGAGUUCUUUAGAAAGCCCGCAGAAAAAGUGAAGCCAAAGAUUGUUUUUGCCCCAACCAUCAGGAAAUCACGGCUUGAACAAGCCAAUGGGUCGAUGAGAAAUUUUGAGAAUUCUUUAAAAAUAUGAAUUUUUAUAUCACACAAAUAAUUGAAGGAGAAUCCCAUUCCACGAAUCAAAUCACUUGAAACGAAAAUCUAGAUAGGAAUCAAUAUCAAUGGACUUGUGGCAACUCACAGACCAGAGAAAGAUGAUAAGUCUCACGAAUUGAUGUGAAUAACUAGCGAUUCAAGAAUACAGAUCCUCAAAUCGAUCAUUUUCCACAAAUUUGCUUGACAUGUCAAUUUCAAUGAAGACUUGGAAAAAUAAGUCAAGCAUGCUUGUCCUAAGAGCAAAGUACACUCCAAACCGAUUGAAAAGGGGAAGGGAAAAAGAUUCCAAAAACCCUAAACUUUGACUAGUGUGACAAAAUUAUCCUAAACUUUUUUUUUUGUAACACAAAAAUCGCAAACUUUGUCAAUUAUGACACAUUUAUCCUAAAUUAUAGGGUAUUUUCAUCUUUUACUUUUAAUUUUUUUUCUUGUUCUUUUCUUUUUUCGUUUCUUUUUCUUCUUCUCUCUUCCCUCCGCCGGCCAUGACGGAGGGAAGAAUUUAACUUUUCGAGAAGCUUUGUGUCCUUUCAUGUUACAAGUAAUCAGGAAUUUUGUUGAAGCCGAAAUAUCGAGCCAAACUUCACCAAAGCAUGACAACAAUGAUGAGACUCUCAGAAAUAAAAACGCCAAUUCCAAAUCAAACGAAUUCUCAUGAAUAUCAUCUGUCAAAAGCAGCAACUGAAUGGAAAUAAUCUGCACGCUGUGACUUAUUUCAGAAAGGGUUCGAGUCUAUUUCCGUGCUUUUCAUUACUGUCAAUUGGAAGAGUUCUUUAGAAAGCCUGCAGAAAAAGUGAAGCCAAAGAUUGUUUUUGCCCCAACCAUAAGGAAAUCAAGGCUUGAACAAGCCAAUGGGUCGAUGAGAAAUUUUGAGAAUUCUUCUAAAAAUCUGAAUUUUUAUAUCACAUAAAUAAUUGAAAGAGAAUCCCAUUCCACGAAUCAAAUCACUUGAAACGAAAAUCUGGAUAGGAAUCAAUAUCAAUGGACUUGUGGCAACUCACAGGCCAAAGAAAGAUGAUAAGUCUCACGAAUUGAUGUGAAUAACUAGUGAUUCAAGAAUACGGAUCCUCAAAUCGACCAUUUUCCUCAAAUUUGCUUGACAUGUCAGUUUCAAUGAAGACUUGGAAAAGUAAGUCAAGCAUGCUUGUCCUAAGAGCAAAGUACACUCCAAACCGAUUGAAAAGGGAAAGGGAAAAAGAUUCCAAAAACCCUAAACUUUGCCUAGUGUGACAAAAUUAUCCUAAACUUUUUUUUUGUAACACAAAAAUCCCAAUCUUUGCCAAUUAUGACACAUUUAUCCCAAACUAUAGGGCAUUUUUGUCUUUUAUUUUUUAUUUUUUGUCUUGUUGUUUUCUUUUUUCUUUUCUUUUUCUUCUUCUCUCUUCCCUCCACCGGCCAUGACGGAGGGAAGAAUUUAACUUUUCGAGAAGCUUUGUGUCCUUUCAUGUUACAAGCAAUCAGGAAUUUUGUUGAAGCCGAAAUAUCGAGCUAAACUUCACCAAAGCAUGACCACAAUGAUGAGACUCUCAGAAAUAAAAACGCCAAUUCCAAAUCAAACGAAUUCUCAUGAAUAUCAUCUGUCAAAAGCAGCAACUGAAUGGAAAUAGUCUGCACGCUGUGACUUAUUUCAGAAAGGGUUCGAGUCUAUUUCAUUGCUUUUUAUUACUGUCAAUUGGAAGAGUUCUUUAGAAAGCCCGCAGAAAAAGUGAAGCCAAAGAUUGUUUUUGCCCCAACCAUCAGGAAAUCACGGCUUGAACAAGCCAAUGGGUCGAUGAGAAAUUUUGAGAAUUCUUUAAAAAUAUGAAUUUUUAUAUCACACAAAUAAUUGAAGGAGAAUCCCAUUCCACGAAUCAAAUCACUUGAAACGAAAAUCUAGAUAGGAAUCAAUAUCAAUGGACUUGUGGCAACUCACAGACCAGAGAAAGAUGAUAAGUCUCACGAAUUGAUGUGAAUAACUAGCGAUUCAAGAAUACAGAUCCUCAAAUCGAUCAUUUUCCACAAAUUUGCUUGACAUGUCAAUUUCAAUGAAGACUUGGAAAAGUAAGUCAAGCAUGCUUGUCCUAAGAGCAAAGUACACUCCAAACCGAUUGAAAAGGGGAAGGGAAAAAGAUUCCAAAAACCCUAAACUUUGACUAGUGUGACAAAAUUAUCCUAAACUUUUUUUUUUGUAACACAAAAAUCCCAAACUUUGUUAAUUAUGACACAUUUUAUCCCAAACUAUAGGGGAUUUUUGUCAUCUACUUUUAAUUUUUUUCUUGUGGUUUUCUGUUGUUUCUUUUUUCUUUUCUUUUUCUUCUUCUCUCUUCCCUCUGCCAGCCAUGACGGAGGGAAGCCAAACUCAGGCGAUUUUAGAAAGGGUUCGAGUCUAUUUUCUUGCUUUUUAUUACUAUCAAUUGGAAGAGUUCUUUAGAAAGCCCGUAGAAAAAGUGAAGCCAAAGAUUGUUUUUUCCCCAUGACCAUCAGGAAAUCACGGUUUGAACAAGCCAAUGGGUCGAUGAGAAAUUUUGAGAAUUCUUCUAGAAAUCUGAAUUUUUAUAUCACACAAAUAAUUGAAAGAGAAUCCCAUUCCACGUAUCAAAUCACUUGAAACGAAAAUCCGGAUAGGAAUCAAUAUCAAUGGACUUGUGGCAACUCAUAGACUAAAGAAAGAUGAUAAGUCUCACGAAAGCGAUUCAAGAAUAUGGAUCCUCAAAUCGACCAUUUUCCACAAAUUUGCUUGAUAUGUCAAUUUCAAUGAAGACUUGGAAAAGUAAGUCAAGCAUGCUUGUCCUAAGAGCAAAGUACACUCCAAACCGAUUGAAAAGGGGAAGGGAAAAAGAUUCCAAAAACCCUAAACUUUGACUAGCGUGACAAAAUUAUCCGAGACAUUUUUUUUUGUAACACAAAAAUCCCAAACUUUGUCAAUUAUGACACAUUUAUCCCAAACUAUAGGGCAUUUUCGUCUUUUACUUCUAAAUUUUUUUUCUUGUUGUUUUCUUUUUUCUUUUCUUUUUCUUCUUCUCUCUUCCCUCCCUUGGCCAUGACGGAGGGAAGCCAAACUCAGGCGAAUAUCAAUGGACUUGUGGCAAAUCAUAGACCAGAGAAAGAUGAUAAGUCUCACGAAUUGAUGUGAAUAACAAGCAAUUCAAGAAUACAGAUCCUCAAAUCGACCAUUUUCCACAAAUUUACUUGAUAUGUCAAUUUCAAUGAAGACUUGGAAAAGUAAGUCAAGCAUGCUUGUCCUAAGAGCAAAGUACACUCCAAACCGAUUGAAAAGGGGAAGGGAAAAAGAUUCCAAAAACCCUAAACUUUGACUAGUGUGACAAAAUUAUCCUAAACUUUCUUUUUUUUGUAACACAAAAAUCCCAAACUUUGUCAAUUAUGACACAUUUAUCCCAAACUAUAGGGCAUUUUCGUCUUUUACUUCUAAAUUUUUUUUCUUGUUGUUUUCUUUUUUCUUUUCUUUUUCUUCUUCUCUCUUCCCUCUGUCGGCCAUGACAGAGGGAAGCCAAACUUAGGCAAGCCCCCCUUGCCCCAACGUUGGGCAAGGGCCGCCCUCACCCGAUCUAGGGAGGGCAACCCUCGCCUGACGUAGGCGAGGGCGGCCCUCCCCUGGGUUGGUGAGUGCAUUCCUUGCUAGAUUCGGCCCAGGCGAGGGCUGUCCUUAUCGAAUCUAGCAAGGGCUAUCCUUGCCUAGGUCAACGAGGUUUGUCUUUGCUUGACCUUGCCGAACUAAGUGAGGGUAGCCCUCGCCCAAUCUCGGCGACAAUGGCCCUCGCCUAAGUCCGCCUUCCCUUUGCCAUGGCCGAUGGAGGGAAGAGAGAAGAAGGAAAAAGAAGGGGAAAAAAGAAGAAGAAGAGGAAAGACGGAAAAUAAAAAAAAUUAUUUUUUAAAUUAAAAGACAAAAAUGCCCUUGGAAAUAGAGUUUAGGGUAAAUGUGUCAUAGUUGGAAAAAUUUGGGAUGUCUUGUGUCAUAAAAAACAAUUGGGGUAAAUUGUCAUUCUGGGCAAAAUUUGCGAUUUUUAGUGGCUUUUUCCCAAAAUGAAAAGAUAUAUUAUUUUAAUGAACAACUGCUUUAAAGUAUUAAUUUUGAAAUCUGCUGUUUAUUUUGGUCCUCUCACUUAGAACUAAUAUUUAUGGAAUUAUCAUUUUCAUCUCGCUCUUUUUCAUAUUUUACUAUCUUUAUUUUUCCGUGAAUUAAUUUUCAAGGAACUUGUCUUAAUAGUAUGAUACAAUAACGUGUAGUCUGACAUGGGAUUAUAUAUCUUUCUCAGAUAUCUAUAGGAUAUCAACAAAUCGAUAAAUUGUUUAGGCAAAAACAAACAUAAGGGGGGUGAGUUUGUGAUCUAAGGAAAUUUCAAAAAAUUUCGAGUGAAGAGCAUGCACUAGUGCUGUAGAGAGAAACGUGCAUAUACAAAAUACUUAUCUUCCAUCAGUGAAAGGCAUUUAAAAAUAGAAGAAUUGCAAAGCAUAUUUAUGGGACUUUGGCUAGUCCAUUUGGCUUACUCAGCUCUCUCAGCUUUAACUGUCCAGACAAAUACUGGAACCCACUAUAUAAUCCUUAAGAUAUUACUGCAUCCAAAGAUAGUUCCUUUUACUUGUAACUUUGCUUUUACAUAUAAUUUGUAUAACGUAUUGACAAAGUUUCUCUACAUAUCUUGUCAUCAAUUCAUGUGCCUACUAUUACUCUCGGAUAUUUAAAUAAUAUAAUCCGUUACGUUCAAGAUUAGAACAUGAGGAUAAUGUUUUUGGUAGUGUGGCAUAGUAGCUCAACAACAAUGAAUUUGCGCGAUGGUCAUUGAUUGAUGACCGGUGUAAUUCUUGUCUUUUGAGUGACCAAAAGCAAGUUGGAAGUAUGGAAACGCGGGUCAAGAGCACCUAGUAUCUAGGAAUGUAAUCCCUUCCAUCCUUUGGAUGGUCGUAGCUGAUCAUAGCAGGAUUUACUCGUAUUGAUCCAUCAAUCGCCCAUGGCCAUGACCAUCCAACAUGUACAUAGACCAUAUGGGGAUAGAUCCAAACAUAUUAAUAUCAAGUAAUAAUCAAAGUGUGCUCCUUGACUAUAUAAGAAAAAUUAUGUUAAGUAAUCGGUUGGUGCAUAUAAAUAACCUAGAUGGGACCCAAAUGAAUUUCAUAAUUUUUUACUGAACCGAAUUCGAUUCGUAUAAGGUUGAACUGCUGCCCUUGUAAGGGAGAGAAGGUACUGCAUUCUGGAAAUGAGAGAAAAGGCAUGCUAAAAUGAGUGGCCUCAUACUUGCAUAAUCAUUCUCCGAUAAUGUCGAUUAUCACUCUCAUACAGUUUUGACUUAAGACCUGAGCAAAUCAAUAACUUGCGAUUUGAGUAUCUGACACUUAAGUUGAUCAAUUUUUCAUAGAUUUACUUGAAAGGCUAGGUCAAUUUCAAUGAAGGCUUUUAAAAGUAAGUCGGGCAUGGGUAUUAAAAAUGAUCAAGAUGCCAUAAAAUGCCCCCACAGAAGUACGGAUUUCUGAUUUUGGCACGGCACGACUAUUAUUCAUCAAAAUGGACUGCAUUAGCUGGAUUAUCGACUACAUUGCUUUAGAUAUUUAUGACCUUUAUAAUUUCUUUCCUUUUCAAUGACAUUAAGGAUCCAGAAAGGCAUUGUAAUUGAUCUGGCUAGUUCGAGGAUACUAAAUUUAUGUAAUCAAAAUGAUAUUUGCUCGUAAUUUUUUACCUAUACCCAUCACAUGAAGAGGAAUCCAUGUCGUUGACUCAAGUGUAGCUGAUGAGGUUAUGAACAAGUUGUGAUAUCUUCACUUACAGAGUUGGCUUAUUCUACAAUACAAACUGAAAAAUGCAAUGUGUAUAACUUUGGAGUCAUCACGUUAGAUACAAUCAUGGGAAAGUAUCUAGAAGAUAUUAUCUCUGGGAAAUAUCCAUCAUCCACCAAAAUUGAGUUGCCGAUGCUGUUGAAGGAUGUGCUACAUCAACGUCUGUCGCCUUCGAGAUGCGUAAGACGUGAUCUCUAUCGCCCGGCUAGCAUUCAAGUGUCUGCGAGCCAAUCCGCAGCUUCGACCGUCCAUGAGACAAGUUUCUCGGAAGCUCCGCGUUCAACUUUCGUGAUCUCAAAGGCAGGAAAUUUCGAGCAUCGGAAGGGGAUUGCAAGUUUUGAAGUUAGCUUUACGGGUGCACCGUUUGCUGUUUGUUUGUUUGUUUUUUUUUUUUUUUUCCGAAGGGGGGGGGGGGGGGGGGAGUGUUCAGUCUGUUGGGUAUUUAAGUCACUAGCAAAAAGUUAACACUCUUGCUCAGAACAGUUGCUUCUCUUUUGCGGGCUUACCAGGAUUAUAACAGCCAAUCUUAUUCGACAAUUUGGAUUUUCUUCUUAGUCCUUACCAAUCCCACCAUCUUAAUUAUUUUUCACUUCAGAGCCUGCUUACCUUUGAACAUUAUUCGAUCACUGCCGCGUCGGCGAUUGUACUUUGGAGUCACGGCAUCAAAAAUAAUCAUGGGAAGGCUUCUGUGGAGGUCUUACUUCACUAUGGUUUCCAGCUUGUCGCAAUGAGAUCAGGAAAGAAUUUGCAAAAUGCAUCAGAUCGACAUCGUUGAGUGUAGUUUUCCAUUUCGAAAGGAAUAAUGAACCUACUAGUCAGUAAAAAUUUGCUUGGGUGCAAUUCAAACUCUAGUUGAUUCAAUUAACUCCCUCAACUUUUGUAUGUGUGCAGUAUAAGUCCCAAACUUUCAAUUGGUUCUGUCAAAUCCCUCUACAAUUUUAAUAAAAUGACAUGGGACAUCGAUUCAGUAAAACUUAAUGGAGAAAGGCAAGGAUAACAGUGACUCCGAAACUGAUCAAACCAUUUAAGGAAUUGUGAAUAUGGAGGGUAAGAAACCUUAUGAAAAGGUCUAAAUAAAUUGAGAACAAGAUGAUGCGAUAGUUUUAAUGUUGGAAGUUUAUGGAAAUCUCGAGUAUGUAUACUUGACAGAACCCUCAAAAUCUGAUUAAACCAACUUAUGGACUGGACCGCUUACCAACUGAAAGGCUAAUGUCACAUCAUGUUGAAACUAGGGGCUCGCGUCGAACUAAAAUUCACGGCGACUUUACUUGAAUAGGUCAACAAGACCAAAACGCAAGUCGAUGACACGACAGCUUAAUUAGAGCACUAACAUCAUAAAUGCCCUUGGGGUGUUAUAUCUUAUUCAAUUAUUCAAUUCCAGUGGAUGAAAUCGAGAACAUAAUGACUACUAUAAUGAGACCCAUCAUUUACCGAGAUUAAGUGUUAUAAAUCAAGACAAAUCAACAUUUCCAUCGUGGUCGAGCUCAAGUUAACUGGAUUUAUGCAAAGCUCAAUAUCCAGUUCGACCUUGAUUUAGCUUUCAAUAAAUUCAAGCCCGACUAUUCGAUUCUACAAUUAGCAAGUAAAUCAACAAGUGGAUCCCUGGAGUGCCAUAACUUGGCACAAAGGGACACUUAAGUGCCAUAAUUUACGAAAGUGAUAUUUAAGUGCCAAAAUCAGAGCAAAAUGGAUUAUUUAAGUGUCAAUUCGGCCAAAACGCUGACAUGUCAAUUUUCUGACAAAGCAAGUGUAAAAUAGCGUUGUUUUGGUGCUGACGUGGUAAAAAAUUAAUAUAAAAAUUAAAUUUAUUAAAUUUAAAAUUAAAUUUAUUUAAAACAUUUAUAAAAAUAUAAAAUAUUAAAAAAUUUAAAAAAUUUAAAAAAUUUUAAAAAAAAAUUAAGAAAAGGGAGGCGGCUCAGGGUUGAGCCCUCAGCCGUCGCUGCCUCCCCUUCGCCGCCGGCAAGGGCCGGCGACGGAGGGGGGAGGGUCGGCCUCCCCUCCGUUUUUUUAAAAAAUAUAAAUUAUUAUUAUUAUUAUUAUUAUUAUUAUUAUUAUGUUUAAAUUUAAUUGAAUUAAUUUUAUAUUAUAUUAAAAUUCAAAUUAUGCUAAAACAACGUCGUUUUGGCAGAUUUAAGGACAUUAUUUUGGCCAACUAUAGAAACGACGUUGUUUUUGGUGAAUUAGAGCUAAGUCAGCUCUUUGUCAAGCCACCUCGACGAGAAAUAUUAAUAUUUAAUUGCCACGUAUGAUUUCCGGCCGGCUUCGCCGGAGGUGGCACUCAUGUGUCUCACUUUUUUUAAAAUGUGGCAUUCAAGUGUCACUUUCGUAAGUUAUGGCACUUGAAGCGAUCUUUUACCCAAGUAAAUCUGCCGUGAGCUCGAGUCUAGCUUGAGUCUAACUCAAGUAAGAAUUGAGAGAUACUACAAAAGGGAGUAUAAAAAAAUAAUGCUGUUUUUCUAUGUAUUGUAUUUAUAGUCUGAUCAUAUGCAUGCACUCAAAUGUAAUUCAACAGCUCGAUUAGCUUGGCUCCAAAGUAAGAUACUCAAGCUAGGCAUUUUCAAGCAUGAACUCAGCCCAAUUAAGAACUUCUUAAUUGGGCUCGGCAAAAUUCAAAGAAUCGAUCUCGUAUCUCACGAGUAGCUUGAUUAGUUUCUAUUUCUACGUGCGACUUUUUCGUUACGUAUACCUCGAAACAAUUAUGACUUGAUUAUUACUAUCUAAAAGUAGUCAUUUCGCAUGAACAAGAUUCGUUCAUUGAGUCUGAUUAGGAAUGGGUGACCACUGGCUUCCCUUUUUUAUCCACCGUGAAUAAUACAAUAAGAAAUCUAUACACGCUCCAACAGGAUUGGUGUCUUUCUAAGGUUACUAGAAAUGGCACAAGCAUUGUCGGGAAAAAAUUAAAAUUUUUGUGAAAUACUUUUUUUUUAGUGAAAAGAUUAUAAUCAGUGGCUAAAAAAAACAAAAAACUCGCGUGGUCACAUAUCGUGCAAUUUUCUUAUAUUGUAAGUCAAUACCCCACGCUAAACUUUUAAUUGUAUAUAAUACAAAAUAAGAAUUUAACUUCUCGAGAGGCUUUGCGUCUUUCCAUGUUACAACCAAUUAGGAAUUUUCUUGAAACUGAAAGAUCGACCUAAACUCCACCAAAGCAUGACAACAAUCACGAGACUUCAGAAAUAAAAACGCCAAUUCCAAAUCAAACGAACUCUCAUGAUUAUCAUCUAUUAAAAGCAGCAACUGAAUAGAAAUAAUCUGAACGCUGUGACUUAUCUUGGAAAGGGUUCGAGUCUAUUUCCUUGCUUUCCAUUAAUAUCAAUUGGAAGAGUUCUUUAGAAAGCCCGAAGAAAAAGUGAAGCCAAGGAUUUUUUUGCCCCUUCACCAUUAAGAAAUCACAGUUUGAACAAGCCAAUGGGUCAAGAAAUUUUGAGAAUUCUUCUAAAAAUCUGAAUUUUUAUAUUACUCAAAUAAUUAAAAGAGAAUCCCAUUCCACUAAUCAAAUUACUUGAAAUGGAAAUCCGGAUAGGAAUCAUUAUCAAUGGACUUGUGGCAACUCAAAGACCGGAGUAAGAUGAUAAGACUCACGAAUUGACGUGAAUAACUAGUGGAUCAAGAAUACAAACCCUCAAAUGUGCCAUUUUCCACAAAUUUGCUUGACAUGUCAAUUUCAAUGAAGACUUGGAAAAGUAAGUCAAACAUGCCUGUCCUAGGAGCAAAGUACACACCAAACUGAUUGAAAAAGGAAAAGAUAUAAUGUUUUAAUGAAAAACUGCUUUAAAGUACUAAUUUUGAAAUCUACCAUCGAUUUUGGUCCUCUCGCUUAGAACUAAUAUUUAUGGGAUGAUCAUUUUCAUCUCUCUUUUCCAUAUUUUACUGUCUUGAUUGUUCCGUGAAUUAAUUUUCAAGGAACUUGUCUAAAUAGUAUGAUACAAUAACGUGUAGUCUGACAUGGGAUUAUAUAUCUUUUUCGCAUAUCAAUAGGAUAUCAGCAAAUCGAUAAAUUGUUUAGGCACAAACAAACAUAAGGGUGGUGAGUGUGUGAUCUAAGGAAAUUUCAAAAAAUUUCGAGUGAAGAGCAUGCACUAGUGCUAUAGAGAGAAACGUGCAUAUACAAGACAGUUAUCUUCCAUCGAUGAAAGGCGUUUAAGAUAUAGAAGAAUUGCAAAGCAAAUUUAUAGUACUUUGGCCUAUCCAUUUGGCUCACUCUACUCUUCCAGCUCUAACAGUCCAAACAAAUACUGGAACCCACUAUAUAAUCCUUGAGAUGUUACUACAUCCGAAGAUACUUCCUUCCUUCUACUUGUAACUUUGCUUUUACAUAUAAUUUGUAAAACUUAUUGACGAAGUUUCUCUACAUAUCUUGUCACCAAUUCGUGUGCCUACUAUUACUCUCGGAUUUUUAAAGAUUAUACUGCGUAAUGUUCAAGAUUAUAACAUGAGGAUUAUGUUUUUGGUAGUGUGGCAUAGUAGCUCAACAACAAUGAAUUUGCGUGAUGGUUAUUGAUUGAUGACCGGUGUCGUUCUUGUCUUUUGAGCGACCAAAAGCAAGUUGGAAGUUUGGAAACUAGGGUCGAGAGCACCUAAUAUUUAGGAAUGUAAUCUCUCCCAUCCCUUGGAUGGUUAUAACUGAUCAUANNNNNNNNNNNNNNNNNNNNNNNNNNNNNNNNNNNNNNNNNNNNNNNNNNNNNNNNNNNNNNNNNNNNNNNNNNNNNNNNNNNNNNNNNNNNNNNNNNNNNNNNNNNNNNNNNNNNNNNNNNNNNNNNNNNNNNNNNNNNNNNNNNNNNNNNNNNNNNNNNNNNNNNNNNNNNNNNNNNNNNNNNNNNNNNNNNNNNNNNNNNNNNNNNNNNNNNNNNNNNNNNNNNNNNNNNNNNNNNNNNNNNNNNNNNNNNNNNNNNNNNNNNNNNNNNNNNNNNNNNNNNNNNNNNNNNNNNNNNNNNNNNNNNNNNNNNNNNNNNNNNNNNNNNNNNNNNNNNNNNNNNNNNNNNNNNNNNNNNNNNNNNNNNNNNNNNNNNNNNNNNNNNNNNNNNNNNNNNNNNNNNNNNNNNNNNNNNNNNNNNNNNNNNNNNNNNNNNNNNNNNNNNNNNNNNNNNNNNNNNNNNNNNNNNNNNNNNNNNNNNNNNNNNNNNNNNNNNNNNNNNNNNNNNNNNNNNNNNNNNNNNNNNNNNNNNNNNNNNNNNNNNNNNNNNNNNNNNNNNNNNNNNNNNNNNNNNNNNNNNNNNNNNNNNNNNNNNNNNNNNNNNNNNNNNNNNNNNNNNNNNNNNNNNNNNNNNNNNNNNNNNNNNNNNNNNNNNNNNNNNNNNNNNNNNNNNNNNNNNNNNNNNNNNNNNNNNNNNNNNNNNNNNNNNNNNNNNNNNNNNNNNNNNNNNNNNNNNNNNNNNNNNNNNNNNNNNNNNNNNNNNNNNNNNNNNNNNNNNNNNNNNNNNNNNNNNNNNNNNNNNNNNNNNNNNNNNNNNNNNNNNNNNNNNNNNNNNNNNNNNNNNNNNNNNNNNNNNNNNNNNNNNNNNNNNNNNNNNNNNNNNNNNNNNNNNNNNNNNNNNNNNNNNNNNNNNNNNNNNNNNNNNNNNNNNNNNNNNNNNNNNNNNNNNNNNNNNNNNNNNNNNNNNNNNNNNNNNNNNNNNNNNNNNNNNNNNNNNNNNNNNNNNNNNNNNNNNNNNNNNNNNNNNNNNNNNNNNNNNNNNNNNNNNNNNNNNNNNNNNNNNNNNNNNNNNNNNNNNNNNNNNNNNNNNNNNNNNNNNNNNNNNNNNNNNNNNNNNNNNNNNNNNNNNNNNNNNNNNNNNNNNNNNNNNNNNNNNNNNNNNNNNNNNNNNNNNNNNNNNNNNNNNNNNAUCGCGCAUGGCCAUGACCAUCCAACACGUACAUCGACCAUAUGGGGAUAGAUCCAAACAUAUAAUAUCAGGUAAUAAUCAAAGUGUGCUCCUUGACGAGAAAUUACUUGAUGCAUGAACAAAUGUGAUCUUCUCUGUUAUGAUAUUCACCAUGGUGAUUUAAUCCGGCAGUCACAAAAUGAACUACUAUAUACGAAAGAUUAUGUUAAGUAACCAGUUAGUGCAUAUAAAUAACCUACAUGGGACCCAAUUGAAUUUCAUAAUUUUUGACUGAACCGAAUUCGAUUCGUACAAGGUUGAACUGCUGCCCUUCUCUUAAGGGAGAGAAGGUACUCUAGUAACUUUUUGCAAGCAACAUGGAUGACAGAUUCACCAGAGAAAAUCUGAUUGCACCUCCCACAUAAAAAGAGAUGUGAAAAUAAAGUAGAUCUUGCUAUUAAGUGUCCUCAAUACACUUGUUAAACAUGUUUAAUGCAUAAAGAUUUGAUUUUCAAAAUAUUAAUUGUGUAUGUCACAAAAAUAGUCAAUGCAUUAUAAUUUGCAGUAUUUUGUUAUUUUGUUACUUAAUAAGUGUCCUGUGGACACUAUUUAGGUAAGAUCCAAGUAAAAUUUACUCUUGUGCAAGCGGAGCAUCAACCUAGUAUAAGAGUGGGUAAAACUUGCAUGAAGUUUAGCCAUAUAGCACACUUAUGUAUAAAACUCUUUGUAAUUUGUUUUUGAUUAUCACUCUAGCAAAUCUUUCAUCCUAAUAUAUCUCUAACUCUACAUCUCUACUCUUAUGCAAAUUUUGAUAAUAAGAUCUAUUAUUGGUAUACUUUCAUAUAUUCUUAUCCAUAAUUCUCUAACAGAACUAUGCAUAUUUUUUGGUAAUAAAUGCUCUAAUAAAGUUUUUUGUUUUUUUUUUUUAGAUUCUAUCCCAAAAUACCCGCAAUUUUUAUCUUUAAAGAAACUUGCUCAAAGACGAGGUUUUGAAAGAAUUUAACAGUAUAGGGAUACCUAUCUCAUAAUUGGCUCAUAUUUAACAAACAAUACACUAAAAGAUCAAACUCAUGUAAGGCUCAUAUUGGACAAUUAAAGAGUAUUAAAAUCAUAUCUGAGAAAUACUUAUAUCACUUGAUCAAUGUUGACUUGGUCUCACAUUCGAGAAAAUAAAUACAUUAAAAAUCAAUGAAAAAAAUCCAUAAUCACAGGACUAUCUAUCUCAUUGUUGACUUACAUUUUAGAGUAAUCUAUUUGAAAGAUCAAUCUCAUAUUGGCUUCAUAUUUGACAAACAAAUAAUAUUAAAAUCAUAUUUAGAGUAACAUUACAUGAUCAAUAACAUAUUGAACAAUUAUGGCAAAUAAAUAAUAUUAAAACGACCCGGGCCUUUACAUAUUGUAUUUAUAUUUACGCACUUCGGCCUGCAGCAUUUCUUGUUUCUUAAUCAAUCUAGAUUCAUGUAUUUUAAAUCCCAUUGCUCGCAGGAUUUUUCUUGCCGUCAACUCCAAGAACCUUCAAAAUUGAGCGAGUGGCUCAUUCUAGAUUUCAUUUGCAGAACCCAAGCUCAAUCCCUUGCCUUGACUCGGUCGUCAAUUGUCUGAGAAGAAUCCAAGCGGAUGAGUCCAAAGUCGAUUAAUGUUCCAUUUGUACGUGAAGCUUUGCAGGUCCUAGUCUGUUGAUGUGUUCAGUAUAGACUAUUCAAACUCUUGCGGAGUGUUAUAAAAGGAAUACUAUUGCUAACAUGAUAACCUCUGUACAAAAUGCUGACAUGAAAAGAUAAGAGACGAGAGAACGAGACUCGUUAGCUGCUUGGUCCCAGCCAUGUCCUUCCCACGAAUAGUAUGUCAGCUAAUAAUAAUGCAUAGCACAAGUCUUUUCUCAAUAACAUGAUCAUUUUCUAUACUCCGACGAUUUAAUGGUAAUGCAAAUUGACAGAAAAACAAGACAAGAGAUAAUUUCUGAAUUACACAGAGAAGGAUUUAUGAUGUCUUAUGCUAAUAGAAAUUGAUUUGAAUUACAAACACUAACAGAAAUUGUCAAGCUUAGUUGAAAAUUUAAAUUAAAGAUUUUGUCAAUAUGUUUUUUAGAAAGGAUUUUCAUGAGGGAAACAAAACUUUACAUACGAAAUGGUGGACCGCACAACCCAUUAAAGCGGGUUGCGUUAAAAAAAAAGAUAAGAGGUUGUGUGGAUAAGAUGAACUCUGGACAUACGUGACAAGCACGCCAUAUUAACUGUUUCAAAACGACAACGAUAUAUGCAUUGUCCGUGAUUGAGGCUCCAUCUAAUAAUGAUUAGCCAUCUAUAAAUAUCUUACCAAUCGUGUUGUUGAGAACAUGCGAACUUUGACAAUUUCACAUCGUCAAAACCACCCUAGAAUCAUGGCCUCUCCCUUAUUUCUGUGGAAGCCGUCUUCUUUAGGAGUCUUCUUCUUAUUCUACUCGCUCUUCUUCGUAAACAACAUCACCAUCUUUGUUUCCACUCCAUUUCAUAAGUCUUUUCUCGAUAACAUGAUCAUUUUCUAUACUCCAACGAUUUAAUGGUAAGCGAAUUAAUAGAAAAAUGAGACGAGAGAUCAUUUCUGAAUUAUAGAGAGAAAGACUUAUGAUGUCUUAUGCUAAUAGAAAUUGACGUGAAUUACAAACAGGUUAAUUUAACCAUAAACAUUUUCACUUUCAUAUCAAUUCAAUCCAUCCAAUCAAUUUAAAUUGAAAAUUACUCACAUGAAUACUAGUAAUCAUACAUGGCAUAACCGAUGUCGAAGUGGAUAUUUUUUAUAAUUUUUAUGAUUUUUUUCUCUUUUCCUUUGUUUUUAUUCCUCUUUUCUUUUUGUUGGUAGCCGGCAAGGGCUGGUAGUGCUAGAUGAGGAUCGCUCUUGCUAGCCAUAGGCAACAAUCAAUCUCACUAAGCUGCGCUUGAGCAAGAGUUGGCCUCGGCAAGGCCCAGCUUUUAUCAUAUUUAUUUCAUUUUGUUUUCCACAAAUUCAAAUCAUUGAAAAAGAGGACAUAACUCCUUUUCUAUUUUACUUCUCUUGUUUGUUAUGUAUUAUAAUCAAUGGAAACGUAAUAGUGGUCAAAUGAUAUGUCAUCAAAUGAUUGUUAGGCAGGUGGCAGCUUACAAAAAAACCAAGAAUGAAAGGAAGGAGAAAUUCAAAUAAAAAGGAAAAAUAAAGUGAUUCGGGGGUAGGAAUCCAAUUUUGGAUUCAAUAUGGAUAAAAGAUCCCUGACUUAGGCGAGGGUUGGCCUCACCGAUGCUUAACCCUCUUUUCCUCUUUUCCUCUAGAAAUUCCUUUUCACAAAAUCUAUUCUUUUUGCUUGUUGAACUUAGUAAUAUAAUCCGCAAAGGAGUACCCGGAGGAUUUAGCCUUUAGGGGUCAUAGAAACGGCAAGGUUGAUGAAAAGUGGAACUUUGAGGUCAAGAGGUUUUUAGUAGAAGAGGAGUAGGGUUUAAGGUUGAAUACGAAGAAGGAAGUGAGAAAAACAAUCAAAUCGUGGCAGAAUUUAUGCUUUCUAAAAUCGGCCCUCUAUACAUAAAGGUAUGAUUCAUGAUAAUAACAAUUCAUGAAUCGUGUCGAUUGAGGUAACGUAUCAGGAAGCUAUGAGGUAGCAGACUGCACACAGAGUUCAAAGCUUCAGAGGUACAAUAUGCAUUAGUUUUGUCCGCGAAACAAAGACCCACAUAUUUCGGAUAUUUUAAAAGAAACCAAAAUUACUUUUAAUUCUUUUAAAAGGAGGCAUAUAUUUGCACUAAAUAUAACCAGGUCAUCAAUAUGGAUAGUCACACGACUCGAAUACAAGUUAUUAUUUAAUGCAUGAGCCAUUGUAGACGACCAUAAAAAUGGUACUUAUAUCAACAUACAUCCAUGACCAUUAAUCAAUUGUCAAUAGAAGAUAGUGUCACCCUCCGAUCCUCGGGCAUGCACCCAUUCCUCACCUGGUCAAUUAAAUAGCGAUGUCCUAGGACGCAUCUUGACCCUUUCAUUUUAAUAUGCAUGUGGAAGCAAAUAUAAAUCCUUAGACAAUAAAAUAAUGGGAUAGAAAAGUAGAACUAAAAAAAUCUCGAACCUGAAAAACAACCACACUUAUAUAUAAUGCAAACCAUAAUGCAUAUAUAUACAAGGCAAACUAUUAAAUCAUGUCUUGAACAACAAGUUCUCAAAACAAGUCUACAUAUAGGGGGUGGGGUUUCAGUCCUCAUCAGGAUCCUCCUUUGGAUCCUCCUCAGGAUUCUCCCCUGAGUUCUCGUCCAAGUUCUCCUCCUCCUCAACGAUCUCUCCUUCUUCCGUGCUCCAGCUGGAGUCCAUUGCUAAUUAUUCCGGAGAGUCAAGAUCAUCACCAAGCUUGGGAUCCUUUGCAUCGAUCACCAAUCCACCCCUAGGAUAUGUUGUCCCCUUUCCGUAUACUACCUUUAAAGCAUAUAGAGAUACAUUAGAUUUCGGUAUAGGGCCCUCCCUUCGGCCAUCAUGGUAAUGGCGAUACCACGGCCGGUAUACAUGGGGCACCUUGUGGGGUUCACCCACAUCAACCCAGACAGUGGAUUUCACCAUUACAUAUUCCAAGCCAUCAUGGUGGUGGUGUAUCAGAAUGUGAUAACAUACUUCAGUAAUUUCUUCAGGUAUACCAAAAUGCAUGGGACGAGGUGAGGGUGCUGCCAUCUAGGGACCUGAAAUGUUGUCCCACAAUGGGGUGAGACUACGUCUCAGCAAGUUCUACCCUCCUAAGACUCGAUUAGGAAGCCAAUACGCCCUAAGGGCUGCCUAAACACAACAUAGGUCGGAGGACUUCCCUUUGCAUCUGUUCCUUUCUACAAGUUAGUAUAUAUCAAAUAUACACAAAUCACAUCAAUUCACCCAAUCAGAUUGAACUAUCGAUCAAUUAACUCAGUCGAUUACAUGUCAUCACGACCUUUCCUUGGUUAAUAUAUUCAAUACUAUCUAUAAAGUCUUAUUAAUUCAAGACUGUUCACCCAAAGUUGAAAAUAUAUAGUAUAGCUCGCCCAAAGCUGGUAAUAUAGUAUAUUGUAUAUAUGCUCGCCCAAAGCUGAUAGAUUAGGGCCCUUAGGCCAUCAUAGUAUACUAUAUAUGCUCGCCCAAAGCUGAUAUAAUAUGUGCUCGCCCAAAGCUGAUAAUAUGAUAUAUUAUAUAUGCUCACCCAAAGCUGAUAUAAUAGGGCCCCUUGGCCAAUAUAGUAUACCACCCAACUAUACAACCAAAUCAUCAUUUUUAUCAUACCCGAUAAAAUAGCCGUAUAUGAGUAUACGGCGGGCCUUAGCCAAAAUAUAGUAUUUUCACCCUUGAAAAUCCUACCAUUUAUAUGGUCCACCAAAAUAUUUUUGGCGUUGUAAACCGAUGCUUGGUUACUUCUCAAACAAUUACCAAAAUAAUUAAUUUAGGAAUAAAAUAUUAAAAUCACAAUUAAAUCAAUUCAGCAUAAAUUAUAGCUCAAUUAAAUAAACAGAUUGCACCACAAUAACCAGCAUAAAAUUCCGAUCAUCGGCUAUCUCGGUUUAAUUUUUGGAAAAUAAUUAAUUAAUUAAAUAAUUACAAAAAUAUUAAAUAAAUAGCAAUAAAUCCAACUUAGGCCCGUAAUGCCUGAUUGGACAUCGAAACGGACCCGGAAAAAUUUCAAGGUUCGUUAAAUAAAUAAUAGAACGUGUCUACUCGCUAAAUACACUAACUAACCACCUAACAUGCAUCGGUAAUUACCUAAAUUCACUAAUCUAAUCUAAUCUAACCACCUAAUCCAUCUUAGCCUAAACUAAUCAACUCCUAAGUAUCAUUAACCUAUUAAGCGAGGAUUAGUGAGUUAAACUCACUUGUUUGGCAAGUCGGACGGUUCAAAAUAUCGGGAACGCGACAAGGCUCGAUACUCUCUAAAGUAGGCCUAGCUUUCGGGGCCCGAAACACCUCCAAAACGGGAUGAACAGUGUCUUAAAUACCCACUAUUUUAGCUUCUAUUUUGAGCUGCAAAACAGAGGAAACAAAGCGGAUUCGGUGAGGCCAAGGCAGGCGAUGAACCGACGGAAAUAUAGUGGCUUAGGCGGGGCUGAAUGGUGGCGAAACGGCGGUGCAUGGUGGCCUGAGCUGGCCGGAACAGCCUCCUGGAUGGCAAGACAACUUCUUGGAACGACGGAGCGUGGCUAAGCAUUGGGUUUGUGCGACACACAGGUGAGCAACGACGCACUCGACGACGCGUGCGGUUCCGCUUGGCUGCUUGCUGCUCCGUGGCCUCUCUACUAGUUGAGGGGCGUUGAACAGCAAUGAGGGGAUGGAGGAAGAAGCUGCCGAAAGUGCAAAGGAGGAAGAAGGGAGAGAUGGGGGACAAGGGCCCUACCAAGGCCAAAUUUUCUCUUCAAUGGUCUCCCUUCACCAUUCUCCACCAAGCUGUCUUCCUUGGCUGCAAUUCAGCCACCAAGACACUUCUUACAACUCUUGAAAUGGUCUUAAAUGGCUAGGCAAGGGGGGAGCUACGAAUUUGCAAGUCUUCUCUCUCGAUUGGACACCGAUCUUUGCUUGAUUCAACACAAAUCGGCCUUUAAAAAAUCAAUUGACACCACACCAAUCCAAUUGGCAUUUUUACUCACCAAUACAACCCCCUUACUUCCUAAUUUUGCGAUAAAAAACGAUUCCUGCCUUUUUUUCUGAACAAAAACGAUCCUACCUUGACUUUUUCCCAAAAAGUCUCAGUUUGCAGAAAAAUCUUUUGAGACUGAGUCAACACUCCUAGAAUUAAUUGUGACAUGAUAGAAGUUUCAAUUUCUGAAAUCAGACUCAAAUUUACGGUUAAUUUCACUCUGGCGCGUUUUUAGCAUGACCUAGACUAUCGGGUAGUUUUUAGAAAUUUUUAGUGCAAAUGACCCGUGAUCGAUUUUCUUUGAGCGACAAUGAACCCACUCGACACAUUGGCGACUCUUGAUUGUCGUGGAAAUCUCGAGGAUUUAAGUACGGACAUAAGGUACCAAAACGAUAGAAAAAUCAGUCUAGUGCUGGCUGACGAGAACCAAUUUAGUGGUGUCACUCACGAUUAGCCACACAUCUUAGUCGAACCGACUUAUCUCUGAUCUCAAAUCGAUUUUUAAUUGUGUCGUAAUGGCUUCUAAAGAUGAGCACGGUCGAGUAGCCGAUUCCUCGUCGAAUUUUCAAGUCUAUUGUAUUAAAAUUCCUUAAUGGCUUUCCCAUAUAGUCUAGUUAUCUCGAGAAUGAUUAGCUUUGAGAACAUCACUAUAGGCGCGUCAAUGAAAUGCCCAAUUUAUUCAAUAGAAAACAAGAUCGAAAAUCUGGGAUGUCACAGACAGCGUACAAUUGAUGAUGAUGAACAUCGUAGUAGAAUUGGUUGGCAAAGAUACCAAUUAAAGAGAAUCAGUUAUUGAGAUUAUGAAUAGGGAAGUAAUAUAUGAGAAGUGCCAAAAAACAGUUAUGACAUUCCAAAUUGAAAUUAUUUGUGGAAGAGAAAGAGUUAAAGUUUAGUAGAUCAUGGGAAAAAGAUUAAGUUCAAGCAAGGGUGAGGGAUCAAGGUGCAAUUUUUAUGGAGAAACCACCUUAACACAAUAUUGUGGUGUCAUCGGAAGACCACCCCCCUUCGGUGCUCGGUGCACAAACAAACAAUAUGUUAUCUUUUAAUUAUCUUUACAUUUCUACACAAAAAAUUUAGGUUUCAGAUUCGUGUCGUUAAUUAAAUUUCGACAUCAAUUAUAUUUCUACAUGUAUCUUUGCUUUAAAUCGUAGGUGCCUCGUCGACGAUUUAAUUCCAAUGUUGCAUCUUCACAUUUUCAGGCUUUGUUGUCAAUUAAAUUCCAGCAAAGUUUUUGUAAGUAUGGCUAUUUUUGAAGUAAACUUGCUGAUUCUUUUGUCUACCUAUGAUAUCUCUCGUUUAGAAUCAUCACAGAACCCAUCUCAUCUAAUAAAACUGAAGAAAGACUUUUGAUGACAUGUUUUUUGUCAUUGAAUCCAAUUCAAGUGAAACGGUUAGAAACUCAACUAGAAAUGGAAAAUCGAGGUAUUUGAUUAGACUGGACAACAAUUGUUUUGUAAAGGAACUUGAGCUCGGAUUUGAGUUCAAACUUAAAAAAGCUUGAAUAAUGUGGGUACAUUAUGUAAAUUUCAAGAUAUUUAUAUCUAUUUAUUAAAUUUAUAUUCAAAGAAUAGGAAAGGUCAAUUCCACUCGCGAGCCUAUGGAACUAGAAAUUGGCGAGCUCAAACUUGGCGUGACAAGGUAGUUUGAGGAGGUGCAGAUCCCUGGAGUGCCAUAAUUUGGCAGAAAGGGACACUUAAGUGCCAUAACUUUCGAAAGGUACACUUAAGUGCCAAAAUCGGAGCAAAGUGGAUCACUUAAGUGCCAAUCCGGCCAAAUUGCAUAUGUGACAUUUUCCGGUGAAGCGAGUGNNNNNNNNNNNNNNNNNNNNNNNNNNNNNNNNNNNNNNNNNNNNNNNNNNNNNNNNNNNNNNNNNNNNNNNNNNNNNNNNNNNNNNNNNNNNNNNNNNNNACCUUAUACAAUCUUGACCUAAUUGCCACGUAUGAUUUCUGGCCGGCUUCGCCGGAGGUGGCACUUAUGUGUCCCACUUUUCUUCAAAUGUGGCACUUAAGUGUACCUUUCGAAAGUUAUGGCACUUAAGUGUCUAUUUGUGCCAAGUUAUGGCACUUGUAGUGUUUUUAUCCCGUAGUUUGAGUAACUCAAGCUCGAGCUUGACCAGAAAUCAAAUGAUUUUUAUUCUCGUGGAGCCCAAAUAACUUGACUCAGUUUAAAUGCCGCGCCCUACGGUAAUGUUGCUUCCAGUACACGCCCGCUUCCUUUUUCCACUCGUUCAACACUUAUGUCAGGUGCGUGCAGAUUUUGAGUCUAAAUUUCGCGUCUCAUCUCCUAAUGCAAAGCGCAGACCACGACGAGCACAACAAAAUUGAGCAUCCCAAGAGUCUGACACCCUCUUACCUUCCCAAUCAAUGGCUAGAUCAUCCGGAUAGUGUCUCGAACUAACGUAUUUUUAUAUGUUUCAGCAAGUCCAAAGUACAGCUGUAGGGGACAAUUUCAUUGGUUUUAAACUUUUUACUUGUAUUGUGUUCCUCACUUAUAGGGAUAUGUUAACUAGAAUCUGACAUCUUUAGUCACGUAUAACAAUACUAAAAUGAAUAAUAAUUAUGGACAUCCAAUUCACGCGUAUGGGAAGUUCCGACUUCCAGUUGACUUUGCUACUUAUAUAGGUCAGGUUCACCGAUAACAAGCUCGUCGGAGAACUCCUUGUACUGAUCUAAAUCAUGACUGAACCUAAUAAUUCAGUUUGAGUACUGAUCUGCAUCCUCUUUGUGUCCACUACUUUAUUUGUUUCCUUUUGCCAUAAAAGGUCCAGGUCACACCGGCUUCCUCCGGGACCCUCCAGAUGGCCGAUAUUCGGCAACCUGUUCAAUCUUGGGAAGAUGCCUCAUCGAACACUAGCUGGCCUCCGUGAAAAGUAUGGCCCGGUGAUUUGGCUUAGGCUAGGCUCGAUAGACACCAUGGUGAUUCUCUCGAGCAGAGUUGCAGCUGAGUUCUUUAAGAACCAUGACCUCAAUUUUGUGGAGCGAACCGUCACCGAUCUCAUGCAAUCUCAGGAGUACUACAAAGGAUCCAUUGCCCUAGCCCCAUACGGCACAUAUUGGCAGUGUCAAGGUGGCUGCUGACGGCGGACAUGCUAGUUGCCAAGCGGCUCAUGAAACAGCUCCAUCCUGAGAAAGUGUGUCAACAGCAUGNNNNNNNNNNNNNNNNNNNNNNNNNNNNNNNNNNNNNNNNNNNNNNNNNNNNNNNNNNNNNNNNNNNNNNNNNNNNNNNNNNNNNNNNNNNNNNNNNNNNNNNNNNNNNNNNNNNNNNNNNNNNNNNNNNNNNNNNNNNNNNNNNNNNNNNNNNNNNNNNNNNNNNNNNNNNNNNNNNNNNNNNNNNNNNNNNNNNNNNNNNNNNNNNNNNNNNNAUUCCCGUGGCUGCGAUGGUUGGGCUCGCAAAGGGUUGAGGAGGAAGAUGGAUCGGGAUAUGGGGAAGGUGUUAACUAGGUUCACUCCUAUGUGGAGGAAGCCCAAUGAGUUGCAAGCCCAAAAAGGGCUUGAGCCCAUAUAAUAAGUUAUAUGGAGAAAUAUGGUUUCUCACUAUCUAUAUAAAGAGGUAGCCGCAAAAAAGGAAAUAGUAACAAGAGAAAAAGAGAAAGUAGAAAAUCUAGGGGUUGGGGCAAUAUCUCAUUUACAUCAAGCUGGCAUCAGAAGUCUAUUCGUGGUCCGUUUGAGCUGAAAUUUUGUCAGCAUGUUUGUGGUGUAAUUUUCUCGAAUCUGAACAGUUUGAUUUUCGUUUAAAGCUCCCUACAUCAGGUUUUUCGUGGAUUGAUCAAAACCUGCAUUUUUGGUUAGAUUUAUCCUUAAUCUUUUGUGAAAUUCAUGUGUAUUGCCAAGAAUUAUGUUUUUGAGGUGUUUGAUGCUAUGUACCUCUAGUAUUUGCUAGAGAAGAAAAUUGUUCACCCAAUUUUGUUGAUAGUGAAGAAUUUCGGGUGGACUUCGGUCCCAUGAUUUUUGAUCUCCUCACAUCGAGGAGGUUUCCACGUAAAAAAAUCGUCUUGUGUUCGCAUGCUUGGUAUUUAUUUUACUCUGCUAUAUCGAUUCCUAUUAAGUUUACACAAAAAGGGAGAUUAUUUUAUUCCACUACAUUGAUUCGAUAUUGUUCAAAUUGUUAAUGUUCUCCCAUCAGAGUGGUAUCAGAACAUUUGGUUAUUGCUUGAUUUUUCUGCCUUGUGUUAAACAAUGGAAAUGAAUACGAGUAGAAUGGUUACACUGAAUGGUUCGAAUUAUCAUAUUUGGAAAGGGAAGAUGGAAGACCUUUUAUAUGUGAAAGAUUUUUAUUUGCCCGUAACUGAAACCAGAGAAUAAAACUAAUGCUGAAUGGUCUAUAUUUCAUCGUCAAGUGUGUCGUUAUAUUAGGCAGUGGGUAGAUGAUAAUCUUUUGAACUAUAUUAUUGAGGAAACACAUGCACGUAGUUUAUGGGAUAAGCUCAAACAGUUAUAUGCUCGAAACACUGGGAAUAAUAAGUUAGUUUUGAUAAAACAGAUGAUAGCUCUGAGAUAUCAAGAUGGUACUCGUUUGACUGAUCAUUUAAAUUCUUUUCAAGGAAUUAUAAAUCAGUUGGUUGCGAUGGGAAUCAAGUUUGAUGAUGAGAUACAAGCACUAUGGUUGCUUGGUACUUUGCCGGAAUCCUGGGAGACGUUCCGAACAUCUUUGUUUAAUUCUGCCCCUGAUGGUACGAUUACCAUGGAUUUGGCCAAGAGUAGUAUUUUGAAUGAAGAGAUGAGAAGAAAGACACAAGGAUCGUCCUCUUCACAUUAUGAUGCCUUGGUUGUUGAGAAAAGGGAAAGAAGUAAGUCUUGAGGUCCGAGAAAUAGAGAUAAAAGUCGAGAUAAAAGCAGAGGUAAGUAUAAUAAAUUUGCUAAUGUUGAGUGUCAUUAUUGUCAUCAGAAGGGAUAUAUUCAGAAGUUUUGUCGUCAGUUAAAAAGGGAGAAACAAAAGGAGAAAGGUAAAGAGAAUGAAAGUGAUAAUGACAGUGAUGACAAUUGUGUUACUAUACUUAAAGAAGACUUUCUCACUAUUUUUUAUGGUAAUGUGGUGAAUUGAUCACAUGAGACUAGUUGGGUAAUUGAUAGUGGUGCAUCCGUUCAUGCUACAUCUCGUAGGAAUUUCUUUACAUCAUAUAGGUCAGGUGACUUCGGAUCUAUGAAGAUGGGAAACAAUGGGCUAGCUCAAGCUGUAGGCAUCGGUGAUGUGUGCCUAGAAACCAGCAAUGGUACAAGGUUAGUAUUGAAUAAUGUUAAACAUAUACCUGAUAUCCGCUUGAAUUUGAUCUCUACAGGCAAAUUGGAUGAUGAGAGGUAUUGCAGCACCUUUAGUAAUAGUCAAUGGAAGCUCACUAAAGGUUCUCUUGUUGUAGCUAGAGGUGAAAAAUAUUAUUCGCUGUACAUUAUGUAGGCAAAGUUGUCCACAGACAAAAUUAAUGUAGUAGACAGCGAAGAUGCAGCUGAGUUAUGGCAUAAGAGGCUUAGUCACAUCAGUGAUAAGGGUUUGUUACUAUUGGCCAAGAAGAAGCUCCUUUCAGAAUUGAAAAGUUCAGUGCUAAAGAAGUGUGCUCACUGUUUAGCAGGAAAACAUAAUAGAGUUGCGUUUAAAAGCUCAUUUCCUUCAAGAAAGUCAGGUAUAUUGGAUUUAGUGCAUUAUGAUGUUUACGGUCCUAUGAAAACAAAAUCACUUGGUGGCUCUCUUUAUUUUGUUACCUUCAUAGAUGAUUUUUUAAGGAAAAUUUGGAUUUAUACCUUGAAAACUAAAGAUCAAGUGUUAGAUGCUUUUAAUCAAUUUCAGGCUUCAGUUGAGAGACAGACUGGAAAGAAAUUGAAAUGCAUCAGAACUGAUAACGGGAGAGAGUAUAUUGGACCUUUUGAUGAAUAUUGCAAACAACAAUGUAUUCAACAUCAAAAGACACCUCCUAAGAUGCCUUAGUUAAAUGGCUUAAUUGAGAGAAUGAACAAAACACUGGUUGAAAGGGUAAGAUGCUUACUUUCACAGUCAAAGCUACCUGGAUCCUUUUGGGGUGAGGCUUUUAGUAUAGUUAUGCAUGUAUUAAAUCUUACUCCAUGCGUUUCUUUAGAGUUUGAUGUUCCUAAUAGAGUUUGGACAGGCAAAGAUGUUUCUUAUGAUUAUUCGUGUCUUUGGGUGCAAAACAUUUGUGCAUAUUCCCCAAGAUGAGAGGUCUAAACUUGAUAUGAAAACACGACAGUGCAUAUUUAUUGGUUAUGGACAAGAUAUGCUUGGCUACAAAUUUUAUGAUCUGGUUGAAAAGAAAAUUGUAAGAAGCAGAGACGUUGUGUUUAUGAAAGAUCAAAUAAUAGAGAAUAUUGAGAAAGCGGAGAUGAUUUCAGCACCACAGGUUAGUGAUAAUUUGGUUGAUUUGGAUCCAGUUCCUCUUACAAAUAUUCCUACACAGGUUGAUGAAGAGCAGCAGGAAGUCAAUUUCCAAAUAACGCAUAUGUUCCUGAAUAUGUUGAAACAAAUAAUAUUAUUCCUGAACCAGAGGCUCAAUUAGAUGUUCCACUAGAUUUUCCAAUCUGGAGAUCUGUUAGAGACCGACGACCUUCCACCAGGUAUUCUGAAGUUGAGUAUGUAUUAUUGACUGAUGCAGGUGAACCAGAGUGCUAUGCAGAAGUAAUAGAAGAUGAGUACAAAAGCAAUUGGUUUGAUGCUAUGCAAGAUGAGAUGCAGUCACUUUAUGAUAAUCUUACUUUUAAGUUUGUGAAGUUACCUAAAGGUAAAAGAGCUUUGAAGAACAAGUGGGUAUAUAGGUUGAAGCAAGAUGAACAUACUUCACAACCACGAUACAAAGCUAAAUUGGUUGUUAAGGGUUUUGGUUAGAGAAAUGGUAUUGAUUUUGAUGAUAUAUUUUCUCUGGUAGUGAAAAUGUCUUCUAUCCAUGUGGUACUAAACUUGGCAGCUACCAUAGAUUUGGAAAUUGAGCAAAUGGAUGUUAAAACAGCCUUUUUACAUGGUGACUUGGAGGAAGAGAUAUACAUGGAACAACCUGAGGGUUUUAAAGUAAAAGGAAAAGAGGAUUUUGUGUGCAAAUGGAAUAAAAGUCUCUAUGGCCUAAAACAAGCACCGAGGCAGUGGUACAAAAAGUUUGCGUCGGUUAUAACAGAACAGUGUUAUAAGAAGACUUCCUCGAAUAACUGUGUGUUUGUCCAAAAAUUUUCUAAUGAUGAAUUUAUUAUUCUCUUGCUUUAUGUUGAUGAUAUGUUGAUUGUUGGCAGGAAUGCUUCAAAAAUUGAGUUAUUGAAGAAACAAUUGAGCAAGUCUUUUGUCAUGAAAGACUUGGGCUUGGUGAAGCAUAUUCUUAGCAUUAGAAUUACCCGAGAUAGAGAUGCUAAGAAGUUAUUUUUGUCGCAAGAGAAAUAUAUAGAGAAGAUACUUCAGAAAUUUUACUUGGACAAGGCUAAAGUGGUUAGUACUCCUCUUGCUGCCCACUUUAAAUUAAAUAUGAAGCAAAGUCUUACAAUUGAUAAAGAGAAAAAAUAUAUGGAAAAUUUUCCAUAUGCAUCAGCUGUAGGAAGCUUAAUGUAUGCGAUGGUAUGUACACGGCCAGACUUGGCGCACACAGUUAGCGUUGUUAGUCGCUAUUUGUCAAAUCCAGGCAGAGAGCACUGGAAUGCAGUGAAGUGGAUUAUGAGGUAUCUUCGGGGAAUUUCAAAUUUGAAAUUCAGUUUCGAGACCGGGAAACUUGAGUUAGUUGGAUACACAGAUUCUGACUUGGCAGGAGAUAUUGAUACUCAUAAAUCUACUUCUGGUUAUUUGAUUUCUUUUGCAAGUGGAGCUGUGUCAUGGAAGUCAAGAUUGCAUAAGUGUGUUGCACUUUCUACAACUGAAGCUGAAUCUAUUGCAGCGACUAAAGCUAGUAAAGAGAUGCUAUGGAUGAAGAAGUUCUUAGGAGAACUUGGGUUCAAGCAAAAGAGGUAUGUGCUAUUUUGUGAUAAUCAAAGCGCAAUUCAUCUUGGUAAGAAUUCAUCUUUUCAUUUUAGAUCGAAACAUAUUGAUGUUAUAUAUCAUUGGAUAAGAGAUGUUCUAGAUGAAAAGUUGUUGGAACUUGAGAAAAUUCAUACGAAUCAUAAUGGCUCUGAUAUGAUGACGAAGAUUCUACCAAGAGAGAAGCUUGAACAUUGCCAAUUGAUAGUAGGGAUGGUGAAUCCCUCCACAUUGUUGUGAGGGGUGAUAACGCUAGUAUGAACACCUAAAAGAGGGUGAAUAGGUGUUAAAGAAGUUUUUGCAAGACUUAACAACUUAAUUUGACUUAUAAUAAAAUAAUAGAUUGAAGAUAUAAAAGAUUAUAAGCUGAUAUAUAAGAUUGCGAAUUAAGUAAAGAGAUUAGGGAAAGAGAAUUGAAACACAAUGUUUAUAGUGGUUCGGCUUAGACCAAACCUACGUCCACUCUCCCACACUGACAGUCCACUGGCAGGAUUCCACUAAGAACCAAAAGAGAUUUUACAGUGUCACGUCCUAGAAUCCACAGUGUAGAAACUUUGCUAUACUUCCUCAAGGUCUCACAAGAAUUUGAUUUCUCUUUUGAGUACAGUUUAAGCUCGACAAAUUGUAAUAGCAAAGAACUAAGAGUUUCAGACUUUGGAAAUUUUCUUUCACGUACACACUCGAAUAACUUGAGCGUCCUCCUUAUAUACUCCUCUAUGCCAUCAUAACCACUGGCACCUUCCAAAGGAGUUCUUCCAAUCUACCCGUUGGACAUAAUCAAUUAGGAAACUUUCUAGUUAUUUAAGGAAUAUGAUGAUAGCCCACCAAUCUUGCUUGCCCAUACAAGUAGGAUCUAGGUUUCCAUAAGUAGAACUUUCCAAGCAUACUUCGCCAAUCAAUGGAUCUAAUUAUUGAAGUUGGUUUCAAUAAGAAUAAUUGAUCACGAGAUGCUAUCUCCAGCCGUGAGAUAUUCUUCAAUUGUACGAACAAAAUCCUUAAAGAUACACUUGUAUUUGGAUAAGUCUUCUUCAUUGGAUGAAACUUUUCUUCAUCAGUCUAGAAACUAUUAGUGAGGGCAGACUUUAAAUCUUGAGUCUAGAGGUCUUUAGACUUUGACGAUAGAGUCUGCAAGUCUUCAGACUAGACUGAUGGAAACGUUUUGUCAACUUCAAAACAGAUAAGAAAGUUUUCUCCAACAAUCUCCCCCUUUUUGAUGGUGACAAAACUUUCCCGCAAAUUUGGACACUUUGCCCUUCAAAACAACACUUAAGCAAACCAAGAUUCUUAAAAGAUAAUUAUAGAUUAGGAUAAGGAUAGUAGCGAUUCGGCAACCACAGAAAACAUGUUAGUCCUGUAAAAGCAACUAUUGUACCGUAAUCAAUAAUAUAGCUUAAGUUACUUGUAAGCAUCAAUAGUCCAAACCAGUCUAAAUCAUAACCAUACCAAACAAAAGAUAAGUCCACAGUCAAAGCAAAAAGAUAAGUCAUCAAAUUUGCAUAAACCUCUCCCCCUUUUUGUCAACAGCAAAAAGUGGAGAAAAUGAAAAGGAGUUGGUUGAAAAUAGAGUCAAAAUCAUGGCUGUUUGGGAAGGCGAACAAGCUCGAAUUCUCCCGUAGAAUGCACUGUCUUCUCAAGCCUUUCAAAACUCUGCUUCAGUGACUAAAAAUCUUCACCUUGCAUAGUAGACUGUACUUGAAUCUUCAGGGCGUUCAACUGGUCAUGCAAAGACACUGAAAUGGCCUUAAAAGCAUCCUUGAGAUCCCGUAUCUCAAAUCCCAUAGCAUAUUGCUGUUUUCUGACGUCCAAAAGAAUUUCCAGCGGUCUCGAAAAAUUUGCUGUUUGAGCUGUUGCAGAACUAGGACCGGCUGAGUCAAUUCCAGGGGUUUUGAGAAUGGAUGGAACUUCAGCAGAUUGACCACCAUGACUGUUUUCUGGGUAAUGCGAGGCACACACAUCCUUUGGGUCUGCUGCAGAACAACUUACAUCACUAGCAAAUAAAGGAGAAGAAAUACCUUUUGGUCCAAUAGCUCCCCCUGUUUUGUUGCCUUCAGGUGGAGUAGGUAAGGUUUCUUCUUGUUCAACUUCAGCUUCAGAGUAAUGAGCGUCAACAGUUCCAGUUCCUGCUAUCUCAGAAUCACUAGACAGGGAGACAGCCAAAGUUGGCUCGAAAGAGUCUUCUUGACCCUGAUCUUGUUCUCCUUCUCUCUCUUCUUCUUCCUCUUCUUUAUCUUCUCUUCUUUCUUCCUCUGUCCUCCUAUGUUCUUCAUCUUCCUUCUCUGUCUCUUCUCUCUCUUUUCCUCCUUCUUCUGGCUCUUCUCUUGUCUCAUGAAAGCUGACAAAACUCUUUAAGUUUCUUAAGGCUAAAAGAGUCAUUUCAUCCUCAACUUCUUCAUCUUGCAAGAUGAGAGUUCUUUUCUUCUUUGCUGGAGCAACCAUGUGCUCCUUGCCUUUCCUCUUCGCCGCAGCAGAGUCUUGUUUUGCUUUGACGGAAUACUUCUCCUUCAUACGCUCCAACACCUUAUUUAGCUCUUUCAAAUGCAUCUUUGUGAUCAUUUUGAAACCAAUCACCAUUGGAGAGAUGGUUGUCAAGCAUAAUGGUGCAGAAAUGUGAAUUUUAAAGUGUCUAAAGAGACGCGUGAUAAGAGCAUAAUAAGGGAGUUGUCCCUUAUCUUUCACCACAGUUCAGUACAUGUGAAAUAAGAUGGUGUGAGGUAGAGAGAAUUUAAAUCUAGUAUUUAUGGCACACAUCAAUUUCACUUCAGAUUGAGAGACAUCAGUCUUGGAUGUCGAUUUGGGACAAAUGCAGUUGAUCACAAUCUUGUGCAGCAAGAUGUUAGAGGCACUCAUCCUUAUGUAGAAAAUAUUGCCUUCAACAUCCAUUUCUCUCACCAACGACAGAGUAGCAUGAGCAAUAGACACGCUAAUUGGUUGGAAACUCGUUCUUUCCACCCCAAUUAUGUCAGCCAACAUGUCCGUAUCCACCGAAAAUUCCUUGUCCUUCACUAUGAAAGUAAAACUGUUUGCAUCCAAGAAAGAUAAGUUCGAGUAAAAGUAUGCUGUAAGCUUUGGAUAAGUAGUAGUGGAAUCAGAUUAGAAGCAUUCCAAUUGCAGUAGAGCAAACUUCUCUCGCAGAUUGACUUUUAUCAAAUCAAGGAAAUCGAAGUCAACACUCCUAAGGUUCAUAACCCCUCUCUUCAUAAGGUUUGAAUAAACCUUCUUGUGAUUCUUCGAUCUAAAAAGACUUGAACCAUCACUAACAACAUUUGUAGCAACACCUGUUCUAGGCUGAAAGUGAGUAAACAUCCGUUCAUUGUCAUCCAGAACUUGAGGUUAAUUUGCAGUGCCAUAGAAUGUGUCACUUGAGAAAUUCACAAAACUUCUUUCAGCCGUUCCUUUCUCUACAACUCCUAACCUUUCCAACUCCCGCAAGAACAUGGUUUCAUUCUUGUAUCCUCUAUCUCUUAAAAAUUCAUUUAUUAAAGACAUCGGCGUUCCUCCUUUCUUCAAAUUAGAGUAAAGUUUGAAAGCAACCUUAGGAGUUAGUGUUCUUACAGGUUCAGCCUCCAUUUGAAAGCAACCUUGAAAGCAACUUGCUCCUGAAAACCCAUUUAGCUCCAAUAAUGAAUUUACCUUUUGGUUUAGGAGUUAACUUUUAUACAUCGUUUAUGCUGAACUGUCUGAGUUCUUCUUGCAUUGCUUCAAUCCAGCUUUUUUCAGCUAAAGCUUCUUCUAUGCUUUGGAGUUCUAUUUCAAAAAUAAGUGCCACGGUGCUAGACUCUUCUUGCCUUUUGGAUAUGGUGUGAAUCCCUUCAUCAAUAUCACAAAUGAUGAGUUCUUUGGGAUGACUAGAUUUGUGCUUCCAGUUGCUUGAUGGUCUGGCAGGAAGCUAUUCUUCUACUUCGGUUGAUUCUUCAACUUCCUUUUGCUGAUUUUCAGAGGUCUGAGCUGCUUCAAAGGAGGUAGACUUAGUAGAGUUUGGAGCAAGUUCAAAUUCUUCAGGAUGAGUCUGAAUCAGUUGAUUCUGCAAAGAGUCUUGGAAUUUGACAUUCGUAGAUUCUUCCAUAAAUUGAGUCCUUUUGUUGAAUACUCUGUAGGCUUUGCUGGUGGUUGAAUAUCCAAGGAAGAUUCCUUCGUCUAAUUUCUCUUCAAACUUACCAGUUCGAUCAUUUGCAUUUUUCAAAACAAAACAUUUGCAACCAAAUACAUGAAAGUAAGAAACAAUUGGCUUCUUACCUUUGAAUAACUCAUAAGGAGUUUUCUCCAUAAUAGACCUUAAAAAGACUUUGUUAAUAAUAUAACAUGCUGUUGAAACUACUUUAGCCCAAAAAUGAGAGGAAAUACUACUUUCUAUUAAAAGAGUUCUUGCUAGAAAGUAAACCAAGUGAAUUGUGAAUAGUCAUCAACGAUUACUAGACAAUAUCUCUUUCUGCCUAUGCUUCUAGUUCUGGUUGGCCUAAAGAGAUCCAUAUGCAGAAGUUGCAAAACACGAUUAGUAGAAACCUGAUUUAAUGAUUUAAAAGAACUUCUAACUUGUUUUUCCCAAUAUACAUGGUGUACAUAAGUUAGAUUUUUGAAACUUCAGGUUGGGCAGUCCUUGAACGAGAUUCUUAGAAGAGAUCUUGGCAAUCUGCUUCAUAUUAAUAUGGCCAAGCUUUCAAUGCCAAAAGAUUUGCUUCAUCUUGAAUUAAAAUUAGACAUUGAGACUUCUCUGGUUUUAUAUCCAGAAGAUAGAUGUUCCCAUGUCUUCGUCCAGUAAAAGUUUGUGAAAGAUCUUUACUAGUUCCCGAACAUAUUCCUUCUUGAAAAUUGAUCUUGAAUCUAGUGUCGUACAAUUGGCUGAUGCUAAGCAAAUUGUAAUUGAGUCAUUCCACUAAGAAAACGUUGUUGAUUGUGAGACUUCCAAUUUUUACAAUUCCACAUCCAACAAUUUUUCCUUUGCUGUUUCCACCAAAAGAGACUUUUCCACCAUUUACUUGCAUGAGUUUUAUAAAACAGCUUGAAUCUCUAGUCAUAUGCCUUGAACAACCACUAUCCAAAUACCACUUAAUAUUUUUCUUGAUAGUGACCUACAAUUAAAAAAGAAACUCAAGCUUUCUUUGGUACCCACAUUUUCUUGGGUCCAGGGGAGUUAGUGCAAUAAGCAGUCUUUGCCCAUUCCUUCUUAACAAGUCUCCAAGCCAUAGGACAUUCUUUCUCAAAGUGUUCUGAGCUGUUGCACUUGGAACAUUUGAAAGCACUUUGCCCAACAGGUUUUACAAAGAUCUUUUGAAAAUGAUUUUUGUAAAAAGUUUUUGUAGGCCUUUGUUUGAUUCUUUCUUUCACUUUUAGAAAAUCAAUUAGAGGAAUAGUUUCAGAAGUCAUUCCCAAGCCUGAUUUGUUAAAGUAGGGUCUUUAUACUGAAAGAAUUUUUUCCAAUUUCUCAGAUCUUAUAGAAAACCUUUUUGAAAUAUUUGAAAUGUCAUUUUUCAAAAAUUUAUUUUCUUUUGAAAGAGAGUCCGCAUUUUCUUUUAAUGUAACAAAACUUUUAUCUAAAUUUUCAAACUUUUCUUUUCAUAAACUUUCAUGUUGCUUCAGUGUAAAAUUCUCCCUUGUUAGCUUGGAAAUCCUCAUGAGAGAGGUUUUGAGACUAAGACACAUUUCAUCAAUGUAUUUCAAGACUUUAGUAGGGAUUUCUAAGUUACUUACCUCACUUUCACUAUCUGAGUCUGAGUCUGUAUCUAUUUCGGAGUCUGAGUUUGAUUUUGAUUUUGCCAUUAGACAAAUAUUAGCAUAAUCUUCGUCACUUUUUUCGCAUUCAGUAUCACUCCAUGUCUCUGCCUUGAGAGCCUUCCUGUGUUUCUCAGCUUUUCAUUUCUUUUUCUUUACCAUGGGAUAAUUGGGUCUAAUGUGUCCAUUUUUCUUGCAUUCAAAACAGAUCACAUCUUUAUUGGAUUCAUCAUCCUCAGUUGAUUUAUUUUGAAACUUUUGAGUGCUUUGUUUCUUCCAAUUGAAUCUUCUUCCCUUUUUGUUCAUUUUCCUGAACCUCUUUAUCAUAAGAGCUAACUCUUCAUCAUCCAUAUCAUUUUCAGACUCUGUAACAUCAAAAUCAUCGUUAGAUUUCAAAGCAAUUGACUUCUUACGUUUGGGAUCUUCUUCUUUAUUGAUUUGCUCCACUUCAUAGGAUUGAAGUGUGCCAACCAAUUUUUCUACAAAAAGUGGCAUGAUCCUUUGUGUUUCCCUUAUCGAAGUCUUUAUGUGAUUCCAGUCUUUGGAGAGUCCACGCAACAACUUGUUAACCUUCAUGGGUCCUGAGAUUGGUUGUCCCUGAUACUCUAGACCAUUUACAAUUUCUGUAAAAUGACUAAACAUGUCAGUAAUAGAUUCUCCUGGCUCCAUCUUGAUAGCUUCAUACUGUCCGAGUAUAAUAUUGAUCCUUGUUUCUUUCACUCGAUCAGUUUCUUCAUAGGUAAUGUGCAGCCUGUCCCAGACUUCUUUGGCUAAUUCAUAAGAAGAUAUUCUGUUAUACUCAGUAGGAGAUAAUGCACAAUAUAAGGAGUAAAUUGCUUUAGCAUCAAGAGCUUGUCUCUUAGUUAUUUCUUCUUGAGUCAUCUCGCCAGCAUUUGCAACUUUUUUUCCCCUUUCUAAAACUGAUGUAGCUUUACGAAUAAUUCAUUUUUCUACCACAUCCCAUUCCAGAGAAUCUUUUGAUCUUAGGAAUGCCUCCAUCUUGUUUUUCCAUAUGUUGUAUUCAUUUCCAUCGAAAUAAGGCGGUUUGGUGUUGCUUUGGCCUUCAACCAAACCUGGAGCCAACAUACUAGCCAUGGAUCUUUAACUCAUAAGUAAAAACACUUCAAUUAAUUGAGUACACAAACUCUAAUACCAAUUGAUAACGCUAGUAUGAACACCUAGAGGGGGNNNNNNNNNNNNNNNNNNNNNNNNNNNNNNNNNNNNNNNNNNNNNNNNNNNNNNNNNNNNNNNNNNNNNNNNNNNNNNNNNNNNNNNNNNNNNNNNNNNNUAAUAAAACAAUAGAUUGAAGAUAUAAAAGAUUAUAAGCUGAUAUAUAAGACUGUGAAUUAAUUAAAGAGAUUAGGGAAAGAGAAUUGAAAUAGAAGGUUUAUAUUGGUUCGGCUUAGACCAAGCUACGUCCACUCUCCCACACUGACAGUCCACUAGCUUGAUUCCAUUAAGAACCAAAAGAGAUUUUACAGUGUCACAUCAUUGAUUCCACAGUGUAGAGACUUUGCUACACUUCCUCAAGGUCUCACAAGAAUUUGAUCUCUCUUUUGAGUACAGUUUAAGCUCGACAAAUUGUAACAGCAAAGAACUAAGAGUUUUAGACUUUAUAAUUUUUCUUUCACGCACACACUCGAAUAACUUGAGCGUCCUCCUUAUAUACUCCUCUAUACCAUCAUAACCAUUGGCACCUUCCAAAAGAGUUCUUUCAAUCUACUCGUUGGACAGAAUCAAUUUGGAAGAUCUCGAGUUAUUUAAGGAAUGUGAUGAUAGCCCACCAAUCUUGCUCGCCCAUGCAAUCAGGAUCUAGGUUUUCAUAAGUAGAACCUUCAAAGUAUACUUCGCCAAUCAACGGAUCUAAUUAUUCAAGUUGAUUUCAAUAAGAAUAAUUGAUCACGAGAUGCUAUUUCCAGCCGUGAGAUAUUCUUUAACCGUACGAACAAAAUUCUUAAAGAUAUACUUGUAUCUGGAUAAGUCUUCUUCAUUGGAUGAAACUUUUCUUUGUCGGUCUGGAAACUAUCAGUGAUGGCAGACUUUAAAUCUUGAGUCUAGAGGUCUUCAGACUUUGACGAUAGAGUCUGCAAGUUUUCAGAAUAGACUGAUGAAAACAUUUUGUCAACUUCAAAACAGAUAAGGAAGUUUUCUCUAACAAUCUCCCCCUUUUUGAUGGUGACAAAACUUUCCCGCAAAUUUGGACACUUUGCCCUGCAAAACAACACUUAAGCAAAUCAAGAUUCUUAAAAGAUAAUUAGAGAUUAGGAUAAGGAUAGUAGCGAUUCUGCAAUGGAUGAUGCAGAAAUAUACCAUUGGUAAUCACACGGGUUUUCAGUGGUAUCUGUUCAGAUGAAUGUUUGUUGGCUUUCUUCGACUGGCUUAAGGUGUUCGUUCUUCUCUUGCAUUUUUCAGCUUGAUACUGAAGAGAUGCUCCUUUUGUUCGUCUUUCCCAAGGAAAAACUUGGAAGUUGAAGGAGCUUUGAUUUCUGAUUUGUGAAGCAGCGACAGUUUCUACUGGAGUCGAGCUGUGGAGUAGUAGUUAUCAUUUGACGCGUUCUUCUGGUAUUUCUAGUAAGCAAUCACUUUGUUAUUUCUUGAAAUGAGAACAAUGUAAAAAGAGCAGAGCUGGACGAAGACACCCACGUCUUUUAUUGUUCUUGCAUAUGGGCAUGUUGCAACAUAUUUCAUUAGUUAAGUACGGAGUAAGGUUAAUGUGAUCAUGCUAUUGAGUCAUUUUCUUCCCUCUUUGUUCUUAUCAGGCUUAUCACGGUGGAGUCUACNNNNNNNNNNNNNNNNNNNNNNNNNNNNNNNNNNNNNNNNNNNNNNNNNNNNNNNNNNNNNNNNNNNNNNNNNNNNNNNNNNNNNNNNNNNNNNNNNNNNCGUUCACGGAAGUAUAUUACUGAAGGCUAUUUGAUUGAUGAAAUGAAGCUAGCGGUCAAGGGGAUAUGAAUAAAUUCAACUGAAUAGUUGGUAAUAUCCUAUUGGCGGUAGGAGUCUGUCCUCUAAUAAGACAUUAUUGUUGCCAAUAUCUUUUCUUUAUUUGAAAAUCUAAUGCACAACAAUCUAUUCAUCAGCCUCACAAACAACAUUAUCAAGUGUCUUUUCAUUUUUGAAAAUUUAUUGACCUUUACACAAAUAAUAUAUAUUUAUAAAAGAUUAUUGAAAAAAAAUAGAUGUAGAUUCGAUUCAAUCUUCACUGAAUUCAAUUAAAUUAACACCUAAAAGCGUAAAUAAUUAAACAUAUCCAAAUCUAAUAAUUUUUUUUUUGAUGACUAUUAUCACAGGUAACACAUGAUGUAGUACGUGUCAAUUAAAUAGAGUUUCCAAUUUCCAAUAUGCUUGUUUAGAAUAUGCCUCUUUUUUAUUUUAUUUUAUUUUAAAUCUUAGAAUAUGCCUGUCAAUUGGAAACAACCUGGUGACCGGAUGAACUAGUCAGCCGGUUCAUUAGAAACGAUAUUGUCGUUCAUAAAGGGCCGUUACUCUCCUUGGAAAACAACGACAGUCAUGCAAGCAUGUUCCUAUACAGAACAUGUGGCUUGCUUAGCACUCAUUGGUUUUUGUUUUGAAACAAUAAGAGUUCUGUCUUUUAACGGUCAACGAUUAAACCAUACGCGGUGAGGACUGCCAUGUGGUGGGAAUUCGCUUGGAAAAAAUUGAGGGUUAUAGUGUCAUUCAACUGAAUUUUCUUGGGAAAUUACAUGAGUUAAGUCUUAUCAAAGCUCCAUUUGUCAAUCAAAACUUGUGGUCCAUAAAAGGGUUACACCACAUAUGACUUUCAAGUUCUUUUCUUUGAAUUAUUGUAAGAGUAAGAAUCGGGCAAGAAAUAUCACAAAGCAAUGGACGGUGCGCAUUUGUCCAAGUGCUCGGAGAUUAGGUAUGGCUAGACCCGUCAAAAUUGGUCAUGACUUUCAAGUUCUUUUCUUUGAAUUAUUGUAAGAUAAAAAUUGGGCAAGAAAUAUCACAAAGUGAUGGACAGUGGGCAUCUGUCCGUGUGCUCGGAGAUUAGGUGUGGCUAGACCCAUCAAACUGGGUCAUUGAUGAAAUUUUUAAUCUUAUGUGGCCAUCUUCUCACCAUGCUUGAUGAGAAGAAAACCAUUCACCAUCUUUUCCGUCUUUUGGGGUUUCCUUUCCGAGCAACUUUUUACUUUUCCUUUGCUGUACGGAUUGAUGAAGAGAAAGUUAUCAACCGCGGUUCAACCUUAAUCAUCCGGAUCAAUUCAUACGAAAGAUAUUAAUUUAAAAAUUCAUCGCUCAAUACAUUAACAUAUCUAAAUUUCUUCAUUUAUUGAAAACCCUUAUGUGGUGGUAGAUGUUGAUCUUGUUUAGGGUGCUCCUAAUAUUUCUCAUUUUUCUUUUUUUGGCAAGUGAUGGGAUUUGUCCAUGCAAAAUAUACAAGAGUUUUGGGGAAAGUACCAAAAAAAAGUCCUAAAUUUAUUACAUUAGUGCCAAUUUGAUCUCAAACUUUUUGAUUUGACCAACUUAGUCAUAUACAUUUUCACAUUUUCAUCUAAUCAAUUUUGGUCAAAACUUGCCAACAUGAACAUUUUUAAUAUUUUUUUUCUUUUAUUAUUAUUAUUAUUAUUAUUAUUAUUAUUAUUAUUAUUAUUAUUAUUAUCUUUUUUCUUUCUUUUUAUUUUUUGUAGCGAGAUUCGCAACCCUCACCAAAUUUAGUCAAGGGCUGCCUUGCCCAGGCGACUGCAAGAUUUGGGUAAGGGCAACCUCAACUAGAGCCAGUGAGGCUACAAAGGCCCCUCGCCCGUGGCCCCUAGUCACUAACCAAGGACCCACGCCUAGAUUUGGCAAGGGCCAUACCCUCACCUUGUCCCCAGUGACUCUCAUUAACCAAAAUGAAAAGAAAAUAUAAUAUAAUAUAAUAAAAUAUAAUUCAAUAUUCAAAAUAAAUUUGCAAAAAUCAUUUACGUCAGUAUUGGUUGUGCCACGUAAAAUGAUCAUAGUUUACGUUAAUUAUUUCUAGCCAAAAUUGGCUUGUAGAACUCAAUUGACAAAUUCUAAAAAGGUUUAGUAUUAAAUUAGUAUAAUUACAAAGUUUAUGACUAAAUUGAUAUCAAUAUAAUAGAUUGGUGAUUUUUUGGUAUUUUGCCCUCUGGAAAAAGACGCUUGCUCAUCACUCCAAUGAUAACUUCAAUUGGGAGUCAUACUCCUCGUUUAAGGAAUACAUGAAAUGGGUAACUUGCAUAGUGUGAACUAAUUGAAGCUAUAGUUCAAACACUGGAAAUUCACUAAGGUAUCAACAGAGAAAUACAAUGGUUUGCGUACGAACACUCAAUGGAGGAUUUUUUUUUUCUCUCACUAAGUCAUUAUUUUUGUGUUUUUCUCUCUUGAAUAAAAUUUGUAAGCGUUGUCUACGAAGAACAAGUGAUUGGAAAGGCCUCAAACUUUGGAAUUUCAAUUUCACGCACUAUCCCAAAUGGAUUGAAUGACUUCCUUAAAUACUCCUUUAUGCGUUUCUAACUGUUAGUAUUCUUCAGAGAAAUUUCUUCCAAUCAAUCCAUCGGACAAAAUCAAUUAAGGAAAUCUUGUAGUUGUUUGAAAAUUGAGAUGAAAAUUCGAUGAUUCUGGUCGCCCAUACAAUUAGAAUCUAAGUUUCCAUAAGUAAAUACUUCUCAAAAACGAACUUGUCUUCAAAAUUGAUUUCAUCAAUUCGUGAUUGAUUCCAUCAAUAUAUUUAUAAAAGGUAAGUGAGAUUCUUUGCCAAAAAGCUAGAUAUUAAGGAUGAAUCUUGUAUGUACUGAAUCCUUGUCAAAAGAUCAAUAAUCCCGAGUCUUCAUUCUGGACUUGGUUUCAGUCUGGAUCUCGUCAGAGUGGGAAAGACUUAUGGAGUAAAAUAGACUUUGAUAACAUUUCACAAUAUUGCACAGAAGUCUAGUAUUCUUCAGAGAAAUUUCUUCCAAUCAAUCCAUCGGACAAAAUCAAUUAAGGAAAUCUUGUAGUUGUUUGAAAAUUGAGAUGAAAAUUCGAUGAUUCUGGUUGCCCAUACAAUUAGAAUCUAAGUUUCCAUAAGUAAAUACUUCUCAAAAACGAACUUGUCUUCAAAAUUGAUUUCAUCAAUUCGUGAUUGAUUCCAUCAAUAUAUUUAUAAAAGGUAAGUGAGAUUCUUCGCCAAAAAGCUAGGAUAUUAAGGAUGAAUCUUGUAUUGUACUGAAUCCUUGUCAAAAAGAUCAAUAAUCCCGAGUCUUCAUUCUGGACUUGGUUUCAGUCUGGAUCUCGGUCAGAGUGGGGAAAGACUUCUGGAGUAAAAUAGCCUUUGAUAACAUUUCACAAUAUUGCACAGAAAGUCUAGUAUCUUCAGAAUAAGAACAAUAAUAAGAAAAGUUUUGUCAACUUCAAAACCUGAUAGGAGUUUCCUCAACAGACUAUGCUAUUUUUCCCGAAUCUUUCUUAACAGGUCUCCAGAGUUUAGGACAUUUUUUCUCAAAGUGUUUCGAGUCGCCACAAUUUGAACACUUGAGGGCAUUUCGACCAACAAGUUUUUGUAAAGAUCCUUUGAAAAUGCUUAUAGUAUGCAAGUUAAGAAGAAUCACAAGUCUAUGAGGUUUUUGUCUAAGUCUCUCAUUGACUUUAGGAAAGUCUAUUAGAGAACCACUUUCCUUAUUAAAAUCAAGUCCCGACUUAUUUUAGUAAGGUACUUAUAUGAAAAGGAUAUGCUCUAGUGUUUUUGAACCCUUUGAAAAUUCUGUUGAAAUAUUUGAAAAUUGUGUCUUUAAAGAAUCCUUUUCUUUAACAAGUAAAUCUCAACUUUCUUUUGUUUGUAGAAAAUCUUUUUGCAAAAUUUCAAACCUUUCUUUUCAAGAAAGAUCCUGUUGCCUAAGCCAUGAAUUCUCUUUUCUUAGUUCAAAUAUCCUUUUAAGAGAAGAUUUGAGGUUUAAGCAAAGCUCAUUUAUAUACUUAGAAACUUUAAUAGGAAUUUGUGAAUGAUUUACCUCGAUUUCCUUGUCAAAUUCUUAGUUUGUGUCUGAGUCAGACUCUGAUUCUAAGUUUGAAUCUGAUCCCGAAUUUGAAUCUGAGUCUGAAUGUGCCAUCAAGCAUAUAUUUCCUCACUUGUCAUCUUCUUUCAUUGUUCUUUUCUGUCCAUUCUGCUUGUAUUGUCUUCUUCCAUUGAAUUUCUUUCCUUUUCUACUCACCUUUUUGAAUUUCUUGAUCAUAAAAGCAAGUUCUUCGUCGUCCAUGUCAUUUUCUAAGCCUGUAUAAUCAGAAUUAGCGUUAGAUUUAAGUGCAAUGGACUUCUUACCUUCGGGAUUUUCAUAAUUGAUUUGUUCCACUUUGUAAGAUUGAAGAGUUCCAAUAAGUUCAUCAACGAAAAGUGGCAUAAUCCUCUGAGUCUCCCAGAUUGAGGUCUUAACAUGGUUCCAAUCUUUUGAGAGACCUCGCAAAAGUUUGUUGACUUUCAUUGGGGCAGAAGUUGAAUGACCUUGAGACGCCAAACCAUUUAUAAAUUUCUGUAAAACAGUUGAACAUAUCUCCAAUUGACUCUCCUGACUUCAUCUUGAAGGAUCCAUAUUGGCCGAGCAUGAAGUUCACUUUUGUCUCUUUUACACGAUCAGUCCCUUCAUAAGUAACAUGAAGUCUAUCCCAAACUUUUUUAGCAAUUUCACAUGAAGAGAUUUUUAUUAUACUCAGUAGGAGACAAUGCACAAUAUAAAAAAUAAAUAGCUUUUGCAUGAAGAACUUCUCUAUUGAAUAUCUCCUUUUGAGGCGUAAGAGUAUGGGGUUUGGUUUCUUUGUUUUUGCCAUUCGUAUUUGAUGUAGACGUAGUAGUGGGAUUGAUUCCUUUUUCCACAACAUCCCAUUGCAAGGGAUCUCUAAAUCUUAAGAAUGUCUUCAUUUUGUUUUUCCAAAUGUUGUAUUCAUUUCCAUCGAAAUAGAGUGGUCUGGUGUUGUUUUGCCCUUUAAACAACCCUGGUGUCAAAAUACUAUGGAAAAUCUUUAGCUAAAAAGUAAAAACACUUCAAUAAAACAAGCACUUGGCUCUGAUACCAAUUGAAAAUGCUAGUACUAUCACCUAGAGGGGGUGAAUAGGUGUUUAAAAUAAACCUUGACAAAUAAAUAUGGAAUAAAAUAAGUUGUGAGUAAAGUUUGAAAAAGGAUUAGAGUCCGAUUAAAUGAGCUACCGGACUUCUGGUAGAUGUUCAUAAUCUGUUAUGCGAUGGAACAAACUUCUAAAAUAACCUAUAAGUAUGCAACUGACUUAAAUAAGAAGAGGUAAGAGAAGAGAAGGUUGCACAUGAAAUUUAUAGUGGUUCGGCUUAAAUCAAGCCUACGUCCACUUUCCUACGCUAACAGCCUUAUGGCUGGAUUCCACUAUAUCAUUAACAAGAGAUUACAACUUUGAGUGCAAACACUUAGUGAUAUAUCACACUAUCUCACUAAGUCGCUCUUUUGGAAUUUCUCUCACGAUCACAAAUGUUUAAGCUCACGAAAGAUAAGUGUAUGAUCAAAAUUCACUCAAAUUUUGGAAUUAUAGAUUUUACGCUCCAUCUCUUGCUUGCUCUUCGGUCCUUAGUCUCCUUAAAUACUCUUCCACUUCUAAACUAGUCGUUAGACAGUAUCUAGAGAAUCGUCUUCCAAUCUACCCAUCAGACAGAUCUGCAUUAAGAAGAUUUACUGGUUGUUGAGUGAUAGAAGCAGAAUCCUAAGUUGACUCUGAUCGCCCAUACAAACAAAAUCUUAGUUUCGAUAAGUAGAGUUUCUUUGUUUAAAAAGUUCUUGUCUUCAAUACCCAAUUGUUAAUCAAUUAGAUUGAGUCAAUCAAAUCUAUUUUGAUGUAGAAUCCAAACCAGAUUACUAGACGUUAUAUGUUUGGGCUUGUGUUACGUUUUGUCAAGUUGUCUCGUUCUAAAUUUGAUAUGUUUUGAACUUGUGUCUCGUUUUAGACCUUGUUACAUUCUAGACACGUGUCUCGUUUUGGACGUAAAGUCUGAGAAUGCUUUGUCUAAAAUAAAGUCUGAGUGUCUUUUGUCUGAAGUAGAGUCUAAGUGUCUUCCGUUUGAAAUAGACUUUACAAUCUAGACGUAAGUCUGAAUAUAUUUUGCUUUUGAAUAUAUUUAGCCUUAAGGUCUAGAUACAAUCUAAAUAAGUUCAAUUCAGCAUAAAGUCUAUCUUUUGGUUCUUCCAAGUAUAGACUUUGAUAAUAUCUUUCACACAUUCUAUCAUCUGCAUAGUCUAUUAUUUAACCAUUAAACACGUUAAUAGCCUUUGAUUUAUUUUGUCAUCUUGAAAACAUCAUAAGGGAUUUCCGUAACAAUAGCAAUGAGGUCAAGCAAUUUUGUGCAGAUAACGGAAUUAGAAUGACAAGAACUGUUCUCAACAGACCGCAGCAAAAUGGAGUUGCUGAAAGGAUGAAUAGAACUCUGAAUGGGUGUGCAAGAAGUAUGAGAUUGCAUGUAGGAUUACCCAAGAUGUUUUGGGCGAAUGCAAUUAGCAAAGCAGCAUAUUUGAUUAACAUAGAACCUUCAGUUUCACUUGAUUUUAAGCUACCAGAAGAAGAAUGGAGUGGAAAGAAGGUAAAUCUCUUGCAUCUAAAAGUUUUUGGUUGUGUUUCAUAUGUUUACAUAGAUUCUAAAAAUAGAGAUAAGUUUGAUGCAACAGCUAAAAAAUGUUUUUUCAUUGGAUAUGGUUUUGAUUAUUUUGGUUAUCGAUUUUGAGAUGAACAAAAUAGAAAAAUAAUAACUGCUGAUUUUACGUUCAAUGAAAACAUAUUGUAUAACGAUCAAUGAAUAUCAGAAUCUAGUGUGAAGAAACAAACGGUGGAGAAUACAAAGAUUGAAUUAGAAGAGGUUUCUAAGAGUGUUUUAGUUGAGAUUCCUAAAACUGUUACUAUCAACUCUGGUAAAAUACUAGAACAAGAAUUACGUACACUUGAACCCACUUUGAGAAAAUUUAGUAUAACACUUAAACCUGUACAAAGAUAUUCUUCGUCAUUGUAUUAUUUGCUUUUGACUGACGCUGGAGAACUAGAAAUUUUUUUGGAAGCAGUGUAGGUUAAAGAUUUAGCUAAGUGGGAGUUAGCAAUGUAGGAUGAGUUCCAUUCACUCGAGAAAAAUAGAACUUAAGUGUUAACACAAUUACCAAAUGGGAAGAAAGGGGAGAAGUAUAGCCCAAGUGCCAAAACUUAACACGAAGGGACACUUAAGUGCCAAAAGUUAGGAAAGUGACACUUAAGUGCCAAAAUUGGAGCAAAAUGGAUCACUUAAGUGCCACUUCGGCGAAAAUCUAGUCAAAAUGUUGACGUGGCAAUUUUCUAGGGAAAUAAGAGCAAAACGGAGUCGUUUUGCAUGCUGACGUGGCUAGACAAUAUAAAAACGAUGUCAUUUUAGUGUUGACAUGGUUAAAAAUAAUAUAAAAAUAAAUAAAUUUAAAUUAAUUAAUUAAAGAAAAAAAAGAGGAAUGGGCGGCUAAGGGCUGAGCCCUCGUUGCUGCCGCCUCCCUGUCGCCUCCCUGCCGCUGCCGGGAAAGGUCGGCGACAGAGGGGGUAUUAGGGAAAUCCUUUAUGAUGUUUUGAAGAUGACAAAAUAAAUUAAAGGCUACUAACGUGUUUAAUGGUUGAGUAAUAGAUUAUACAGAUGAUAGAUGUCACGACCAAAUUUUCGAGUGUGAACCACCUAGAGUUUGGCUAAUGGAUUGUUAAGCCUAAACUUAACUCGGGCUCUCCCAAGCCCAUACCAAUUCGCGACUUAGGUUUAAAUUCUUAACAUGCAAAUAAAUUUUAUCUAGGAGUCGCCACUAAUUUAUUUUUUGGUGGGUCGAUUAGAAACCCAAGUAAAAUAAUGGGAGAAUUAUUUUACUCCUACGAACCAGAGACUAUGGGUAUGGGGACUUAGUUACACUAAAUUUCUCUAAUGACCUUUUGGUACUAUUCUUUUAUUUUCAAAAAUAUUUUUGUAAGCAGCUUGAAUUGAUUUUCUACUUCCCUAACAUGUGAGGUGAUCAUGUGGAUGCGCAAACCACCAAUUUAACACUUAGAUUAACAAUGAAUAAAUUGCAAAACUUACCUCAAAGCAACGAAAGCAUCUGCAAUGUUAAAUUAGAAUCCACAUCAAUAACCUUAGAUAUGAUUUCUAAUUAACACGCAAAUUUUUUUUUUUUUUUACUUUUACUUAUUUAAUGAGGAUCGUGCAAUGUUACUAAUCUAACAUGUAAUGAUAUGGCAUGGCAAUAUAACUUAAACUAUAUGACAUAAAUAAAAUGUAGUCUAUCAUAAAGAAUGAAAUUGAUUAAUUCUAAGGCAAUUUUUUUUUGUAUUUUCCAUGAAAUUCGAAAUUAGAAAAAUGCAAAGAUUAUCUAACUAGAUUAAGAUUCUAUUCAAUUUGUAUUAGGAAUUAGGUUAAGCCAAAUCCUAAUUUAAAUCAGAAUCUUAUCUUAACCAAGUAAUCUCUAACCUAAAAUUCAGUCUAUUUAAAAAGAUCUAUCUAAAUAAAAUUUAAACAUGCAAUCAACCUAAUGUGCAAUGACGUGCCAAGGAUACCCUAAUUCUACAUAAUAUAUACAUGAUGACUUUUUUUGUGUUUUUGUUUUAUUAAUUUCGAAAUUAAGAAUUGUCAAAAAUUAUUAAACAUGCAACCUAAGUAAAAAAAAAACUAGCAACCUAAAUUGAUUGAUUUGAUUUUUGAUUUUUGAUUUUUUGAUUUUUGAAAUUCGAAAUAAAAUCUUUAUUCUAAAUAUGCAAGAUAACAAGAAAUAUUCUAAAGCAAACCUAAUCCUAACUCAAUUUUUUUUUUUCCUUUUAACAAAAUAAAAUUGAUUCAACCAACAUGACGACAAAUCAGAUAAGACAGGAUCGAUAUCUGCAAAUUGGCAAACCAUAUUUCGCGCAUGAGAUCGGGUUGGCCAAUUGUUAAAUAAAUCGCGAAUCGAAUCUCAGGCAGGAGAUCGGAUUGGUGAUUUUUCAAGCGAUUGCGAUUGUGAGUCGGAUUUCGGGCGCAAAAAUCGGACUGUCAAUCUCAAAUUUCAAAGGCAAUUUCAUGUCAGAAUCUCAAUCACAUAUUAAUGAAUAAUUCCACUAAAAAACAAACUAUAAAAGACAAAAAAAUAAUAAUAAUAAAAUAAAAGAAAAACUACCUAAUGUAUUUUUCCUUUGGUUUUUUUUUUCCUUCCAAGCCUUGUGCUCGUGGUGGAUCACCAAGGAUGGCAGGUCACCAAGUGUGGCUGGUCAUCAGCGUUCGGAGCUUCGGCGAGGACCGGCGUUGGGCGGAUCAGUGGCGAGCGGUCCGACGGGACAGAGGAAACCCGGCAGCAGGGGGCUCAAUGAGGGGCAAAGCUCAUGGCAGCAAAGGUCUUGGUAGCGCGGCGAGGGGCUCGAUGACCGGCUCAAGCGAGCUGCUGCAGUGGUGUGGUCACAGUAGUGCAGGAGCGGCUCAGACUACUGGCGAAGGGUAUCCGGAUCUGGCGCGGGAUGCUCCAGCGGAGGCUCGGUGAGUUGCGGUGAGGAGGUUUAGUGUCCAGCAGGGCAGCAGGGAGAGACGGAUGCGCGGCAGAGCUUCGCGGGUCAUCGGGUGGAGCGGCAAGUGGUGCUCAGGCGCGGUGCGCGUGGGUGAUCGACCAGACACGGGCAAGGAGGCGCGCCGGUGAAAGGACUGGAUGCCAGGGAAGCGUCGUUGAGAAGAUGAACAGGGAAAAUUUCCCUUUUUUACUUUUCCCUUUCCUCUCUCCUCUGCAGCCGCACACUUUUCCCACUCUCUCACGUCUGUCUUCUCUUCUUACUUUUUUCUCUUUCAUGCCUUCUCUUUCACCAAAAAGAAGCCCCAAAAACCCUAUUUCCUUUUGGUGAAUUUUUAAAACCGAGAGAAGACCCCCUUAAUGUGGCCGAGUAUUCAACAUGUAGCCUCCCUUCAACCCUAUGUAUUCUUUUACCCAUUUAUAGGGCACGGAUUAGGGUUUUUAAAUUUUCCAAAUCCAUAUCCACGAAGAUUUCUUUUCGAAACGCAAUAUUUGUUUUUUCCAAACGUAAUAUUUGCUUUUGAAUUGAAAUCUCAAAAAGAUAAUUCCGUAAAAUCUCUCCGAGAAUACGGGCUUGGGCUGAUUUGCUUUCUUCGUGGGCUUAGCCCGACUCAUCAAAUUAAAGUUUCUGAACCAUCAAUUCGAACCCAUUCGUCACCGGCCCAAUGUAAAUGCAAUAAAAAAAUAAAUGCACCUAAAACUAUAUGCUAUGCAAUUAAUUAAUUAACUAAUAUUUUUUUAGGGGUUAAAUUUAAUCCCUAAUUUUUUAAUGUGAUAAAUGAUUAAACGGGUCGCCAAAAUUUAGGUGUCAACAAUAGAACAUGUAAAUGAUAUUAUCGAAGUCUAUACUUGGAAGAACCAGAAGACAGACUUUAUGCUGAAGCUAAAUCUGUUUAGACUUACAUCCAGAUUGUAAAGUCUAUUGCUCUCAGACUUUACAUUCAGAACAAGACAUAAGUUCAGAACGUAGCAGAUUUAGAACAAAACUGUUCAAAUCAAAAUAACUUGACAGAAUGUAACACAAGCCCCAAACAUAUAACGGCUAAUGAUCUGGUUUAGAUUCUACAACAAAAUUGAUUUGAUUGACUCAAUCUAAUUGAUUGACAAUUGGAUCAUGAAGACAAGAACUUUCUAAACAAAGAAGCUCUACUUAUGGAAACCAAGAUUCUGUUUGUACGGGUGAUCAGAAUCAAUUUGGGAUUCUACUUUUAUCACUCAACGGCUACCAAAUCUUCUAGAUACAAAUUUGUCCAAUGGGUAGAUUGGAAGACGAUCAUCUAGAUAUUGUCCAACGGCUAGUUUGGAAGUUGAGGGGUAUUUAAGGAGAUCAAGGACCGAUGAGUAAGUAAGAGACGGAGCGUAGAAUUUACAAUUCCAAAGUCCGAGUGACCUUCGAUCAUACAUUUGUUUUUCAUGAGCUUAAACAUUUGUGAUCGUGAGAGAAAUACCAAAAGAAUGACUUAGUGAGAUAAUGUUAUCUACUACUAAGUGUUUGCACUCAAAGUUGUAAUCUCUUGUUGAUUGCAUAGUGGAUUUCAGUAGAAGGCUAUUAGCGUGGGAGAGUUGACGUAGGCUUGAUUUAAGCCGAACCACUAUAAAUUCUAUGUUAUUAUUCUUUUCUUUGAAAUCCUUUAUGUUAGAAGAAAACUCCUUAACUGUUUUGAAGCUGACAAAACCUUUCCAAAGGUCUAGAUUGAAGACUGAAGACUUGCAGACUCACGUGUUAUAGUCUGAAGACUUCAAGACUCUUUUGUCAAAGUCUAAAGACCGUUAGACUUUUGUUUCAAAGUCUGACCUCAUUGACAGAUUCCAGAUCGACGAAGAGAAGAAUUAUCCAUAUGCGAGUUUAUCUUCAAGGAUUUAGUUCCUACGGUUUGAAAAAGUUCUUACAGCUGGAGAUAGCACCUAAUGAUCAAUUAUUCUUAUUGAAAUCAAUUUGGAUAAUCAAAUCUUUUGAAAGGUGAAGUAUACUUUGAAGGUUCUACUUAUGGAAACCUAGAUCCUGAUUGUAUGGGCAAGCAAGAUUAGUGGGCUAUUAUCAAAUUCCUUAAACGACUCGAGAUCUCCUUAAUUGAUUCUAUCCUACGGGUAGAUUAGAAGAACUUCUUUGGAAAGUGCCAAUGGUUAUAGAGGCAUGAAGGAAUAUAUAAGGACGACUCUCAAGUUGUACGAGUGUGUUCGUGAAAGAAAAAUUCCAAAGUCUGAAGCUUUUAGUUCUUCGCUAUUUCAAUCGUUGAGCUUAACUUAUACUUAAAAGAGAGAUCAAACACUUGUGAGACCUUGAGGAAGUGUAAUAGAGUUUCUACACUGUGGAGUCAAGGAUGUGAGACUGUAAAAUCUCUUUUGGUUCAUAGUGAAAUCCAGCCAGUGGGCUAUUAGUGCGAGAGAGUGGACGUAGGCUUAAUCUAAGCCGAACCACUAUAAACUUUGUGUUUCUAUUCUCUUUCUCUGAACUCCUUACUUUAAUUCGUAGCUUUAUAUAACUACUCAUAGUCGUUUACAUUUUCAGUCUAUUAUCCUCUAAAGACAAGUUAAUUUGUUAAGUCUUGCGCAAAUUUCUUUCAACACCUAUUCACCCCCUUUAGGUGUUCUUACUAGCCCUAUCAAUUUAUUUUAUUCCGCAUUUAUUUGCCAAGGUUUAUUUUAAAUACCUAUUCACCCCAUGUAGGUGUUCAUACUAGCACUUUCAAUUAGUAUUAGAGCCAAGUGCUCGUUUUAUUGAAGUGUUUUUACUUCUGAGCUAAAGAUCAUCUAUGGCUAGUAUCUUAGCACCAGAACUUAUGGAAGGACAAAGCAACACCAAGCCACCAUAUUUUGAUGGAAAGGAAUACAACGUUUAGAAAAACAAAAUGAAGGCAUUCCUAAGAUCCAAAGAUCCCUUGCAAUGGGAUGUUGUGGAAAAAUGAAUCAAUCUCACUGCUGUGUCUACAUCAAAUAAGAUUGGCAUAGACAAAGAAACCAAACCCCAUGCUCCUAUGUCUCGGAUGGAGAUGUCCAAAAGAGAAGCUCUUGAUGCAAAAGCGAUUUAUUCUUUAUAUUGCACCUUGUCUCCUGCUGAAUAUAACAGAAUCUCUUCAUGUGAAACGGUUAAGGAAGUUUGAGAUAGACUUCAUGUCACUUAUGAAUGGACUGAUUGUGUAAAAGAGACAAAAGUAAACUUCCUACUUGGUCAAUAUGAAUCCUUCAAGACGAAGCCAGGAGAGUCGAUUGGAGAUAUGUUCGAUUAUUUUACAGAAAUUAUAAAUGGUUUAGCGUAUCAAGGUCAUCCAAUUUCUUCCCCCAAUGAAGGUCAACAAACUUUUGCAAGGUCUCUCAAAAGAUUGGAACCAUGUCAAGGUCUCAAUCCGGGAAACUUAGAGGAUUAUGCCACUCUCCAUUAAUGAAUUGAUUGGCACUCUUCAAUCUUACGAAAUGGAACAAAUCGUUGAUGAAGAUCCUGAAGGUAAGAAGUCCAUCGCUUUAAAAACUAAUGCUGAUUCUGAUGAUACAACUCAGAAAAUGACAUGGACGAUGAAGAACAUGCUUUUAUGAUAAAAAAAAAUUCAAAAAGCUAAGUAGAAAAGGAAGGAAAUUCAGUGGAAGAAGAUAAUAUAAGCAUAAUACGCAGAAAAGAACAAUGAAGGAAGUUGAUGAGCAAGGAAAUAUAUGUUUGAUGGCACAUUCAGACUCAGACUCAAAUUCAGACUCAGACUCAAAUUCAGAAUCAGAAUCAAACUCAGAAUUAGAGUCAGACUCAGAAUUAGAGUCUAACUCAGAAUCAGAGUUUGACUCUGACACAGACUCAAAAUCUGAUGAGGAAAUUGAGGUGAGCAAUUUAAAAAUUCCUAUCAAAGUUUCAAAGUAUAUAAAUGAGCUUUACUCAAAUCUCAAAUCUUCUCUUAAAAGGAUCUUCAAACUAAAAAAUGAGAAUUCUUGGCUUAGGCAAUAGGAUCUUUCUCAAAAAGAAAAGUUUGAAAUUUUGCAAAAAGAUUUCCUAUAAACAAAAGAAAGCCGAGAUUUACUUUUCAAAGAAAAUGAUUCUUUAAAGAAAGAAUUUUCAAAUAUUUUGACAAAAUUUUCAAAGGGUUCAAAAACAUUAGAGCAUAUCAUUUCCAUACAAGUACCUUACUAUAAUAAGUCGGGACUUGGUUUUAAUAAGGAAAGUGAUUCUCUAAUAGAUUUUCCUAAAGUCAAUGAGAGACUUAGAAAAUGACCUCCAAAGGCAUUUUACAAAAAUCAUUUUCAAAAAGUGUUUACAAAACCUAUUGGUCAAAAAGCCCUCAAAUGUUCAAAUUGUGAAGAUUCAGAACACUUUGAGAAAAAAUGUCCUAAAGUAUGGAGACAUGUUAAGAAAGAUUGGGUAAAAACAACAUACUCUACUAACUCUCAUGGACCCACGAAAAAAUGGGUACCAAAGAAAAGAUGAGUUGUUUUUGCAGGAAAUAAAGGAAAUGAAGAAAGAGAAUUUGGUCAGGAAUGUAUUUUUUUAAUUUUAUUUUGGCAUGCGAUAGAAAUAUCUACUUUCUUUUUGUGAAAUGCAUCUAUAAUAUAUUUUUGAGUUUUAUGUUCAAGGAAAUCCCUUUGAUCUCGAAAUAUAUUAUUAUAUAUUUACGGAUAUUCUUGCUGUAUUUUAGAAGAUAUCUUAUAUCUAGCAAGUUUGAUCCGCAAAUCAGAGGAAGAUAUUACAUGAUAUUUUUGCAAAGAUUGUUAUCUAUUAUACAAGAAUUUGUAGGUGGCAAAAGAAUAUUCCAUAUGGAUUUUGGAAAGCUCGAUUAAAAAAUCAUGGAGAUUCUAUACUAUUUUCUAGAGGCUCAAAGAUUCUCUUCCUUGUGCAAAAUUUUUGCAAAUUGUUGAGGAAAUCUCUAAUAUGUCGUACGAAAGCUUAUUUGUGCAAAAAUUUCGUUAAGUUUAUGCAGGUUGAAUUUGAGAAGAGCUUGAUUGAAGAAAAUAAAUUUUUGCCUCGAAUUUCAAAAUGCAAAUUAUCAUUGUGGAUAUUGUAGCUACGAAGGAAAUAAUGGAAAAAUAUUAUGCUCAACGUGUACAAGCCACAAUUAGUGCUAUUUGCAAAUAUUGUCAUGAUGACAGGGGGAGAAAGCGAAUUCAAAAGAAAAGGAAAGAAUCAUGAUCACCUCAAAAAGGCAACAAAUUGAGGGGGAGCAUUGAUCAAUUAUGGAAAAAUCUUUUUGAAUUGAUCGUGAUUUUGAUUGUUAUGGAAGGAAGGAAAAGGUAAAUGUGUUAGAACUUACCAACUUCUACAAAAUCUGGUUAGUGCAUCUUUUAUUACCUUUUGUCAUCAACAAAUCUUUUAUUAAUAUUAUCAUUUUAUUAUGACAAAAAGUGUAAGUGAGUUUUAUAAUUCAUCAGUGAUUUUUAUUGGAUAUUUGCUGUUAUAUAUGAUCGAAGUGAGCUAUUUUGCAUAUCUUUAAUAUUCGAUUUACUUUAUAAAAGUUGAUUUUUGGAAAUUAUGUUUCAUGCAAGACAUAUUUGUUAUUGUUUUAUAUUCUCUAUGUGAUGCUAUUUCAAUUGUUAUCGCUUUUUGAUUAUGACAAAAAGGGUGAGAGAAUAUAAAUAUGUAUAUAUGUUGAUAAUAUUGAGCUGCAAUUAUUUUUCUAUAUAUAAUUAUGCUCAAUCUAUUUGCUAUUUUCUACUAUCUUUUGAUUUGAAUUACAUUCUUUGAAUACUCAUAUUUAAAAAUUAUUUAUGUGCUUAAGAUUGCCUUGAUUUAUUAAUAUCUUUAAAAGUAUUAUUACACAUCUGCAUAUUCAGAGAUUGUUUUGUCAUCAACAAAAAUGGGGAGCUUGUUAGGGAAUUCCCUUAUGAUGUUUUGAAGAUGACAAAAUAAAUCAAAGGCUACUAACGUGUUUAAUGGUUGAGAUAUGCACUAUGCAGAUGAUAGAACAUGUAAAUAAUAGUGUCGAAGUCUAUACUUGGAAGAACCAGAAGAUAGACUUUAUGUUAAAGCUAAAUCUAUUUAGACUUACGUCCAGAUUGUAAAGUCUAUUGUACUCAGACUCAGAUUGUAAAGUCUAUUGCUCUCAGACUUUACAUCUAGAACAAGACACAGGUUUAGAACGUAGGAGAUUCAGAACAAAGUUGUUCAGAUCGAAACAACUUGACAGAACGUAACACAAGUCCCAAACAUAUAACGGCUAAUGAUCUGGUUUGGAUUAUACAUCAAGAUUGAUUUGAUUGACUCAAUCUAAUUGACUGACAAUUGGAUCAUGAAGACAAGAAAUUUCUAAACGAAGAAGCUCUAUUUAUGAAAACGAAGAUUCUGUUUGUAUGAGCGAUCAAAAUCAAUUUAGGAUUCUACUUUUGUCACUAAACGGCUACCAAAUCUUCUAGAUACAGAUUUGUCCAAUGGGUAGAUUGGAAGACGAUCCUCUAGAUGCUGUCCAACGGCAAGUUUGGAAGUGGAGGAGUAUUUAAGGAGAUCAAGGACCGAUGAACAAGUAAGAGACGGAGCGUAGAAUUUAUAAUUCCAAAGUCUGAGCACCUUCGAUCAUACACUUGUCUUUCAUGAGCUUAAACGUUUGUGAUCGUGAGAGAAAUACCAAAAGAGUGACUUAGUGAGACAGUGUGAUCUACUACUAAGUGUUUGCACUCAAAGUUGUAAUAUCUUGUUGAUUGCAUAGUGAAAUCUAGCAGAAGACUGUUAGUGUAAGAGAGUGGAUGUAGGCUUAAUUUAAGCCGAACCGCUAUAAAUUCUGUGUUCUUAUUCUCUUCCCUAAACUCCUUUAUUUUAUUCCUCAUUUAUUUGCUAAGGUUUAUUUUAAACACCUAUUCACCCCCUAGGUGUUCAUACUAGCACUUUCAGGGGGGAGGGUCGGCCGGGCCCUGGCCAGGGGCAGGCGACCCUGGCCCACCAACGGCUAGGACCCACGAGCCCUUAGCGGGGGUUAGCGGCCCUUGCCUGAUCAAGCAAAGGGCCUUCGCCCGCUGGGGGUCUCCUCAACGAGCGGCGGCCCUUGGCCUGGCCAGGCGAGGGCCGCGAAUGUCACGCCCCGAUCCUCCGAGCACGUGUCCAUCCUUCUAUGGUCGAUUAAAUAGCGAUGUUCCAAGACGUAUCACCGACCCAUUCAUUUUAAUGCACAUGCAGAAGCAGAUAAAUAAUCCCUAGACAAUAAUUAGAUGUGAUAGAAAAGUAGGACCAAUUUUUCAAAGUAAAACAAACCUUUUAUAAACAACCGGGUUUAUUUACACGACCAAACUAUUUACAAGAAGGUCGGCUCAUUCCAAAAGGAACUGUCCUUUGACUCACUAGUUAGACACUUUCGCCGAUUCUCUGGUCUCUUCCUCAACUGUCUCCAGAGCUUCGAGUCCUCCUCAACUGCCAUCUACGGACCUGAAAAUGUUAUCCCACAGCGGGGUGAGACGACGUCUUAGCAAGUUCAACCCCCUAAGACCCAACUAGGAAGAAAAUAUGCUCUGAGGGCUGCCUAUGCACACACAUGAGUCGGAGGACUUACCUUGGUCUCAAUUCCUUCCUGUCGACAAUAUAAUUCAAACAGUCGUUCACACAAAUCAAAUCAUCGAUCAAUUGAUUUAGUUGAUUACAUGUCACCACGACCUUCCUCUAGUCAGUACAUUCAAUACUAUAUAUAAUGUCCUAUCAAAUCAGGACCGCUCGCCCAAAGCUAAAAAUAGAUAGUAUAGCUUGCCCAAAACUGACAAUAUAGUAUACUAUAUAUAUAUAUAUAUAUAUGCUUGCUCAAAGCUAAUAAAUUAAGGCCCCCUAGCCUUUAUAGUAUACUAUAUAUGCUCACUCAAAGCUGAAAUAAUAUAUGCUCGCCCAAAGCUGAUAAUAAUAAAUUAUAUAAAGCUCACCCGAAGCUAAUAAUAUAUGAUAUCCUAUAUAUGCUCACCCAAAGUUGAUAAAUUUAGGGCCCUAUGGCCAAAAUAAUAUACCACCCCAACCAUACAACCAAAUCAUCAUUUUUAUCAUACCCGAUAAAAAUAGCCGUGUGUGGGUACACGGUCAGCCUUAGCCAAAAUAUAAUAAUUUCACUUUCCACAAUUCCCACCAUUUUAUAUAGUCUACCAAAAUAUUUUUGGCAUUGUAAACUGACGCUCGGUUAUUUUCCAAUCAAUUACUAAAGUUAAAUCAAUUUAAGAAUAAAUUCUAAAGUUCAAUUAACCAAACAGGUUACACCACUGCAAUCAGCAUAAAAUUCCGGUCACCAGCUAUCUCGGUCUAAUUUUUGGAUAAUAAAUAAAUAAAUAAAUAAUUACAUAAAACGGUCUCGAAAAUUUUUCGAAUCAAUCUAAAUAAAUACUAGAGCUUGUCUAGGCCCUAAUUGCACUAAUCUAAUCUAACUAACUGCCUAAUCCAUACUUAACCUAAACUAAUCAACCCUUAAGCAUUAUUAACCUACUAAGUGAGGAUUAGUGAGUUAAACUCACAUGUUUAACGAUCCACUCAGAUCAAAACAACAGGGACACAACGACGGCCGAUAAACCCUAAAGUGGGGCUGCUAACGGGAGCCCAAAUCGGGCCAAAAUCGGGCACGCAAGCCCACGGCUUGGCUGGAAAUUCUGCUCCUGCGUUGCUGGUCACGUUGAUUCGGUUUUGAGGAGAGAAAAACAGCAGCGGUUCAGGUUGAUUUCGGCGGCCGAGGAACGCGGGAAUGGUGAGCUGCUUUAGUUCGUGGACGAGGAGAGGGCGUAAGGGCCUGCGUCUUCUCUGGUUGGACUGAAACCUUAGAUGACUUCAGAUGUGGGGUUGUGACACGGCGUUAAGGGGAAGCUGUGGGUCAAUGGUGGGCUUGCUAUAGGGAAGAAAAUCAAUGGGGCGACGUCGAGCUUCGGUGGAGGGAACAAAAUGAAGAACAACAAGAGCAGCAGCUCUUCCGUGGGGAUGAAGUCCGUGCGAAGACGAUGAGGGAGAGAAAAAUCAUGGGGUUGCUAGUCCUUUUUGACCGAACAGUCCUUGAAACCUCCAAAUUUCCCUCAAUUCCGAAUUCUAUUUCAUUCUUCUUGGAAUCCGAUUUUCUAAACAAAUUUCUCCGAUUGAGGUCCAAUUUGUUGAGGAAAAAGCCCACAAAAUUCCCUAUCACCAAUUCACUCACACCAUAUGCCAAAAUUCUCUUUAAAUUGACUAAUCCGAAUUUCCGUUCGUUUUCCGAAUCGUCCGAAUCGGUUUUCCAUAAAAAUCCUGAACUCACCGGAAAUUCCUUGAAAGGUGAGUCAACGUUGCUAGAACAACUCAUGACAUGACAGAACUUUCAAUUUCUGAAAUCGAAUUUAAUUUCAUGGUUAAUUUCAAUCAUACGCGGUUUUAGCGUGACCUAGCCUUCUGAGUAGCUUUUAGGAAUUUUUGUUGUAAUUGACCCGUGGUCAAUUUUCUUCGAGCCACACGUACCUCUUCAACACAUUGGUGACUCUCGGUAGUCGUGAAAAUCUCGAGAUUUCAAAUAUAGACACUGUUGGGGUUUCAUGAAUCAUGUAUAAGAAAAAUCAACAAAAUAAACGCAGCGAAAACAAAGAUAAAUAUUACACAUGAUUUUCCUUAGGCGUUGUUCGUGCAUUUUAAUCAAAAAUCUAAACAUAAAAGGGAGUUAAACGAAAUACCUCUCAAAGCGCGCUUUGAAAUGAGUCGGUUCGGCUAUUCUACAAUUCGAGUCCCACAAGCGUCGGACCUCUAGUUCAGACACACCAACAACGAACGUCGAACGGAAGAGAGAAGCUUCGGAUAUUCUCCACUUCGAUUGUGCUAGCAAUCACGUGGAAAUGAUCCAACGUAUCCUCAAUGUAUUAUAGCCACGGCCCGAACGAGAUAAUGAUCUUCUUUCUUGCGUCUCAAAGACACAAGAACACGCACACUAUUUGCUUUCUAUUUUCAGCAAAGCAUCAUUGAUUUCUCGCUUGUGUUUCUCUCGAACAAAACCAAAACCACACUAACUUUUUCUCUGUUUUUCAACAGCAACUCUUUAACUCAAUCUCUCGAACAUUUUAUAAUAAAAAUGACCAGCAAUGGUUGCUGAUUGUCCAUAGUGGACGAUCGUGCAUGAGCAACCGCUCAUGCACGAUCUUGGCAUGAUGGUCAGCGGUUGCUGACCAUCCAUGCUUCGUGCGUAAUGGUCAGCCGCAUGUGCACGAAUUCGUGCACAUGCAUGAAGCUUUAUUUAUUUUUUUUUAAUUAUUAUUUAUUAAUAAGUUUUUAGGGCAUACUACUAACAAUCUCCCACUUGCACUAAAAACAACUUGUUUGGUAUGUUAACAUAUAUCCACUUUGGGCAUGCGUGUGCAUCAUAUGCAAGUAGGCUCGUGACUAUAAUACAAAUUAAAUUAAAUCUCAUUUAAUUUAAUUUCAAAUCGACUCAAUUCGAUUGCAGUAAUUGUAAACAUAUUUGCAAUAAUAUUUCUCUCUUGUUCCACGUCAUCCUAAUUGUUUAUGGUGUGUGACAUCCCUAGGUUCAUCACUAAGCUGGUAGUAAGACUUGUAUUAACACAUUAGUACUUCCAAAAGAAUUAAUUGUCCCGAUUAAUCUUUUAGGUCUUACAAGCCACGAUUGACAUCUAGCAAUAUGUCAUGGCUACCCAGAUAGUGUGAAUGCUUUAAGAACAUAAUGAACCUGUCAGCUUUGGCUACAGUGUAAUUCAAUCCCUCUGUCUUACUAUGUCCCGAUCAAACAAAGACUAUGGAAUAUUUGUCAAGUCAUUAAUUCGAUCAUAUGCACAAAUCUAAUUGACAUGCAUUUUAUUCGAGACAUAAACAAUUUAUUCUCGAUUACAACUCCGGCCGAGGAUUUCAAUGCAGUGUCACAAUUAGAUCGCAUAGGACAUCAUUAUCAUACCUUGCAUAUAACAAGGAAAUAGAUUCCAUAUUGCACACACGUGUAACUUCGUAUAUGAACAAACUAUGACCAUCAAGUAUAAAAACGGAUCGACGACCUGGCAUUAUGUGCACCCGUGAACCAUAGUUGUUCGAUACACAAGUUAACACUGUGCCUCAGGUCUAAGGAUUAUUUACACAAGACCAAAGCAUGAACAAUUAGACAUUGACCACGCAAAAAGCUUCCAUGUCGCUAAUCGUUCCAUAUGCGUCACGUUCAGUGAAUUUGUCUAAUACAAACACCUGUGUUCUAACUCAGGCAUCAUAAUACCCAAUGACAUGUGACUCAUCAUUCCCUUAAGUAUCCAAUACUUAAUGGCGAAGUUAAGAACACACCGGUCUCAAUAGGAUUAUUAAUAUCCACUUAAUAAUCCAUCGACCGGGAACAAUUUAAAGAUUCAGUCUAACUAUGAACCCGUCACAUAUAUUCUUGACGUCUCAAGAAUAGGUCUAGUUGCAACUGAUCUUAUGGAAUCAUUCAUCAAUAUAAAAUAAUUGGAUAAAUGAAUGAAUACGUCAUUGCCAUUAAUUAAAUAAUAAUAAUGAAAGUACAAUCAAAAUCCCUAAUAUGUAACUAUUACAUAGCAACUUUAGGGCAUACAUCUAACAAUUUCUCACUUGCACUAAAGCCAACUUGUCUAGUACCUCAAACCCAUUUUGUCAAUAUGUCUUUCAAAAGAAGAUUGAGGUAAGGCCUUAGUGAAGGGAUCUGCCAUGUUUUCUGCUGAGGCAAUUUUCUGCAAGGCGACAUCACCUCUCCCAACAAUUUCUCUAAUGAGAUGGAAUCGUCUCUCAAUAUGCUUGGACUUCUAGUGAGACCUUGGUUCCUUAGCUUGAGCUAUCGCCCCAUUGUUGUCACAAAACAAUGUGAUCAGUUGCUCAAUUGAAGGAACGACUCCAAGUUCAGAAAUAAACUUCUUCAUCCAAGCGGCUUCCUUUGCUGCUUCAGAAGCAGCUACAUACUUUGCCUCAGUGGUGGAAUCGGCAGUUAUGCUUUGUUUGGAACUUUUCCAACUAACUGCACCACCAUUGAAUGUAAAGACAAACCCGGAUGUAGACUUAUAAUCAUUAUUAGGAUCCGAUUGAAAAUCGGAAUCAGUAUAAGCUACAACUUUAAAUUCUCCUUCUCCAUAUAUCAAGAAUAAAUCUUUAGUCAUUCGCAAGUACUUAAGAAUAUUCUUGAUUCCUAUCCAGUGCUCUUUUCCUGGAUCAGACUGAUAUCUGCUAGUAAUACUUACAGCAUGCGCAAUAUCAGGUCUAGUACAUAGCAUAGCAUACAUUAUGCUUCCAAUAGCGGAUGCAUAUGGUAUCUUUGCCAUCCGCUCUCUUUCUUCAGGAGUGUUGGGACACAUCUCCUUAGAAAGACGGAUCCCUUACCUAAAAGGCAAUAAUCCUCUCUUGGAACAUUGCAUGUUAAACCGUGUUAACACUUUGUCUAUGUAUGUAGAUUGUGAGAGGCCAAUCAAUCGUCUUGAUCUAUCUCUAUAGAUCUUGAUACCUAAAAUGUAGGUUGCCUCUCCUAAAUCUUUCAUGGAGAAUUUCUGUGACAAGAAUAGUUUUAUCGAUGAUAUCAUUGGUGCAUCAUUUCCAAUCAAAAGUAUAUCAUCGACAUACAAAACCAGAAUGCAAUUGCACUCCCACUGAUCUUCUUAUAUACACAAGGUUCAUCCGGAUUUUUUAUGAAGCCAAACGAUUUGACUACCUCAUCAAAACAGAUGUUCCAACUUCUGGAGACUUGUUUGAGUCCAUAAAUGGAUCUCUUAAGCUUACACACCUUAUGUUUUUCAUUAUUGGAUUCAAAACCCUGUGGCUGUUCCAUAUAGAUGUCCUCAUCGAGAAAACCAUUUAGAAAAGCCGUUUUGACAUCCAUCUGGAACAUCUCAUAAUCAAGGUGUGCAGCUAUAGCCAACAUAAUCUGAAUGGAUUUUAGCAUGGCCACAGGUGAGAAAGUUUCGUCAUAAUCAAUUCCUUCUUUUUGACGAUAUCCUUUUGCCACCAGCCGUGCUUUGUAAAGUCCAAUUCGACCAUCAACAUUCAUCUUCCUCUUGAAGAUCCAUUUGCAGCCAAUUGGUACAAUACCAUCAGGCAGGUCAGUCAAGGUCCAAACCUCAUUGGAAUACAUUGAAUCCAUUUCGGAUUUCAUGGCCUCUUGCCAUUUACUAGAAUUGAUGUCCAACAUCGCCUUUUCAUAGGUUUUAGGAUCACCGGGUUGAUCACUAUCAUUCACAAUGAAUAAUGGUUCGAUAUGAUCAACCGAGUGUCUAUAACGAGCAGGUGGGCUAGACGUUCUCGCACUUCUCCUAAGAGGUUGUGUAUCAGAAGCUCCCACUGAAUCAGAGGUUGGUAUCUGAACUUAGUUAUUUGGUACUUCAUUAUUUUCUUCUUGUAAGACUAUUUUCCGCCCAGCACCACUUUCUUGGACGAACUGAUUCUCCAAAAAAGAAGCGUGCUUGCAUACCAAAAUUCUUUGGUUUGAAUGAAAAUAGAAAUAAUAUCCAAGAGUUUCCUUUGGAUAUCCAAUGAAGCGACCUUGUUCAGAUCUUGCCUCCAAUUUUUCCAUUUUCAGCUUUUUCACGAAAGCUGGACAACCCCAAAUCUCAAUAUGAUUAAGACUAGGUUUCCUACUAUGCCAUAUCUCAUAGGGCGUAGUUGGAACAAAUUUGGACGGCACUCUAUUCAGUAUAUAUACAGCAGUCUCAAGGGCAUAUCCCCAAAAGGAUAUUGGCAAAUCGGUGUAACUCAUCAUAGAUCGUACCAUAUCUAAUAAAGUACGAUUUCUCCGUUCAGAUACACCAUUAUGUUCUGGAGUUCCAGGAGGUGUCCAUUGUGAUAAAAUGCCAUUCUCUUUAAGAUAGUCCAGGAAUUCAGUACUAAGGUAUUCACCUCCUCGAUCUGAUCGAAGAGCCUUAAUACAUUUUCUUGUUUGUUUCUCAACUUCAGCCUUGAAUUCCUUGAACUUUUCAAAGGAUUCAGAUUUAUACUUCAUGAGGUAUAAAUAACCAUACCGUGACUAAUCAUCGGUGAAGGUAAUGAAGUAAUUAUAACCACCUCUAGCAGUUUCAUUAAUUGGUCCACAUACAUCUGUAUGUAUUAAUUCUAAUAUGUCAGCAGCUCGCGCACUUUGUCCCACAAAAGGCGCUUUGGUCAUUUUUCCUAGAAGACAUGCCUCACAAGUCGAGUAUGACUCAAAAUUUAAAGGAUCAAUGUAUCCAUCAUUACUCAACUUGUUAAUUCUGUCUUCUCCAAUAUGACCUAAUCGGAGAUGCCAAACAUACUUUUUAUUUAGACCGUCUCUAGGGCGUUUAUUAGUUAUGGCAUUUAUAUCAAUUCUAUUUUGCUUAUUGACAUUGGUAAUCGUAUUACCGGACAUUGUAAUGGUAUAAAGAUUGUUGAUUAAUAAGCUAGAACCAACACAUAUUCUAUUAUGAUAAAUAGAACAUACAUCAUCAGCAAAAGAAAAUUCAUAAUUCUCUUUACCCAAACGAGGUACAGAGAUGAUGUUCCUAACAGCAUUCUUAUAAUGCAAACAGUUCUUUAAAACCAUUACAUGUCCAGAAGGGAAACAUAAACGAAAAGUCCCUAUAGCUAAUGUAGCAACUCUUGCUCCAUUGGCAAACGUCAAGACAAUCUCAUUUCGCCUUAGCAUCCUGCUUAUUUCCAGAUUCUGCAAAGACAUACAAAUAUGUGAAGUUGUAGCAGAAUCUAGAACCCAUGAGCUGGAUUCAGCACUAACCAUAAGAUUGGUUUCAAUAAGCAUAGACACCAUACCUUCAUAAGGUCGGUUCUUGGGCUUGACCUUCAAGCUCGCGAGGUACCUCUUGCAGUUCCUCCUCCAGUGCCUUUUGACACCAUAGUAAUGACAUUUCCCUUUAUCAAUCAUGGGUUUUGGUUGCACAACAGGUUUGGCAGGCCUCUUCCAUUUAUUCUUCUUUAAAAUAGUCUUACCCUUUGAAGAAGAAGCCUUAGCCAUAACCACUACAUUUGGCCUCGUGUUAUGCAUUUCCUUCUCAUAAACUACCAGCAUGCUAUGUAACUCAGCAAGAGUUUUCUCCAUCUUAUGCAUGUGGAAGUUUUGGACAAAACCAGAGAAGGAAUCGGGUAAAGAUUGGAGGAUCAAAUCCACAGCUAACUCAUUGUCCAUAACGAGAUUCAGCCUAGCCAAUUCUUCAAUGUGCCAGAUCAUUUUCAAAGCAUGAUCAUUAACAGAUGAUCCUUCAGCCAUCCUCAUACGGUACAAUGCCUUAGAUAUCUCAUAUCUAGAGGUUCGACCAUUCUCAUCAAAGUAUUCCUUUAAGUGCAAAAUGAUCGACCCAGCAUCUUCCAUAGAUUCAUACUUCUUCUGUAAUUCAUUAUUCAUAGAAGCAAGCAUAUAUGACCUAACUUUUAAGUCAUCAUCAUGCCACUUAUCAUAAGUAACACGCUCCUCUUGGGUCCCACCCUCAGGAAAGGAGGUUGGCAUCUUUUCAUCAAGCACAUACCCAAUUUUUUCUGAAUUGAGAACAAUUCUCAAAUUCCUCACCCAGUCAAUGAAAUUGGGUCUAGUCAAACAAUUCUUGUCAAGUAUAGAAGCGAGUGGGUUUGUGGUCACCAUUUUUUCAGAGUAAUAAUAUAUCUGUUGCGGAAAAUAAAUUGUUAGCCGUUGUACUUUUCAUAAUAACUAUUUCAUUUUGGUCUUUAAAUGAAAUUGAUCCUCCCACUAAAUUUAUCUUCGAAUCCCAUACUCCUUAAGAUGGGAAGCGGUAAUCUUUGUUGGGUAAAGAUUACUAGUGGGGAUUGGAGUCACACUAGCCCAAAGUCCACCUCACCUAACAGUUAUUGGUGUCCUAUGAACUUAGUGAGUGAACCAGCUUGUUCAAUGCAUCAUAUGCGAAUCCCAAUCUUACCUUCGGCCUCUAGACCAUGAAAGCCUCACCUAAUAGUUAUUGGCAUCAUGAUCAUAGUUAAGUCUAGCCCAUCGUCUCAUGCAAGUAUUGAAAACACAAAUAAUUCCCUCACCUGACAGUUAUUGGAAAUCAUUUGGCUCCAACCCCACAGCAUCAUAUGCAUAAUGGAGUGGUCCAAUAUUAUAAAUGGUAAUUAACCCCUAUGUAUCCAUAACCAGUUAAUUAACCACUAUAAUAUUGGAUCAAACCACGACGAUGGAAGGCCACGAGUCCGAAACCCGUUUCGACUUAAUAUUCUUUGUAAGGAGAUUUGGGUCGUUAUUAACGGUCUCACUUUGCACAUUAACCGGUUUAACAUGCACGAUACCAUAAACACAAUAAAUAAAUAGAUAUCACAUAAUAUCUAUCCUAUGUGGUGAUCAUGGAAUUAUGGUUCAAUGGGUCUCGAGCCAAAGAGACCCAUUUAGCCAUUUUAAUGUUUUAAUUAUAUGGACUUGCUCUUCACUUUUUCUUCAAUCUUUGAACUCUUCAAAGACCGGGCCCAAAGAGCUCACCGGUUUAAUGGCUCCUCCAAUGGCUCCUCCUCUCUUGUAGUAUUUACAUCAACAAUUGAAAUACUAACCUAUACUAAAAUUACAUAUCAAGAAAAAAUUAAAGUAAAAUAAAAGGAAGGACGCAGCCUCCAUUUAAUAAUUACAUCCCCAAAAAGAAUACCUGUAAUCAUCAUACAUUCAUCCCUACAACAAUCACAACAAUUAGGGAUUUUUCCAUGAUCACCACCCUUCCUUACGAGCCAUAAAUUCAAAAUUUAAAGCUCUGGAAGGCAUGCAUAAAAUUCUGCAUAUCAUUUGCAAAAUAUAAACAUCAAAUAUAACAAGUUACGGAUUUUUGAUUCAAAAUUGAUUUAGUUCUAAUUUUUUUUUUUUUUUUGCUUUGUUGAUUAAAUUUAUCACAUAAAUCAAUCAACUUCUAUAGGCCACAUAAGAGCAAGAGAACCAAUUCUCUUAACAAAAGUAAAUUGGCCAUUAGAAUGCAAAAAUAUAUUUGAACUAUAAAUCAAUUAAACGUACGAAAACGCCUAAGGUUGGCUCUGAUACCACUGUUGGGGUUUCAUGAAUCAUGUAUAAGAAAAAUCAACAAAAUAAACGCAGCGGAAACAAAGAUAAAUAUUACACAUGAUUUUCCUUAGGCGUUGUUCGUGUGUUUUAAUCAAAAAUAUAAACAUAAAAGGGAGUUAAACGAAAUACCUCUCGAAGCGCGCUUUGAAACGAGUCAGUUCGGUUGUUCUAUAAUUCGAGUCCCACAAGCGUCGGACCUCUAGUUCAGACGCACCAACAACGAACGUCGAACGGAAGAGAGAACCUUCAGAUAUUCUCCACUUCAAUUGUGCUAGCAAUCACGUGGAAAUGAUCCAACGUAUCCUCAAUGUAUUAUAGCCAUGGCCCGAACGAGAUAAUGAUCUUCUUUCUUGCGUCUCAAAGACACAAGAACACGCACAUUAUUUGCUUUCUAUUUUCAGCAAAGCAUGAUUGAUUUCUCGCUUGUGUUUCUCUCGAACAAAACCAAAACCACACUAACUUUUUCUCUGUUUUUCAACAGCAACUCUUUAACUCAAUCUCUCGAACAUUUUAUAAUAAAAAUGACCAGCAACGGUUGCUGAUCGUCCAUAGUGGAUGAUCUUGCAUGAGCGGUUGCUCAUGCACGAUCUUGGCAUGAUGGUCAGCAGUUGCUGACCAUCCAUGCUUCGUGCAUAAUGGUCAGCAACCGCUGACCAUUACGCUUCGUGCAUGUGCACGAAUUCGUGCACAUGCAUGAAGCUUUAUUUUUUUAUUUUUUAUUUAAUUAUUAUUUAUUAAUAAGUUUUUAGGGCAUACUACUAACAGACACACGGUACCCAAAACGAAAGAAAAUCGAUUUAGUGCCGAUCGACGAGAAUUUUGCAAUCAGGUGGAAUCACCCAUACUUUGAUCACCAUCUUAGUUAAAUCAACCUAUCUCCGGUCUCCAAUCGAUUUUUAAUUGUGCCGUAAUGACCUUUGCAGACUAGCACGGUCGAGCAAUCAAUUCCCGGUCGAACUCUCAAGUCUAUUGCGUUUAAAAUCCCUUAAUAGUUUCAUCGGAUAGGUCAGUUAGCUCAUGAGUGGCCAUCUCAGAGAAAAACACUAUAGGUGCGUCAACGAAAGGCCCAAUUUAUUCAAUCGAAAUUAGAACCUGAAAAAUCAAGAUGUCAUAUCGACCCUCGCCCAGAUUGGGGGCGAGGGCUCGUGAGCCCUUGCCGUUGGUCGGCCGGGGUCGCCGACCCUUGGCUAAGGCCCGACGUGUCACGCCCUGAACCUCAAGCGCGUGCCUAUUUCUUGGUGGUCAAUAAAAUUGCGAUGUCCCAGGACGCAUCGUCGACCCAUUCAUUUUAUUGCGCCUAUAGAAGUGAAUAAAUAUCCACUGAUAGUAAACCGCUUGGGAUAGAAAAGCAGGACAACAGAUUCACAAACAAAACAUGCUUUUAUAUAUACAUUGAGUCAUGUGCGAAAGUCAACAACCUAAAGUCUUCAAAAGACGGUUCUCCAAAAAGAAGUUCUCUUAACUGACUUACGCCUCAAAUCCCCUCAAUCGGGCUCUUCCUCUACUCUACGGUCUUGAAAAGAAUUGAACUCACGACGGGGUGAGAUAUAAAUCUCAGCGAGUUCACGCUCUAAACCUUGAUUAGGAGAGUUAUAUGCCUAGAGGCGUCCUACCCACACAAUCAUAAAACCGUAGAGACUUACCUCGUCUCAGAUCCUCCCUGCAGGUCAGCACAAUUUAUAUCAUAGACAACCAUGAAAACACAAGCAGCAGAUAAGCUCAUCAACUAGAACGCCACACUCAAUUGCAACCAAGUACAUGGGUCUUGAUUAUAGGGCCAAAUCGUUAUGACAUGUCACAUACCGUGCCACACAAUUUUGUCCCAUAAUUCGGUGCGUUCAAUUCAAUUAAUCAUGCGUUCCUAGUUUUGAUCUCGGCUUAUAGCAUGGCCUACUCUCUGUUCGGUGGUCUUCUAGCAUUACCAGGCAUCGUCUCACCCCAUUGAACACGGCUACGUCUUUCCUAGAGGGCUUUCCUGAAGGAGCAAAGGUCUAGAAUCUAUUGCGACCGGCUUCCGUUGUCUAGGGGUAUUACAUAUAGGGGUACCAUCCAGCUUAAUAGCCUGAGAUGAGUUCUCUUAACCAACAUACAAUCACUCAAUUAUGGCCAAGGACACCGUGCAAUGCACUCAAAUGUCACAACUAAAAUAAUGCAUUUGGUCUAUUUUCUUCAUAUUAAAAACACUUGGUGAAAAUAGUCAUGUUUGGGCACAUGGUCAGAUCGAACUUGAAAAAUUCAUAUCCUCCAAUUUAAAAUCCCACUAUUUUAUAUAGUAUAUCAAACUAUUUUCGUUGUCAAAACCCGACACCCGAGAUUUUCUGAAUAAAUAUCGAAAUUCACAAAUUUUGGAAUAAAUAACAAAAAUUAAAAUCAGCACAAAUUAACACGCAAAUGUAGAAAUUAACCAUAUCAUUGCAAUCGGCAUGAAAUUCCGGUCACCGACCAUCUCGGUCUAAUUUCCAAAAAAUAUUAAAUAAUUAAAUAAUUAAAUAAUUACCAGAAUUUAUUAAUUCAACUUAAAUACCAAAAACACUAACUUAAGCCGGAAAUGCCUAAUUAAAUACAGAAACGAGCCGGAAAAUUUCCGAACCAAUCUAGAUAAAUAAUACAUACUGUCUAAUCCUUAAUUAAACUAAUCUAACCACCUAACAUGCAUAAUUAAAUCACUAAUCUAAUCUAACUAACCACAUAAUUCCUAAUUAACUUAAACUAAAUACCCCUUAAACAUCAUUAACAUUCUAAGGAGAGUUUAGUGCAUAAAGUCAUUGGUUUAGCGCAAAAACCAAUUCACCGCAAGGCGGCCGUGGUGGCUAAAACUUGGGCCCACAGCAAUGGCAACGGGGGCUUGGACUGGGCCGAAAACGGUCCGAGACGGCUCGGCAAGGUUGAGCUGUAGCCCUGAUUUGCGGAGGGCUGCUGGGCUUGGCUUGACUAGGCUACAGCUGCGAGCUAAGCUAAACUUGCGGGCUGAACUGGAGCUGGCCGCGACAAAGCCAAGGAAAUUGAGAAUCGGUGGACGUUUCUGGCGACAAAAAGGAACUGCGUGACAAAAGAACUAGCGGUCUUCGUGAGGGACAGUUGGCAGCAAAGGAAAAAUGAAAAGAGGGCAGAGGCGGUUGAUUUUGGUGAGGCAAGUCUUCGAUGGAGGGGGUUGACUCGACGGGGGGACAAGUGAUGGUGGAAGGAGGCGAGCUGGCAUGCGGUCGCCGUUUCUGGUGGUUGACUAAGCGGGAUGAAGAAGAAUCGGUGGAGUGGCGGACAAGUGGCAGCCGAAAGAAAUCGUUGGUGGAGGUUGCUAAUGUUGAAGAUGGCAGUCAACAAACUAGCAGAAGACAAAAGAUGGUGGGAGGGUAGCUUCGGUCGCUGCUUGGGGAAGAAAACGAAUCGGGGAUGGGGGAGUUGGUGGAGAGAUAGAGAACAUGGAGGAGUUGUGGUCUUCGAAGGAACAAAAGGAAGAAAAGCAUAAGAAGCUCGUCCAAAGCAAGAAGAAAUGAAAGGGAAGCAAGAGCCGCGAAGGAGGAAGACAGCCAGCCAAGCUUGCAAGAGAAGCUUAGAGAGGGGGGCCAAAAAUCAACAAAAAUAUCUAAUUCACUUAAUGAUUGGUCCAUUAAUUCUUUCUUGCAAUUUAAUCCCCCAAAUGCUCAACUUUGGACAGCAAAAAUGGCUAAUUUCCUCACCCAUCCGAAUUUCCUUCUUUUUUUCCGAUUCGUCCGAAAUGAUUUUCCGUAAAAAUCCUGAACUCACCGAAAAUUCUUGGAAGGAUGAGUCGACGUUCCUAAAAUAAAUCGUGAGAUGAUAGAACUUCCAAUUUCUGAAAUUGGGUUCAAAUAAUUUCAAUCUAAUGCGAUUUUAGUGUGACCUAACCUACCGGGUAGUUUUUAGGAAUUUUUAGUGCAAUUGACUCAUGGUAAAUUAUUUUCGAGUCACAUUAUGCAUCUUCGAUACAUUGGCGACUUUCGGUUGUCGUGAAAAUCUCAAGGUUUUAAAUACGGACACAAGGUACGGAAAUGACCAAAAAAUCGGUCUAGUGUCGUUCAACAAAAAUUUUGCAAUCAGGUAAAAUCACUCACACACUAAUCACAUAUAUCUAUCACAUCGACCUAUCUCUAAUCUCUGAUCGAUUUUUGACUGUGCUGUAAUGACCAUUGCAGAUUAGCACGGUCGAGCAGUCGAUUCCUGGUCGAAUUCUCAGGUUUAUUACGUUUAGAUUCCUUAACAGAUUCACCUGAUAGACUAGUUAUUCCGUGAGUGAUCAGCUUAGGGAAAAGAACUACAGGCACGUCGAUGAAAAGCCCAACUUAUUCAAUCGAAGAUAAAACCUGAAGUUUAGGAUGUCACAGGGUGACCCCGGCUAACUGUCCCCCCUCCGUCACGGGCCCUUCUCGAUGGUGGCGGUGAGGGCUCAGCCCUCAGCCGCCCCUUCCUUUUUUUUUAAUAAAAAAUUAUUUAUUUUUUAAACGACAUCAUUUUGCACUUAUUUUGCCGGAAAAUCGCUAUGUUAGCAUUUUGGUUGGAUUUUCGCCGGAAUGGCACUCAAGUGAUCAAUUUUGUUUCGAUUUUAGCACUUAAGUGUCACUUUUCUAACUUUUGACACUUGUGUGUCCAUCCGUGUCAAGUUUUGGCACUCCAGAUGUCUGACACUCGGGAAGAAAGUAUUGCAGAACAAGCGGGUAUAUCGGUUCAAAAAGGAACCCGAUGGCAACAACAGGUACAGAGUAAGGCUAAUAGUAAAAGGUUUUCAGCAAAAUGAAGAAAUUGAUUGCACAUAGAUCUUUUCUCCAGUUGUGAAAUUGACUACUAUCAGGUUAGUAUUGAGUAUUAUUGCAACUAAGAAUUUUAUAUCUAAAGUAGUUAGAUGUGAAGACUACAUUUGUGACAUCCUGAAUUUCUAGUUCUAUUUUCAAUUGAAUGAAUUGGGAUUUUCAUCGACGCGCCUAUAGUUCUAUUCUCUAAGCUGAUCACUCACAAGAUAACUAGUUUAUCUCGCCCCAGCCAUUAAGGGAUUUUAAUGCAAUAGAUUUGAGAAUUCGACCGGGAAUCAACUGCUCGACCGUGCUAGUCUACAAAGGUUAUUACGGCAUAGUUAAAAAUCUAUCAGAGGCCGGAGAUAGGUCGAUUCAACAGAGGUAUGUGAUUAGUGUGUGGGCGAUUCCACCUAAUUACAAAAUUUCUAUCAAACGGCACUAGACCAAUUUUUCUAUCGUUUUAGUACUUCAUAUUUGUAUUUGAAAUUUCGAGAUUUUCACGACAACCAAGAGUUGCCAAUGUGUCGAAGAUGUACAAUGUGGUUCGAAAAUAAUCAACCGUGGGUCAAUUGUACUAAAAAUUCCUAAAAGCUACCCAGUUUGUUAGGUCACGCUAAAAUUGCGCCAGAUUGAAAUUAGCCGCGAAUUUAAACCCGAUUUUAGAAAUUAAAAGUUCUGUCAUAUCACGAUUCAUCUUAAGAACCUCACUUAUCCUCCGAAGAUUUUUUUGCAAAUCGGGAUUUUUUGGCGAAAAUUCAAAGUAGAGCCGUUUUUUACCGGGAAAAUCAAAGGACUGUUUUUUAUCGCAUUUUUGGGAUUCCAAUUGGACAAAUGGACGAGGAAAAAUGUGAAUUCAAGCGUGGGUACCUUGGUUGAUUUUAUGGACAUCAAAUUGAACUCAAUUGGAGGGAAUUUGGUUCAAUUUGGGCGAAAAUGUUUCAAAAUUCGUAGGCCUUGUGGGGUGCAACAUUUGGACUACUUGGAGACUUGUUGAGGAAGCUUUGGCUGCUGUAAAUUGGUUGAGGAAGACAGCCCUGCAUGGUGGGGCCUUGCCAAGGGACAAUUGGAUAGAAUGUGAUGACUUUAUGGCCCAAGGGGGACCCUCCGUCUUCAGCAGCUUCUUCUUCAAGCUUGAGGCCACUUUAUCCAUUGUUGGUCACCUUUUGAGCUCCAAAAACCAGAGAGAAACUGGCAGCCCCUCCCCCUUGCUGUCACACACCCGCCGAAGCCGUCCGAGCCCUCUUCCGCCUACUAAAGCCGCUUGCGCCGCCCGCUCGCUUGCGCCUGCUCCUGCUCAUGUUCCAAUGAGCCUAGCUUGCUGUCUUAAGCUCCUCCGCCGUCGCCCUAGUCACCGUCGAUGCUAUCCAGCCGUUGUCCGCCUCGGCCUGGCCUCGCAGCAACCUCGCCAUCCUGCCGUGUCCCUUUCUCGAGCCGUUUCAGCCCUCCAACCCAACCCAACAGCAAGGACUAGAAACUAAAGCCAGCAGGGGCCAUGAGGUUUCGUGGCCCAUUUUCAAUCCCAUCCGGUCUCUGUUUGGUGUCGUCGUAGGGUUGUUUGUCGCCCAUCUCCACAUCGCCAUCGUCAUGGACUCAUUGGAUUGCAAAAUCAAUGAGUUUACUUGCUAAACUCUGCUUAGGGAGUUAAUGAUGCUUAAAGGGUGAAUAGUUUAGGCUAAUUAAGAUUUAGGUGGUUAGUUAGAACGGAUUAGCGAUUUAAUUAUUUGUUUGUGCAUGUUAAGUGGUUAGAUUCGAUAAUUCAAGACUAGAUAAGUUGUGCCAUUUAUCUAGAUAGGUUGGAAAAUUUUCUAGGCCCGUUCGGGCGAUUAUUUAAGCAUUUCCGGCCUAGGUUGGUAUUUUUGGUAUUUAAUUGCAUUUAUUUAAUUAUUUUUGGUAUUUAUUUAAUUAUUUAUUACUUUUCAGAAAUUAUACCGGGAUAGUUGGUGACCAGAAUUUCGUGCUAAUUGCAAUGGUGUGCUUAGUUUAUGCAAUUGAAUGCUAAAUUGUGCAAAUUGAGUGAAAAUGGUGAUUUUGGUUAUUUAUUCCAAAAUUAUAAAAUUUUAAUAUUUGAUUGGAAAAAUCUCGGGUGUCGGGCUUUGAUACCGAAAAUGGUUUUAAGGACUAGAUCGAAUCGUGGGAUUUUAAAGUGAGAAUAUCAAUUUUUCUAGUUCAAAUGAUACGUUAGCUUGUGAGAGCAAUGAUAUGUCAGCUUGUGAGAGCAUUGAUCUGUCAGCUUGUGUGAGCAAUUCAUGUAAGCUUGUGAGAGCAUUGAUCUGUCAACUUGUGAGAGCAUUAAUCUAUCAGCUUGUGUGAGCAAUUAUUUGUGUCAGCUUGUAUGAGCAAUAAUCCAUCUCAGCUUGUGUGAGCAGUAAUUCAUGGCUAUGCCAGAGGACCGACGUGUGUCAAUAGUUCAUGUUUGUACGAGCAAUAAUCGAAUUGGAAUUGAGUGAAUUGAUUGACUGGAUCGAAUUGAAUUGAUUGAGUAUAUGAAUUGUGCUGAUGUGUAUGAAGGAAUUGAGGCAAGGUAAGUCCUCUGUCUUGUGUGCAUAGACUGCCUUUAGACGUAUUUCCUUCAUAGUCGGAGUUUAGGGGGUGAACUUACUGAGACAUUGUCUCACCCUGUCGUGAGCUCAUUCUUUUCAGGUCCUUAGAUGGUGGUUCCUCCGGAACGUUUUGGUCAACCCAAGAGAGUUACUGAGCAGGUUACUAACAUCCUUGUUUCCAGGGGCCACGGGGUCUGCGUCUAUGAACUCGUGACGACCACCGUCUGGGUCGAUGAUGGCCUACCUUAGAGGGUACCCCAUCAAUUCAAAGUGUAGUAUCGUCGCGGGCUCAAUGGGUACAAAGUGGGUCCCUUGCAGGAUUGUGAAGUCCUAGCUUCGAUGAUAGACGUCGCUCAUGGCGAGGGUACAGCUGACCCUCCUAGUGAUGCAGUGCUGGACUCGAGUCCCUAGGAGACCUUGGAGUUUUUAAUUAGGGAUUCGAGUGCCUAUAGGACUUGUAGAUUUUUUUAUUUGAGUAGACUUUUGUUUAUAAACUGGUGCUGUAUAUAAACCGAGGUGUUUAUAAAAGUGUUUUGGUUGUGAAUAUGUUUCUUGCUUUUCUAUCCUGUAUUAGUUGCUGUCAGGGGUAAUCGUUCGCUUCUGCAUGUGUAUUAAAAUGAAUGGGUCAGCGACGCAUUUUGGGACGUCGCAAUUUAAUCGACCACCAAGGGAUGGGCACACGCUCGAGAAUCGGGGCAUGACAACAUUCCUCCGUGGUUAUUUGGAGGAGGAUAUUUACGUGAUACAACCAUAAGGUUUUCAAGUUCCUGGAAAAGAAAAUUUUGUCUACAAAUUAAAGAAAAGUCUAUAUGGCUUGAAACAGGCUCCUAGAUAGUGGUAUAAGAAAUUUGACACUUUUAUGUGGGGUAAGGGGUUCACUAGAAGUGAAAUGGAUCAUUGCUGUUACAUCAAAAAAUUUGAUGACUGCUAUAUUAUUUUGCUGUUGUAUAUGGAUGAUAUGCUCAUCUCAGAAUCUAGCAUGAGAGAGAUCAACAUACUGAAGCAACAAUUAUCAAAAGAGUUUGAGAUGAAGGACUUGGGCAUAGUGAAUCAAAUUCUUGGGAUGAGGAUCACGUGGAAUAGAUCCAAAGGAAUUCUAAAAUUAUUUCAAGAUAAGUACAUUUAAAAAAUGUUAGACAAAUUUAGUACUCCUUUAGAAAGUCACUUCAACCUCUCAAAGAAAUAGUUACCGCAGACAAAUGAAGAGCAUGAGUAUAUGGCUAAGGUGCCUUAUACAUCAGCUAUUGGCAGUUUAAUGUAUGUUAUGGUAUGUACUUCACUAGACAUAGCUCAUGUAGUGGGAGUUGUGAGCAAAUACAUCGCAAAUCCAGGAAUAAAGUAUUGGGAAGCUGUAAAGUGAUUAUUAAGAUACCUAAAAGACACUUAAUGUAUUAAGUUUUAGGAAAAACAGUGUAACUUUACAAGUCUUUGUUGAUACAGAUUUUGGUGGUGACUUGAAUAAUAGGAAGAGCACCUCGAGUUAUGUUUUUACCUUAGGUGGCACUGCAAUCAAUUGGAUGUCUAGACUUCAAACUCGUGUGUCUCUCUCAACCAUUGAGGCAAAGUAUGUUGCUAUAUCUAAAGCUGGUAAGGAGAUGAUUUGGUUGAAUUUUUUUUUUUUUUUGAAGGAGAUAGACAAUGAGUGGGAUAAUAGUGUUAUUUUCAGUGACAACCAAAGUGCUAUUUGUCUUGCAAAAAUUCCAAUAUUUCAUUCAAGGACAAAACACAUAGAGUUAAAAUAUCAUCAAAUUCAUCAGUUGAUAGAUUAUGGGACUUUGUCAUUGAAGAAGAUUCUUGAUGCAAAAGAUCCAGUAGAUAUGUUAAUAAAGGUUGUCACCACUAAAAAAUUAAAGCUAUGCAUUACUUUAGUUGGCCUCUAUGGUAAGUGAUGAGGGAGGUCGCCGCACUAGAAUAAUUUGAGCUACAGAGAUAAAAACUAUGAAAGAUUAUUGUUAUUAUUUUUUUUUUAAGAUCAGCUUCCAAGUGGGAGAUUGAUGGAGUUGAGGAGUUUAAUAAAGGAAAAUAAUAUUCAAGCACAAAGCAAUUUAUUUUAGGCAAUUACCAAUCAUGAAUGUUAAAGCAAUUAAUAAGACUUUUAUUGUUGAUAAUGACAUAUAUGUAAUUUCCAUAUUAAUUAUGUAUGCCCUAGACUCCUACUAUAUAUAUAGGGGUAAUAUCUUUUAUAGUUGUAACAUUGAAGCUUGUAAUAUUGAUAUUGAUAGUAGAAGAUUGCCUAGUGUGGCUUCCCUUUGGGGAGGGGGGUGGUUCUACGUAAAAAUUAUCGCUAGUUUUCUUCUCUAUUUUUUCUCUUCAUAUAUUCGCAUUCCCAACAAUUAAGUCCCUCAACUUUUGUAUGAGUGCAAUAUAAGUCCCAAACUUUCAAUUGGUUCUAUCAAAUCCCUCUAUAAUUUGAAUAAAAUGACAUGGGAAGGUGCGAAGCCUGAUUGACCCAAUGAAUAUUGCCAUAUUACCCCUUCAAGAGAUUCAACAGUUGGGAUGGAGCUUGGAAUGGGGUUCCGCAAGAAAUAGGCUAAGAUCCAAAGAUUUCCAAUUUGUUACCAAUAAUGUGGUGUCUUAUGAGCUCAAGGGCAAACUUGGCGGACCUAGCGAACUUAAACAUCUUAGUAGCUAGGCAGUCGUUGUAUGAUGCUAUCUAGUUCCCCCUAUCCAAAAAUACAUCUAUAGGUGCUUGCUAGCCCCCUACCAGUUAUUGUAUGAGGUCUACCCAAUGCUAGAUGCAGAGGCGCAUAGGAGAUUGAUAUGAACAUCAUGAGCUGUCCCGCACUAAAACCCAUUGGAAAUCGCCCAUCCAAUCUCUUUUUCUUUUUCGAUCCAGCGGGUCUUCUUGCAUGGACUUGGGCCUGCUAUGAUGAUGGGUAGUCUUGUUGUGCUUUGGCCCUUCUGUGGGCUUUCAUUGAAGAAAGUGGGCUUGACAGGCCUAGAGAGAAAUAGUAAUCAUGGCUACUAAUAAAAUAAGACUCGAAACCAAAAACCAGACGAAGUAGUAGGUAUAAAGUAAAUUGCCCAAUAUUUCCAAAUUAGUUAAACUUCAUCCGAGAUAUGACAACUCUUCUUUUUUAUAGUAAAAAAUGGUAUAGAAAUUGUAAAUUCAUCCCUCCUUUUCAUCUGCUGUGAAUGUUGCCACUACUUGAGUACUCUCGCUCUUGCUUUAUCUUGCUGCAACGAAGCAAGCUUAGGAAUGAAUUGAAUGGAAAUUUAGGUCUCUAUCCCCACCUACCAAUUAUAGAAGUAGGAUCUUCGGCAAGCAAUAAGCACUUAAAUAAUACAAUGCUGGCUCGUCUCCAUUUUUGGUGAAACUAUUCCUCAAGCAAGACAGCCGAUAAGUCAUCGAAGGGUUUGUGUGAAUAAUAGAAUGGUAAGCAUUACUCAUUUGAAAGUGUCCCACGGUGAUCUAAUAUCUUUACAAGAAAAUGACGUGAGAAUCCGUGGUGAAGAAAUAAGGAGAUCUUUUUAUAUUGAAAUAUCAGUUGAUAAAAUCAUAGGCAAAUUCCUACCGGUAGGAAUGUAGAGAAGAAGGAAAACAGAAUGGUUCCACCUACUCAAAACUAAGAGGAGAUGCAACUGCAGUCUGGACUCUUGUAGGCCACGUCGUUGCGGAUGACUUCCAUUUUUAAAAGAAAACCAACAAGCUUCCAAGGUCGGGGCCAUGAGUUGGCUUUCUUGAACUCCUAGAAAAGGCGAACAACCAUUUCAGGAUUAUAUAAGCUAUAAGCACUGAAGUGCGAAACUAACUUAAAGACAUGGGACAUCGAUUCAGUAAAACUUAAUGGAGAAAGGCAAGGAUGAUGGUGACUCUGAAACUAAUCAAAUUAUUUAAGGAAUUCUGAAUAUGGAGAGUAAGAAACCUUAUGAAAAGGUCUAAAUAAAUUGAGAACAAGAUGAUGCGAUAGUUUUAAUGUUGGAAGUUUAUGAAAAUUUCGAGUAUGUAUACUUGAUAGAACCCUCAAAAUCUGAUUAAACCAACUUAUUGGCUGGACCACUCACGAUCUGAAAGGAUAAUCUCACAUUAUGUUGAAACUAGGGGCUUGCCUCGAGCUAAAAUUCACGGCGACUUUACUUGAAUAGGUCAACAAGACCAAAACGGAGGUCGAUGACGUGACAACUUAAUUAGAGCACUAACAUCAUAAACGCCCUUGCGGUGUUAUAUCUUACUCAAUUAUUCAAUUCCAGUGGAUGAAAUCGAGACCAUAAUGACUACUAUAAUGAGACCCAUCAUUUACCGAGAUUAAGUGGCAUAAAUCAAGACACAUUGACGUUUCCAUCGUGCUCGAGCUCAAGUUAACUGGAUUUAUGCAAAGCUCAGUAUCCAGUUCGACCUUGAUUUAGUUGUUCAAAAAAUUCAAGCCCGACUAUUCGAUUCUGCAAUUAGCAAGUAUGUCUGUUGUGAGCUAGAGUCUAGCUCGAGUCUAACUCAAGUAAGAAUUGAGAGAUACUGCAAAAAGGAGUAUAUAAAAAAAUAAUGCUGUUUUUCUAUAUAUUGUAUUUAUAGUUUGAUCAUAUGUAUGCACUCAAACAAAAUUCAACAGCUCGAUUAGCUUGGCUCCAAAGCAAGAUACUCAAGUUAGGCCGGCCCAGUUAAGAACUUACUUGGACUUAGCAAAAUUCAAAGAAUCCAUCUCGUAUCUCACGAGUAGCAUGAUUAGUUUCCAUUUCUACGUGCAACUUUUUCGUUACGCAUACCUCCGAACGAUUAUGACAUAAUUAUUACUAUCUAAAAUUAUGCAUUUCGCAUGAACAAGAUGCGUACAUUGAGUUUGAUAGGGAAUGGAUGACCACUGCCUUCCCUUUUUAUUCACCGUGAAUAAUACGAGAAGAAAGCUAUACAAACUCCAGUUGGAUUGGCGUCUUUCUAAGGUUACAAAAAAUGGCACGCGCGUUGCCGGGAAAAUAUGAAAAUUUUUGUAAAAUACUUUUUUUAGUGAAAAGAUUAUAAUCAACGGUGAAAAAUAAAAAAUAAAAAACAUAAGUCAUGUGGCCUCAUAUCGGGCGAUCUUCUUAUCAUGUAAGCCAAUUGUGGCAUCCUAGAAUUUCGUGUCAAUCUUUAGAUGUGCUUUGAUCAAUGAUUUGCAAUAAGAUUAAGGCCAAUCUUUUCAAUGGAUAAUUAUUUGAAGGGAAAGGAAAUUCUAUUCUUGGCCAUGUGAUUUAUAGGUUGGAUUUUAUUAAUUUAUGUUGCAAGUUUUAUGGUUAUAUAAAUUUCAAUUAGAUAUUUUAUGAGUGGGGGUUUAGAGUAGAUUUUUAAAAGAGGGAGUGGGCCAAAACUCUUAGGCCAAGACCAGCCCACAAGACCCCACCAUUCGGCCCUUUUGGCCUAGCUUGCGAAGCCCAAAGGAAAGGAGCUGCCGUCCGACCGACCCAAGGAGCCCAAUGGGCUGUCGACCAAGGGGAGAGGCCGGCCCAAUCAGCCCAUCAACCUGCAUGGCAAAAUAAACAAGUGGCAAGAGAAGCUUGCCAAGUGUCUUCCCCCUAGAGCCAAGUGGCAUUAGCCAUGCAAACCAAAUGAUUGCAAAUGAUGAAGGGGAAAGAAAGAGAGGGAGAGUGGGCGGAUUGAGAGAGAGGGAGUGACCGUCCGAGAGAGAGAGAGAGAGAGAGAGGGAAAUCGAGAGAGGGAGAGCGAGUGUGCGAGAGAAGAAGAGGAGGUUUUCCGUCGCCGUCGAGCCGCCGAGUCCCGCCUUGCCCCACCGUCUUUGCUUGCUGUGUUGUGCUCAGAUUAGAGGCAAGUAGAGUCCAUUGAUCUACCCUUUGCUUGUUGUGUUUGGUGUGUGAUGAAUGGUGAAUCUCAGAUGUGGAUGAAGUGUGAAAUUUCGAAGUUAUAGGAGUUGUGUUCUAGCCUAGUGUUCUGUUUCUGGGAAAAACAGUCCGACCUUUGAUGUUUUCGUGAGUUGCAUGCGAUGUUCUAGUUGGAAUCUAACUUCGACUUCUUAAUAAAAGUUGUAGAGGACUUCUUGGAGAAUAACAUAUCAAAAUUUGAGAGGAAGCGAACAAUUAUAGGUUGGUGAAACCAUUUUUCUUUGGAGAAGCUAGAUCUGGAAACUGUUAAGCUGAUCUAGUGCGAUUCUGUGAAUUUUCUAAAAUUAUUCGGUCCGAAUUUGAUCUCGUGUUCUUGAUAAGAGUUGUAGAAAAAAUAUUUAGGAAUAAGAUACUAAAAAUUUAGGAUAAACGGACAAGUAAUGAUUGGGGAAAACGAUUUUCUUUGAAGAGGAUGAAUCUGGACAGUGAACCGAGAGUUAGGGCGAGUUAUAAAAAUUAUAACUUUUAAUCCAGAAGGAAUUAGACUUCUAUUUCUUCAUGAGAAUUUUACCUCUAGAUCUCAGAUAUGAUAUAUUAAAAUCUCAUAAUUUUCUGAGUUCAUUUAAGGGUUUAAUAGAAAUUAUUUCCGAAACUGUGCAAAAGUGGUGCUGGAAUUUCUUUUGCUGUGAUGUGUGGAUCUAUGUGAUUGAUGUAGAACUUUAUUGACAUGUGGAUCUAUGUGAUUGAUGUAGAACUUUAUUGACAUGGUGUUCUUCACAAAAUAUAUUCCUCUGGGUAUUGUUGAAAUCAUGUUAAAUUUUCAGAAUUUAUUGACAUUGUUUACUAAUUUUCCAAGAAUUUUUACUAAAGAGGUGCAUUCUGUUUUACCCGAAAAUUGGUUCUAUUUUCAAAAACCAAUGAACUGCUUUAUGAAAUGUGAUAUUGUUGGUGUUAUGUGUACUGCAUAUAUGGUGACGUUUGGCAUAUCAUAUGACAUCAAAAAGCUGGUUUAGACCUUUGAUAUUGUUGCAUCAAAUGCCAUGUUGAAAAUGAGACAUAUAUGUGAAUAUACAUUGUGAUAAUGAUGAUACCGUCGAAGGUAUGAGCCAACGAUGCCCCAGGAGUCGGGAUGCCCAAAGGUUCGAAUGAGUCGAUACCCUUUGGAUGCCUGGUUGUAUUAUUAAUACAUGCCCAGCGGUUUUCCCCGGGAGUAUCGGGAUGCCCGGUUGUAUUAUGAUACAUGCCCGGAGGGUGAGGGGUUGUAUUAUGAUGCAUGCCCGGAGGGUAGGGGUAACCAUUUUCAUGGCGAGCCCCGAAGAUUCCUCGUGAUGCCAGGUGGGAUGCGAGAUGCCCGAAGGUGUAUGCCAGAUGCCCGAAGGUGUGUGCCUGAGGCUCCUCGCGAUGCCAGGUUGGGUGCGAGCGAUAAAUGAGGGAUGCAAACACUGGUCCCUGGAAAGAAAAAUGAUGAGAUCCUUGUGAAAGAUAAAGAUCGAGAAUUGAAUCAUGCGUAUGAAUGUGUGCAUAUGGCAUGGGAUGAACCUCAUGGGAAUGCAAGCGUGAAGUGCAUGGUGGUAUAUGCAUGUUACAUGGUGAUAUAUGCUUGGCUGCUUGAUGAUAUAUGUACAAGUACAUGGUGAUAUAUGCACGUUGUAUGGUGAUAUAUGCAUGGCUGUAUGGUGAGGUAUGUUCGAAUGCAUGGAUGAUAUGUGCUUUAUUCGUGAUAACUUGAUUGUUUAGUCUGACACAUCGUGUAGUUUGGUGGAUCUUUACUGCUAAGUGGUUGUACUCACCCCGUUUGGGGACUAACAUUUCAGACUAGACAAGAUACCUCUGCUACCCCUGCCAUCGGUAGAAGGAUCAAAUGGUUGGAUAUGACUACGAGGAGGAGGAGAGCAAAGGAAGGAACUUUUGGACGCCGACACUGAUCGAUGGACUUUAAGUAUACGACUGUUGGAGAAGACGUCACGCCUCGAUCCUCGGGCAUGCACACAUCCUUCUCACUAGGUCGAUUUUAUAAUGCAUCAUCCCAGAACUAUGUAUCGCCGACCCUUUCAUUUAUUAAGCACAUGUGGAAGCAGUUAAAAUCCCCAGACAAUAAAACGAUGGGAUAGAAAAGCAGGGCCAUAUUUUUCAUAUUGAAAUUUAUAACCAAACUUUUGUACAUAACACAAACCACUUCAUAACUAUUCACAUCAAAAUGAAGAUUUCAAAAGAAGAUAGAGCUUCAGUUCACCCGAGCCGUACUCAAGGCCCCUCUCGGGAUUAUCUUCUUCUCCCAAAAAUCCUGCUCAGACUCCUCCUCCUCAUCUCCUCAGCGGGGUCCUGAAAUGAUUUACCCAAACCGGGAUGAGACUACGUCUCAGCGAGUUCUACCCCACUAAGGCCAGAUUAGUAAACUAUUAUACUACAGGCUACCUAAACACGCAUAGGGCAGAGGACUUACCUUGGCCUCAGAUCCCACUUGCAAGUCAGUACAAUUCACAAUAGGCACCCAUUUACUCAAAACAAAUCGAACCAGUCGAUUACAUGUCACACAAAUCACUCUCCACGGAGGAGUAUCUAAAAGCGAGGACACGUGCAUUCUCUAGGACGACAUUCCAAGUCUCCGAGUCCACGUGCCUCGAACCUUGGGCCCACGUACAUUCUCUCAGGCGACCUCUUCGCCAAAGUGAUACAUUAGGUCACCGAGCCCACGUGCCCUUUUAGAUGCCUGGACCCACGUGCAUUCUCUUAGGUGCUAUCUCACCAUAGUGAUGCAUCAAUUCACCGAGCCCAUGUGCCCUUUUUACGAUGCCCGAGCCCACGUGCAUUCUCUAAGGUACUCGCUUACCAAAGUGAUGCAUCAAUUCACCGAGCCACGUGCCCUUUUAGAUGCCAAACUCUGUCACCGAGCCAUGUGCAUUCUCCAAGACGACAUACCGAGUCUCCGAGCCACGUGCAUUCUCUCAGGCGACCUUUUCGCCAAGGUGACAUAUUCAACCACUGAACUCACGUGCAUUCUCCAAGUGAUAUUCCAAUUAACCGAGCCCACGUGCAUUCUUUCAAGUGAUUACCAAUCUACUUUCAAUACCGACAACCAAUGCCCAACGAUUUCUCAAUCAAAUAAUUAAAUCAACUCAACAAAGCAUUAUAAAUGCUGAAUAACAUACUUGGCCAUUUACCAAUCUACAAUUCAAUCUCAAUCAAUUCCAAUCAAUUUAGGGUAAAUCCCUAAAAUAUCACAAUUUAUUCAAUUCCAUACAACGUGGAGCUCAAAUAAAUAAACAGACUGUGCCACGACGAUCAGCACGAGAUUUCGGUCGUCGGCCAUCAACAUCUUAAUUUCUUAAAAAUAAUUAAUUAAAUAAUUAAUUUCGAAAAUUAAAUAAUUAAUAUUAAAAAUUCAAUUUAGCUCAAAAUAAAGCCCGAUUAAAUAAACGGACUUCAUCACGGUCAUCAACAUAAUAUUCCAGUCCCGAGCCAUCUCAGUUGAAUUUUCAGAAAAUAAAUAAUUAUUUAAUUUAAUUCCGAAAAUUAAUAUUUAAAUACUAAAAAUUCCACUUAGGCCCGAAAAGCCUAAUUAGAGCCCACUAAGGGUCGGGAAAAAUCCCGAGGCACUUCCAAUAAUUAGUAGACCACGUCUACUUGUUAUUUGUGCAAUCAAUUUAUCUAAAUCGCAUCCCAAUUGACUAAUAAUUGCUAAUUUAUUCUAAUUUAACAACCUAAACAUAAUUAAUUAAAUCUAAACCAACCUUAAGCAUAAUUAGCCAACUAAUCCGGGAUUAGUGAGAUUACUCACCAAAUCGCGUGCAAAUCGGAUCAAUCCGACAGCAGCGACGCGAGGAAUGAUUCUUCCCAAAGCGACUCACGGAUCUGGGGCCCAGAAACGGCCCAAAACGAGCCCGAAGUCGCUGGAAACCCACUCGUGGGUUUGCUGGACGGGGCUGGCCGAGGCUGCUCCGGCAGCUAGGGCGGCAAGGGGAGGCCGGCGGAGGGUGAGGGGGACGAGGGGGAGGUCCGGCGGGGCUAGGCGGUGGCUAGAGGUGGCCGGACGGGGGCUAGACAGAGGCGAAUAGCGGCUGGGUCACGCGGAUUCGCUCGGGGGAAGAACGUUUGGGCGGAGGAAAGGGCUGGCGGCGCACGGCGGCGAGCGGCGCACGCACGAGCGCGGGCGCGGGCAUGCGGUGCGGCGGCGGGACGAGCGGCGACGGCUGAGGGGCGAGCUGCUGUCUCCGAUUUUUGCUUCUGGUUUCGCUUGCUCGAUCGUGCGAAGGAGAAAAAGAAGAAGAGAGAGAGAGAGAGAGAGAGAGAGAGAGAGAGGAUAGGUAUUGACUGGUCAAAAGUAAAAAGGAGAGAGAGAAGGUGGGCGGUGGGGAGGCUAUCCUCACAAAAGAAAAGGGGAGAGAAGAGAGAGAAAAGAGAGAAAAAGGAGAGGAAAAGAGAGAGAAAGAAAAGGGGGAGAGAGAGAAAAAGGAAAAAGAAAAUGCAUAAUGCCUUUAUGUCAAUUUUCCUUUUCUCUUUUCCUUUUCCUUUCUAUUUUCUUUCAGGCUUCAAUUUUCUUCUGACAAUUUCUUUAUUGAAAUUUCAGACUCGUCAACAAAUUGACGAGCGAUGAGACGGGAUCCUAAAAAAAAAAGAAUUAUGACGCGCUUAAAAUUCGAUUCCCGAAAUCGAGUUCAAUUUCGUGGUUAAAAAUCGAUCAGACGUGAUUUUAGCCAAAUCCAACUAAUUAGGUAGCUUUUAGGGAUUUUACAGCUGAUACAUUCCUUAACGGCUUUACCCAAUAGGUUAGUUAACUCGUGAGUGAUCAACUCAGAGAAAAAGGGCCAUAGGCACGUCGACGAAAUGCCCAUUUCACUUUAUCGAAAUGGGGUCGAAUUUCAGGAUGUCACAACUCUUCCCCUCUUAUAAAAUUUUCGUUCUCGAAAUUUAAAUCAUUACACUUUGAUCAAAAAGGCGGGGGUACAACUGUCUCAUCGACUCUUUAGUCUCCCAAGUCGCUCCUUCAGUGCUGUGGUGUUGCCAGACCACUUUGACCAACGGAAUGGUCUUUGUCCGCAAAACUUGCUCUUUACGAUCGACAAUCUAAACCGGGCUUGCCACGUAUGACACACGGUCAUCCACGUCUAAUUCCUCGAAAUUGAGCACGUGGGUCGGGUCAAGCUCAUACUUCCUUAACAUCGACACGUGAAAGAUGUCAUACACUUCCGCCAAACUUGGCGGCAACGCAAGACGAUACGCUAGGUUUCCGAUUCUUUCAAGAAUCUCAAACGGACCUACAUACCUCAGACUCAGUUUGCCUUUCUUACCAAAGUGCGAAGUUCCCUUCAUUGGUGAUACUUUCAGAAAAACGUGAUCACCAACUUGGAAUUCCAAAAACAUUCGACGCUUAUCCGCAUAACUUUUCUGCCUGCUCUGUGCUGUCUUUAAUCUGUCUCUGAUCACUACCACGGCAUCUACCGAUUGCUGAACCAACUUUGGGCCUGUUAUCUUCCUUUCUCCGACUUCAUCCCAACACACUGGAGUUCUGCAUGCUCUGCCAUACAACGCUUCAAAUGGAGCCAUCUUGAUGCUCUGCUGAUAACUGUUGUUGCAAGCGAAUUCCACCAGAUGAAGCUGAUCCUCCCAACUUCCUUUGAAGUCUAUUACACAUGCUCUCAGCAUGUCUUCAAGAGUCUGAAUUGUCCUCUCAGACUAGCCAUUCGUCUGAGGAUGAUACGCUGUACUGUACUAAAGCUUUGUACCUAAAGCACUCUGCAAGCUCUUCCAAAAAGUAGCAGUAAACCUCGGGUCUCUAUCAGAUGUUAUCGUAACCAACACUCCAUGCAUACGAACCACCUGACGCACAUACAGGUCUGCGUGUCUAUCCAGACUCAGGUCCUUUCGAACUGCAAUGAAGUGAGCCGACUUUGUCAGCUUGUCGACUACUACCCAUAUCGAAUUAUUCCCCCUCUGACUCCUUGGUAGUCCAGUCACGAAGUCCAUCGUGAUAUGUUCCCAUUUCCACUCUGGGAUCGCGAGAGGUUGCAGAAAUCCUCCCCGCUUGCAAUGAUGGGCUUUUACUUGCUGACAAGUCAAACACUUGGCCACAUGAUUGGCAAUGUCCGCCUUCAUACCUGACCACCAAUAGUGUUGACACAAAUUCUGAUAUAUCUUAGUGCUUCCAGGAUGAAUGCUGUAAUUGCUACGAUGUGCUUCAGAUAAAAUUUCUUCUCUAAGCUGAACAUCGUCAGGUACAACCAAACGUCCUUGAAACCUUAGAGUUCUGUCAUCAGCAAUCUGAAAAUCAGCCUUCCUUUUAUCUGCGUCUUCCUGAAGAAUUCUCUGUACGUCUGGAUCUGUCGGUUAACGUUCCUUGAUUCUGACCUGGACAUCCGGUUCAAUUCUGAGGGUGGCCAUAAAACUCGAGAGGUCGCCUACCUCGAAUUUGAAUUCUGAAUCUCGAGCUCUCUCGAUUAAGUUCCACUCCUUAACCAAGAUUUGCGCUAUUGAAGACUUCCUACUCAAUGCAUCGGCAACCUUAUUUGCCUUUCCCGGGUGAUAUAAAAUAUCAUAGUCAUAAUCCUUCAACAAUUCCAUUCAUCAACGCUGUCUCAUGUUCAACUCUUUCUAAGAGAACAAAUACUUGAGACUCUGAUGGUCCGUGAAGAUCUGAAACUUCUCUCCACACAAGUAAUGCCUUCAAAUCUUCAACGUAAAUAUGAUGGCUGCGCGUUCUAAGUCAUGCGUUGGGUAAUUCAAUUUAUGAGGUCUCAACUGCCGGGAAGCGUAUGCAACAACUCUGCCAUGUUGCAUCAGCAUGCAACCCAAUCCCCUGAAUGACGCAUCACUAUAGAUCUCGAAUCCUCCAAGACCAGAUGGAAUCGUCAGCAUAGGUGCGGUAGUCAGCUUUUCCUUCGGCUCUUGGAAACUGCGCUCGCACUUGUCUGACCAUACAAAUUUCUCUUCUUUUUUCAGGAGCUUUGUUAGAGGCGAUGCUAUCGAUGAGAACCCUUCCACAACUGUCUGUAAUAACCUGCUAACCCCAGAAAACUUCUGAUCUCUAACACUGAUGUUGGUCUUUGCCAAUUGAUCACGGCUUCUAUCUUGCUCGAGUCGACAGAGAUUCCUUCUCCGAAAAUCACAUGACCUAAGAACGCAACACGAGUCAACUAAAACUCGCAUUUGCUAAACUUAGCAUACAGCUGAUGAGCUCUUAAGGUCUAAAGCACUAAUCUCAGAUGAUCUAGAUAUUCCUUGAACAUUCUGUUUGUCAAAUCCAUGACAGCAACUGGAGUGUUCACCAAGCCAAACGAUCUUACAAUACUCUCAUAAAGACCAUAUCAAGUACGAACAGCUAUCUUUCGUACAACCUCAUUCCUGGUUCACAACUAACAACAUCCUGUUCUCAAGUUGAUCCUUGAAAACAUCGACACUCUUGAUGUCUGGUCACCCAAUUCGCCGAUCUUUUACAAUGGAUGCUUGUCCUUGAUCAUCACCUAAUUGAGUUGAUGAUGGUCGAUGCAUACUUGCAACAAACCAUCUUUCUUUUUCUCACAAACAAAACUGAUGUUUCCCCAAAAUGAUGCACUGAUAUGGAUGAAUUCCUCAUUCAUCAAUCUUCACAUCUGCAUCUUCAAUUCUACGAGUUCAGACAACAACAGCUAGUAAGAAGCCUUCAAGAGUAGCUCUAUCUUGGUGCUAGCUCGAUCGCACUUUCUAUCUCUUUCUCUGGCGGCGGUCUCACAGUUCUUGUGACAACACAUUUAGAAGUUCUUAGACCACUGAGAUGUCCUCCAUCUCUAGUUCUUCAAUCUGUCCUACCCAUGACAAUCGCGCAAGCAACCUUGGUAACCUCCGUCUAACAAACAAGUUACCUUUAGCCAAUGAAAUUAAUGAAAUUGAAGAUUCUUUUCGACUCCCCAUAACCUCGACACUUUCACAUGCUUAAUGGACUAAACUGGCUUACUCCAAGAUCGUGAUUCAUUAUCACUAGAUACUCCAUGAGAACACACUAUUCAUGUGGCAUCAAACUCACACCUCAGCAACUAGUCAAACACAACUAUUGCUAGAGAUUCCCUCUCUUUCACUUUUACAUCAACAAUUUAAGUUCUACCAACUCAUCACAAAACUUUGCUACGCUACUCUGAUAAAAUCACUUCCAACACAUUCUUUCUCUAAUCGAUGCAAGAUCCAUUCUACUCCCAUUCUUUCUUGGCCACAGUAGCGAUGCCUAUGCUACCUUGGACUUCCACUGACAAUCCUUCACCCGAUGGCCAUGCUAGUCAUCAUCACAACAUGUUCUAGUCAUACUCGGACACUGGAUUUAUCCAUACUUCCUUCUACAAUUCUGACACCUAUCUGGUGCAUCUUCUAUCUUCUGCCAAGUGACAACACACAUCAGUUUGCUAGGACCACUCCCAACCAAAUAUCCCUGCUGGCUAUACUCCAAACAAUUUCGCGUCCUAGGAAGGACAUAAGACCAAUCUCCAUUAUCACGUCCGAAACAACCUGAUCUAUUAGACUCGGUGCUGACUUGACUAUCCCACCCUUCCUCGUGAGUGGAAUAGAAUACUUUUCUCUCGAUCUCGGUCUUUUCUCUAAUCGAUUUCCAUUUCUGCCUGAACUGGAUCUAUACCUCGGCUCGAAUGCAAUGACUCGCUCUUGGAUCACAUCUCCACUCUGGAUCUCAGCAGGUGAAGCGACAACAGCGGUAAUGAUAGCGACAACAACAGCGGCUUGAUCCUGAGCUUGCCGGCUCAUCUAGUUCCCAAGGAACACUAGCAUCAAAACGAUCCUAUUGAACUUAGGAUCAUUCGACGCUGCUACACUAGUACCAACCUACGGUGGUACUCUUACACUCGAGUUGGUUAGAGCCAACACUCUGCCACAACCACCUCGGGUACCGACCUUUGUCGGUGCUUUAUCCCGAGUCACAGAGGACAUUGUCCUCUCACUAGGAGUUCUCAACUCCUACUCGCUCAUGGUUCAGUCUUACACUGCAACCCGUCUUCCAAACCCACACUGGAUUAGAAGGUGAGCGAUCCACACACAAUAAACAAUUCUAGCAUUCAGCUAACACAGACAUGCACCAACAUGAAUUUAAAGGCCUUUCCUACUAACUAUCCCAUGGUCAAUGCUCCUUAUCACUCCAAUCUUGUACCUAGCUCUGAUACCACUUAAACUGGAUGUCACGCCCCGAUCCUCGGGCACGCAAGGUCGAUUUUAUAAUGCGAUAUCCCAGGACUAUGUAUCAUCGACCUUUUCAUUUAUUAAGCACAUGCGGAAGCAGUUAAAAUCCCCAGACAAUAAAACGAUAGGAUAGAAAAGCAGGGCCAUAUUUUUCAUAUUGAAAUUUAUAACCAAAUUUUUGUACAUAACACAAACCACUUCAUAACUAUUCACAUCAAAAUGAAGAUUUCAAAAGAAGAUAGAGCUUCAGUUCACCCGGGCCGUACUCAAGGUCCCACUCGGGAUUAUCUUCUUCUCCAAAAAAUCCUUCUCAGACUCCUCCUCCUCAUCUCCUCAGCGGGGUCCUGAAAUGAUUUACCCAAAUCGGGAUGAGACUACGUCUCAGCGAGUUCUACCCCACUAAGGCCAGAUUAGUAAACUAUUAUACUACAGGCUACCUAAACACGCACAGGGCAGAGGACUUAUCUUGGCCUCAGAUCCCACCUGCAAGUCAGUACAAUUCACAAUAGGCACCCAUUUACUCAAAACAAAUCGAACCAGUCGAUUACAUGUCACACAAAUCACUCUCCACGGAGGAGUAUCUAAAAGCGAGGACACGUGCAUUCUCUAGGAUGACAUUCCAAGUCUCCGAGUCCACAUGCCUCGAACCUUGGGCCCACGUGCAUUCUCUCAGGCGACCUCUUCGCCAAAGUGAUACAUCAAGUCACCGAGCCCACGUGCCCUUUUAGAUGCCUGGACCCACGUGCAUUCUCUUAGGUGCUAUCUCACCAUAGUGAUGCAUCAAUUCACGAGCCACGUCCCAUUUUUACGAUGCCCGAGCCCACGUGCAUUCUCUAAGGUACUCGCUUACCAAAGUGAUGCAUCAAUUCACCGAGCCACGUGCCCUUUAGAUGCCAAACUCUGUCACCGAGCCAUGUGCAUUCUCCAGGACGACAUACCGAGUCUCCGAGCCACGUGCAUUCUCUCAGGCGACCUUUUCGCCAAGGUGACAUAUUCAACCACUGAACUCACGUGCAUUCUCCAGGUGAUAUUCCAAUUAACCGAGCCCACGUGCAUUCUUUCAAGUGAUUACCAAUCUACUUUCAAUACCGACAACCAAUGCCCAACGAUUUCUCAAUCAAAUAAUUAAAUCAACUCAACAAAGCAUUAUAAAUGCUGAAUAACAUACUUGGCCAUUUACCAAUCUACAAUUCAAUCUCAAUCAAUUCCAAUCAAUUUAGGGUAAAUCCCUAAAAUAUCACAAUUUAUUCAAUUCCAUACAACGUGGAGCUCAAAUAAAUAAAUGGACUGUGCCACGACGAUCAGCACGAGAUUUUGGUCGUCGGCCAUCAACAUCUUAAUUUCUGAAAAAUAAUUAAUUUCGAAAAUCAAAUAAUUAAUAUUAAAAAUUCAAUUUAGCUCAAAAUAAAGCCUGAUUAAAUAAACGGACUUCACCAUGGUAAUCAACAUAAUAUUCCAGUCCCGGGCCAUCUCAGUUGAAUUUUUGGAAAAUAAAUAAUUGUUUAAUUUAAUUCCGAAAAUUAAUAUUUAAAUACUAAAAAUUCCACUUAGGCCCGAAAAGCCUAAUUGGAGCCCACUAAAGGUCGGGAAAAAUCCCGAGGCACUUCCAAUAAUUAGUAGACCACGUCUACUUGUUAUUUGCGCAAUCAAUUUAUCUAAAUCGCAUCACAAUUGACUAAUAAUUGCUAAUUUAUUCUAAUCUAACAAUCUAAACAUAAUUAAUUAAAUCUAAACCAACCUUAAGCAUAAUUAGCCAACUAAUCCGGGAUUAGUGAGAUUACUCACCAAAUCGCGCGCAAAUCAGAUCAAUCCGACGGCGGCGGCGUGAGGAACGAUUCUUCCCAAAGCAACUCACGGAUCCGGGGCCCGAAAACGGCUAAAAACGAGCCCGAAGUCGCUGGAAACCCACUCGUGGGUUUGCUGGACGGGGCUGGCCGAGGCUGCUUCGGCGGCUAGGGCGGCGAGGGGAGGCCGGCGGAGGGUGAGGGGGACAAGGGGGAGGUUCGGCGGGGCUGGGCGGUGGUUGGAGGUGGCCGAACGGGGGCUGGACAGAGGCGAACAGCGGCUGGGUCGCGCGGAUUCACUCGGGGGAAGAACGUCUGGGCGGAGGAAAGGGCUGGCGGCGCACGGCGGUGAGCGGUGCGCGCACGAACGCGGGCGCGGGCGUGCGGUGCGGUGGCGGGACGAGCGGCGACGGCUGAGGGGCGAGCUACUGUCUCCGAUUUUUGCUUCUGGUUUCGUUUGCUCGAUCGUGCGAAGGAGAAAAAGAAGAAGAAAGAGAGAGAGAGAGAGAGAGAGAGGAUAGGUAUUGACUAGUCAAAAGUAAAAAGGAGAGAGAGAAGGUGGGCAGUGGGGAGGCUAUCCGCAAGAAAGAAAAGGGGAGAGAAGAGAGAGAAAAGAGAGAAAAAGGUGAGGAAAAGAGAGAGAAAGAAAAGGGGGAGAGAGAGAAAAAGGAAAAAGGAAAUGCAUAAUGCCUUUAUGUCAAUUUUCCUUUUCUCUUUUCCUUUUCCUUUCUAUUUUCUUUCGGGCUUCAAUUUUCUUCCGACAAUUUCUUUAUUGAAAUUUCGGACUCGUCAAGAAAUUGACGAGCGAUGAGACAGAAUACUAAAAAAAAAGAAUUAUGACGCGCUUAAAAUUCAAUUCCCGAAAUCGAGUUCAAUUUCGUGGUUAAAAAUCGAUCAGACGUGAUUUUAGCCAAAUCCAACUAAUUAGGUAGCUUUUAGGGAUUUUACAGCUGAUACAUUCCUUAACGGCUUUACCCAAUAGAUUAGUUAACUCGUGAGUGAUCAGCUCAGAGAAAAAAGGCCAUAGGCACGUCGACGAAAUGCCCAUUUCACUUUAUCGAAACGGGGUCGAAUUUCAAGAUGUCACAGAAGAUGUCGGUCAUCUUUUGAAGUAUAGCCGAGUAUAGAAGACUACGGCAUUUUGAUGUACCAAUGAAUGAUGUCCAUCUGGUUUAAGUAAAUAAAAGUGUUCGGCUUUUACCUAUAAAUGUCUUAAUUGGUGUGCAUCGUUUUCUAAAUAUAGGGAAGGGAGUUGAUGGAUGUGCUUCCGCCAUAUAAAUUGCGCAAUGACCGAUCUAAAAGAUGUAAACCCCGAGGAUUCAUGAAUUAUAAUGAAAUUCCUUGGUAUCAGAGUAUUACAUUAUCAGGUCAAGUAAAGGGUAAGCGCACUAUGGCGACCCCAACGGUUCGGGGGCCGUUUUGGGGGUACCACACCAAUACCCCAUACUAAAAUAAUAAUUAUAUAUAGUACAAACUAAGAAUUUAACUUUUCGAGAAGCUUUAUGUCCUUUCAUGUUACAAGCAAUCAGGAUUUUGGUUGAAGCCGAAAUAUCGAGCUAAACUCACCAAAGCAUGACAACAAUGAUGAGACUCUCAUAAAUAAAAACGCCAAUUCCAAAUCAAACAAAUUCUCAUGAAUAUCAUCUGUCAAAAGCAGCAACUGAAUGGAAAUAAUCUACACGCUGUAACUUAUUUCGGAAAGGGUUCGAGUCUAUUCCCUUGCUUUUUAUUACUGUCAAUUAGAAGAGUUCUUUAGAAAGCUCGCAGAAAAAGUGAAGCCAAAGAUUGUUUUAGCCCCAUCACCAUCAGGAAAUCACAGUUUGAACAAGCCAAUGGGUCGAUGAGAAAUUUUGAGAAUUCUUCUAAAAAUCUGAAUUUUUAUAUCACACAAAUAAUUGAAAGAGAAUCCCAUUCCAUGAAUCAAAUCACUUGAAACGAAAAUCCGGAUAGGAAUUAUCAAUGGACUUGUGGCAACUCACGGACAAGAGAAAGAUGAUAAGUCUCACGAAUUGUCGUGAAUAACUAGUGAUUCAAGAAUACGGAUCCUCAAAUCGACCAUUUUCCACAAAUUUGCUUGACAUGUCAAUUUUAAUGAAGACUUGGAAAAGUAAGUCAAGCAUGCUUGUCCUAAGACCAAAGUACAGUCCAAACCAAUUGAAAAGGGGAAGGGAAAAAGAUACCAAAAAACCUAAAUUUUGCCCAGUGUGACAAAAUUACCCUAAACUUUUUUUUGUGACACAAAAAUCUCAAACUUUGUCAAUUAUCUCACAUUUAUCUCAAACUAUAGGGCAUUUUCCUCCUUUACUAUUAAUUUUUUUUCUUGAUGUUUUCUUUUUCUUUUUUCUUUUUCUUCUUCUCUCUUCCCUCUGCCGGCCGUGACGGAGGGAAGCCAAACUCAGGCGAGGCUUUAUGCAGUACAAACUAAGAACUUAACUUUUCGAGAAGCUUUAUGUCCUUUCAUGUUACAAGCAAUCAGGCAUUUUGUUGAAGCCGAAAUAUCGAGCUAAACUUCACCAAAGCAUGACAACAAUGAUGAGACUCUCGGAAAUAAAAACGCCAAUUCCAAAUCAAACGAAUUCUCAUGAAUAUCAACUGUCAAAAGAAGCAACUGAAUGGAAAUAUUCUGCAUGCUGUGACUUAUUUCAGAAAGGGUUCGAGUCUAUUUCCUUGCUUGUUAUUAUUGUCAAUUGGAAGAGUUCUUUAGAAAGCCCACAGAAAAAAGUGAAGCCAAAGAUUGUUUUUGCCCCAUCACCAUCAGGAAAUCACAGUUUGAACAAGCCAAUGGGUCGAUGAGAAAUUUUGAGAAUUCUUCUAAAAAUCUGAAUUUUUAUAUCACACAAAUAAUUGAAAGGAGAUCCCAUUCCUCGAAUCAAAUUACUUGAAACGAAAAUCCGGAUAGGAAUCAAUAUCAAUGGACUUGUGGCAAUUCACAGACUAGAGAAAAAUGAUAAGUCUCACAAAUUGAUGUGAAUAACUAGUGAUUCAUGAAUACGGAUCCUCANNNNNNNNNNNNNNNNNNNNNNNNNNNNNNNNNNNNNNNNNNNNNNNNNNNNNNNNNNNNNNNNNNNNNNNNNNNNNNNNNNNNNNNNNNNNNNNNNNNNNNNNNNNNNNNNNNNNNNNNNNNNNNNNNNNNNNNNNNNNNNNNNNNNNNNNNNNNNNNNNNNNNNNNNNNNNNNNNNNNNNNNNNNNNNNNNNNNNNNNNNNNNNNNNNNNNNNNNNNNGAUGAUACAUUUAUUCCAAACUACAGGGCAUUUUCGUCUUUUAAUUUUAAUUUUUUUUCUUCUUGUUUUUCUUUUCUUCUCUCUUCCCUCCGCCUUCCAUGACAGAGGGAAGCCAAACUCAGGUGAGGCUUUAUGCAGUACAAACUAAGAAUUUAACUUUUCGAGAAACUUUAUGUCAUUUCAUGUUACAAGCAAUCGGGAAUUUUGUUGAAGCCGAAAUAUUGAGCUAAACUUCACCAAAGUAUGACAACAUUGAUGAGACUCUCAGUAAUAAAAACGCCAAUUCCAAAUCAAACGAAUUUUCAUGAAUAUCAUUUGUCAAAAGCAGCAACUGAAUGGAAAUAAUCUGCACGCUGUGACUUAUUUCGGAAAGUGUUUGAGUCUAUUUCCUUGCUUUUUAUUACUGUCAAUUGGAAGAGUUCUUUAGAAAGCCCGCAGAAAAAGUGAAGCCAAAGAUUGUUUUUGCCCCAUCACCAUCAGUAAAUCACAGUUUGAACAAGCCAAUGGGUCGAUGAGAAAUUUUGAGAAUUCUUCUAAAAAUCUGAAUUUUUAUAUCACACAAAUAAUUAAAAGAGAAUCCCAUUCCACGAAUCAAAUCACUUGAAACGAAAAUCCGGAUAGGAAUCAAUAUCAAUGGACUUGUGACAACAUAAGUCUCACGAAUUGAUGUGAAUAACUAGUGAUUCAAGAAUACCGAUCCUCAAAUCGACCAUUUUCCACAAAUUUGCUUGACAUGUCAAUUUUAAUGAAGACUUGGAAAAGUAAGUCGAGCAUGCUUGUCCUAAGAGCAAAUUACACUCCAAACUGAUUGAAAAAGGGGAAGGGAAAAAGAUACCAAAAACCCUAAAUUUUGCCCAGUGUGACGAAAGUACCUUAAACUUUGUUUUUUGUGACACAAAAAUCCCAAACUUUGCCAAUUAUUGCACAUUUAUCCCAAACUAUUGGGCAUUUUCGUCUUUUACUUUUAUUUAUUUUUUUCUUGUUGUUUUCUUCUUCUUUUCCUUUUUCUUCUUCUCUCUUCCCUCCACUGGCCAUGAUGGAGGGAAGCCAAUCUCAGGCGAGCCCCCCCCCCUCACCGACGUUGGGCAAGGGUUGACCUUGCCCAAUCUAGGGAGGGCAACCCUCCCUUGACGCACGCGAUGGCAGCCUUGCCCUGGGCUGUCGAGGGCAACCCUCAUUGGAUUCUGGUGAGGGCAUUCCUUGCUAAUUCUGGCCCAGGCGAGGGCUGUCCUUGUCAAAUCUAGUAAGGGCUAUCCUUGCCUAGGUCGAUGAGGGUUGUCUUCGCUCGACCUCACUAACCUAGGUGAGGGUAGCCCUUGCCCAACGCCAGUGAUAGCAGCCCUCGCUUGAGUCUGCCUUCCCUUCGCCAUAGCCAAUGGAGGGAAGAGAGAAGAAGAAAAAAGAAGGAAAAAAGAAGAGGAGGAAAGACGGAAAAAGAAAAAAAAUAAAGAUAAAAAAAAUAAAAGAUAAAAAUGCCCUUAGAAAUAGAGUUCAGGUUGAAUGUGUCAUAGUUGGAAAAAUUUGGAAUGUCUUGUGUCACAAAAAAAAAAAAUAAUUGGGGUAUAUUUGUCCUGGGCAAAAUUUGCGAUUUUUAGUGGCUUUUCCCAAAAUGAAAAGAUAUAUUAGUUUAAUGAAAAACUACUUUAAAGUAUUAAUUGAAAUCUACGGUUGAUUUUGGUCCUCUCGCUUAGAACUAAUAUUUAUGGAAUUAUCAUUUUCAUCUCGCUCUUUUUCAUAUUUUACUAUCUUGAUUUUUCCGUGAAUUAAUUUCAAGGAACUUGUCUUAAUAGUAUGAUACAAUAACGUCUAGUCUGACAUGGACUAUAUAUCUUUCUCAGAUAUUAAUGGGAUAUCAACAAAUCGAUAAAUUGUUUAGGCACAAACAAACAUAAGGGGGGUGAGUUUGUGAUCUAAGGAAACUUCAAAAAUUUUCGAGUGAAGAGCAUGCACUAGUGCUGUAGAGAGAAACGUGCAUAUACAAAAUACUUAUCUUCCAUCAGUGAAAGGCAUUUAAAAAUAGAAGAAUUGCAAAGCAUAUUUAUGGGACUUUGGCCUGUCCAUUUGGCUUACUCAGCUCUCUCAGCUUGAACUGUCCAAACAAAUACUGGAACCCACUAUAUAAUCCUUGAGAUAUUACUUCAUCCAAAGAUAGUUCCCUCUACUUGUAACUAGUCUUUUACAUAUAGUUUGUAUAACGUAUUGACAAAGUUUCUCUACAUAUCUUGUCAUCAAUUCAUGUGCCUACUAUUACUCUCGGAUAUUUAAAGAAUAUAAUCCGUUAUGUUCAAGAUUAGAACAUGAGGAUAAUGUUUUUGGUAGUGUGGCAUAGUAGCUCAACAACAAUGAAUUUGCGCGAUGGUCAUUGAUUGAUGACCGGUGUGGUUCUUGUCUUUUGAGUGACCAAAAGCAAGUUGGAAGUAUGGAAACGCGGGUCGAGAGCACCUAGUAUCUAGGAAUGUAAUCCCUUCAAUCGCGCAUGGCCAUGACCAUCCAACAUGUACAUAGACCGUAUGGGGAUAGAUCCAAACAUAUUAAUAUCAAGUAAUAAUCAAAGUGUGCUCCUUGACUAUAUAAGAAAGAUCAUGUUAAGUAAUCGGUUGGUGCAUAUAAAUAACCUACAUGGGACCCAAUUGAAUUUCAUAAUUUUUUACUGAACCAAAUUCUAUUCGUAUUAGGUUGAACUGCUGCCCUUGUAAGGGAGAGAAGGCACUAUAUUCUGGAAAUGAGAGAAAAGGCUUGCUAAAAUGAGUGGCCUCAUACUUGCAUCAUCAUUCUCUGAUAAUACCGAUUAUUACUCUCAUACAGUUUUGACUUAAGACCUGAGCAAAUCAAUUUGUAGUUUGAGUAUACCGACACUUAAGUUGAUCAAUUUUUCACAGAUUUACUUGAUUGGCUAGGUCAAUCAAAUAGGAAAUGAUACUUUGAAUCAUAGAACGAUAAUGAAAUAUACGAUCAACCAACAUUUUCAAUGAAGGCUUGGAAAAGUAAGUCAGGCAUGGAUAUUAAAAAUUGUUGGAAGAUACACGGCAUCUCUCAAGAUCAUUCAAUAUCGGAUCCAAUUGGAUUCCGAUUGUAAUUCCAAUUGUAGAAUAUUUACUUACCUUUUCCUUGUACACAGAUUGUAUUAUAUACAGAACAAUGUACAUUGAAUAUGCAGUGAAUACAAAGAAAAAAUUCCCAUCUUCUCUAUUCGACUACAUUAUACUCAAAUUCUUUCAUGGUAUCAGAGCAGCUUCUGAUCCCAAUCUAGCUUCCGCAUUGUUGAUCGAAUUGCCUUCCAAUUUUUUUGUUCUUGUUGCUGCGACAUUCGCAAAACAGAACAACGUCUGGGAGGAAUUCUCUUCUGUAUUCAUCUGCAAAAUAGAAUUCAUCAUGACAGACCCACAAGAGCUUACCUCGCCCACUGAAGAUCAAUCGGAAAGGAACGCAGCACCAUCAGACCCAUCCGUGGUCACCUCCAUGUCUGGACACACGCCGUGGCAACAGAUUCCGGCUCAGUUCAAUCCAGGGCUACCUCUUUCGGGGUAUCCUUAUCAGUGGAUGCCUUACCCUUGGAUCCAGGGACUAAACCCAGGUACAUCACAGCCGGGCUACCAAGGCGUGCGGGUCGAUGGAGGCCUACCUACCGAAACCGAAGCAGGCUCAGCCACCGGCCUUAAGCAGACGGGCGGAUUAGGAAGUGCGAAUAUGGGUCAGUCCUCAAAUAAUCCAGGCUUUCCAACAGGAUUUGUACCCUUUCCCUUCGCGGCCGCCAUGGGUCGCCCAGAACCCGGCGACGCGCUGUACAUCUCCAACACCGACGGACCUGAGUUGCGGCUAAUCAGCCACCCUCUCACAGGACCUGAAAAUUACUCGAAUUGGGCACGGGAAUUCCGUCGAGCCCUCAUAACAAAGGAUAAGGAGGGAUUCAUCGACGGAACCAUCCCGGUUCCAACAGAGGAAAGAUUAGCGCGACAAUGGAAAAAAUGCAACCAGUUGGUAAGAACGUGGAUCGGCAACUGCGUCAGCCAAGAAAUAGCAGCCGGGUUACCUCCGACAGAAGAUUCCAAAACAUUUUGGGAUAAUAUAAGAGAGAUGUACGGAAAACUGGAUAGGGCGAAAAUUUUUUCGCUCCAUCAAGCCCUAUCCGAACUGAAGCAGGGAAACACGUCGGUGACAACGUGCUUCAACAAGCUGUCGGCUCUCUGGAAUGAGCUUGAGGCAGCGGAGGAAAAACUCAAUGGACCCGAAGCCACCCUUCAACAGUACAAGGAGAUCAGAGACAGAGAGAAGGCGACUCGUUUCCUACUUAUUCUCAAUGAUUGUUACCUCCAUUUCAGGUCACAAAUUCUCGCGAUGGAGCCUGCGCCUUCAAUCGGGCGUAUUUUUCAACUCGCUGUGCAAGAAGAAAACCAGAGGCUCGCAUCGAUGGAGGGAAAGGGGGCGGAAACCCUAGCUCUUGCCGCAAGAGCAGAAAGGGGAUCGCAAAGGAGACGUGAAUCGAACCUAGGGUUCGCGGAACAGAAGCCCUUUAAAGGGACUGCAACGGACGGACAAGAUCGCAUGCAACGAUCGGACGGUCCAAAAGGCGCGCGAACCUAUGGAGAUCUCGACGGUGACGAUGGACUCUUCAUUAAAGGAUCCAACGGUGGGGAGUUUUCAAAGCCUCAUGGGCUGACUCAACAUGGGCCUAAUUCUUUUGGGCCUGCUUUGAAGAAUUACGGAUCAAAUUCAUAUGGGCCGAGUAAUUAUGGGCCAAAUUCAAAGGGCAAAGGAAAAUUAUAUUGUGAAUUUUGUAGACGUCCCCAUCACACUGUAGAAAAUUGCUGGAAAUUACAUGGGAGACCUGGAGAAAAAAAGGGAAAGGAAAUUUCAGCGGCAGCAUACCAGCUUACUGGACAAGGUGGUCCAAAUCAACCCAUCACUCAUGGAGAAUAUGAGCAAUUGAUGCAAGCACUGCAAAAAUUGGAUGUUCAAAAGAAAGGAAGCAGCUUUACAGGUAAUUCUCAUUGCCAAUUGAACAAUCUAUCGAGAAGUACUUGGAUAGUUGAUUCUGGAGCUAGUGAUCAUAUUGCAUGUGAGAAGGGAUUAUUUGCUACUGUUAAUGAUAAGUUGGAUAGUCCUAUUAUAGUGCAAUUACCAAAUGGAAGCAUUGCUAAAGUCACUAUAACUGGGUCAAUCAAUCUUAGUCCUGAAAUCACCCUCACAAAUGUCCUUUAUAUCCCUGAAUUCCAGUUCAAUCUUAUAUCUGUGUCUAGAGCCUGUAAGGAAAAUUCAUGUCAAAUUUCCUUCAAUGUUCAUGGUUGUCAUUUUCAGGCCCCUUUGACUGGGAAAUUGAUAGGAUGGGGUGAUCUAUCUGAAGGACUAUUUUUCUGGAGACAUUCGGCCAAGAGUUUAGAUGUUUUUCCUUAUAAUAAAUCAUUGUGUAAUUUAACUACCAGUGAUAAAAAUUUCAUUUCCCAUUCCAAAUUGGGUCAUAGUUCUUUUUUCCCAUAUCCUCAAUGUCACAUUUGUCCCCUUGCCAAACAAUCACGCAAUUCUUUUCCAUUGAGUAAAAAUCGUGCGGCCGAUAUUCUCUCUUUGAUUCACAUCGACGUUUGGGGACCAUAUCAUACACCGAAUCAUGAUGGCUCUCAUUUCUUUCUCACCAUUGUCGAUGACCAUUCAAGAGCUACAUGGAUUUUCCUUAUGCAAUUUAAAAGUCAAGUCGUGUCACAUUUAAAGACUUUUCUUUCCCUAGCAAAAACUCAAUUUGGACAAUCUAUCAAAAAAAUUAGGACAGACAAUGGAAGAGAGUUCUUCAAUUAUGAGUGUACGUCCUUGCUGACAUCUCAAGGAAUCCUACAUGAGAGCUCUUGUACUUACACACCACAACAAAACGGAGUGGUGGAAAGGAAACAUCGUCACUUGUUGGAAGUUGCCCGGGCCCUAAAAUUUCAGGGUUCUAUUCCAGAUAUUUUUUGGGGAGAAUGUGUAUUGACUGCAGCAUAUCUAAUUAACCGUAUGCCGACUAAGGUUCUUAAUGGUCGAAGUCCUUUCGAGCUUCUUUUUGGGAAGAAGCCAUAUCUUGAUCAUCUAAGAAUUUUUGGAUGUCUGUGUUACGCUUCUAUAGUUGGACCCAAGGAUAAGAUGGGUCCAUGGGCUCGCCGUUGCAUAUUCAUGGGGUAUAUGACUUUACAAAAAGGAUAUCGAGUAUUUGAUCCAUCCACAAAUGACUUCUUCGUCAGCAGAGAUGUUCAAUUUCAAGAAGAUUCGUUUCCUUUCUCUAUCCAGGAAUCAGAUGCGCAGAGAUAUCGACAUUCUGAUACUCCUCAUAUGGAAGAGCCACAUAGUGAUCAGGGAUAUUUUCUGGUUCCUUAUCUAGACAAUACAGGGACUGAUGCCAUGGGCACAACACCCUUAGAAGAAGACAUGGAUCAACACCUGGGAGAAGAGAUUGCAUCAGAAUCUCCUUCUGAAAAUCUGAUGGAAACACCAGCACUUCCAUCCCCUUCUGAGGCCAUCCAGCCAAGAAGAUCAGGGCGAGCCACGCGUCCCCCAACCUGGACAAAGGAUUACGUAUGUGGAGUAAGGAAUUCACCAGGUAUUCUCUUUCCUAUUUCUUCUUAUGUCUCCUUUGACCGCUUAUCUGAGGAACAUCGAUGUUGCAUUGCUUGGAUUUCUGAAGAACGAGAACCUUCAACCUAUCAUGAAGCAAGCACUGAUCCACGAUGGCAAAAGGCUACGGAAUCAGAAUUACAAGCACUGAUAAAUAACCAGACAUGGGAUCUUGUCAGUUUGCCUCCACCUCGCAAGCCCAUAGGAUGCAAGUGGGUCUACAAAAUCAAAUACCGAGCUGAUGGUUCUGUUGAAAGGUACAAGGCACGGUUAGUGGCAAAGGGCUUUACACAGAAGGAAGGUUUUGUUUAUCACGAGACCUUCUCCCCAGUUGCCAAAGAUGCUACGGUCCGGUCAUUUCUUUCGGUUGCAGCUUAUCAAGAAUGGCCACUACACCAAAUGGAUGUCCACAACGCUUUCUUACAUGGAGAUCUGGAUGAAGAAAUCUAUAUGGACAUACCACCAGGUUUACGGAGACAGGGGGAGGAUAAAGUGUGUCGUCUCCGCAAAUCCUUAUAUGGGCUCAAGCAAGCAUCUAGACAAUGGUAUGCAAAAUUCUCUGAGUCCUUGAUCGCUGCCGGGUUUCGACAAUCAAAGUUCGAUUAUGCUGUCUUCACAUGGACCAAAGGUACGUCAUCUAUAUAUUUAAUGAUAUAUGUAGAUGAUAUAUUGAUCAUGGGAAAUGAUGAGGCAGCUAUCAAUAGUUUCAAGCAAUACUUGCACUCCACUUUUCACAUUAAAGAUUUAGGGUCACCAAAAUAUUUCCUUGGAAUAGAAAUUGCUCGUUCAAGCCAGGGAAUAUCUCUUAGCCAGAGAAAAUUUGCCUUGGAAAUCAUAUCAGAAUCUGGAUUAUCAGGGUGUAGGCCAGCUGUAAUUCCAAUCGAGCAAAAUACCAAAUCGACCACUGCAGAGUAUGACGCUGGAAUCUCUCAAGAAGCUGACCCUAUACUAAGAGAUCCAAUGAGUUAUCAAAAACUUGUUGGGAAACUUAUUUAUUUGACCAUGACCAGGCCAGACAUCAGUUAUGUUGUGCAGACACUUAGCCAGUUCAUGCACAAUCCGAAGCAGUCCCACAUGAAUGCAGCACUCAAAGUGGUCAAGUAUUUGAAGAAAUGCCCAGGCCUUGGGAUUCUUCUUUCCAAGAAAUGUGAUAUGAAGAUGACUGCAUACUGUGAUGCAGAUUAUGCGACAUGUCCGAUGAGCAAAAGGUCAAUCACAGGUUUCUGUAUCAAGUUAGGGGAUUCUUUACUCUCAUGGAAGACGAAGAAACAACCGACUGUUUCGUUAUCCUCAGCAGAAGCAGAAUAUCGGGCUAUGGCAAAAACAACAUGUGAAGUAGUGUGGUUACAUGGAUUGCUUCGAGAUCUUGGAGUGCAGCUUGAAGGACCAACCAAAUUGUUUUGUGAUAACGAUGCAGCCAUAAAGCUUGCCUCAAAUCCGAUAGUCCACGAAAGAACGAAACACAUAGAAGUAGAUUGCCAUUUUACACGAGAGAAGAUCCAACAAGGGAUAAUUGAAACACAGGGGAUCCGAACAGAAGAACAGCCAGCGGACAUAUUCACCAAGCCUUUAUGUCAAAGCCAACACGCGUAUCUUCUGAGCAAGCUAGGUGUCUUGGACAUAUACAAGCCACCAGCUUGAGGGGGAGUGUUGGAAGAUACACGGCAUCUCUCAAGAUCAUUCAAUAUCGGAUCCAAUUGGAUUCCGAUUGUAAUUCCAAUUGUAGAAUAUUUACUUACCUUUUCCUUGUACACAAAUUGUAUUAUAUACAGAACAAUGUACAUUGAAUAUGCAGUGAAUACAAAGAAAAAAUUCCCAUCUUCUCUAUUCGACUACAUUAUACUCAAAUUCUUUCAAAAAUGAUCAAGAUGCCUUAAAAUGCCCCCUCAGAAGUACGGGUUUCUGAUUUUGGCACCGCACGACUAUUAUUCAUUAAAAUGGACUGCAUUAGCUGGUAUUAUCGACUACAUCGCUCUAGGUAUUUAUGACCUUUAUAAUUUCUUACCUUUUCAAUGACAUUAAGGAUCCAGAAAGGCAUUGUGAUUGAUCUUGCUAGUUCGAGGAUACUAAAUUUAUGUAAUCAAAAUGAUAUCUGCUCGUAAUUUUUUACCUAUGCCCAUCACAUGAAGAGGAAUCCAUCCAUGUCGUUGAGUCAAGUGUAGCUGAUGAGGUUAUGAACAAGUUUUGAUAUCUUCACUUGCAGAGCUGGCUUAUUCUACGAUACCAAUUGAAAAAUGCAAUGUGUAUAACUUUGGAGUCAUCACAUUGGAAACAAUCAUGGGAAAAUAUCUGGAAGAUCUGGAAGAUAUUAUCUCUUGGGAAUAUUCAUCAUCCACCGAAAUUGAGUUGCCAAUACUGUUGAAGGAUGUGCUAGAUCAACGUCUGUCGCCUUCUAGAGUUUGACUUCGAGAUGUGGAAGACGCGAUCUCUAUCGCACGGCUAGCAUUCAAGUGUCUGCGAGCCAAUCCGCGGCUUCGACCGUCCAUGAGAUAAGUUUCUCGGAAGUUCCGCGUUCAAGUACCCCUGGAGAUGCCAUUCUGUGCAGUCACGUUGGAGCAACUUCGUGAUCUCAAAGGCAGAAAAUUUCGAGCGUCAGAAGGAGAUUGUAAGUUUUGAAGUUAGCUUUACGGGUGCACCGUUUGCUGUUUUUUUUUCCUCCUGGGGUCAGUCUAUUUGGUAUUUAAGUCACUAGCAAAAAGUUAAUACUCUUGCUAAGAACAGUUACUUCUCUUUUGUGGGCUAAUCAGGAUUAUAAGAGCCAAUCUUAUUCGACAAUUUGGAUUAUCUUCUUAGUUCUUACCAAUUUCACCAUCUUAAUUAUUUUCACUUCAGAGCCUGCUUACCUUGGAACAUUAUUCGAUCCCUGCCGCCCGUCAGCAAUUGUACUUUGGAGUCGCGGCAUCAAAAAUAAUCACGGGAAGGCUUCUGUGGAGGUCUUACUUCACUAUGGUUUCCAGCUUGUCACAAUGAGAUCAGGAAAGAAUUUGGAAAAUGCAUCGGAUCGACAUCGUUCAAUGUAGUUUUCCAUUUCAAAAGGGAUAAUGACCCUACUAGUCAGUAAAAAUUUGUUUGGGUGUAAUUCAAACUCUAGACGAUUCAAUUAAGUCCCUCAACUUUUGUAUGUGUGCAAUAUAAGUCCCAAACUUUCAAUUGGUUCCAUCAAAUCCCUCUGCAAUUUCAAUAAAAUGACAUGGGACAUCGAUUAAGUAAAACUUAAUGUGACUCCGAAACUAGUCGAUAGUUUUAAUGUUGGAAGUUUAUGAAAAUUUCGAGUAUGUAUACCUGAUAGAACCCUCAAAAUUAGAUUAAACCAACUUAUGGGCUGGACCGCUUACGAACUGAAAGCCUAAUCUCACAUCAUGUUGAAACUAGGGGUUUGCGUCAAACUAAAAUUCACGGCGAAUUUACUUGAAUAGGUCAACAAGACCAAAACGCAAGUCGAUGACACGACAGCUUAAUUAGAGCACUAACAUAUAAUUGCCCUUGGGGUGUUAUAUCUUAUUCAAUUAUUCAAUUCCAGUGGAUGAAAUCGAGAAUAUAAUGACUACUAUAAUGAGACCCAUCAUUUACCGAGAUUAACUGGGAUAAAUCAAGACACAUCGACAUUUCCAUCGUGGUCGAGCUCAAGUUAACUGGAUUUAUGCAAAGCUCAAUAUCCAGUUCGACCUUGAUUUAGCUUUCAAUAAAUUCAAGCCCGACUAUUCGAUUCUGCAAUUAGCAAGUAAAUUUGCUGUGAGCUGGAGUCUAGCUCGAGUCUAACUCAAGUAAGAAUUGAGAGAUACUACAAAAGGGAGUAUAAAAAAAUAAUGCUGCUUUUCUAUAUAUUGUAUUUAUAGUCUGAUCAUGCGCAUGCACUCAAAUGUAAUUCAACAGCUCGAUUAGCUUGGCUCCAAAGCAAGUACUCAAGCUAGGCAUUUUCAAGCAUGAACUCAGCCCAGUUAAGAACUUCUUAAUUGCACUUGGCAAAAUUCAAAGUAUCCAUCUCGUUUCUCACGAGUAGAUUGAUUAGUUUCCAUUUCUACGUGCGACUUUUUCGUUACGUAUACCUCGAAACAAUUAUGACUUGAUCAUUACUAUCUAGAAGUGGGCAUUUCGCAUGAACAAGAUGCGUACAUUGAGUUUGAUAGGGAAUGGGUGACCACUGGCUUCCCUUUUUAUCCACCGCGAAUAAUACAAGAAGAAAUCUAUACACACUCCAAUAGGAAUGGUGUCUUUCUAAGGUUACUAGAAAUGGCACGCGCAUUGUCGGGAAAAAAUUAAAAUUUUUGUGAAAUACUUUUUUUUAGUGAAAAGAUUAUAUCAGUGGUUUAAAAAAAAAAAAAACUCUUGUGGUCACAUAUCGUGCAAUUUUCUUAUAUUGUAAGUCAAUACCCCACACUAAACUUUUUUUUUUUGAUGAUCGAGGAAUUCACCACUGCCCGCUGGUGCCCGAUCAGCACACAAUGGACGGACGCCUAUAACUCGGGGGAGGCUAGCACAGGACUCCAACAUCUUGGCCCCCCACUUACAAUGCGUUUAGCAAUGCAUGGAUUUGAACUCUCGACCUCAACGAUGAGAGAAGGACUUUAGUACCAAUGCAGUUGCCCACGGUUGGGUAGCAACGCGUUUAUUUCUAAACUUUUAAUUGUAUAUAGUACAAAAUAAUAAUUUAACUUCUCGAGAGGCUUGACAACAAUCACGAGACUUCAGAAAUAAAAACGCCAAUUCCAAAUCAAACGAACUCUCAUGAUUAUCAUCUAUUAAAAGCAGCAACUGAAUAGAAAUAAUCUGCAUGCUGUGACUUAUCUUGGAAAGGGUUCGAGUCUACUUCCUUGCUUUUUAUUACUAUCAAUUGGAAGAGUUCUUAAGAAAGCCCGCAGAAAAAGUGAAGCCAAAGAUUUUUUUGCCCAUCACCAUCAGGAAGUCACAGUUUGAACAAGCCAAUGGGUCAAGAAAUUUUGAGAAUUCUUCUAAAAAUCUGAAUUUUCAUAUCACUCAAAUAAUUAAAAGAGAAUCCGAUUCCACAAAUCAAAUUAUUUGAAACGGAAAUCUGGAUAGGAAUCAUUAUCAAUGGACUUGUGGCAACUCAAAGACCAGAGCAAGAUUAUAAGACUCGCGAAUUGACGUGAAAGACUAGUGGCAACCCAAGAAGACAAAUCCUCAAAUCGGCCAUUUUCCACAAAUUUGCUUUACAUGUCAAUUUCAAUGAAGACUUAGAAAAGUAAGUCAAGCAUGCCUCUCCUAAGAGCAAAGUACACACAAAACUGAUUGAAAAAGGAAAAGAUAUAAUGUUUUAAUGAAAAACUGCUUCAAGUAGUAAUUUUGAAAUCUACCGUUGAUUUUGGUCCUCUCGCUUAGAACUAAUAUUUAUGGAAUUAUCGUUUUCAUCUCACUCUUUUUCAUAUUUUACUGUCUUGAUUCAUCUCACGUCUAGUCUGACAUGGAAUUAUAUAUCUUUGUCAGAUAUCAAUAGGAUAUCAGCAAAUCGAUAAACUGAUUAGGCACAAACAAACAUAAGGGGGUGAGUUUGUGAUCUAAGGAAACUUAAAAAAUUUCGAGUGAAGAGCAUAUACUAGUGCUGUAGAGAGAAACGUGCAUAUACAAAAUAGUUAUCUUCCGUCGAUGAAAGGCGUUUAAGAUAUAGAAGAAUUGCAAACCAUAUUUAUAGUACUUGGGCCUAUCCAUUUGGCUUACUCUACUCUCCCAGCUCUAACAGUCCAAACAAAUACUGGAACCCACUAUAUAAUCCUCGAGAUGUUACUGCAUCCGAAGAUACUUCCUUCUACUUGUAACUUUGCUUUUACAUAUAAUUUGUAAAACUUAUUGACAAAGUUUCUCUACAUAUCUUGUCACCAAUUCAUGUGCCUACUAUUACUCUCGGAUAUUCAAAGGUUAUAAAUGUGUUUUGUUCAGGAUUCUAACAUGAGGAUGAUGUUUCUGGCAGUGUGGCAUGGAGCUCAACAAGAAUGAAUUUGCGUGAUGGUUAUUGAUUGAUGACCGGUGUGGUUCUUGUCUUUUGAGCGACCAAAAGCAAGUUGGAAGUUUGGAAACGCGGGUCGAGAGCACCUAAUAUUUAGGAAUGUAAUCUCUUCCAUCCAUCCCUCUCUACCCUCUGGUAGCGAUGUCUUUUCCAAAAACCCUAGAUCUCGGCUAAAUCUCGUCCCUUUUUCCCCUUUUUUUGGCCCCUGUUACAAAUCUUUUCACAAAAAACAAAAACCCUAAAAAAUGUUUCAUCCGCUCUGCUUAUGCUGAAUGCGGUGGCUCUCUCAGGCAGGAGCACUGGCUUAUGAGGCUUGAAUCAAGGUUGGAUCUCUCUUCCUUUUUCUACAUGUUGGCGGAGCGCUUGGGAUCCACGUAGUAGCCGUUAGUGUGAAUACAAAUCUGUGGGUGAUGUGAAUAUGAUUUUGGUCUGCACUUCUGAAAGAUAACCACUGUAGAUGUUCUGUGAAAAGCCUCUGAUUAGCGUAUGGGUCCAACUUGGAUGAGGAGAUCUACUGAAAAUAGUGUUGAGUUUUCUAUCAGCAUGAUGCUUGGAAAAAUGCCCAAGAGGAAUUUCAGCAGAAACAGAAGUAUUGACUGGUCUCUCUUGGUUAUUAAUCUCUCUAAUCUAGUCAGACAGCAUGGAUGGUAAAGAAGAAAAUGAGUUACGUGUAGCAGCAUUAUGCAAACGAUUAGGACAUCUAUGGGCUGAGGAAGAUGUGGUUGAGGUAAACCCGAAAAUAUCUUUACAAAAAAGAGAUGAAUGCAACAGAACAAUUUUGGGUAAACUAUACUCUAAACCCAAUGUCAAUUUUCCUGCAUUCUUCACAACUAUGAAGAAAGCAUGGAAAACAGAAGCAGUAGAAUGUGCUCAAAAAGGAAUAGGUCUCUUUACCUUUGUAUUUCAAUCAGAGGUGGAAAAGGAUAGAAUCCUGAAAUCUGCACCUUGGUCUUACUCCAGCAAUUUGCUUGUACUGAAACAAUGCGAGCCUGAAAUUACAGAACAUUGUUAUGACUUCUCUAGAGUAGCUUUCUGGGUAAGAAUUGGAGGUAUUCCCCCCGGUUGGAGGGUGGAAACAGUUUACCAUGAUCUAGGGAGAAAGUUAGGCCAAGUUCAGGAAAUACAGCUCGAAACCAUGGGAAACCUACAGCAAAGAGGAGGAAGAGUUAGAGUGGAAGUAGACUUAUCUACUCCUCUGAAAGCAGCCACCAUUUUGGAUAUCGGCAAUAAAUGGCUGUGGGUAGAAUUUAAAUACAAGAGAUUACCCUAUUAUUGCUACUCCUGUGGAAGAAUAGGCCACUACGCACAAGAUUGUCCAGAAAUUCCUUAUGCAGAAUCACCAUGGGCAGUCGACAAAAUUGGCUCCUAUGGACCAUGGCUGAAAGCAGAAGUCAGUGAUCAUAGCCCUUAUUGGGAGGCUUUUUAUGGAAACAUCGAAGAAGACAUUAUGGUAGAAGAAACCAUACCUAUGGCACCUUCUCCAAGUAGAGAGCAGGCUCUAACCAUACGAGAGAAAGGUCUAGAAAUGCGUCUUGAAGCAUGCAGCAAAAAAAGAGCAGAAAGUUCCAUGGAGCCGGAGAGAAUGGAAGUCCCUAUUACAAAUCAGAAGGUAAUUAAAGAUCAUGGAAAACAGAUCAUUUGCUCAAAUAUUCCCAUACAGAACCCUCUGAAAAUAGGAAAGAGUAGCAAAAAGAACAUGAAGGUGCAGAAAGCUAAGAAGCAGAAAUGCUUACCUGAACCUAUACCUAUCCUCAUUGAUGAUUCAGGCAUGACAGAGACUCCAGUGAAUUUUCUUAAUGAUAGAAAAGAUUGGGCUUUAGUGGCUAGCCCUAAUAAGCCACCAAAGACGACAUGAAAAUCAUUAGCUGGAAUUGUCAGGGGCUGGGCAACCCCCUGACAAUCCAAGAGCUAAGAGCAUUAAUUGCUCUUGAAAGGCCCAGUAUAGUUUUUCUAAUGGAGACCAAAAACAAAGCAACGAUGGUGGAAAGUAUAUGCAGGAAACUUCAAUUUCAUCACUUAUUUAUAGUAAAUCCAACGAGUAUAGCAGGGGGAUCGGCGCUAAUGUGGAAUGAGGAAGUAACAUUACAAGUGCAAAGCAGUUCAAAACACUUUAUUGAUGUCAAAUGUACUGAUCCAGCCAGGAAAUUAGUCAUGCAGAUUACCUUUAUUCAUGCGUCCACAAAUUUUGUCGAGAGGAUACAAUUAUGGCAGCAAUUGAAGGCAUUGAAGCCUCACAGUUCCAAUCCAUGGAUAUGCAUGGGGGAUUUUAACGAAAUUUUAUAUGUAUGGGAGAAGGUUGGGAAAAGGGAAGCAGAUAAUAAAAGAAUAGCAGCUUUCAGAGAUAUGCUUAAUGAGUUAGCUCUGAUGGACAUGGAUAGCCAAGGCUGUGCAUUUACGUGGGCAAACAACAGAGAAGGGGAGGAUCUUGUUAAAAAAAGACUGGAUAGGGUGUUAUGUACCUUGGAAUGGAGAGUAAUCUUUCAUGAUGUAGAAAUUCAUGCACUUCCAGCAAUAGGCUCAGACCAUAGUCCUCUUGUUCUGAGGCUAUACCAUGUACAAAGGAAAAGAAGAAAAGAAUUUAAAAUGGAGGCUUUCUGGUUGGAGAAUGAAGAAUAUCAUGAUGUUAUUCACCAUGCAUGGACCCAUACAGCCUUUACACAUACCACUUUUUCAGCUAAACUUCAGGAGACAGCCAAAAAACUGACACAAUGGAGUCAAAAAAAGUUUGCUCAUGCACCUAGCAGGAUAAAAGAGUUAACUUAGGCCCUAACAGCAUUAACCAAUCAGCCACAAUAGAACUCAAGCAGACAGGAAGUGAAAAGCAUCAUCCACCAGAUAGAUACACUAAGAAAACAGGAGGAACAAUAUUAGGGAUUGAGGUUGCGAAUUAAAUGGUUACAAUGGGGAGACAAAAAUACAAGUUUCUUUCAUGCAACAACAGUUCAAAGGAGGUGUAGAAAUCAUAUUACAAUGCUGCAAGUGGAAGAUAACAGAUGGUGUCGGGAUCCAGGAGAAAUCAGACAUCACAUCAAAGACUAUUACAGCAAUUUAUAUAAAACAGCAAGGGAACGAAAUUAUCAGCCAGUCUUAAGCCAAUGUCACUCUCCUAUUGAUGAUCAUAUAAAUGCAUCCCUGGUGGCUAAUCCCACGAUGGAGGAAAUUAAAACAGCAGUUUUUCAGUUGGGAGCCAUGAAAGCGCCUGGUCCUGAUGGGUUUAAUGCCCUAUUCUAUCAAAACGGUUGGGAUAUUAUUCAGACUGACCUAUUCCAAUUGGUGCAGAGUUUCUUUAACACAGGUGUUUUCGAUCCUCACUUAAAUCAAACCUAUAUUGCCUUGAUUCCCAAAGUGAAAAAUCCUGAGACAAUUUGUUAGUUUAGACCCAUCAGUCUUUGCAAUUUCAGUUAUAAAAUUAUCUCAAAACUACUUGCAAAUAGAUUGAAGCAGUGGCUACCAAAGAUAAUCGAACCUGAACAGAGUGCCUUCGUUCAGGGGCGUCAGAUACAAGAUAACAUCCUAAUUGUGCAGGAAGUGCUACACCAGCUGCGCAUUACCAAAAGACAAAAAAAAACAUUAGGCAAUACUCAAACUAGAUAUGCAGAAAGCAUAUGACAGAAUUGAAUGAAAUUUUGUUCGGUAUUGCAUGCUAAAAAUGGGUUUUUCCGAGAAAUGGGUGGCUCUAAUAAUGCAAUGCAUCACCACAGUAACUUUCAGUGUAAAGCUCAAUGGAGAACCUACCCCGUUUUUCAGUCCAUCCAGAGGUCUAAGGCAAUGAGAUCCCCUGUCACCUUAUUUAUUCAUCCUAAUCACAAAUGUAUUAACGUGGUUGAUGAAAAAAGCAGUAGAGGAAGGCAGCAUACAAGGUAUACAGCUCAACAGGUCUUGUCCUAAGCUCUCUCACCUUAUGUUGCAGAUGAUGUUAUUUUCUUCUUGGAUGGUACUUUAAAGGAAUGUCAGAAUCUGUCAUUAACAAUUAACCAGUAUUGUUAUGCAACGGGGCAAGCGGUUAACCUAAACAAGUCAGGCGUUUAUUUUAGUAAGAAUUGUCCCUUACCACUUAAAAGGAACAUGGCACAAGAACUGAGAGUACCUGUGUUUGACAAGACAGGCAAAUACUUAGGUAUCCCUACAGAAUGGGGACAAUCUAAGAAAGAAUUAUUUGCAUGGAUACUAACCAGAGUAAAUUCCAAGUUGGAGGGCUGGAAGGAGAAAUUACUCACCAAAGCAGGAAAGGAAGUCUUGAUUAAGAGUGUGGUGCAGGCUAUACCAACCUAUGCCAUGUCGAUCUUUAAGCUGCCAGUAUCCAUCUGCAGAGCAAUUGAAAGGCAAAUAGCUUCAUUCUAGUGGCAAAAAGGAGAUACAAAAAAAGGAAUCCAUUUGAAGAAUUGGGAAGCUAUGAAGAAAAGAAAGGAUGAAGGAGGGAUGGGGUUCAAAGACUUAAUUACCUUCAACUGUGCAAUGCUUGGUAAACAAGUCUGGCGAUUGCACACUUCCCAGGAUGCACUAUGGAGUAAAGUUUUAAAGAGUAUAUACUUUCCUCAUGGAGAUAUAUGGAGUGCAUAGAAGGGCCAGCGAUCAUCUUGGGGCUGGCAAAGUAUGCUGUUGGGGCGAGAUUCUAUUAAACCAGAUAUCAAAUGGUUAGUCGGGGAUGGCAAAUCAAUCAAAAUCAGGGAGGAUAAAUGGUUAUCACAGGAGUUAAAUGGGCGACCAGUAAACCAAGCAGAACCAACAAUAGUGGAAGGAUUGAUUAAUGAAGAUUCCCGAACAUGGAAGCAAACUCUUAUUCAUCAGUGUUUUGAGGAGAAAAUAGCAAGCAAGAUUCUAGCUAUACCCUUGAGUACAGAUCCCAAACCCGACAGCAGAAUAUGGACAGGAAACUGCAAAGGUGAAUUCACGGUAAAGAGCGGCUAUAACAGAUCACAGGCAUUGACUACCAAACUUAACUCACAGAAAGCCUCUUGUUCUUACCAGCCCCCAUGAUCUUUAUGGACACAGAUCUGGAGCCUCUCUAUCCCACCGAAAAUCCGAACCUUCCUAUGGAGCAUCUGUCAAAAUGCCGUUCCCACUAGGGAGAACCUCUACAAAAAAAAAAAAAAAAAAAGAUCAGCCCAGACCCUCUAUGUCAGAUGUGUUACACGGAAAUUGAAACUACCGAACAUCUUUUCCUAUUUUGCAGAUGGACUAAAGAGAUCUGGAGAGACAACAGACUACAGGGAACGAAUAUGAUGAAACAAAUCCAAAGGCUCGAUCAGUGGCUUCUGACAGUAUUCGAAUCAAGAAAGAAAUCACCUGAGCGUGAGUUCAUCAUAGGGGUGCUAUGGCAGAUGGAAUGCUCGAAACGCACGGAUCUUCAGAGAUAAAAACCCAAACCCGGCGAAUGUUCUUGAUCUCGCACAAACCCAAAAUUUAGCCUUCAGCAGAGGAACGAAGACAAACCCAAACCGAACUAAAAAUCAACACUUACCAGAGGAAUGGACACCACCGUGAAAUUGUGAGUUGAAAUUGAAUGUGGAUGCAUCAUGGGUACCAGGAGAAUUCCUUUGUUCUGUAGCCGGCAUCGUCAAGGAUAAAGAGGGGUGUGUCGUCGACGGAUUUGCAGCGGAGGCCAGGGUUUCUUCGGCGGUACAAGCAGAAGCGGAAGCUCUUUUACACAGGCUUCGCUUUAUCACGAAUUGGUUGUCGUCUCACGUGCAAGAGGCACGAAGUCAAGCAGUUCACUUUACUUGUGAAAGUGACAGUUUAGCGGUGGUGGACUAUGUCAUGGGCCGGGCCGAGAUACCAUGGAAUUUACGGAACAUAAUUCAAAGAUGCCGACAAGAGCUUAUUCUGUGCCAAGAUGUAUCAGUAACCUAUUGUCCCUGGGAGGUAAAUCAAGCUGCUGAUUGGCUGGUACGCGCACAUCGCUCAAAGAAACUUCCUCUAAAUUGGGUGCAUAGACCCCCUCUAUCUCUUUGGAAUAUUUUAGUUUCAGAAUGUAAAGCAUCGUCAUGUUCCAAGACUUCUUAAUCUAAUGCAUCAGUAUUUCUUUUGACCAAAAAAAAAAAAAAAAAAUCUCUUCCAUCCCUUGGAUGGUUAUAAUUGAUCAUACUAGGAUUUACUCGUAUUGAUCCAUCAAUCGCGCAUGGCCAUGACCAUCCAACACGUACAUCGACCAUAUGGGGAUAGAUCCAAACAUAUAAUAUCAGGUAAUAAUCAAAGUGUGCUCCUUGACGAGAAAUUACUUGAUGCAUGAACAAAUGUGAUCUUCUCUAUGUUAUGACAUUCACCAUGGUGAUUUAAUCCGGAAAUCACUAGAUGAACUACUAUAUAAGAAAGAUUAUGUUAAGUAACUGGUUAGUGCAUAUAAAUAACCUACAUGGGACCCAAUUGAAUUUCAUAAUUUUUGACUGAACCGAAUUCAAUUCGUACAAGGUUGAACUGCUGCCCUUCUCUUAAGGGAGAGAAGGUACUAUAGUAACUUUUUGCAAGCAACAUGGAUGACAGAUUCACCAGAGAAAAUCUGAUUGCACCCCCCACAUAAAAAGAGAAGUGAAAAUAAAAUAGAUCAUGCUAAUAAGUGUCCUCAACACACUUGUUAAACAUGUUUAAUGCAUAAAGAUUCGAUUUUCAAAAUAUUAAUUGUCUAUGUCACAAAAAUAGUCAAUGCAUUAUAUUUUGCAGUAUUUUGUUAUUUUGUUACUUAAUAAGUGUCCCUGUGGACACUAUUUAAGUAAGAUCCAAGUAAAAUUUACUCUUGUGCAAGCGGAGCAUCAACCUAGUAUAAGAGUGGGUAAAACUUGCAUGAAGUUUAGCCAUAUAGCACACUUAUGUAUGAAACUCUUUGUAAUUUGUUUUUGAUUAUCACUCUAGCAAAUCUUUCAUCCUAAUAUAUCUCUAACUCUACAUCUCUAGUCUUAUGCAAAUUUUGAUAAUAAGAUCUAUUAUUGGUAUGCUUUCAUAUAUUCUUAUCCAUAAUUCUCUAACAAAACUAUGCAUAUUUUUGGUAAUAAAUGCUCUAAUAAAGUUUUUUAUUAUUAUUAUUCUAUCCCAAAAUACCCGCAAUUUUUAUCUUUAAAGAAACUUGCUCAAAGACGAGGUUUUGAAAGAAUUUAACAGUAUAGGGAUACCUAUCUCAUAAUUGGCUCAUAUUUAACGAACAAUACACUAAAAGAUCGAACUCAUGUAAGGCUCAUAUUGGACAAUUAAAGAGUAUUAAAAUCAUAUCUGAGAAAUACUUAUAUCACAUGAUCAAUGUCGACUUGGUCACAUAUUUGAGAAAAUAAAUACAUUAGAAAAUCAAUGAAAAAAAAUCCAUAAUCACAGGACUAUCUAUCUCAUUGUUGACUUACUGUUGACACCUAAAUUUUGGCGACUCGUUUAUUCAUUUAUCACAUUAAAAAUCAGAGAUUAAUUUUUAAGCCCUAAAAAAAAACUAAUAUUAAUUGCAUAGCAUAUAAUUUUAGGUGCAUUCAUUUUAUUUUAUUUUAUUUUUUAUGGCAUUCGCAUUGGAUCGACAAGGGUGAACGGACUACCGGCCGUUGCAGCGUGGAUGGUAGAUCCUUUGUCCUCCACCGAGGAGGCCAAGGUUCGAAGCCCCUGCGAAGCAAGGAGGCUGAAGCGCUGUGUGAUGACUUAAGCGUGGCGUCUGGGUGGUAGUUUCCCCGCUAGCGACACCUAGGGGUUUACGUAGCAGCUGUCGACCAAAGCGGUUCCUCCAGCAUCAAAAAAAAAAAAAAGACAAGGGUGAACAGACUCGAACGAAUGGUUUUAAGCUUAAUAGAUACGAAGUAUUCUAUUCUUCAAUGUGAUAUUUCUUUAUUUCAAACGAAUAUCUUCGUCAAAUAUUUUGGGGAAAAAUCACAAUUGGAACAAGACCAAAAGAAAUAUUGUGUCAAUGUUCGUUCAAGAGCAUAAAAGGAAAAUUCGACCAACAAGGUAAAGGAAAAUCAAGAAAGGAGAUUGGUGCAUGUGUGUAUGGCGGUUGAGAAAGCAAAAGCAAAUUCAAUGGGAUUUUCCCAUUAUUCGAGGGAAAUAUUCAGCAAUGACUCAAAGGGAAGUGGGAGAUUCACGUACUAACGGGGGCUGAGCAUAAUAUUGACAAUAUCGAUCGGUGGAUUUCAUUCACGCCAGCCCAAGAUAUCUCUUGCCUUUUUGCAAACAGGAUUGACACAAAUAAGAAGCAAGAGACAAUCGUAAGGGAGGGGAGCACACAUUGAAUACAUUUCUCUAGUGGUUUUUUAGGUCAGAAAUUUAAAAACAAGAAGAGACAGACUUCUCCUUUUGUUGGGUUCCGUCGUCGGGGUCUGUUGGAAGGAGCAGAAAAAUAAAGUCAGAAAAAAAAAAAGAAAGCAGACAGAGAGGAAAAAGCAGAAGAAGUACAAUCAGCAGGGGUGUGAGGGGACGUUUACUGUUCAUCAUCCCCCCCCCCCCCCCGGGGCGCAAACACUUGCUGCCCGCGCCUGCAUCUGGUCACAGUCUGGUCACAGUGCGACACUUACCGCCCGUUUCUGCUCUCCCUCUGCCGGUUCCGCUUCUGCCCACGACCCAGCCGCGCCACCGCACCUCCGUGCCAGAUCCCUUCACCGGCGCACCACCGUGCCCGCGCUCGCACCACCGCGACUCGAUACCAGCAGCGGAGGCGCAACUCGAGGCUCGAAGCCACCACCGCGUGCCUCCAGCCCCUGUCGCAGCAGCAGCCCGCGAGCUUUCCCUGCUGCACCUCCACCCUUCGAUCGAUCGUGCCUCCGCUGCAGCCCGUCCUUGCAACUCCACAGCCGCGAGCGUCGCUUCGCCCGCGCCUCAGCCGCCUUGCAGCAGAUCCCGAGUCUCUUCUGCCGCGCCUGCCUCACCGCCUGCUCAACCCAGCACUCGAUGCGCCGACGCGGCUCGGAGUCGAAGACCAGCGAACGACGUCCUUGCUAGCCUCACCUGCAACCCGGGAGACUGGCGAAGCCGUGGCUGCCCCUACUCUGUUCCGGGCUCCCCUGUUGCCCGAUCUCUUCGCCGCUGGUCUCUGCGCCUCUUCGGAGCUCCGAACCUGUGAGCCCCUUUCGCCGGCCACCUCGCCAUAGAAGCUAGUCCCGUUUGCCGUCGCUGCUCCCGCUUGCACUCGCGCGCCUCCGUUUCUGCUCCGACGACCCGGCGUUACUCCUGCCCUGUUCGUUGCUGCCGAGUCCCGAGCGACCCACCAUCGCCAGCUGCUGCCCCUUUCCGAGUAUCUCCGCCUUGCUCGCUGCUGGUCCGUCCGCCGCCGGUCCUCACGGAGCUCCGGUGACCCACCAAGCCGUCGUUCGUUAACCCUAGUUUAGGAGCUAAAAUCCCAAUUAGGUAGAUUUCUUAUUUUUAUUUUAUUCUUUCGUUAUUAUUAUCAUCAUUUAUUUUGUUUCCUUAUUUGAGAUAUUUCCCUAUGCAUAAUUGAAAAUCCUAAUAUAUCGCAUGAUUCGCAAUCGCGUCAUGAUUUUUUAUUUCAUUUAUAAGGCUUUAGAUGAAAUAAUUAAUCAAAUGGGAAUAAAAUUGAUAUUUUGAUCUUUAAGGCUUAAGAUCAAUUUAUCGAUUUUACUAGCGAAAUAUUAUCCUUUGAGCCGAACGAUAUGUAAUUUUUUUUGAUGAUUUUGAAUGGCUUGUCUUGUCUUGAUUGCUUCAUUUUGAAAUAUGUUUGAGUUAGAAUAUUGCAUGAUUUAGGCCUAUUUGCAUGUUUAGAUUAAGCAUUUUGUUUAUCAUGAAUUUUCGAAAUAAAAAAUGAAUCUAAAAAAAUGAAUCUAGGAUGUUAGAUUUUUGUUAGCUUAAAUUGCAUGUUUAAUUAUUUGACAUUUUAAAUUAAUUAAAAAAACAAAAACAAAAAUCAUCACGCACAUGUCAUGUUGAAUUAGGGCAUCAUUUGCACGUCAUUGCACAUUAGAAUAAAAUUGCAUAUUUCAUUUUAAGUUUAGAUAACUUUUUAGAUAGAUUGCUUUUUAGUUAGGGAUUUCUAAGUUAGGGUAACAUCCUAGUUUGAAUUAGGAUUUGACUUAACUUCAUUCCUGAUACAGAUUAGAGGAUAUCUUAAUCUAGCUAGAUGAUUUUCACAUCUUUUUAAUUCCGAAUUACAUAAAAAAAUACAAAAAAAAUGUCUUAGAAUAAAUUAGUUUUAUUAUUUAGGAUGAAAUGUAUUCUUUUAGGAAAAAGAAAAAAUGUCAUAUGCACGUCAUUAGGGUUAGAUUCACUGAGAUGCAUGUUAUUUAGUAUUUUUGCUAGGCCCUUACCUAUCAUUAGAAUUAGAUCAUUUAUUUAUAUUGCAUUGCAUAUUGCAUGAUUUUCAUUAAAUAAGUGAAAAAGAAAAAACAAACAAUUGUGUGUUAAUUAGAAAUCAUAUCUAGGGUUGUUGAUGUGAAUUCUGAUCUAACAUUGCAGAUGCUUUUGUUGCUUCGAUGUAAGUUCUGUAAUUUAUUCAUCGCUUUCUUGGGUGUUAAAUUGGUGGUUUGCGCAUCCGCAUGAUCACAUCACAUGUUAUGGAAAUAGAUUUAAAAUCAAUUCAAGCUGCUUGCCAAACAUUUUCCAAAAUAAAAGAUAAAGGUACCGAAAGGGCAUUAGAGAAAUCUAGCGUAAAGUAAAACUCAUGUUACUUUACUUGGGUUUCUAAUCGACCCACCAAAAAUAGAUUAGUGACGACUCAUAAUUUAAAAAAAAAUUGCAUGCUAAGAUCUGAACCUAAGUCGCGAGUUGGUAUGGGCUUGGGAGAGCCUGAGUUAAGUCUAGGCUUAACAAUCCAUUAGCCAAAUCCUGGGUGGUUCACAUCACCCAAAAAUUAGGUCGCGACACUUACAUUUUAGAGUAAUCUAUUUGAAAGAUCAAUCUCAUAUUAGCUUCAUAUUUGACAAACAAAUAAUAUUAAAAUCAUAUUUAGAGUAACAUUACAUGAUCAACAACAUAUUGAACAAUUAUGGCAAACAAAUAAUAUUAAAAUGACCCGGGCCUUUACUUAUUGUAUUUAUAUUUACGCACUUCGGCCGGCAGCAUUUCUUGUUUCUUGGUCAAUCUAGAUUCAUGUAUUUUAAAUCCCAUUGCUCGCAUGAUUUUUCUUGCCGUCAACUCCAAGAACCUUCAAAAUUGAGCGAGUGGCUCAUUCUAGAUUUCAUUUGCAGAACCCAAGCUCAAUCCCGUGCCUUGACUCGGUCGUCAAUUGUCUGAGAAGAAUCAAAGCGGGUGAGUCCAAAGUCGAUUAAUGUUCCAUUUGUACGUGAAGCUUUGCAGGUCCUAGUUUGUUGAUGUGUUCAGUGUAGACUAUUCAAACUCUUAUUGCUUUGAUCCCAAAACUCCCUCACCCUGAGAGUCUUGAUCAAUUUCGCCUUAUUAGUUUAUGCAAUUAUGCCUAUAAGGUUAUCUCUAAAGUGCUUGCAAAUAGACUGAAACAUCUGCUACCAACUCUAAUUUUUGAGGAACAACCUGCUUUUGUGGGUGGGUGCCAGAUACAAGAUAAUAUCUUGGAGGUUUUACAUCAACUUAGAUCUAUAAAAAAAAAAAAAAAAAAAAGAAACUCUUGCGGAGUGUGAUAAAAGGAAUAGUAUUGCUGACAUGAAAAGAUAAGAGACGAGAGAACGAGACUCAUUAGCUUCUUGGUCCAAGCCAUGAUAACAUCCUUCCCACGAAUAGUAUGUCAGCUAAUACUAAUGCAUAGCACAGGUCUUUUCUCGAUAACAUGAUCAUUUUCUAUACUCCGACAAUUUAAUGGUAACGCAAAUUGAUAGAAAAACAAGACGAGAUAAUUUCUGAAUUACACAGAGAAAGAUUUAUGAUGUCUUAUGCUAAUAGAAAUUGAUGUGAAUUACAAACACUAACACACAUUGUCAAGCUUAGGUGAAAAUUUAAAUUAAAUAUUUUGCCAAUAUAUUUUUUAGAAAGGAUUUUCAUGAGGGAAACAAAACUUUACAUACGAAAUGGUGGACCGCACAAACCAUUAAAGCGCGUUGUGUUAAAAAAAGGAUAGGGGUUGUGUGGUUAAGAUGAACUCUGGACAUACGUGACAAGCACGCCAUAUUAACUGUUUCAAAACGACAGCGAUAUAUGCAUUGUCCAUGAUUGAGGCUCCAUCUAAUAAUGAUUAGCUAUCUAUAAAUAUCUUAUCAAUCGUGUUGUUGAGAACAUGCGAACCUGGACAAUCUCACAUCGUCAAAACCACCCUAGAAUCAUGGCCUCUCCCUUAAUUCUAUGGAAGCCGUCUUCUUUAGGAGUCUUCUUCUUAUUCUACUCGCUCUUCUUCGUAAACAACAUCACCAUCUUUGUUUCCACUCCAUUUCAUAAGUCUUUUCUCAAUAUUAUGAUCAUUUUCUAUACUCCAACAUUUUAAUGGUAACGCGAAUUAAUAGAAAAAUAAGAUGAGAGAUAAUUUCUAAAUUAUAGAGAAAAAGACUUAUGAUGUCUUAUGCUAAUAGAAAUUGAUGUGAAUUACAAACAGGUUAAUUUAACCAUAAACAUUUUCACUUUCAUAUUAAUUCAAUUCAUCCAGCCAAUUUAAAUUAGAAAUUACUCACAUAAAUACUGGUAAUAAUACGUGGCAUAACCGAUGUUGAAGUGGAUAUUUUUUAUAAUUUUUAUGAUCUUUUUCUUUCUUCCUUUGUUUUUUUCUUCCUUUGUUUUUAUUUCUCUAUUCUUUUUGUUGGUAGCCAGCAAGGGCUGGUAGUGCCUAGGUGAGGAUCGCUCUUGCUAGCCAUAGGCAACAGUCAAUCUCACUAAGUUGCGCUUGAGCAAGAGUUGGCCUUGACAAGGCCCAGCUUUUAUCAUAUUUAUUUCAUUUUGUUUUCCACAAAUUCAAAUCAUUGAAAAAGAGGACAUAACUCCUUUUCUAUUUUACUUCUCUUGUUUGUUAUGUAUCAUAAUUAAUGGAAACAUAAGAGUGGUCAAAUGAUACGUCAUCAAAUGAUUGUUAGGAAGGUGGCAGCUUACAAAAAAACCAAGAAUGAAGAAUGAAAGGAAGGAGAAAUUCAAAUAAAAAAGAAAAAUAAAGUGAUUGGGGGUAGGAAUCCAAUUUUGGAUUUGGUAUGGAUAAAAGAUCCCUGACUUAGGCGAGGGUUGGCUCGCCAAUGCUUAACCCUCUUUUCCUCUUUUCCUCCAGAAAUUCCUUUUCACAAAAUCUAUUCUUUUUGCUUGUCGAACUUAGUAAUAUAAUCCACAAAGGAGUAUCUGGAGGAUUUAGCCUUUGGGCGUCGUAGAAACGGCAAGGUUGAUGACAAGUGGAACUUCGAGGUCAAGAGUUUUGAGUAGAAGAGGAGUAGGGUUUAAGGUUGAAUACGAAGAAGGAAGUGACAAAAAAAUCAAAUCUUGGCAGAAUUUAUGCUUUCUAAAAUCGGCCCUCUAUACAUAAAGAUAUGAUUCAUGAUAAUAACAAUUCAUGAAUCGUGUCGAUUGAAGUAACGUGUCAGGAAGCUAUGAGGUAGCAGACUGCACAUAGAGUACAAAGCUUCAGAGGUACAAUAUGCAUUAGUUUUGUCCGCGAAACAAAGACCCACAUAUUUUGGAUAUUUUAAAAGAAACCAAAAUUGCUUUUAAUUCUUUUAAAAGGAGGCAUAUAUUUGCACUAAAUAUAACCAGGUCAUCAAUAUGGAUAGGCACACGACUCGAAUACAAGUUAUUAUUUAAUGCAUGAGCCAUCGUUGACGGCCAUAAAAAUAGUACUUAUAUCAACAUACAUCCACGACCAUUAAUCAACUGUCAUUAUAAGACAGCGUACAAUUGAUGAUGAUGAACAUCAUAGUAGAAUUGGUUGGCAAAGAUACCAAUUAAAGAGAAUCACUUAUUGAGAUUGCGAAUAGGGAAGUAAUAUAUGAGAAGUGCCAAAAAACAGUUAUGACAUUCCAAAUUGAAAUCAUUUAUGGAAGAGACAGAGUUAAAGUUUAGUAGAUCAUGGGAAAAAGAUUAAGUUCAAGCAAGGGUGAAGGAUCAAGGUGCAAUUUUUAAGGAGAAACCACCUUAACACAAUAUUGUGGUGUCAUCGGAAUAUAGGAUCGAGAUCCUCAGCGAUAUGGAGGCAUGACUAAAACCACAACGAAACUGCUUUAGAGUGGUUAUGUCGCAGGCAUUAUAUUAUGCUAGUGCUCAACUACUAGAGACCACCUCCCUCUCUAUGCUCGGUGCACAAACAAAUAAUAUGUUAUCAUCCAAACCAUUAACCGCUAUUGAAAUUCAAUCAUCCAAACCAUUAACUGCUGUUGAAACUCAAUCAUCCAAACCAAUUCAUACAAAACAGGUCAAUUCUGAAAUUUAUUGCUCAGUGCAUUGACACUUGAGAUUUCACUAAAUGUCUUCAUCUAUCGAAAACCUUUAUCUGAUGGUAUAUGAAAGAAAAUUUUUAAUCAUAUAUGUAUUAUCAUUUGAAGUCUCUUUAAUAUAGUAUCCUUGUCUCUGCUUUUGCAUCCAAUAUUUUAUUUAAAAAAUGUGAGAUUGUCAUUGGAUAAUUGUAUAUUUUUCACAUCUUUAUGUUACGGUUAUAUAUAAAUAUUACAGUAAAACCCGUUUGAUUGUGAGCUACGACCUUUUUUCAAUGAAUUGUAAAGGUAGAGGUGAUCCGUGCUCCGAUUAAGGCAUCCAGCCUAAAUUUUCACUGAAGUUCCUCCAUCAUAAAAGUAUGCUUUACGUAAAUAUUCUGCCCCACCAUGUGUAACACGAGGAGAGUCCAUGACUCGCGAGUGAAGACCAGCAAAAGUAAGUCGGGAAUUUUAUCAGUUAAAAAAAGGAAUAAGAAUCAAAGUGGGCUCCUGACGAGAAAUUACUUGAUGCACGAGCAAAUGUGAUCUUCUCAAUGGUAUGACAUUCAUCAUGAUGAUUUUUUCUGGCAAUUGCUCGAUCAAACUACUAUAUAAGAAAGAUUAUGUCUAGUAACUGGUUAAUGCCUAUAAAGAACCUACGUGGGACUUAAUUGUAUUUCAUAAUUUUUGACUGAACCGAAUUCAUUUCGUACAAAUAUCAGGUUGAACUGCUGCCUCUGUAAGGGAGAGAAGGUUUUACAGUCUGGAAAUGAGAGAAGGAAAGCUAUAAUGUUUGGCCCCGUGCUUGCAUCAUCGUUCCUCCGAUGAUAUCGACUAUCACUCUCAUAGACUUGCGUCGAUUGAAGACUUGAGCAAAUCAAUAACUUGGGAUUUAAGUAUACUGACACAUAAGUUGAUCUUUUUUCCACAAAUUUACUUGACUAACUAGGUCAAUUUUAAUGAAGACUUGGAAAAGUAGGUGGAGCAUGAAUAUUGAAAAAUGAUCAAGAUCCCAUAAAAUGCCCUCUCGGUCAGCAGAGCAAGAUAACAAAUAUGAUUGAGAUUCAUCAUUUUGUUCUGUUUACAUCAUCCCCGUAUUUUUGAAUGUUUGCUAAAAUAAAAGAAAAUAAGGAAAGAUUUAUCUCACAAUUUAUUGUCAAUGCGGGAAAAAAAAAAUCUUCACGACAAGGCCCAAUUUGCCCCUUCAUUUGAUGGCACUUGAAGCCUACAAGUGGAGUAACUUUUUGCAAGCAACAUGGACGGCAUAUUCACUAGAGAAAAUCUUACUGCGUUCCCUACUUAAAAAGACGAUGUGAAAAUAAAAUGAAUCUAGCUAACAAGUGUCCUAGAGACACUUGUUAAACAUGCUUAACGCAGAAAGAUUCGAUUUACAUAAUAUUGAUUGUGUAUGUCACGAGGUGCAUUAUAAUUUGCGAUAUUUUGUUAUUUUGUUACUUAACAAAUGCCGUGCAGACAUUCUUCAAAUAAAGUCCUAGUAAAAUUUAUUCUUGUACAAACGGAGCAUCAACCUAGUAAAAAGUGAGUAAAACUCCCGAGAAGUUGAGCCAUAUAGCAUGCUUAUGCACGAAACUCUUGGUAAUUUGUUUUUGAUUAUGACUUUAGCAAAUCUUUAAUCCUAACAUAUCUCUAACUCUACAUCUCUAGUCUUAAGCAAAUUUUGAUUAAAAAAGUCUAUUAUUGGCAUACUUUCAUUGUAUUUUUAUUCAUGAUUCUCUAAGAGAACUACGCAUAUUUUUGGUAAUAAAUGCUUUAAAAAAGAUUUUAUAUAUAUAGAUUUUAUCUCGAAAUGUCAGCAAUUUCUAUCUUUAUAUAAACUUGUUCAAGACGAGAUUUUGAAAGAAUUUAACAGUCUAAGGAUACCUAUCUUGUGAUUGGCUCAUAUUUAACAAAUUAUAUAUUAAAAGACAAUGGGCUCUUAUUUGACAAUUAAAGAAUAUUAAAAUCAUGUCUGAUAAAUAAUUAUAUUAGAUGAUCAAUCUCAAAUUGGUCUGAUAUUUGACAAAUAAAUAUAUUAGAAAAUCAAUGAAAAAAUCCAUCAUCGCAGACUAUCUAUCUCAUUGUUGACUCACAUUUUAGAGUAAUCUAUUUGAAAGAUCAAUCUCAUUUUGGCUUCAUAUUUGACAAAUGAAUAAUAUUAAAAUCAUAUUUAUAGUAAUAUUACAUAAUCAAUAACAUAUUGAACUAAUAUUUGGCAAAUAAACAAUAUGAAACGACCUGCGUCAUAUUGUAUUCAUAUUACGCACCUCAGCCACCAGCAUUUUAUGUUUCUUGGUCAAUCUAGAUUCAUGUAAUUUAAAUCCAAUUGCUCGCGUGAUUUUCUUGCCAUCAACUUCAAGAACCUCAAAAUUGAGCGAGUGACUUAUUCUAGAUUUCGUUUGCAAAACCCGAGAUCAACCCCGUGCCUUUACUCAGUUGUCAACCGUCCACAAAGAACCAAAGCGGAUGAGUCCAAAGUCGAUUAAUGUUCCAUUUGUACGUGAAGGUUUGUGGGUCCUAGUCUGUCGAUGUGUUCAGUGUAGACUAUUCAAAGUCUUGUGGAGAUAAUGCCGGUCUUCUGAGCAAAAUGCGAUAAAAGGAAUACUGUUGCUAACAUGAUAAUCUCUGUACAAAAUGCUAACAUGAAAAAAAUAAGAAAUGUGAGGACGAGACUCAUUAACUUCUUGAUCCCCGCCAUGAUAACAUCCUUCCCACGAAUAGUUUGUCAGCUAAUAAUAAUGCAUAACACAAGUCAUUUCUCGAUAACAUGAUAAUUUUCUAUAUUCCAACGGUUUAAUGGUAACGUGAAUUGACAGAAAGAUGAGACGAGAGAUAAUUACAGCAAGAAAGACUUAUGAUGUCUUAUGCUAAUAGAAAUUGACAUGAAUUACGAACACUAACAUGAAUUGUCAUGCUUAGAUGAAAAUAUAUAUUAAAGAUUUUGCCAAUAUAAUUUUUAGAAAGGAUUUUAAUGAGGGAAACAAAACUUUACAUACGAAAUGGUGGAUCGCACAACCCAUUAAAGCAGGUUGCGUUAAAAAGGAUAGAGGCUGUGUGGUUUAGAUGAAUUCUGGACAUACAUGACAAGAACUCCAUGUUUGACUGUUUCAAAACGAUAGCGAUACAUGCUUUGUCCAUGAUUGAGGCCUCAUCUAACGAUGAUUAGCCAUCUAUAUAUAUCUUAUCAAUCUUGUUGUUGAGAACAUGCAAACCUGGAUAAUCUCACAUCGUCAAAACCACCCCAAAAUCAUGGCCUCUUCCUUAUUUCCGUGGAAGCUGUCUUCUUUAGGGGUCUUCUUCCUAUUCUACUUGCUCUUCUUCGUAAACAACAUCACCAUCUUUGUUUCCACUCCAUUUCAUGGCAUAGUCGUUUUUGCUUCCUCCAUUUCUUUCGCUUCCAAUAUGACCAACCAUACGGAUGAAGCAAAGACUCUCCUGAAAUGGAAAUCUAGUCUCGAAGACCACAACCAAUCUCUCCUGUCUUCAUGGCAAGGUAACAACUCUUGCCACUUCAUGGGUGUCACUUGUGACGACAAUGGAUUCGUUGCCCAUCUUAAUCUUUCUAAUCUCGGCCUGAGAGGAACUUUAAAUAGUCUUGACUUCUCGCACUUAACCAAGGUGGUUAGCCUUGACUUUUCCAGCAACUCGAUCUAUGGUGCUAUGACCUCAAGUAUUAGUAACCUUUCCAAACUCAAGUAUCUUAAUUUUUGUGACAAUAGAUUGAGUGGACACAUUCCUUGGGAGAUUGGAUUGUUAGAUUCUCUUUCUGAAGUUUCUUUUAGCAAAAACAACCUCAAAGGUCCUAUCCCUACUUCACUUGGAAAAUUAGGCAACUUAAGAAAUUUGAGCCUAGCAAAGAAUGACCUUUCUGGUCCCAUUCCAAGAGAGAUAGGUGACCUAAGAAGAUUGAAGUUUCUUUACUUAUGGAUGAACCAACUUUCGGGAUCCAUACCUGCAGAGAUUGGGAGGCUAACCGGUCUUAUUGACUUAGGAUUUUCUGAUAAUAAGUUGGUCGGGCGUAUCCCUGCUUCACUAGGAAACCUAAGCAGUCUAAAUGUCCUCUAUCUUUAUGGAAACCAACUUUCGAGAUCCAUACCUUCAGAGAUUGGGAGGCUAACCAAUCUUAUUGAAUUAGAUUUUUCUGAUAAUAAGUUGGUCGGGCAUAUCCCUGCUUCACUAGGAAACCUAAGCAGUCUAAAUGUUCUUUAUCUUGACAGAAACCAAAUUUUAGGGUCCAUUCCUCCUUCUCUUGGAAAAUUAGGCAACUUAAGAAAUUUGAGCCUAGCAAAGAAUGACCUUUCUGGUCCCAUUCCAAGAGAGAUAGGUGACCUAAGAAGAUUGAAGUUUCUUUACUUAUGGACGAACCAACUUUCGGGAUCCAUACCUGCAGAGAUUGGGAGGCUAACCGGUCUUAUUGACUUAGGAUUUUCUGAAAAUAAGUUGGUCGGGCGUAUCCCUGCUUCACUAGGAAACCUAAGCAGUCUAAAUGUCCUCUAUCUUUAUGAAAACAAACUUUCGGGAUCCAUACCUUCAUCAAUUGGGAGGCUAACCAAUCUUAUUGAAUUAGAUUUUUCUGAUAAUAAGUUGGUCGGGCAUAUCCCUGCUUCACUAGGAAACCUAAGUAGUCUAAAUGUUCUUUAUCUUGACGGAAACCAAUUUUUAGGGUCCAUUCCUCCUUCUCUUGGAAAAUUAGGCAACUUAAGAAAUUUGAGCCUAGCAAAGAAUGACCUUUCUGGUCCCAUUCCAAGAGAGAUAGGUGACCUAAGAAGAUUGAAGUUUCUUUACUUAUGGAUGAACCAACUUUCGAGAUCCAUACCUUCAGAGAUUGGGAGGCUAACCAAUCUUAUUGAAUUAGAUUUUUCUGAUAAUAAGUUGGUCGGGCAUAUCCCUGCUUCACUAGGAAACCUAAACAGUCUAAAUGUCCUCUAUCUUUACGAAAACAAACUUUCGGGAUCCAUACCUUCAGCAAUUGGGAGGCUAACCAAUCUUAUUGAAUUAGAUUUUUCUGAUAAUAAGUUGGUCGGGCAUAUCUCUGCUUCACUAGGAAACCUAAGCAGUCUAAAUGUUCUUUAUCUUGACAGAAACCAAUUUUUAGGGUCCAUUCCUCCUCUUGGAAAAUUAGGCAACUUAAGAAAUUUGAGCCUAGCAAAGAAUGACCUUUCUGGUCCCAUUCCAAGAGAGAUAGGUGACCUAAGAAGAUUGAAGUUUCUUUACUUAUGGACGAACCAACUUUCGAGAUCCAUACCUUCAGAGAUUGGGAGGCCAACCAAUCUUAUUGAAUUAGAUUUUUCUGAUAAUAAGUUGGUCGAGCAUAUCCCUGCUUCACUAGGAAACCUAAGCAGUCUAAAUGUCCUCUAUCUUUGCGAAAACCAACUUUUGGGAUCCAUACCUUCAGCAAUUGGGAGGCUAACCAAUCUUAUCGAAUUAGAUUUUUCUAAUAAUACUUUGACUGGUUCAAUCCCUUCAUCAAUUGGAAGCAUGGUCAAUUUAAUUGUGUUAUGCCUUAGUGAUAACAACUUUCUCGGUAUCUUGCCUCCUGAAAUUAACAAGAUUAUUCAUUUGAGUGUUUUGGAGCUCUCUGAUAAUGAACUCGAAGGGCAGCUGCCAGAAAAUAUAUGCCUGGGGGGGAUUAUUGCAAAAUUUCACUAUGGAGAAUAAUCAUUUCACAGGUCAUAUCCCUAAAAGCUUGAGGAAUUGUACUUCAUUAUAUAGAGUGAGGCUCGAAGGAAAUAAACUUACUGGAAAUGUAACAGAAGCUUUUGGAGUAUAUCCGCAACUGAAUUUUAUGGACUUGAGCCACAAUUAUUUGCAUGGUGAACUUUCAUGGAAAUGGGGGCAUUGCCACAAUUUGACGAGCUUAAGGAUAUCGAACAAUAAAAUUUCCGGUGAGAUACCCUCGAUAUUCGGAAGGAUGGCUCAAUUACAGUUUCUUGACCUUUCUGCAAAUAAUUUAAGUGGAAAGAUUCCAAGGGAGUUGGGAAGCUUGCACCUACUACUAGAUCUUAUCCUUAACAACAAUGGGAUCACAGGUGAUAUUCCCCAUCAAAUUGGAUUUUUAUCUCGACUAGAAUAUCUCAACCUAGGAUCAAACAAUUUGAGCGGAGCCAUUCCACCGCAGCUCAGCCUAUGCACCAACUUGCUGAGCUUGAACUUGAGCCAAAAUAAAAUUGAGAGAAGCAUUCCUUCCGAGAUAGGCAAUGCGCAAUUCCUAAGGGUUCUUGAUUUGAGUCAAAAUCUAUUGACAGGAAGAAUACCACCAAAUCUAGGAAAAUUGAGAGUCCUAGAAACCCUAAACAUCUCCCACAAUGGCCUCUCUGGUUCCAUCCCAUAUAGUUUUGCUGACUUAUGGGCAUUAAUUUCUGUUGAUGUGUCCUACAAUGACUUGGAAGGUCCUCUCCCAAAUGUCAAAGCUUUUAAGGAGGCUCCAUUUGAGGCAGUUCAGCAUAACAAGGGGUUGUGUGGGAACGAGACUGGAUUACAGAAAUGCAAUAUUUCUACCAUGAGCAAGAAACACAAUCAACAUGGCGGGGCUAGAAUUUUGAUUAUCCCCGUUCUCUCAUUCUUGGGAUUCCUCAUUCUCUCUUCCUUCUUGAUCGUCCUCAUAAUCUUUAAUUGCCAUCGGAGAAAGAUUAUCAAGAGAGAGAGAGAGGAAUGUAUUGACAGAGACUAAUGAUUUAGAUUUCAUGCACAUUCUGAGUUUUGAUGGCAAAAUUUUCUAUGAGAGAAUCAUGGAGGCAACAGAAGGAUUUGACUCCAAGUAUUAUUUGGGAGAAGGGGCCUAUGGCGUUGUUUACAAAGCUGAUCUGUUGCAGUCAAAAAAAUUACAUCGUCCCAGGAAGAUGAGACCGUCAACAUCAUUCCUUUUGAAAGGGAAAUUGAAGCCUUACAAACUAUUCGCCACCGCAACAUCGUGAAACUUUAUGGGUUCUGCUCUCAUGCACAGCAUCGUUUUCUGGUAUACGAGUACAUCGAAAGAGGGAGCUUGAGAACAAUUUUGAAUGAUGAUGACAGAGCAUCAAAGCUUGGCUGGGACAAAAGGAUAAACAUGGUUCGAGCAGUUGCGGAUGCGUUGUCGUAUAUGCAUCACAACUGUUUUCCUCCAUUGAUCCAUCGGGACUUGACCAGCAACAACAUCUUGUUGGAUGCUGAUUUCGAGGCUCAUGUUUCAGACUUUGGCACCGCAAGAUUAUUGAGGCCAGAUUCCACCAACUGGACUGCUGCUGCCGGCACCAUUGGAUACAUUGCUCCAGGUGAUGUUCUUUGUAGAGGCAUAUUAAUUUACUGUCCCAACUCGUGCUGUCAUUGGAAAUUCCUUAAUUAUGUGAAAGCAAAUGUCUGAGUCUUUAAUUACAACCCAGUAAGAUUAUCAACGGACUUUGAAUUCUUCAAUCGCAGAGCUAGCUUAUACCAACAUUCCGACCGAAAAAUGUGAUGUAUAUAGCUUUGGAGUUAUAGUACUGGAGAUAAUCAUGGGAAAGCAUCCAGGAGAUUAUGUCUCGUUGGUAUUUUCAUCCACUCAAUCCGAGUCGCAAACCCCAUUGAAGGAUGUGCUGGACCAACGCCUCUUGCCUCCAACAAAUCGGCAUGUGCAAAACGUAAUCUCUAUUGCAGCACUAGCACUCGCUUGCUUGCGGACCAAUCCUCAACGUCGACCGACCAUGACACAAGUUUUGCAAGAGCUUCGAGUUCAAGCACCACCGGUUUUGCCGUUCUUUGGAGUCACCUUAGAACAACUCCGUGAUCUCGAUGGCAGGAACUUUUAGAUCGCAUUCGGGAGGUUGCAAGUUUCCGAUCGAGUUACUGUCGUGUGUUCACCUUUUCUGGCUUCUGUGUUUGGCAGUAAGAUGUCGAUUACUUAGUUAUAAAACUUGGAAGAUGCAUAGUCUAAAUGUUUUCUUUUUGUAAGAGUAGAAUAAUAGUUAAUUUUCCUCCUUUCGUGUAAGCAAGCAUCUAUCCAAAUUUAAU